rnacentral:lncRNA from 1 species
UCCUACCAAACGGUGGGACUUGGCCUUGUGUCCAAAAUUCAUAAUAGCUAACACAUUAACAAAAAUUAAAAAUACUAGGUUACAAAAUACAAAUCCGAAUUUUGUGUGUGAGGGAAUUUAAAAAUGGAGAGACUAAAAAAAUGUGGUGACAAAUGACAUUUAUUACCAAAAUUGAAAAUACAAAGUUUAGGCAACUGAAAGCAUCUCUUCAAUUGCAUUCAACCAAUUACCACCAUCCAUAAUUAACCAAAAUCAAAUAAAUUAAAAAAAAAACACAAAAAAAUCACAACACUUUGAUCAUCCCUGCUUCUUUUUCUUAGCAUAGCUCUUGGAAUAAAAAUUAACAAAAAGUGCCAAAAGGGACGCAUUAAACACAGCGUUGAAACGCCAUCCCCAAAUCCCAGAGCAACCAAAACCCGUGAAAUGAUAAUACAGCAUCAAAACUGAAACAACAAAACCAAACACAAACUGAACAAUCUGACAAUCAGUGACCAAUCUCUUCCACUUUGGCCGCAACCCCAUCACACACAAUAGAUAGUACCCGUACAUGAUCACAUGCACACUUGCAUUGGUGACAAUUGCAAUAGGAAACAAAGACUGCUUCGUCUGUAACCAAAGGAAGCACAUUACAACGACGGUUGCAUGGUGGUAGACGUGGAGGAACGUGAGCCGUUGGAUGGAGUUUGACAAAAUAAUCAAAAGGGUGUCAAAGAAUUCGAGUAUUUUGGAGAGGUAGAAGAUGUAAGCGUAGAAGAAGAGAGGGCCAGACGGAGAAAUGGUAGGGGGGAAACAGAGGGUGUAACGGAGGUGGGGUAAAUGGAGGAUGAUGGAGAGAGUGCAACCAACGGCCAUGAUGAGGGAGAGGAUGAGGAGGGUGAGGUUAUGGACGGCUAUGAUGGGCUUGAGGAUGUGGGGUCCAAUGAGAGGUGAUGAUGGUGGUGAUGUUGAUGUCGAUGCGUGGUAGAGGAUGAAUGUGAGGGAGAGGUAAGUGAGGAUGGAGAGAAUGAGGAAGUGUGGGGAGGAAGCUAGUGUUUGGUUCGGAGUCCAUGUGAAGUUGAGGAUUUGGGGGUGGUUUACAAGCCAAUAUUGGAGUGUUGAGGUAAUUGAAUAUGAAGCCAUGGCUGGUUUUUGGGGGGAAGAAAGAUUUGGAAGAGAUGAUGUUGAGAGGAACGGGGGAGUUUAUAAAGUUUUGGGAUAAUGUGGAGGGUAUUUUGGACAUAUUGUUGUCUUAGCUUAAAUUUUGGGAAAAAGAUAGUCAAUAAUAAACUCUUUUUUCAUAUCAAUAUAUAACUCCGAGUGUGUUUCCAAAACUUGUUUUCCUUUUUCCAUUUUAGAUUUUAAAUCGUAAAUUUAGUAAAGGAAGUUAAAUCAAGUGAUCACUCUUUUCUUUUCUUUUCUUUUCUUUUUUUCAUGUAAAGCAAUUAAUCUUUUUUGUGAUUUAAGCAAAUAUUGAGUUGCGUACUUUAACGAUAUUAAUAUUUGAUUCGAAAUUUUGUCUACCGAAACUACAAAAAUUAAUAUUUUCUAUUAAAUCAAAACUAAAAUUAAAAGAUGAUUCAUUGUCUGCCAACUGUCAUUAAACGAAGCCAUCACUCACACAAAAAAAAAGUGAUAUAUUCAUUUUAAUGUAAUUUCAUACCAACAUGUCAUUCUUUUCUUUCAAACAAUGACCUCUUUAAUUAUAAAAUAUGGUAAAAGAGUAAAAAUACAGUAAUACAGCCACACACUCUUAUACAAAUUUAUGUGGCAUCAAUUCAUUGGUUAAAUUAAAUAUCUCUUGGUCCACAUGAUUUACUUUCAUUAUUUUGUAUUUUCAUUCAACCAAUGAAUUGAUGUCACAUUAGUUUGUACAAAAUAAGAUUGUAUAAGAGUUUGUGACUAUAUCAUCACUCAUGGUAAAAAGGGAUGGGUUCGAGGUAUGGCGUCCAGGCCUUUGUGACAACUGGCAUCUUUGGACGUGGGUGUCAUUAGAUUUUUUGCUAUUAUCAUAUCAUCAAUUUUUUUGGCUAUUUCUGCUCAAUCAAACUUGUGGAUUACAUGCACUCAACGUCGACAAUGGAAAUGGGAGAAAAUUAAGUUAAUAAAAUCAAGUAAGUCAAACAAGGUCCAGAAUAUACAAUUGCGUUUAGUGGCAGGAGGGUACGUAAAUACAUGGGAAAGAACUAUUUUUAGUCCAAUUUCAUGUUUGGAUGUUGAGGUUGAUGUGGAAAGGAUGUGGCUUCCCACAUAAAACCCGCCGUUUCGUUCUAAACUAAGUGAAUUUAUCUGGUGAGCUAAGUUGGUUUAGGACGUAACUCAAAUAAUUAAUUUUUUAUUAGUUUAGUAAUAAAAAUUUUGGAUUUUAUUUUAAAACUAUAAUUCAACAGAAAAAAAACUUAAUAAAAAUAACUGUUAUUUAACAUAUUAUAUUUUUUCAAUAAUAAAAUAAUUCAAAAUUUUAAUUAUUAUAACAAUAAAAUUUGUAAUAUAAUCCAUUCAUAUACUAGAUCACAUAAAAUAUAAAACAAGACCAAAUAUAAUCCUAUUACAUCUAAUCAUAUAAUAUUCUAUCACAUCAUAUACUAUCAUAUUCCAUCCGGCAUGCCAAACGUGCAAAGUUUGAGUCAGUUUUGUUAAAGUUGAGUAACAUCUCAUAUGGAAAGGAUGUGGCUCCCACAUAAAAAUAACCCACCGUUUCAUCCUACACUAAGUGAAUUUAUCUCGUGAAAUAAGUAGUUUAGGAGAUGACUCAAAUAAUUAAUUUUUUAUUAGUUUAAUAAUAAGAAUUUACAAUUAUAUUUUAAAUCAUUAAAAAAUACUUAAUAAAAAUAAUUGUUAUUUAAGAUAUUACAUUUUUACAAUAAUAAAAUAAUUCAAAAUUUUUUUAUUACAAUAAAAUUUGUAAUAUAAUUGAAUCAUACACUACGUCACAUAAAAUACAAAAUAGUACUAAAUGUAAUCCGUUUCGUUCUAAACAAAGUGAAUUUAUCUCGUGAGCUAAGUAGUUUAGGAGAUAACUCAAAUAACUAAUUUCUUAUUAGUUUAGUAAUAAGAAUUUUCGAUUAUAUUUUAAAAAGUAUAAUUCAUUGCAACAAAAAUACUUAAUAAAAAUAACUGUUAUUUAAGAUAUUAAAUUUUUACAAUAAUAAAAUAAUUCAAAUUUUUAAUUAGUAUAACACUAAAAGUUGUAAUAUAAUGCGUUCUACAUCACGUAAAAUAUAAACUAGUACUAAUUAUAAUCUUGUUACAACCAUUCCUAUUAUAUUCUAUCACAUCAUAUGCUAUCAUAUUUCAUCCAGCGUGUCAAACGUGCAAAGUUUAAGUAAGAUUUGUUAAAGUUGAGUAACAUCUCAUAUGGUCAAGCGCGUGGAGUAUGGACUUACAUAAUCGAGUGGGUACAACUAAAGUCGGGUAAAGUUUGGUAAAUCUUUAUAUAUAUUGUUGGGUUGGACAACUAUAUCUUUUAAGUCAUAUAAUUAAAUAGUUUUGGUAAACAUUUACUAUUGUGACUUAAAAAUUAAUUUGAUUUGAUCUCAUACUUUAUUAUAAAAAAAAACUUAUAAUAUCUUUAUUAUUUUUAUUAAAAUUAUUAUUUAAAAGUCAUACAUUUAUUACACAUUGUCAUUUUUUUUUUCACAACAACUAGUAAUAUCGAAUAAGAACUAAGUUGAGUAUGAUCAAAUAAUUUAAGUUUUGAUUUUUAUUGUACAAAAUAAUCAUUAGAACCAACAAAGUGUUGGCUCCACUGGCAAUGGAGUCCCCUUAAGUGGCUUGACUGUGUUUGCUCCCCAGUUCGAGUCGCAGGGAAGUCACCUUUGUUGGGAGAACCUGUGCCUCUCGGUUCGAGCGAGGACUUCUAGUCUGGGUUGUGGUACGGGCUUAAAGGUGCCUCCCACAGUUGGAGCCCUCCCCAGGAUACCUCGUGGUCAAAACCAAAAAAAAACAAAAUAAUCAUUAGAUAAUUAGUCUGUAAAGAAUAUCAGCUACUUCAAAUGGAAAUUUGUGAUCAAAAGUGUACCACAGAAGUGACAAAGACACUAUAUGAGAAAUCUGAAAUAGAAUUUAAUAUCUUAGAAUAUACGACGUUGCAUCACAUAUGGUAUUUAGGCAUCAAGAAAAGAAUCCCUCUAUCUAUGAACCACACUUGCCAGGAAAUUAACACCAGGGGAAUACCACCACCUCAUACUAUUUCUUAGGUGUCUCAGAGUUUGAUGAGGACUUCCAUGCUGUGUCUCUUCGACAGGCAGCAAAAUUGGGCAAUUGACUACAUCAACUCCAACAAAUUUAUGCAGACACCUUCCUCCAGACCAUCCUGUUUCUUCGCGCUUUAGUUGCCCCUAUUUCCCAUUAUCUUGUUUGACGCCAAGGAGCCCAAGCCCAGAAACAAUGGCAUUCUUUGGUAUCAACCACUUGGAGACUUUGGUAUCAAUCCUGUUGUGCAAGGCUUCUUCAAAAGGUCAUCCGUUGAUCUUUCUCCUAAUUAGACAUUCAAAACCCUGCAUGGAAUCCAUUUGAGAAGUUGGACAAUAGACAAACUCCAACACAUAUAGACAGUAAAGAAGAAUUCAGACCGCACUCACUGUAGCUGAACAAAUGGGCCUAUUAAGCCUAUUAAAAGUUGGAACCAUAUUCACCACUCGCAUUUCCUUAGAGAACUAUAUCAGAAUUCUGUAAAUUGAAAACUAUUCUUACAUAUUUAACUGUAAAACAAGAGAAAUUAUACUUCCGUAGCAAAGUCUCACUAUUGGUAAGUAUCUGGACUUGGAAAGGAUGCUAGUUGAUCAAGUAAAGGAAAAUUGACAUCAGACUUUGAUGUGAUAGAUAUAUACACUUCAAUAGGAACCACAUUAACAACUUAUGAGACAAACAAACAAAUUCCCCAGUCAAAGUUCAACAAACAAAACACUAAAACAAGAGUAAUUUGGUCCAUCAAUGUAUAUAUAGAGAUGUCGCUGAUUAGACAAAUACGUAAAAGAAGAGGGAAUGACCUCAAAUACGUAAACAGAACAAUCUUCUAAGUUUACUCUAUUUAUAACGAAUAAGUGAACAAAGGAAUGAAAAGGAUGUUUGGCGAAGAAUCUUGCAUCUUAUCAAGUGGGGAAAGCCUUCGCAACAAAGAUGCUGCUUGCUUUCAAGCAAUAAUAAUUUUCCAAUUCCAUAAGGUAGCUUAAUGCCUUUUAAGAAUAUCUGCACCAGCCUAACAAUUAAUCAUGGAAAUUCAAUUUGCAUUUAUCACCUUUAAUUUGCUCAUCUUUGUCUCGAGUAUUGUUUUUGCGUUAACUUAACUAGCUUGCAAACCACCUGCAAAUGGUUUUAAAUAAUGUGUGAGAUUGUGAGGUCGAACGAAUUAAUCAAAUAUGAUGACAGGAGAAACAAAAUUGAAAUAACCACAAGUAGAAGUAUACUUUUGUUAUAUUUAUAGCAUCUUCUACUGUCUUCUUUUCCUUUAGUAGCUCUGUUUCUGUGUGUGCUCAAUCGCGAUGCCUCAAUCUUUUGCAGCCAUAUGCAGACUUGAAACACCGGGGUGUCCCUAAGGAACUUGAAAAUUAGAAAAGUUUCAGUAUGAGUGACUAAAUAUGAUAAUCGAAACUAAUUUAAUAUACACACCUUGUAAAUCUGAAACUAAAUUACUCUGAAUGUAUAUGCCUCUUGGCAGCAAUUGCUCGUGGUGGAAAGUUUACUGCAAAGACUUCCUCAAACCUCUGAAGCUCACACUCUUCCUGGCAACAAAGAAACAGAGUCAAUAUACGAAGAUGAUUUUACUAACAAGUGAGAGCUUGCAAAUAUUGGAAGGAUAACGAUUACUCAUAACCCAAAUCCCCAAUACCUUCUAAUUUCUCACUCACGUGAGUUCAAGCUCCCAAAAUUCAUUACAGUGAAACUCUCACAACAAAAUUCUCUUCAAAGAUUCUCUACUGAAAUUUGAUGAUGAUAUCUAGCACUGAUCAAAUUGGCUUGUGAACAAUUAAGCUGCUUAGUAUCCUUAACCUGAUAAACUUACACAAACAAAAACAACUUGCCUAAAGUUUAAUAUUUAGAGGCAGAACAAUAAAGAAGAAGAUAUAUAUUGAUACUAAAAUUUGACCUGUAUUACCCUGAUGUCAAGCAUCACUGCAUCUCAUGUGGGUAAAAUCUUCACAAUACGAGAUGCUUGCAAAAUUGAAGCAGCAUCUUAUCACCUGUAAUUUAAUUAAGACAGUAACUUUCCCCAACUAUUUUAAUGCAUUAUUGGCAACUAAAUUCAGCGGGCGCUAAUUAAAUACCCUUUUAACAAUAUCUUCUUAUUCUUCUCCAAUCUAACAGUUAUUUGGAAAAUCUAAAUGAUAGUCAUGCAUCAAUGGCGUCAAAGUUUGGCUACAAAGCAGCCUGGAAAAGGCUUUACUCUCUGAGUGAGAGCAUGAAUUUGAAAAAUAUGAUGAAUGAAGAAACAAAGGCAUAAUACCACAAGAAGUCAAACUUUUCCCCAGAGCUCUGUUUCUGUUUGUGCUAAAGCCAAUGGAAACCGAAGGAAAUGAAUUUCUACGAAUUAGACAUAUCAGCCAAACAAGUACUCUAUACAAGCAAAGUAAAAGAGAGUUAAAAAAAUUUUAAGAUUGAUAUGAUAAUUAAAAUUUCAGUCACCAUAUAAUUAAUAGAAAACUUUGUACACAAUGAUUUAUGGCGUAAUAAGACUGCAUAUCUAAAUUUUAAUUGCGAUACAAAAUAUGAUAUUAGCAUUAGGAGACCGCACCAAAACGUACCGUAUUGAAUGUGCCUUUUCACAACCAUUGUACAAGCUUUGAAGCUUUGGCACAAAUGCUUUUUCAAACCCAUGAACAUGAUGCACCCGAGAGAUGCAAGAUAUGAAAUUGUUACUACAGCAGGGAUUGAAACAUUUGUUAAGAAAGGAAGUUUAUGAAAAUACGCUUAACAUUCAUUAGAUAAAUGCCUUCAGGAAUCAAUUCAUCUGUAGUAACAAUUUUCAAAGAGCAUCAACUGCUUUAAGUCCCUCAACAUCACAGACAUCUUCAAUUAAAAUAGCGCAGAUCCGGCCAUCACUAUUCCUUCUACUGCUCUUUUGCUUUAGAGAACGCUUCAAUUACAAAAUGCGUGUAAGGCUUUCUUGUUCAAGGUCCAGCGAUCAAACCUUGCACAAUAACAACAGAGGUAGUAGUUCCAUCGCCAGCCUAAUCCUUGGACUUCCCAACAUUCUCCACGAGUAGGAAAUCAACCUAAAAAAUAAGAAUGAGUUUGAAAAACAGUUUAUGGCCCUAAAGAACUUGAAAAUCAGAAAUGAUUAAGAAUGAGUGACUAAACAUUUUAAUCGACUAAACAUACAAAACUUGAAAACCCAAUAUUGAAGUACUCUGAAUGAAUGUGCAAUUGCACGAGCUGGUGACAACUGACUUUACUGCAAAGGCUCUUUCAAACCCUUGGAGAUGAUAACCUGAUAACACAAAGAAACACAAUGAAUAUUAAAGGAUAUUCUGACAACGCAAAUUUGUGCAAACUAUGAAGUGUGGUUACCUGCAUAAUGGUGUCAACACCAAAUUCCUGCCUCCAUUGACGCAUAUGAUAAUAUUAGCACAAUUCAAUAUGUUUAUAUAGGAUAAAUGAUUCUGAGAAUGAAGCAAGAUAGAAAUGAUGAUCUUAAUUGAAACAGAGCGAACCCGGCCAUCACUUCCUUCUUCAAAGUCCAGCAACCAAACGUUGCACAAUAACCACAGUGAUAAUCCUUGGUUACCCCAAUGUUCUCCAUAGAGUCUUCAACGUCAACUUAAAAAUGAAAUGAAAAUGCAAUGCAGGUGGAAAUGAAAAUUCUAUAAACAAAAUAAAAAAAAAAAAUGCAAUGCUUGACCUUGAGCUUGCUUUAAUAAUCAUAAUAAUCGAAUUUGGAUAUAUCUUUACUUCCCUGUGGUUCAAUCAUUUACUUCUCUGUUCUUGUUUAUUCACAACAAGAUAUCAAUAGAAGAAGAUGGAAAUGAAAUUCUACAAAAUAAAGCAAGUGAAUUACCAGCAGAACAUUUUAGCAAUCCUUUGGCUAAACUUUUCAUUUUCUUAGCAAACUCUCCUGCCUGCAUCAUUAAAACCAAAUUAGAUUGGACCUGUGGAUUGCUAGUGUGGUUCUGACAUUUCCUCGAAUCCCUGGUGAACAUAAUUAAACAAGUAUGAAAUAAAACAAAGUGGGCUAAUGUAGUAAAAACAAUAACACAAUUACUUUAAAGAAUUAAUGUCACGUAUAUUAUAUAUAAAAAAAUACGAUUAUCAUUAUAUAAGAUAAAAUUGAUAAUUUAGUUUUCAACAUUACUGGAAACGUAUCACAGAGAUUUUGUCUCUCAGCAAGUUACACAUAACAAAUUUUCGUACAUUAAAAAAUAAAUUACAUUGCAUGAAAUUUUACAAAAGAGCACAUAUUUUUUAAAAGUAAAUAUAGAAAUUUCAACAGACUACACUUGUUUUUUUUAUUUUUUAUUAUUUAAUCUUUAGAAAACAAGUUUAACAGAUUUGAUAACUAGGAAGUUUUACGUAUUUAUACCAAGAUUGAUUCUAUAUAGAAUUUUAAUUCAAAAUAUAAUUAUUUUUAUUAAUUUCAUUGCAAGCAACAACGAAGUAAAUCAGAGGAGGAGGAGAAAUUACCAGCGAGUGAUAUCUUACGGCUACCACUUGAUGUGGGGAAUGUGAGAUAUCUUAUGCCAGUCUUCUCCUUUCCCCUCUCUAUAACGGUUUUCCAGAAGAGGACAUAUGUGAAUAGUCAAUUCCUGCAGCGUCGACGUUCGAAGGAGGUAAUCCGGCAGCACCUUUAAUUUGGGGCAAUUCUGAAUAAACAAGAAAGAAAGACGCGGUAUGUCUGUUGUCCUGCGAUCUUCUAGAAUGGGCAGUUCUUCCAAAUUUUCACAAGAAUAAAUACUCAGUUCCUGCAGUGCCGUCGUUUGAAGAAGGUAAUCUGGCAGUACCUUUAAUUUGUUGCAAGACCAAAUCAUCAAGGAAGAAAGACGUGGCAUGAUGGAGAUGUUUUCCUUCCUCGUAAUCCUGUAAUUCCACUCUUCCAAUUCUUGCAUGUCCCAAAUUUUGAGAGAUUUCAAUUUGGUGAAGGCAGUAACUGAUGAUGAUGAUGAAGAUGAGGACGGCUCAUCAUCACUGCUUUCUUCUAUUCCCAAAAACUCAUUACCCACUCUUUUUACACUUGUCAAGUACUUUAGUUCGAGUUUUUCCAGAGGUAAUUUUCCCAAAGGAGGCAAAUGCUCACAGUUAAAACACAACGAAAGUUUUAGUUCCCUUAGAUUGGUUAGCGAAGUCAACCAUUUGGGAAAAAUGUUGCCUCCGUAGCAUUUAAUCCUUAACUCCUCUACAUUCACAGGCGGUUGUAAGGCUUCAAGAAGUUGUUUAUCUUUCUCAUUCUUCCUCCUCCCUUCUUCACCUUCCAUAUCUACGACUCCAAACAGAAGAUGCAAACGAAGGAGGUUUUUCUUAUUGUAAAGUUGUAACCUCUUAGCCUCAUCUACAUGCGAUACAUUACUCAGUUCUUCUACUCUACAUUCACGAAGGAGUUGAAGAUUUUUCAGAGAUUCAAGCCUACACGUGCUGCCGCCAUCAACACCUCCACCCACAACAAACCUUUCUAAUGUUCGAAGGCUGGUCAAUCUGGAAAUCCCUAUUGGCAGGUACUCCAACGAAGAAGUUUUAGCAUUCAGUAAACUCCUCAUGUUCAUUAACUUCCCAAUCCCCGCUGGCAAUUCUCUAAGAUUUCGGCACCGCCUAAUAUCUAGCUUUUGUAAAUUAUAUAAUUCACACAAAGUCUCAGGUUGUCUCUCUAUACACAGUCCAGACAAAUUAAGAUAUUUUAAAUGUAUCAAUUUUCCGACAUUUUCUGGAAUUUCUCUAAUCAAAUUUGGGUCAAAAUAAAAAGGAUAAAAAUAUACGAAUGAUUGCCUUAUAACUAAUGUCCUUAAACACGCCAAUUUACUAAAUAACUCCUGAAGGAUACUACUAUUAAGACUCAGAUUGGAAUAACUUUCAUCAUAAAUUAAGAGGCUACGCAAUCUAUCAAAUUCAAAAAAGGACGUAGGAAAUGAAGCACCUCUUUCAAAAUUUAACCCUAAGUGACGGACUUUCUCACCAAAAGAGUUUAUGACUGAUUCUUUGGUACCAUUAAUUUCUAGCCACAAACAUUCUUUGCUACUUACAAAUUGAGCAAAAUCAUGUACUAUGUCAUGCAUCUUGCAACUCAUAAUAUCAUCAUCAUCAUUUUUCUCAAACUCUUGAAAGAAAGAGCGUGCUGCUAAAAUGUUGAAACAUUCUUCCCCAGUAAUGUCCAUCUCUUCAUAUUCUUCUGCAUUAAGGUAACCUUGAGCCAUCCAUAGUGAAAUUAGUUCCUCUUUAUUCAUAUUGUAGUCUUUUGGAAAGACAGCACAAUAUGAGAAACACCGUUUUACCAUAGAAUUGGAGGGCAAAUCGUUAUAACUCAACAACAAAGGAGCUAAAAGACCUUGCCCAAUCUCUUCUACUUUCCACAUUUCACUCUUUAAAAUUCUUUGCCACUCAUUUACUGUAAUUUUAGAGCGCAAGAGAUUCCCUAUUACCUUUGCAGCAAGAGGCAGGCCUUUGCACUUCAGUGCAAUUUUUCGCCCAAUUGGUUCUAAUUUUUCACAAUCUUCGAAAGAGCGACUGGAAAAUGCCAACCGCUUGAACAACGACCAACAUUCCUCUUCAGCCAAUUGCUUAAUGAAGAUAAUAUUUGUUGAUCCCAUCAUACGUGCAACUGACUCAUUACGUGUGGUAACUAAAAUUUUACUUCCUUGGAGACCAUUCUUUAGACAAAGGAAGAAUGGUUCCCAUUUAUUUUAACUCCCAUCCCAUACAUCAUCUAAGACAAGAAAAAACUUUUUUCCUUCAAUUGAUCUAUGGAUAUGGCUCGUAAGAGAUUGGAAUUCGUUUAAACUAGGAGCUGACUCACCUAGACCUUCAAUGAUUGCUUUGACAACCCUAAUCUCCUCAAAAGUGUCUGAUACACACACCCAUAUAACUUUUUCAAAAUUUCUUUUCACCUCAUCAUUAUUAUAGGCUAGUUGUGCAAGAGUGGUUUUACCUAUACCCCCUAACCCAACUAGUGAGAUGACAUGAAGGCCUUUUUGUUGUUCACUACUUUCACACAACAACUUGCUUAAGAGCUCAUUUUUCUCAUCAACUCUACCGCAAACCUCUCCCUCAUCAAUCAAGGAGGUGGUUCGCACUCGCUCUGGUUUCUUAACAUUGUUGCUCACAUUCUCAACAAAUUUAAACGUAUCUUUUUGGGAGGCAAUAUCAUCUAGCUUUCCAUUGAUUUCCCUAAUCUUGACGGCAAUGUCAUGACGAAGACUAAGUUGUUUGAAACUACCAAAGCAGUUUGAUACAGCACAAAAGAAGGAGCGUACCUUCUUCUUAUGAGGAGCAAGAGCAAGAGCAUUGUCAUCAUCAACGCCCUCAAUCUGCAAUUUGAGCCUUGCAGUGGUCCACUCCUCCAACACGUCUUCCAUGUCGUAAGAUGCGUCUUUGAGCUGAUCCAGCCAAAAAGUAACAGCAUUGUCGCGCUGCAUUUGCCUUUUCUCUGCAUCUUCCAGCACAGCUCGAAUGGCUCGAAGAUUGCUGGUAAGCUUUUUCACUUCUUCUCGGACACCAGUCACAAGCCUCACGUGUUGUUUCACUUCAUCAGCCGCAACGGAGAUCAGCUGCUCCAGGAGAGAGGAAACGAUCGCAUCAACCAUUCUGACAAAGAAAACGAGAAUUUUGAUGAGUUAUUAGAUGUGCUUUUGUUGCGAAGAUAUGAAAGAAAAGGAGUUAUUGCGUUCUUUUAUACUGCAUAGAAAAAGCUUAUGCUUAUCCCCACCCCACACGUCAAUGAUUGUAGAAUGUUUAUUUUCCCUGAUUCUACUCCACUAGUUGUGAUGCGUAAUUAUAAAUAUUCUCAAGUUAUGUAUGAAAAUAGCACAAAUUUGGAUCUAGUAAUGAUUUUUAUGUACUUUUUCAUCAUCUUCUAAAAUACCAUCUCUGCAUGUGCACGAAAUAUGGAAUUGGGUGAAAAAAGUUAUGCUUAUCCCCACCCACACGUUAGUAAUUGUAGUAGCAUCUUUAAUUUCCAUGAUUCUACUCCACGGACGAACACAUUUUUUGUAGUAACAUCUUUAAAUUCCCACACGUUAGGAAUUUGGCACAUAUCUCAAACUCGUCGCAUCUUUAACGUAUGAAGUUGAUGAAUAAAUUCUUUUCUCAUGUCAAUUUAAAACUCCGAGAUUAUGUGCCAAAUUCCUAACGUGUGGGAAUUUUACCUCCUAAGUAAUCCGGCCCACUACCAAGUGCCAACUUUUUCUCUGUCGAGUUAAUGAUGUUGUUUUGUUUUCCUUGUUUUAAUUAAUGUUGCCGAGAGAAACAGAUCGAUGCAAAUGGCUAGCCAGGUUUUGCAGAAACCGUGAAUGGUCUUGCAUGUGACAUAAAGCUUAAUCAUGUAUAUAUGUGUGUUGACACUUGCCAGUUCAUUUUUGUUAUAAAGAUUAUUGAUACUCAUAAAUGUACUACUUACAAAUCAUAAAUUUUGAGUUUGACACUUUAGUUUCAUUUUGUAAUCCCUACACUCUUUAAAUAUUUGUAACAAUAUAUUUCAAACUUUAACUCAGACGUAAUGAAUGAAGGGGGAUCCUCUUCUUAUAUAAAUUUUUAUUUUUUAACGUUCAAGUUACAUUUGAUUACGUGUACUUAUUAUCUAGUUUUGACUAUCUAAUUACAUUUGAUUACGUGUACUUAUUAUAUAAUUUUUUUUUGAAAUGAUGGAUCUGGUGAGAUUUUUUACAUCUUGGAUCAGUAGGUCAAGAACAGGCAGGGCAGGGCCUUCUCUGAAGUCAAUCUUGUGAGCAACACCAGCUUUUUGGAUAAUUGGCAGCCCCAAUUCAUAAUUUUCUCUAUUGAUGUCCAUGGCCAAAAUCUGCAACCGAAGCUUAUUCUACUCUUAUUAAUCGAGAGAUAAUUUUACCUCUAACUAAUUUAAUUGGGAGGAAAAUCGAGAGAGAUAUCCACUUUGUCCUUAUUAAUUGAGAGAUAAUUUUACCCUUACCCAAUUUAAUUGGAAAGAAAAUCGAAUUCCAACAAUAACUAGGACUCGAAUCCAUGCACUUAAGCUAACUUUAUGCUUUUGGACGCAUGGUUAUAAUGUUCUUUAUUUAAAUCCUAACAAAUGGUGGGACUUGAACUUGUGCCUACAAACAUUGAGUGCUUAGGGGCUGCAAAAUUUCAUAACUUAAUUUUAGUUGAUGUGGCAUGUGCCCUAUCACAUCAAUGUAGAUAAUAAUAAUUAAUACAUUAACAAAAUGAAAAAUAUUAGUUUACAAAAUACAAAUCCAAAUUUUUUGUGUGAGAGGGGAUUUAAAAGGGAGAGACUAAACAAAUGUGGUGAAAAACGACAUGUAUUACUACAACUGAAAAUACGAAGUCUAGGCAAUUGAAAACAUCGGGUUUUUUAUUUAAAUAUCCCCAAUUUGUCCUUAAAUACCAAAUUUAUACCCUAUUAUAUACAUAUACCUCACGAAGAUAGGGAAAGUAAAAAAUAACCUAAAAAAAUCAGGAAUCCGCACAUUUCUUCCUCUUAGUUCAGAAAGAUGUCGAGUACGAAGUCGGGUAAGUCGAGAAUUUAGUCGAGCAAGAAUUGGAGAUAAGUAAGUCAAUUAGGAAGUUGAGUAAGCAUAUUAAGUGAGUCGAGUAUUAAGUGGUUGAGUAUUAAGUAAAAGUCAAGUAAAUUUUUUGAACAAGUCGAGUAAAAUUUAUGUAAUUUUUAAAGAGGUCGAGUAUUAAGUCGGGUAAGUACAUUGGGUCGAGUAUUAAUAUUUUUAAAGAAGUGAAGUCUGAUAAGUUGAGCAUUUAGUCGAGUAAGAAGUUAAGGCAAUUGAAUAAGUCGAGUAUCUAGUUGAGUACAAAGUCGGGUAAGUUGAGCAUUCAGUCGAAUAAGAAGUAAAGACAAUUGAAUAAGUCGAGUGUCUAGUCGAGUACGAAGUCGAGUAUGAAAUCUGGUAAGUUGAGCAUUCAGUCGAGUGAGAAGUGAAGGCAAUUGAAUAAGUCGAGUAUCUAGUCGAGAACGAAGUCGGGUAUGAAGUCUGGUAAGUUGAGCAUUUAGUCGAGUGAGAAGUGAAGACAAUUGAAUAAGUCGAGUAUCUAGUCGAGUACAAAGUCGGGUAUGAAGUAUGGUAAGUUGAGCAUUUAGUCGAGUAAGAAGUGAAGGCAAUUGAAUAAGUCGAAUAUCUAGUCGAGUACGAAGUCAGGUAUAAAGUAUGGUAAGUUGAGCAUUCAGUUGAGUAAGAAGUGAAAGUAAUUGAAUAAGUCGAGUAUCUAGUCGAGUAAUCAAACCAAUUUUCUCCAUAGAGUCUUCAAAGUCAACCUAAAAAUGAAAUGCAGGUGGAAAUGAAAAUUCUAUAAACUAAAUAAAAUAAAAUGCAAUUCUUGAGCUUGAGCUUGCUUUUACAUCAUCAUAAUAGUGAAUUUUGAUACAUCUUUACUUUUCUGUUCUUGUUUAUUCACAACAAGAUAUCAAUAAAAGAAGAUGGAAAUGAAAUUCUAUAAAAUAAAGCAAGUGAAUUACCAGAAGAACAUUUUAGCAAUCCUUUGGCUAAAAUUUUCAUUUUCUUAGCAUACUCUCCUGCCUGUGAAUUGCUAGUGUGGUUCUAACAUUUCCUCGAAUCCCUGGUGAACAUAAUUAAACUCGUAUGAAAUAAAACAAAGUGGGCUAAUGUACUACUAAAAACAAUUACACAAUUACUUUAAAGAAUUAGUGUCUGUUUGGUAUGGCUUAUUUAAGAGGCAUAAGUGCUUAUUUAAUCGUAUAAGCACUUUUUAAAAAUUUUUAUGGUGUUUGGUUAUUUUUUUUGCUUAAAUAAGGUAAUUUACCUCUACUAGCAAAAGUCCAAAAUUUGAGCUUUUGGGAGUAGAGGUUAUAGAGCUUUUCUAAAAAUAUAUAAUAUAAAAAAUAUCACACAGUUUAAUGGUUCAAAAGUGAUUUUUUUAUUGACAACCAAACACCCAAUGACUUUUUUGACCAAAAGCUUUAUUAGUAUAAGCUCUGCUGCUAUAAGCUCUACUGUUAUAAGCUCUAUUUAAUAAGCUGUACCAAACAGAGCCUUAAUGUCACAUAAAUUAUAUAUAAAAAAAUACGAUUAUCAUUAUACAAGAUAAAAUUGAUAAUUUAGUUUUCAACAUUACUGCAAAUGUAUCACAGACAUUUUGUCUCUCAGCGAGUUACACAUAACAAAUUUUCGUACAUUAAAAAAUAAAUUGCAUUGGGAUUUUCUAUGAUAUUGUAUGAAAUUUUACAAAAGAGCACAUAUUUUUUUAAAGUAAAUAAAUAUAGAAAUUUCAGCAGACUACACUUGUAUUUUUUUAUUAUUUAAUUUUUAGAAAACAAGUUCAACAGAUUUGAUCACUAGGAAGUUUUACAUAUUUAUACCAAGAUUGAUUCUAUAUAGAAUCUUAAUUCAAAAUAUAAUUAUUUUUAUUAAUUUCAUUGCAAGCAACAAUGAAGUAAAUCAGAGGAGGAGAAAUUACCAGCGAGUGAUAUCUUACGGCGACCAAUUGAUGUGGGGAAUGUGGGAUAUCUUAUGCCAGUCUUCUCCUUUCCCCUCUCUUAACCCCAAAUUGUCAAUGUCUGCAGUGUCGUUGUUUGAAGUAACAACAAAGUAAAAUACAGAGAAAUUACCGGUAGGUGAUAGUAAUUGCAACCAUUCGAGAAUUUACCACUCGAUGUGGGGAAUGUGAGAUAUCCUAUGCCAGUCUUCUCCUUUCCCCUCUCUAUAACGGUUUUCAAGAAGAGGACAUCCCUCAAUACUCAAUUCCUGCAGCGUCGUCGUCCGAAGAAGGUAAUCCGGCAGCACCUUUAAUUUGGGGCAAUACCAAAUCGUCAAGGAAGAAAGAUGUGGUAUGUCUGUUGUCCUGCGAUCUUCUAGAAUGGGCAGUUCUUCCAAAUUUUCACAAGCAUGAAUAACCAGUACCUGCAGUUCCGUCGUUUGAAGAAGGUAAUCCGGCAGCGCCUUUAAUUUGUUGCAAAAACCAACUUUUAAGGAAGAAAGAUGGGGCAUGAUGGAGAUGUUUUCCUUCCUCGUAAUCUUGUAAUUCCACUCUUCCAAUUCUUCCAAUGCUACAAUUUCGAGUGAUUUCAAUUUGGGGAAGGCAAUAACUGAUGAUGACGAUGAAGAUGAAGAUGGGCCAUCCUCACUGCUUUCUUCUAUUCCCAAAAACUCAUUACCCACUCUUUUUACACUUUUCAAGUGGAUGAUUACGAGUUUUUCCAGAGGUAAUUUUCCCAAAGGAGGCAAAUGCUCACAGUUAAAACACGAGGAAAGAUAUAAAUUCCUUAGAUUGGUUAGUGAAGUCAACCAUUUGGGAAAAAUGUUGCCUCGGUAGGAUUCAAUCUCUAAUUUCUCUAAAUUCACAGGCGGUUGUAAGGCUUCAAGAAGUUGUUUAUCUUUCUCAUUCUUCCUCCUCCCUUCUUCGCCUUCCCCAUCUACGACUCUACCAAACUCAAGAUGCAAACGAAGGAGGUUUUUCUUAUUGUCUCAUCUACAUGCGAUACAUUACUCAGCCCUUCUACUCUACAUUCACGAAGGAGUUGAAGAUUUUUCAGAGAUUCAAGCCUACACGUGCUGCCACCAUCAACACCUCCACCCACAACAAACUUUUCUAAUGUUCGAAGGCUGGUCAAUCUGGAAAUCCCUAUUGGCAUGUACUUCAACGAAUAAGUUUCACCAUUCAGUAAACUCCUCAUGUUCUUUAACUUCCCAAUCCUCGCAGGCAAUUCUCUAAGACUUGGGCACCGCCUAAUAUCUAGCUUUUGUAAAUUAUAUAAUUCACACAAAGUCUCAGGUAGUCUCUCUAUACAUAGUCCAGACAAAUUAAGAUAUUUUAAAUGUAUCAAUUUUCCAACAUUUUCUGGAAUUUCUGUAAUCAAAUUUGGAUCUGAACGCAAACGAAUGGACAAUUGGCUUAUAACUAAUGCCCUUAAACACGCCAAUUUUCUAAAUAACUCCCGAAGGAUGCUGCGAUUAAGACUCCUAUUGGAAUAACUUCUAUCAUAAAUUAAGAGGCUACGCAAUCUAUCAAAUUCAAAAAAGGACAUAGUAAAUGAAGCGCCUCCUUCAAACUUUAACCCUAAGUGACGGACUUUCUCACCAAAAGAGUUUAUGACUGAUUCCUUGGUACCAUUAAUUUCUAGCCACAAACAUUCUUGCCUACUUACAAAUUGAGCAAAAUCAUAUACUAUGUCAUGCAUCUUGCAACUCAUAAUAUCAUCAUCGUCAUAAUAUUUUUCAAACUCUUGAAAGAAAGAGCGUGUUGCUAAGAUGUUGAAAUACUCUUCUCCAAUCAUCUCCAUUUCUUCGUCUUCAUCUGCAUUAAGGUAACUUUGAGCCAUCCAUAGAUUAAUCAAUUCCCUUUUAUUCAUAUUGUAGUCUUUUGGAAAGACAGCACAAUAUGAGAAGCACCGUUUUACCAUAGAAUUAGAGGGCAAAUCGUUAUAACUCAACAACAAAGGAGCCAAAAUACCUUGCCCAAUCUCUUCUACUUUCCACAUUUCACUAUCUAAAAUUCUUUGCCACUCUUUUACUAUACUUUUAGAGCGCAAGAGAUUCCCUAUUACCUUUGCAGCAAGAGGCAGGCCUUUGCACUUACAUGCAAUUUUUCGCCAAAUUGGUUCUAAUUUUUCACAAUCCUCAAAGGACCUACGUAGAAAUGCUAUCUACUUAAACAGUAACCAACAUUCCCCUUCACCCAACUCCUUGACAGGGAUAAUAUUUAUUGAUCCCAACUGUAGUGCAACUGACUUAUCACGUGUGGUAAUCCGAAUUUUACUUUCAUGGUGGCCAUUCUUUAGACAAGAAAAGAAUGGGUCCCAUUCUUUAUAAUCUCCAUCCCACACAUCAUCUAAAACAAGAAAAAAUUUCUUCCCCGUAAUAUAUUCCUGAAUCUGUUUCAUAAGAGAUUCGAAUUCGCUUAAACCAGAAGCUGACACGCCUAGACCUUCAAUGAUUGCUUUGGCGACCCUAAUCUCCUCAAAAGUGUCUGAUACACACACCCAUAUAACUUUUUCAAAAUUUAUUUUCACCUCAUCAUUAUUAUAGGCCAGUUGUGCAAGAGUGGUUUUACCUAUACCCCCUAACCCAACUAGAGAGAUGACAUAAAGGCCUUGUUGUUGUUCACUACUUUCACACAACAACUUGCUUAAGAGCUCAUUUUUCUCAUCAACUCUACCGCAAACCUCUCCCUCAUCAAUCAAGGAGGUGGUUCGCACUCGCUCUGGUUUCUUAACAUUGUUGCUCACAUUCUCAACAAAUUUAAACGUAUCGUUUUGGGAGGCAAUAUCAUCUAGCUUUCCAUUGAUUUCCCUAAUCUUGACGGCAAUGUCAUGACGAAGACUAAGUUGUUUGAAACUACCAAAGCAGUUUGAUACAGCACAAAAGAAGGAGCGUACCUUCUUCUUAUGAGGAGCAAGAGCAAGAGCAUUGUCAUCAUCAACGCCCUCAAUCUGCAAUUUGAGCCUUGCAGUGGUCCACUCCUCCAACACGUCUUCCAUGUCGUAAGAUGCAUCUUUGAGCUGAUCCAGCCAAAAAGUAACAGCAUUGUCGCGCUGCAUUUGCCUUUUCUCUGAAUCUUCCAGCACAGCUCGAAUGGCUCGAAGAUUGCUGGCAAGCUUUUUCACUUCUUCUCCGAAACCAGUCACAAGCCUCACGUGUUGUUUCACUUCAUCAGCCGCAACGGAGAUCAGCUGCUCCAGGAGAGAGGAAACGAUCGCAUAAACCAUUCUGACAAAGAAAACGAGAAUUUUGAUGAGUUAUUAGAUGUGCUUUUGUUGCGAAGAUAUGAAAGAAAAGGAGUUAUUGCAUUCUUUUAUACUGCAUAGAAAAUGUUUAUGCUUAUCCCCACCCCACACGUCAAUGAUUGUAGAAUGUUUAAUUUCCCACACGUUAGGAAUUUGGGACAUAAUAAUAAAUAUUCUCAAAUUUGUCGCAUCUUUAACGUAUGAGCACGUGUUUUGUCUAUGUCACUUUUUUUCUAUCUUACUGCAAUAUCAGGUAGAGGAAUUCGAUCAGUUUCCCCAACAGAUGGGAAACGAUGUCAUCAGCCAAUUGAUGUUGGAUUAAAUGCUAAAUGUUACGAUUGCUUUUGUUGCGAAAAUGCUCAAAGAAAAGUGGCUUUUGUGUAUUCUGUGAGAAUGCUCAUUCAAGCAUUUUUGCAUUCUUCUUAUACUACGUGAGGUAUUUAAUUUUUACCCUUGAGUCAAUGUCAAUGUGAAAGCUUUUAUGCUGCAAAUUAAAGAAAUCCCAGACCAAUAAUUGUACAACAUCUGCCCUGUCUCUCUGAUUCAUAAUAAUUAUGCAGACUACUCAGCAUCGGCACUUGUAAAAUUUCUUACAUUAUAAGUAACGAAAUAUUUGUAAACUACCACAAAAAGCUUGGAGCAAUCUACUGAUGAACCUUCUGAAGUUACAUAAAAUAGAAUAAUCUUAGUGUUGGAACAAUUUUAAAAUAAAUGAUGUCUCAUUAUAAAGACAUAUCUAAUUAAUAUAGAAGAGUAAUCUUUUGAUAUUUAAUAAAUAUCAUACUAUGGUCUAUGACUUAGCUCAUACUACAAAGAAAAUAUGUGAAAGAUAAUUAAGGAAUAAAGCUUUCAACAACGAUUUAUAAAAUUGCUUUUGAUAAAACUGUUCUGAUGAAAUGAAAUUAUGUGAAAUUACUAAGAAUUUAAUUAGCCUCUCAAAAAGGUUCAUUGAUUGCUUGACUUCUCAAGUUUAAAAUUCGAAUGUCAAAACAGAUAAAACGUUAAAAAAUUAUUUUGAGUUUUAUCCACCCGUUUACCAUUUUAAUACAUAAAACUCUCCUAUUGCUUUAAAGUAUCAUUUUUUGUUUUAAACAAAAAAUGACACUUUAGUAUCAUAUGUUUGCAAGAUAUUCGGCCAUGAGUGUUGACGGAAAUUUCUUCAUCCUUGAGCGGAAAAUAAAAAGAAAAACAUAGUUCGCAAUUUUAGUAGCGAAACCAAUAUUUUGAUCCAUAUGGGGUAAAUCUUCAGGAGGCCCAACUUCAAACUUAAAAUGUUAGCUGAGGGUUUAAUUUUAGACUGUUUUUCUAUUUAUAGUUAUUAUAUAGUUGUUAGGAAUUUCGAAAUUUUAGAAUUUUGCUUGUAGCUACAGGCUGCAGCGAUUUUAUUUGGCGACUUUGAUUCAUAAUUGAAGUACUGUUGCAAGUAAAAACUAAAAAAAUAAUUAACAAAAUAAAAAUCAAAGACUUAGGCCCAAGUUUUUAUCAAAAUUUUAAUAAAAGGCUAUUUGUCACAUCGUCAUAAUGGAAAAAUAAUUAAUACAAUAAACAAAUCGAGUUACUUGAUUUUAUUUUAAUAAUAUAUAAAUAAAAUUUUUAUUAUAUGUAUAAAUUUUAUAUAUCAAGUUCUUAGGGGUCAAAUCAGUUUUUUUAUACCUAAUUUUUAAUAUUUCACUUCGAAACCUCAAAAUUUUUCAAAGCUUGUAGGGUCAUGAUCCUCACUAGGAGUGGGCAAAUUUGUGUUCAUAUUAACUUAAUCGGGUUUUAGGUUGAUUGGGUUAGAAUAUUCAGAUUGGAUUGUAUCAAAUCAAAAAUUCAAGUUUAGUUUGGAUUGCAUCAGGUUAUAAUUAUAUGGGGAUCAAGUUGGAGUUGGAUUAGCCAACUUGGAUUAAAAUCAAAUUUGGUCAGCUAGGAUGGAUUCAGAUAAUGUUGGGAUUAGGGGUGUUUUUGAGCCUAUUUUGUUUAUUUUCAGUUUUUUUUUAAAUUAUUUUAGUUCUUGAAGAUGGUUUUAUUGUAAUUAUCUCAUUUGAAUUUGUUUUUACCAAUUUUCAACCAAAAAAAAUGAAAACUACUACUAUAAAAUCAAAUGAAUAAAAAUUGAAAUGAACUACUACUAUUAGAUUGGAUCGGAUCCUCAUCUCUUGGCCUUCUUAUACAAUAAGGUAACUUUGAGCCAUCUAUAGUGUAGUUUUCAUUUUUUUUAUUGGUCAUUUAUAUUGUAAGAAUUUCCCUAUUAAUAUUGUUCCCAAUCUCUUCUACCUUCUACAUAUCACUAUCUAAAAUUCUUUUCCAUUCUUCUGUUGGUCAUUUAUAUUGUAAGAAUUUCCCUAUUGCCUUUGCAAUAAGAGGCAGGCCUUGCAUGCAAUUUUUUUUAUCAUUUGGUCACCAUCCUUAAAAAAUUGACCAAAAAAUGCUACUUGCUUAAACAAUGACCAACAUUCUUCUUCAGUUAAUUCCUUAAUAAAAAUAAUAUUUGUUAAUCUCAUCAUGCUUGCUAUUAUCUAAUGAUGUGUAGUAAUCAAAAAAUUGACUACUGUAGAGACCAUUCUUUAAACAAUAGAAGAAUGGUUCCCAUUGAUUGUAACUUCCAUCCCACACGUCAUCUAGGACAAGAAAAAAAAAAAUCUUUCCCUCAUUAGAUUUAUCAAUAUGGUUUACAAGAGAUAACCUAAUAUUUGUCUGUUGCCAUUCUUGCAUUAUAUGCAUACUCCAUGACUUACAAGAUUGCUUCUUUGACCAUCUAUCUGAUAACCUCCAAUGGCAAAGCUAGCAUCAUUUGUUUGGGUGGGCUAGAUUUAAAAAAAAUGAAAUUUACUUCUCAAAAAAUUUGUUUUAUAUAAAUGAAAUUAAGCACACUACAUAAGCAAAAAUUUAACCAUAAAACUAUAAAAAUACAAUGUAAAUAAGAAAAACAAUAUUGACGAAGAUGUGUCCUACGGUUCUUCAAAAAAGAAAAUUCAUCUACUAUCGCAUAUGAGUCAAUAUUGUCUGCAAUUUCUCUUUCCAUGUAAAUAACCAUACAAUCUGAAAGAAACUCAUUCUCCAUCUUGUUUCAAUGUGUUGUCUUAAUCAGUUUCAUGGCAGAAAAUGCUCUCAACUGUUGUUGCUGUUGAAACAAGAAGGGUUAACACUAAAUGAUUAACACUAAACAAGAAGGGUUAACAAGAAGGGUUAAUCUAUCCAACAAGAAAUAAAUCUAUGACUUUCUAGUCUCAACCAAUCUUCGACACAGUUUAGAAAGGGAAGUAAUAUUCUGAAACUCUUGAAGAGAGUGUAUAUCUAUCUCAAAGCACUCUAAUUGUCUUCUCAAAGCCUGUAACUCAAUCUUAGUGAAUCUUUAGGAUAAAAUCUUUCAGCAAGGCUGUAAAUAUCUUCAAUUUUAAAUGAUUUAAAUGCAUCAAUAGGAUUUAAAGCUGAACUAAGAGUGAGGAGUUCCAAAGUCUGUUAAGCAAAUCUAUUAUUCAACUCCAUCAAUUGAAAAUCUAUCACAGCAUUAAAUAUAUCAUAAUGAUAAUAAUGCUCAACUGUAAUAUAAUUAUUCUGCUGACAAGAACAUCCUCUGCCUUUCAUAUGGCGAGCUUUCAUAUCAGGCAUAUCUAUCUCAUUCUUUUCAUAAAAUAGAACUACGUUCUCAAUAAAAGUUUUCCAACCAUUGUCUCGCAGCCUUUGAAGAAGUUUUUUCGUAGUUGAGACUAAGUGCACAACAUUUAGAAUAUCUUGAGAUUUAACUUGUAAUGCUUGACAAAGUAAAUCACUCACCCCCAAAACUUUAUUUAAUAAAUGCAAAAUGAACACAAAUUUAAAAGAUGUCAUUGAUUCACAUGCACCUUUAGCCUCUCCACAUAUACUAUUGUUAGGUCCACACUCGACCAACUUCUCAAGAACUUUACGAACAACACUAAACAAAUCAAGCAACCUACUGAUAGAAUGGAAAUGAGAGCUUCACCAAGUAGCUCCAGGCCGUUGCAAAGUAUGAAUUUGAUUGGCCCCUGUACCAGUUUGAACUUCUCCUGAAGCUAUCAAAUCUAUUAUUUCUGCUUCCCAAACAAAUUUUAACUCAGAAAGUCGUUUAGCAGAUGAAGUCAGAACAUUUACAAUUGAACCCAAUGCUGAAAAGAAAAGCCAUACAUCUGGCACAUCAUUAGAUGCUGCAACUAAAGCAAGUAGUUGAUGUGCAAAACAGUGUAUAUUAUAUGCAUAUGGGCAAUCUUUCAAAAAUAAUGCUUGUAAUCCAUUCCAUGCAUCCCGCAUGUUACUAGCACCAUCAUACCCUUGCCCUCGGAUAUUUUCAACUAAAAGAUCAUAUCGUGCAAGAACAUUACAUAUUUCUUUUUUCAAUGUUACUGUUGUAGUUUCCAUGACAUUGACAACUUCAAAAAAACGUUCUCGAAUAUACCCAUCACAAUCAACAUACCUUAAAAUAAUAGCCAUUUGCUCUUUAUCAGAUUCCUCAAGUGCUUCGUCUACUAAAAUACAAAACUUACCAUCUCCAAUUUCCUUGCUUAUCUUGUUUUCGCACUUUGUUUGCAAGAAUAUUUAAAAGCUCUUUUUGAAUGUCAGACGAUGUAUACUUAGCAUACGAUGGAGCAUUUUCCAAGACAACUUGAGCAAUUUCUUUACUACACUCCGCUGAAUGCUUUAUCAACUCUAUGAAAUUUCCCCGAUUUCUUGAAUCAACUGGUUCAUCAUGACCUCUAAAAGCACAUGCUUGCUCUGCUAACCAUUUAACUGCAAUAAUUGAGGUCUUCAAUCGUAGCCUAUUCUCCAAAAGUUGUUGUGAAGUUUGGGCAUUAAUUAAUCUAUCAAUGUGUUGAAUUGGGUUCCUCAAACAACCCCAACUCUGCAUAUUCUUAUUAUGAUGAGAAGAUGGACCUCCUUCAUGCUGUAAAAAGGGACAUUUUUUUCCAUUGUUGACUCUCUUCCAACUAGAAAAUCCUUCAAUAACAAAUUUUGGGUUGUUUGAUGGAAUUUCAUCAAAAAGAAAGCAUGGAAAACAAAAUGCACGAUCUUUUACCUCAGAGUACUCAAGCCAUGGAAAUUUUUUAAACCAGUGACAGUGAAACCUACGUUCUUGCAUGCCAUCAUUAGUUAGUGGAUAAUCUCGUAGUUUAGGCUGAUAAGGUCCCAUUUUGAUGUACUCCCUUCUAAUAUCAUCACAUUGAUUUACUGAAUACGUCCCUAUUUGAUGACGUAAUCCAGGAUCACGCUCCAGAUAAGUAUUUCUAGUUUCUUCAACUUCAACCCUUUGAAACUUGGAAGUAUGUUGCUCACUGGAAUCUUGAGCAUUAACUUGACAUGGAGAUAAAGACUUGGUGGAUGAUUGAUUUUCACCUACUCUCUUAAAAAAAGAAAGUAGAGUUUUUCUUGGUUUAUUUAACAUUGAAUUUGUAAUAAAAUACAUUAAAAAUUUAGUAUUUAUUUUAUAAAAAAUUUGACAAAAUCGCAAGUUAAAAGCUAAUUAAAAAAGUCAGCAUUCAAAUUAAUUAUUUUACUAUUUUAUUCACUCAUUCUUUCAUGCCAUCAUUAUUUUAUAAUUACAAGAAGAUGAAUCAACACCUUUCACAGUUCCACUUUAUAUGCUAUCAUCACCGUUUUUCACAUUCUAUUAUUUUAUAAUUUUAAAAAGAUGAAUCACAGUUCACAAAAUCAACAACUUCCAGUCUUCCACAAUUCCACUUCGUGUGCCAACCAUCAUUAUCAUAAAAUCAUAUUAUAUUCUGUAAACUAAAGUUUAAAAGGCAAAGUGCUUUGUACCAAGGGCCGCAUCAAGAGACUGGGCAUUCGGCGUCGGCUCGGCAGUGAGAGAUUCAACCUAUGGGUGCGGGCCUUGCGGCAGUGGUUCGGCGUCACUCAUGAGGCAGCGGCUGGGCGUCAAUUCGAGCGCAGGAGACUGGGUAUUCAGCAGCGGUAAGAGACUUGAGCAAUUGAAUUUUGGUAAAUUUCAAAUUCGGAUUUAGUUAGAUACUGGUGAGUUUUAUGAAUUGUGAUUUAGGGAAAUAAAAGAUUCCUAUAAUUAUUGGGUUUGUUUUUAUUUUUCUAUAAAUACUAAUAAAAGUAAAUUUAUAAAUUAUAAAUAUUUUUUUUUCAAAAAGCUUACCCAGGCUGCAGCCCGGGUUAGCCUUCCCUAAGCUUUGCUCUGCCUCCACAGUCAUUGUCUACUUCCCUUGAAUGUCUUCGGGAUGGUUGUUCCUUUAUGUGGUCACAUCAUGAUAACAAGCAAACUUACUCUAAUACCAGCUGGCGAUGAGGAAACAUUAAAAGGCUAUUAGAUAAUAGAAACUAGGUUUUUAAAUAAUAAGUUAUAUUGCGAAUAAUUUGAACAAACAAAAUUGGGGUAUUGAACCACUUUUAUAGAAGCAUAAAUAUUAGGAAUUUACCAAAAUAGGCAAAUCCAAAAUAUUAUAUGAUAAUAAAAUCCUUCUAAUCUAAAUAAGAAAAGGAAAACAAAUGGAACUCAAAUCCAAUAUCUAGAAAAAAAGGAUAAAAAUCCUAAAAGAAUCACGACAAAUUAAAAAAAUAUCUUAAAACUGAAAAACAACAAAGAAAGAAGUGAAAUUUUUUGCUCAACCGCAGGGCAUGAUAGCAUAGACUGUUCUGCAUUUGGUUCAACUUAUUGCAAGCUUUGAAACGAUAUAUUAUACAUUCAAAAUGGAACGGAUAUCUGUAUCCUAAGUUAUGACCUUCGGAAGAUACCCUACUCAUUCUAUGCAACCAUCCUACGUCAACUUGCCUUUGCUAUGUAUCUUCGAGCAACUUGAAUGGCUUGAAGAUUUGUGGUAAGCUUUUUCACUUCUUGUUGGAGAAUAGUCACAAACCUCACCUGUUGUUUCACUUAUUCAUAAGCAGCAAAGGAGUUCAGUUGCCCAAGAAGAAGGGAAGCGAUCGCAUCCGCCAUUCUGACAAGGAAAAGGAGAAAUAAUUUGAUAAGAUGUUAAGUGUGCUUUUGUUAAGAAAAUACCAAAUCAAAGGAGCAGUUGCAUUCUUCUUACAUUGCAUGAAAAAAGUUAAUAGUUAUCCUCCCCCACCCCACACAUCCAUAAUUUUACCAUCUUUAAUUUUUAUGAUUCUACUCCACAACUAUGGUACAUAAUUGUAAAUAUUCUAAAAUUAAUUUGUACUGGUCGGGCCAGUGCCAUGUAAAACAAAAACAAAAACUCAAAAGAAAAAAAAAAGAAGAAAACAAAAGUUGUAAAAAGCAUGCCUCACGGAUAAUUUACUUAUAGUUAAAUUUCGUCCCACACCCUUAUUAGAUUGAAAUACUUUAAUUUACCCUCCAAAAGUAUAAAAACUUCAUUUUACCUGCCAAAUGCCAUUAUUUUUAAUAGUUAACUAAUGUUGACUUGAAAAAUACGAGAAUGCCCCUGACCCUAACUAAUUAACAGUUCAUUGAGUUAACAAGAAUAAUUUUAUUUUGCCCCUUAAGGUCUAUUAUAUUUCAAGUUAGACUACAAAAAAAAUUAUUAAUAAAAACUCCCUAUAGAAAAAAAAAAGUAAAAAAACCAUUAAAAGAUUAAUUUAACUUUUACUUAUAUCUUAAUCUAUAAAACAAGUAUGAUAAUCACAAAUUUAUGUUAUGAUAUCACCACAAUGAAAAUUUAAAAAAUAAUUUUGACCCUUCUCUUGAAUUUAAAUAUCUUAGGAAUAUCAAUAUUUAAUUAAUUAGUUGACUUUUACCAUUCAAAAUACCAUUUUACCUUUCAAAGUAUCUAAAAGACAAAUUAACGCACAAAAUUUAUUGACAUUCCAUUAAUAAUGUAAUUUGACGGGUUAAAAAUUAAAAAAAUAUAUAAAAUUUAGAGAAAUUCAAAGACUGAAGCCUUAACCCCUACUUAUAAUCCCAAAUUUUUAUCAGUUUCUUUCUUAUUAAUAUCAUUUGCUAUAAUUUUAAUCUUAUUUUUUUUAAUAAUAAUUCUUUUUAUUGAAAGCCAUUUUAGUAUUUUUUUUCCCCAAACAUCAAACUAAGGGGUAAAAUAGUAAAAUAAUUCAUAAUUUAUAAUAUUUCAGUAUAUCCAAUAUAUAUCAUUUUCAUAGAAUAAUAUUUAUCAUUUUUUUAGUAUUCUUAGGAAUCUUGAAUAGUAACACCUUUUUUUUUUUGGUGUGGACCAUGAAGUAUUCUGGGGAGAGCCCCAACUGUGGAAGGCACCUUUAAGCCCGUACUACAACCCAGACUAACAAUCCCCGCUCAAACCGGGAGACACAGGUUCUCCCAACAAAUGCGACUUCCCUGCGACUAAUAGUAACUCCUUUUUAAUUUAUGAUUAAAAUGUUAAAAAACAAAAAAGUUAUAAUCUUUUAAAAUUUGAAACGAGUUAUUGCAAAAUAAUAAUAAUAAUAAUAAUAAUUUUAUUCCUUAGUUGAGCUUUGAAAUAUAAUAAAUUACCAACAAUGGCAUCCACUACAAUUUAUCCUUAAUUAAAAUUUAAAAUUGCAAUCCAUUUUUUUGUUUUCCAAAUUAUUUUUUCUUUUAUUCUUGGUCUUCUUUAGUUUCCUUAUUUCUUUGUCUUGUACUCUUUUUUUUUUUUUAACCUCUGUUCCAUAUUUGAGGCUUUAUCUUAAUUCUUUGCAUUAAUUCUAUCAAGACUAUCCUUGAUAAUUCUAUUACGGUACAACUCAAAUUUCUACCAUCACAUAAUAUUAGAGAUAUAUAUUAUAUUCUUAUUAAUCAGAAGAUAAUUUUACUCCUAUCCAGUUUAAUUAAGAGGAAAAUCGAGAGAAAUAUCUACUUUAUUCUUGUUAAUAAAGAAAUAAUUUUAUCCCUAUCUAAUUUAAUUGAAAAGAAAAUUGACAAUAACCUAUGCACUCAAGCCAACUUUAAGUGCUUGGAUGCAUGGGUUGUAAUGUUUUUUAUUUAAAGGCUCAGGCUAGAACCAACUAAUAUCAGCCGUGUGAUUUUAAUCACUCAAUCCAACCGUCACGAUUACACUCAGUGGAUAAACAUUCCACAUAGUCCACAAACAUGAAGAGUAAAGGAUUGAUUGCAUAUGUAUCCUCUCAAGUUCUCAAGAACUUUUUCUUUAAAACACACUUUUAAAGCUAAUCUGCAGAUCUCUCCGAAAACUUUUCCUCUUCUAACUCCUCAUCUCUUCCUCACCAAAUCUUCGGAGGCAAAAAUCUUUCUUGCCUUCUCCAGUGGAUUCUUGAUUUCUUUUUUUCUUUUUUUUUUUCGGUUGCACCCACCUCUUCCUUAUGAUUUGAGGAUGUGUGUCUUGUUCUGGCCUUCUUCACCUUAAGGUGGUUGUUCUAUUUCAAUUUUCUCCUCCUUUGGUUUUGAGGAUGGCUGCUAUGCGUCCAUUCAGAUCUUGAUCUGUGAUGGUAAUAAUGUACCAGUUAUAGUGAUAAUUUUGGUUUAAUUUCUAUUUUCCAGUACAUAACCCUUCAACAUCUCUGUCAAAUGCAAUGAACCGAUCACAACCAUUCAUAAUUAACCCAAAAAAAAAAAAAAAAAAACACAGAGAACAAUCACAACGACGAUUUGUUUUGAUCAUCCCUGCUUUUUCUUAGCAUAGCUCUUGGAAUGAAAAUUAAUAAAAAGUGUCAAAAGGGAAGCAUUAAACACAGCAUUGAAGCACCAACCCAAGAUCCCAGAGCAUCCAAAUCCCGCAAAAUGAUAAUACAGCAUCAAAACUGAAACAACAAAACUAAACACGAACUGAACAAUCUGACAGUCAGUGACCAAUCUCUUCCACUUUGGCCGCAACCCCAUCACACACAAUAGAUAGUACCCGUACAUGAUCACGUGCACACUUGCAUUGGUGACAAGUGCGAUAGGAAACAAAGACUGCUUCGUCUGUAACCAAAGGUAGCACAUUACGACGACGGUUGCGUGGUGGUAGACGUGGAGGAACGUGAGCCGUUCGAUGGAGUUUGACAAAAUGAUCAAAAGGGUGUCUAGGAAUUCGAGUAUUUUGGAGAGGUAGAAGAUGUAAGCGUAGAAGAAGAGGGGACCGGAGGGAGAGAUGGUGGGGGGGAAACAGAGGGUGUGACGGAGGUCGGGUGAAUGGAGGACGAUGGAGAGAGUGCAACCAACGGCCAUGACGAGGGAGAGGAGGAGGAGGGUGAGGUUAUGGACGGCUGUGAUGGGCUUGAGGAUGUGGGGUCCAAUGAGAGGUGAUGAUGAUGGUGAUGUUGGCGUUAAUUUGUGGUAGAGUAUGAAUGUGAGGGAGAGGUAAGUGAGGAUGGAGAGAAUGAGGAAGUGUGGGGAGGAAGCUGGGGUUUGGUUUUGAGUCCAUGUGAAGUUGAGGAUUUGGGGGUGGUUUACAAGCCAAUAUUGGAGUGUUGAGGUGAUUGAAUUUGAAGCCAUGGCUGGUUUUUUGGAGGAGGAAAGAUUUGGAAGAGAUGAUGUUGAGAGGAGUGGGGGAGUUUAGAAAGUUUGGGAUAAUGUGAGGGGUAUUUUGGGCAUAUAAUGUUGUCUGAGCUUAAAUUUUUGUUAAAAAGAAAUAAUAAUAAUAAUAAAUUCUUUUCUCAUGUCAAUUUAAAACUCCGAGUGUGUUUCCAACAAUUGCUUUUCUUUUUCUAUUUUGGGAUUUUGAAUCAUUUUUUUUUCAAUUCAAUAAUGGCCUCUUCAAUUAUAAAAUAUGGUCAAAGGGGAUGGGGUGUAGUGUCUAGGCCUCCGCGACAACGGCAUCUUUGAACGUGGGUUUCAUCAGUUUUUUUUUUUUUGGCUAUUUCUGCUCAAAUCAAACUUGUGGAUUUCGUGCACUCAACGUGGAACCCUUUUGAAUGGACGCAAUGGUUUUGGUGGGAUCACACAAUCCGAAGAAGCAUGGAACUGGGACCAAUUUGUUGACAAAAAUUUAGGCAUAAAAUUUACAAAUCGAAGUCAGAGUAAGAUUUAAGUAAAAUUGAGUAACAUCUUGCACAUCGAGUAAGGAUUUCUACAAUCGGGCUAGAAAGUGCAACUAAAAUUUGGUAAGAGUUUCAUAGAGCAUAAUUUUUAAGAUACAACGUUAAGAGUAUUUAGUAGACACUUAUAAUAUUACUUGAAUUGAUUUAAUCUCAUACUCUAAUAUAAAAAAUUUAAAAUAUACUCUUAUAAUAUUACUUGAAUUGAUUUAAUCUCAUACUCUAAUAUAAAAAAAUUUAAAAUUUCUUUACUAAUUUUAUUGAAAGUAUUAUUUGACAAUCCUAUUUAUUACAUAAUAUCAACGUUUAUAUUAUAAUUACCGCUAAUACUAAAAGCUGAUCUCGUAAUUAAAAGCUAAACAAAAACUCGAGUACAAUCUAGUAAUUAAAAGCGCUAUGGUUUUUUGGCAUUACAAGAUGAUUCAAACUUGAACUUGCCAUCAAAAGUGUAUCAAAACAAUCACAGAGACACUCUGUUUGACAAAUCUGCAGUAGAAUUUGCACAAUUUAACUGGGUUACAGAGAGUGAAUAAGAUUCCAAAGCAACAGGCCAUUAUUAUUAAGAAAACAAUUCAUCGCUAGAACAAAAUUAACUUUUCUAACUUACUAGAAUUUAACUGGAGAAAAAUUGGAAUAUACGAAGUUGUAUCACAUAUAGUAUUUAGACAUCAAGAAAAGAAUCCCUCUAUCAGUGAACUAUACUUGCCAGGAAACACGGUGAAAUACCACCACCUCCCUACUAGUUCUUAGAUGUCUCAAAAGAGUUUGAUGACGACUUCCGUGUUGUAUCUCUUCGACAGGCAGCAAAAUUGGGCUAUUGACUAGAUUAACUCCCCAGAAAUUUAUGCGGUCACCUUCUUCCGGACUAUCCUCUUUCUUCGCACUUUAGGAGCCCUUGCUUCCCCUUCAACAGAGUCGACAUUCCCUUGUUUGAUGCCAAGGAGCCCAAGCCCAGAGACAAUGGCAUUCUUUGAUAUCAACCACUUUGGGGACUUUUGAGUUGAGCCAUUGACAUCCUGAGACGGCCUGUUGUAAGCCUUCUUCAAAAGGUCAUCUGACUGAAGUAGCGGAUCCGCUUCCACUCCUAACCAAGCAAGCCUUGAUCUUUCUCCUAAUUGGACAUUAAGAACCCUGCAUGGAAUCCAUUUGAGAAGUUGAACAAUAGACAAAGUCCAACACAUAUAGGCAGUAAAGAAUAAUUUGGACAACAAUUACUGAUUGUUUACGCACAGGGCUGAACAAAUGGGAAUAUUAAGGCACAUAAAAAUUGGAACCAUAUUCACCACUUGUACUUCCUUAGAGAAUUAUCUCAGAGUUCUGUUAAUUUAAAACCAUUCUUACACAUUUAACUGUAAAACUAGAGAAAUUGUACUUCUGUAGCGAAGUCUCACUAUUGUUAAGGAUUUGGACUUGGAGAGAAUGCAAGUUGAUUAAGCAAAGAAAAAUUGAAAUAAUAAUUGGUGAUAGAUCUAACACACUUCAAUAGAAACCACACUAACAUCAUAUCAGGCAAAUAAACAGAUUCCCCAGUCAAAAGUUUAACAAACAAAACAUUAAAACAAUAGUAAUUUGGUCCGACCAGAAUAGUCUAUCAAUGUAUAUAGAGAUGUAGAUCAAUAAACAAAUACGUAAAAGAGAGAGAGGGAGAGACCUCAAAGCAGUGCUUAAGAACAGUGCUACUCCAAUAACAUCAAAAUGGUUGAUGACCGCUCUAUCAAAUCCACACAAUAGCUGGUAUCUCAUGUUUGCACAUAGUCCAAGGAAAGCACCAUAACCAAGCGCAUUAGUACUCACAGAUGGGAUUGUCACAGAUAACCUGUCAGACAUUAAAGGUGGCCCAAAUUUAACAAAUGUUAAACUAGCUUAGACAGUAAACAGAACAAUUUUCUAAGUUUUCUUUAUUUGUGAUGAAUAAGUGAACGAGGAAUGAAAAGGAAGUUUUACAACCAUGUUUACCUGUCCUUUUUACCAGCAAGAUAGUUUGACAAAGAGCCUUGCACUGCUCCUGCAGUUAAUCCCACCAUACACAACUCUGCAGCCUUGUAAAAAAGGGAAUGGAUUCUCUUUUGCAAGUCAAAUUCUCGAAAUGGGCAACUCCGUUCUAAUAUAUUGUUUGGGAACGACAAGGAGCAAACAUUUAUUAGCUUAAUAUAUAAAAUAAAAAUAAAAAGCAAGUUCCUUUGUUGUGAAAAGAAAAAUAAAAACACGCCUAUCCUUACGAUUCUCCAGCUCCCACCAAACAGUGCAACCAAUUAUGGGAGCCUGCUCUACCAGAAGUUUAUACAAAAAAGCUGGAUCUGCCAGCAUCCUGGGGCAACAGCAGUUAAUACAUAAGAAAUCUGAAAAGAGGCCCAACAUUUUACAACCAAUCAAAAAUCACUGAACCAUUGGAAAGUGAUUUACGUAUAAUUUUUUUUCCAAACUUUGUCCAAAAUGAUAGAAUGAGAGAGGAUGAGAUAGGAUGACACAAGAAACAAAUGUAAAUUGACCGUGUUGGAGAAAAAUCAGUUUUUUAUACAAACUUUUAGGGCCGAUCUCAUACAAUAUAUAGGAAUACGGAAUCUAGAAAUCGUACCUUGAAAAUCUGAGAAGAUGAACAAUCUUUGCUUUUUCCGCUGAAGUGAUUUAGGCUCUCAGAUCACGAUCUGUUACCACCACUCCUGUUAGAUCACGAUCCGUCACCACCACGCCUAUUAGAUCACGAUCCAUCACCACUGAUCUUAUAGACUAUGACUCAGGUUUGAUCCGCACUUGACGUGUGGACGCCUUUAUCACCACUAUAAGCAACUAGAGAGAAAAAUUUUCUCUCAAAAUUAGAGAGAAAAAGUCUUUUUCUCUAAUAUGUAUAAUGUGGCUGCUCUGUCUCUUUUGGGAGAAAAUAAACCUUUUUAUAUCUCUAUUUAGUGGAAACCCUAUGCUCCAUAUUUAUUUAUUUAUUAAUUCUAUUAAAUCCCAUUUGAUUUAAAUUAAAAAAUAAUUAAAACAAAAGUGACGUUACUUGUUUUUGUGUUCUAGGGGCCCGCCUUGUAAAAUAACACAAGGCCCCUUACACACAGGCAUAUUACACUCCCACUAAAUAAUUUAUUUAGGCUUUUAACUCAAAUAGCUAGUUAUCUUGCUUAUUAAUCCAGUAGCAGCGUGGUCAAUUAAACAAGCUAACCCGGGGAUUAUAUGGGUACAUACAAUAGUGGCUACAAUAAUUAGACCUGUAAUUAAACUAGUCCAAUUAUUUAAUUCCAAAUCUACUCCACUAAAAUAUUGGAAUUGACCUCCAUAAUUGUAUGCUAUCUAGGAUAGUGUACUCGAAUAAUAAUUCGACCUAUGCCACAUUGAUUUCUUUACUGCAUAAUCAUUUGUACCACAUCAUUAAUUAAAUCAAUAUCUCAACUGUCCAAUCGAUUUAAUUACAUCUUGUUCCUUGAUACUUACUGGUUUUCUCUAAUGAUCAUUUUCAAACAUACUAAAUAUGUUGACACACUCUGGCCAGAGAAUUCUAUGAUCAAGUGCCGAAAACCCAUCAAGAAUUCUAUAUUGUUAAUUUAUAACUUCAAUACUCAUAAUUACUCCCACCAAGAUACCGGGUAAUCUUAACCACAAGUGUGUGUCGUGCCCAUUGGUAACUCAAAUGGAAUAACAAUUACAAUCAUGAAAUCAUAACUAACUCAAGAUUAAGAUUACAGUAAAAUCAAUGCCUAUGAGAUUUAAUAAGUCUGACAGUCAUUUCAAGGUUAAUUAAAUCUCAUAUGUGAUCCAGCUCAAUGUAGUCAAACUACGUCAGUAAAUUCAUAUAUGAUUAAGACAAGCCAUUCAAUGAAUUUACUACAGUCUAAACAUAAAUAGAACACCCAACUCUAUUUAUCAACUGCGAACUAAAUUUAUUUAAUCAUAAGAUAACUUGUAUUUAUGUCUUCUGUGAAUCCAUAUGAUGAUCACAUAAAUACAUAUAAUAUGAUUAAACAGACCUUAUUCGAUAUAUAUUUAUGCAAUUGAAAAUAUCUUAAAUAUUUUAUUAAUCAAAAAAUAAAUUAAUAUACUUUAAAAGAGCAUAUAAUCCCAACAGACAGCAAGUAGAAAUAUACUUCUGUUAUAUUUGCAACAUCUUCUAGUGUCAAUUUCUUUUCCUUGAGCUCUGUUUCUGCGUGUGCUCAAAUGCAACGCGCAUGACACAAGAUAUAAUUAUCAACAUGAAUUUUUGCCGCCACAUGCAGCACUUGGAAAACUGUUUAUGGUCAUACAGAACUGGAAAAUAAAAAAUCAUUAACAGCGAGAGAAAUCAUUUUAAUCGCAACCAAACAUACACACUAUGAAAAUCUAAAAUUGAAUUUCUCCCAAUGAAUGUGCCUCUUCACAGCAAUUUCACAAGCUAAUCCCAGCAGCCUGCGUCAUGGAGUUUCUCCCAAUGCGUGAGCGAGCCUUGAAUAGUGGCUCAAACUAAAAUGAACUUAUUGUGGACAUUUGAAUUAAAAAUACAUGUAAAAGCAGUUUUCUCAAAGCAAGGUCAAGAUAAGAGAUUAACUUUGCUCCUUAUUUACAUUAAAAAUAACAAACAAUGAAAAACAGAGCUAGAGACGAACUUACCUGUGUGCUGAGACAGAGCUAGAGGGGAAUAUGGGAUAUCUUCUUAGAUUUGGUUUGAGAAACUCCAUCUUCUUCUGAAAGUUCUGAUAGUUCCCUUAACCCAGGCCAAUACAAUUGCAACAGAAACUGCAUGCUUUAAGCAGCAUCUGAUCAUCUCUUGUUAUUUCAAGACAAUAAUAACUUAAUUGCAACACUGUGUGCUUCAACCAUUAACCUUUUCAAUUUCAACACUUCUUUUGUCCCCCGCCCGAUGCCCUUUUAACAAUUCUAUGAAUCAGAUAAAUCAGCCUUCUUCACAAAACUAUGACAAACUUUUCACGGUGUUCCACACAUUCCGGGAUCCGUAUUGAUAACAAACAUUUGAUGAAGACCCUGCCAAUUAAAAUUUAGGUCACAUGUAACAUAAUUUCUUAUUUUUCUUUUGUACACAAAUGCAGACACUUAAGCAAAUUAAGAUUUCAUACCUAAAGCAAAUUAGGAUUCUUUUGACCCUGCAAGUUACAAUUUCACUCCCCAUGUAAUAGUAAAAAUUUGUACACAUAUUUAUAGCAAAUUAAUAUUUCAUACCUCACAAUAUUUAUCAUAACCAUCAAUCUUUAGAAACCACAUGCAGACUUGUUAAACUGUUUAUGGCGCAAAAUAACAGGGAAAUUAGAACAGAUUUUUAAGAAUGAGCGACUAAAUAUUUCAAUGGCAACUAAAAUUACACAUCUUGGAAAUCUGAAACUCAAGUACUCAGAAUGAAUGUGCCUCUUCACAACAAUUAAACAAGCUGGGAACUUUAGUGCAAAUGCUUUUUCAUAAUCUUCAAUUGCAUAAGUCAGUUAGAAUCAAUCUUUCUUAAUCUUUCAAUUCACAUAUGACAGCCUGAUAACACAAGGAAACACUAUUAGUGAAUUGUCAACUGCGACAAAUUUUGGGUAAAAAAUAUCAACUGUAGUUAUCUGCAUAACAUAUAGUGUCAACACCAAAUUCCUUCUUGAUCCGUGGAAGCAUUUCAGCCCACAGACGGUUUGCUUUGUCAAUAUAUAUCAAGCUUUGUAGCUUUUAAGAAAUUGCAGGUGAAAGACUUGGAAUUUUCGAUAGCAACUCAGGAUUCUAUAUUUAAACGAUGGUGUUUGAUGACUUGCUGAUACAAAAGACAUUGCCCCAAGCACUUUUUUACAGGAGCUAAAAUCAAGCCAGUCACUUCCAUUUGUUGCAGUUUUAAUGCAGAAAGAAAAAAAGGGGGGGGGGGAAUCUGCAAGAUAACACUUGUAGUACCGCAUGUUCGCAGAAGCAGAGUUAAAUAUGCUUAAUUUCUCACUCACUCCAAGAACUUUCAUUCUCCCAUAAUUCACUCAAAUGAAACUUUCAUUGGAAGGUCCAAUUAUUAAGGAUUUAGCAUCACUUCAUAUGCUCAACAAUUCAAAUUUAAGGAUGUUAUUUCACAAAAUGGAGGACUCUAUUUGGCUUGUGAACAAUCUUCCUCACCAUCAUCAUCAUUGUCGUACCAGUUGCACUGAACAAUCCUCAUUCUGACAUUUGCCCCAAUUAUCUGAUUACACAAGAAUCCGAAACAACUGUUAGAAAUUUUAAUCUUGAUAUAUAGCCAAAAUGGUGAAUAAGAUGAUGUACUUGAUAAUAAAAACUUGAUUUAAUAAAUAAUUAAGGGGCCGAUAACAAGCACAGAAUCUCAUCGUGUGGGGAAAGCCUUGACAACAGAAGAUGGUGCUUUCAUUCAAGCCGAUAACAAGCCACUAUAUAUGCAGUUAUCAUCUUCAAUUUGCUCAUCUUUGUCUACAGUAUUGCUUCUGCGUUAACUUAAUUAGCGUGCAAGCCACCUGAAAAUGGUUUUAAAUACUGAGAAAAAGUUUGAAUUCGAACAAGUUAAUCAAAUAUGAUGACAGAAAACACAAAAGUAAAAUAACCAAAAGAAGUAGAAAUAUACUUUUGUUAGAUUUAGAGCAUAAUUCUUCUGUCAAGUUCAUUUCCAUUAGCCUUGUUUCUGUGAGUGCUCAAAUGCAAUUCCUCAACGCUCAAGAUAGUUUCCGCGGACCUGAAAAACUAGUUGUGGCCAUAAGGAACUUCAAAAUUAGAAAAGAUUCAGAAUGAGUGACUAAAUAUUUUAAUCAAAACUAUUUAAACAUACACUAAUAUACCUCUACGCAACCAAGGAUGUAUCGGAUUAAACUUGCACUCUUCGAGUGAGUGUUGACUCCAAAAAUAGAAAGAUCAGAGAUGAAUAUUAAGAAUGGAAAGACAGGUUGUGAAAGAGAGAAGAGCCAAGAGAAAUAGAAAGAGAUAUUUUAUUUCUUCAUACCCCACACGAAUUCGUUCUGCUCUACAUAUAUUCCUCUGUCUAAGACGUUAGCAAAAAUAUUACAGCUCAACAACUUCUAACAGAAAAUAUGACAAUAAAAACAAACCAGCAAUCAUAAGGUACUAGCAAUUUCAUUACACGACAUAAUCCUUAAACCACCCAAGGGCUCUUCUAACUCGUUUGCUUGCGUACCGUUCCUCAUGAGCUAAUUCUUCCUCAACCUGUGAUGUGGCUUCCUUCAUGGGCUGUUCAUAAUUGGACUCGUUGUUGGGCUGCCAUUCUUGUAAGUAAUCUGGUUGAUCCGAAUGAAUGUGGAAGGUUGUAUCAUUCCCUCCAUCUUCAAAACUCACCUUGUCCUCAAGGUGAAAAUCGGGAUAAAGUUUACAGAAUGUUUCAAACUCUUCCCAAGUAGAAUUCUCAGGGGAAUUGUCUUGCCACUGGACCAGAACUUGACAGCAUUGCUUUCCUUGGUUAAGCACGGUUCGAAUAGCACAAACUGGAGCAGGUAAAUAUAAUGGCUAAUUAUGCAUACUUGUUGAUGGCAAGGAAUGGGAAGCAGGGUUUUGAGAAUCAAGGAAGGGUUUGAGAAGUGAAAUAUGAAACACUAGGUGGAUCUUAGAACCCCUGGGCAAGUCAAGUUUAUAAGCUCCUGGACCAACUCGAGCUAGCUCAUGGAAAGGGCCAUAAUACCGUUUAGCUAGCUUUUGACAAGAACGAGUUGCCACUGUAUUUUGGCAGUAUGGCUGAAGCUUCACUAGAACUUGGUCCCCAACAGCAAACUGAGCUUCAUGUCUAUGAGCAUUAGCUUUUUGAAUCAUGCGAUGUUGAGCUUGGCGUAAAUUCUCUUUCAAAGAACGGAGUAAUGCAUCCCGUUCACUUAAUGCUUCAUCAAGAGCUUGGAUUGAAGUAGAGCCCUUUGAGUAAGGAGGGAUGGAAGGAGGUGGUCGCCCAAAAAGAGCCUGAAAGGGAGACAUCUUGAUGCUGCUGUGAUAGGAAGAAUUGUAAGAAAAUUCAGCCCACCCAAGUAGAGAUGCCCAUGAGCUUGGUUUUUCUUGAGUGAAAGCGCGAAGAUACUGCUCCAAGCCACGAUUGACUACCUCCGAUUGCCCAUUUGUUUGUGGGUGAUAGGCUGUACUGUGACGAAGGGUAGUGCCACUUAACUCAAAUAACUUCUUCUGAAAAUUGCUUAAGAACAUAGGGUCGCGAUCAGAAAUAAUAGAGGUAGGAAACCCAUGAAUUUUUAUAACCAUAUCCAUGAAUAAUUCGGCUGUCUUUACAGCAGUAAAUUAAGUGGGAAGGGAUCCGAAGUGUGCCGAUUUAGUAAGGCGAUCAACAACUACCAAUAUCACUGAAAAACCUCGCGAAACGGGAAGGCCAGUAAUGAAGUCCAUAGUGAGUUCGUCCCAAACUAAAGUAGGGAUAAGAAGAGGUUGCAGUGGACCCGCUGGUGCUUGAGUAGAGUAUUUGGUCUGUUGACACACAAGACAUUCGGCUACAAACCGCUCAACAUCCAUACACAUUUUAGGCUAGAAAAAAGUAAAUGCUAAGCGGACCAGCGUGCGUUUGAUGCCUACAUGCCCCGCAAGUGGAGUAGAGUGGAAUUCAGCCAAUAGAACUUCUUUCAAAGAUGAUGAUGAGUUGAUAUAAUAGCAAUUGCGGUAAAAAAGAAAUCCAUUAUAUAGCGAAUAAUCCCUUGAAAGAGUUCCCGCAGCAAAUUGUUGAUGAAGGGCAAUCAUAUCCGAGAGAGUGGAAUUUUCUAAGUUUAGAGUUGCUAACAACUCAAACAAAGGACGACUAAGAAGAGGCAAACAAGAAGCAGUCACGGUUGAUGUGUCCGCACCAGCUUCCUCAUGAACUCGUGAUAAAGCAUCGGCUGCAAGAUUGGUACAGCCCGGUUUAUAUUCAAUGCGGAAGUGAUAGCCUAAUAAUUUUCUGAUGUAGAUUUGCUGAUCUGGAGUUUGAACUACCUGCUGUAGAAGUUCUUUAAUGCUUUUAUGGUCAGUUCGGAUGACAAAAAAUCUGCCCAAUAAGUAUUGUCGCCACUUGUGCACUGCCUCAACAAUAGCAGUUAAUUCCUUGAUGUAGGUAGAAGAAGCACGAAGUCGAGGGCCUAAUUUCUUAUUGAAGUAAGAUAUGGGGUGCCCGGAUUGCAUAAGCACAGCCCCUAUACCCACAUUAGAUGCAUCAGUUUCAAGGAUAAAGUCAGCAUCAAAAUCUGGUAGCCGUAGCACAGGGGCUUCCACCAUUGCCUUCUUAAGAGCGUCAAACGCUUCAGCUGCUGUUUGUGUCCACUGGAAGGCAUCUUUACAAAGUAAAUCAGUAAGGGGGGCUGCUAAAGACGCAUAUCCAUGAAUAAAUCACCGGUAAUAACCCGUUAAACCCAAAAAACCUCGAAGUUGUUUUGUAGUCUGAGGAGUCUGCCAAUAAACCAUAGCUUCAAUUUUCUAAGGGUCUGCCCGCACACCAGAGGCCGAAACAAUGUGGCCCAAGUAAUCAAUCUUUUCUUGGCAAAACAAGCAUUUGGAGAGCUUGACAAAGAACUGGUGAAAAUGAAGGCACACCAAUACUUGUUGAAGAUGCCACAACUGGUCCUCUGCUGUAGCACUGUAAACCAAAAUGUCAUAAAAAAAAACAAUCACGAAUUUACACAAAAAAGAAGCGAAAAUCUAGUUCAUAGUAGCUUGGAAGGUAGAAGGUGCGUUUGUUAAACCAAAUGGCAUGACAAGGAACUCGUAGUGGCCCUCAUGAGUGCGAAAGGCCGUUUUAUAAAUGUCGCGGUGGUGCACGUGAAUUUGAUGGUAACCAGCCUGUAAAUCCAACUUGCUGAAAACUGCUGCCCCGCCUAACUCAUCAAAUAAUUCGUCGAUAGUCGAAAUGGGAAAUUUAUCUUUGAUUGUCACGGCAUUUAAAGCUCUGUAAUCAACACAGAAGUGAUAAGUUCCAUCUUUUUUUUUAACCAACAAGACCGGUGGCGAAAAUGGACUAUGACUCGCUUGAAUGAUGCCUUGUUCUAACAUUUAACGGACAAGUUUUUCCAUCUCAUUUUUUUUUUGGAAAUAAGGGUAGCGAUAAGCGUGGACAUUUAUUGGAGUGGUAUUUGGGAGGAGAUGGAUUUUAUGAUCAAUUGUGCGAUGCGGCGGCAGUGUAGUAGGUGGAAAAAAUAAGUUGCGGUAGCUGUGUAGGAGGUCGAUGAAGGGUUAAGUUAAAUUUGCACGUAAUUCGAAGGAAGAACUCUCUGGAUUACUUGCCGAUUCCUCCCCAAAUGCAGGUACCUAUUGCAGAGCAAACACGCUAUAAAUAUCCGCAUGGUGGACUAAAGAUUGCAACUGAUUAAAGGUGAUUAGGGAGGGAGUAGUGGCUAAAUCGCCUCGAAGAGUCACUGGUGCCCCAUUCCAACAAAAUUCCAUAGAUAGGGCAGAGUAAUCAUGCGAGACACGGCCCAAGAGUUGCAGCCAUUGGAUUCCCAGCACCACAUCAGGCCCUUCAAUUGGCAGAACAAAGAGAUCUAAGGUGAACACAGUCCCCUGCAACGUGAGAGCAACUUGAGGGCAAAAGUAUUUGCACACCAAAAAAUCCCCAUUGCCAAUAUAAACACGGAAGGGUGCUGUUGGUUGUAUCGGUAAGCCCAUACUCUCUGCCAUUGUUAGUUUGAUAAAGUUAUGGGUACUCCCACUAUCGAUCAACACUUGAAAACUGUGAGAACCAACUUCACCAAUCAAAUGGAGUGAGCAGGGAUUGAUCUGACCCGCCAAAGCAUUCAAACUGGAAAUAUCCCCUGUUAUGACCUCUUCAACCGACUCUGGUGGCAACUCUUGCUCAAAAGAAGUAGGUUCAUUAUCAUCCGUACCUAUAAGGAGCAAAAAGUUACUGCGACAGUGAUGAUUAGCGCUAUAUUUCUGAUCACAGUUAUAACACAAGCCUUUUUCACGCUUGUCACGGAGCUCCGCUGGAGUGAGGCGACGAAUUGGUAAGUUGGGUGUGGGAAGAAAUGGUGGUAACGUGUUUAGUUUAGGGGGUGGAGGAGUAUUUUGUGAAUGAGAUGGUACGUGGACCAUACCAACUGAAUGAUUCGGUUGUGUUGAAGCAAGAGGAUACAGUUGAGGCUGAAAUUUGUGUGACGGGGAGUUUGUGGUAGGUGUGGGUGCUGUGUUGUUCCAUUUUGUCAAAAAGCGGUGUCCUUGUUUGGCCUCUUUAGCACGUGCUUCAUAGGCCCGAGCUAAUGCAAAUGCUUCAAUCAGAGAAGAGGGCCGAGCAAAAAGCAACUCACGACGAAUAUUGGGUUUCAAUCCCGUGAUAAAAAAACUUAUCAGAAGUGGCUCGGAGAUUCUAGUCACUCGAUUCAUUAAAUCUUCAAAGGCGGUCUGAAAUUCAGUCACCGUUGUAGUUUGGGAUAACUUGGAUAAAUUUCCUUGAGGAUCUUCAUAGAGAGAGGCACUAAAACGAUGUUUAAGAUUCUGUAAAAAUGCUUUCCAGGUUGUAAGCAAAUUAUUCAUCUUCAUUCAUUGAUACCACGCUGCUGCUCAUCCUUCCAUAUGAAAAGAAACAAUCCACAAUUGAAGAGUUUCUGGUGUACCAUGAAAAUCAAAGAACUCCUCAAUUCGGAAAACCCACCCGUUUGGGUCAGAUCCAUCAAACUUAGGAACCUCCAUCUUCAUAGAACGGAGCACUGGGGAUAUCUCAACACCACUGGAAUUUGCCUCAGUAGAAGAAGAUAUUGGGUGUGGUUGAUUAGGAGCUCGACCCGUGUUAUUUGAAGACCCCUGGAUCUGUGAACGCAAAUCGUCAAGGCGAGAAUCUACUGUUGCCAUAUAUUGUUGCAGCGUUUGAUGCAACGACAAUGUUUGGCUCUCGAACUAUUCUUGAAUUGUUUUUAACAGUUCAGAGUCCGUCAUGAUGAUAGCAAUGAACAAUGAAAGCACCAAUGAUACACCUCUACGCAACUAAGGAUCUAUCGGAUUAAACUUGCACUCUUCGAGUGAGUGUUGACUCCAAAAAUAUAAAGAUCAGAGAUAAAUAUUAAGAAUGGAAAGACAGGUUGUGAAAGAGAGAAGAGCCAAGAGAAAUAGAAAGAGAUAUUUUAUUUCUUCAUACCCCACACGAAUUCGUUUUGCUCUACAUAUAUUCCUCUAUCUAAGACGUUAGCAAAAAUAUUACAGCUCAGCAACUUCUAACAGAAAAUAUGACAACAAAAACAAACCAGCAAUCAUAAGGUACUAGCAAUUUCAUUACACGACAUAAUCCUUAAACCACCCAGGGGCUCUUCUAACUCGUGUGCUUGCGUACCGUUCCUCAUGAGCUGAUUCUUCCUCAACCUAUGAUGUGGCUUUCUUCAUGGGCUGUUCAUAAUUGGACUCUGUUAGAGUGCAAUUUAUGCACUAGUUUUGCAUUGUUUACUUCCCUUAAUAUCGAUGUUUUGCACUUAAUAAUAAUGAUUUACUUGUGUUUUACUUUUGUAGGUGCAAUUCUAUUGAUUCGUGAUAAAAUUGAGUUAUAAGAUGAUGUUUAAAGAUGAUUGUUCUCUUGGAGAAAUUAAGAGAGUCAGAAGAACUUUAUUGAUAAGGCAUGGGCGCGUGCUAUCAACUGCGGACCUGCGGCUUUUAGUUUAACGUGUUUUGUAUUUUUGGCUAUUUUUGUAAUUACGAAUUUAAUAUUUAAGAUAUUAGUAUUUUAUUUUAAAUAGAACUCUAAAAGAGAAGAGAGAGAGAGAUUUUAAGGAGGAAUCUAUUGUGAAAGAGGGGGAUUUUUGGAUUGGAGAAAAAGAAACCCUAGAUCUAAUUUUUCUCUUCUCUCUAUGAGGAACUAAACCCAUUUUUCUGGUUGAAGGUUAAUGAAGCUUUGAUUCAUCACUACUGUGAGAUCUUUCUUGUGCUUUAAUUGUUUUAUUACUUUUUGGGUAUUUGUUUAUUCUCUAAAUUAUUUUCAUGAUUAUGUUUGUUAAUUAGGUAAUUGGCCACUAUUUAAUUAUCAACUUAAUCUAUUGUCAAUUAAAGGAUUCAUCGUAUGAAGAAUUUGAUGUUUGUGACAAAUAACAUAGCAGAGAGUUGUGUUGUGAGAAUAAACAAUCUAAUUUAAAUGAAUCAUCAUAUGUGUUGAUUAGGAUUUGGGUCUCUCUGGUUUCUUAGGCUGUCAAUUGAUUAAAUUCUAUGAUCGUAUCUAGGGUUGUCUAUUGAUUAGGGAAAUAACCAACGGUCGUACCUUGGUUAUCGACUAGUUAAGGAGAGAUUGGCUAUUAGAGGGUCUCAGUAGCUAUAACCGAUCUAUUCAUAAGUAAUAAUAAUAAUCUAUAUUUGAAUCAAUGAUCAGUAGUCGAAUCAAGCUGAGUUAAUUCCUUCAACCAGAGCUUUCUCCAAUUUGAAUUACAACUUUAAUUUGCAUUCUUGUUUAUUUCAAUUUGAUUUUUAUUAUUGUCAACAAUUCCCCCAUUUUACGUUUUAUGUUUCAAAAGGAUUUAAAUAAUUACCGAUCUCUGUGGACACGACCCUGCUCAAUCACUAUACACAAUUUAUUUAGAGUAUGAAUUUAUUUUUGUUGGCUUCGACAUCCAUCAGACUCGUUGUUGGGCUGCCCUUCUUGUAAGUAAUCUAGUUGAUCCGACUGAAUGUGGAAGGUUGUAUCAUACACGCCCUGAAAAUCUGAAACUGAAUUACUCAAAUGAAUAUGCCUCUUCACAGCAAUUGGUUGAAACUUUACUGCAAAGACUUUUUGAAACCCUUGAAGAUGAUACUCUACCUGAUAACACAAGGAAACACAAUCAAUAUAAGAAGAUGAUUUUACGAAAAAAUGAAAGCUUGCCGUUAUUGGCAGAGCUCUACUCAAAUUUAAUGAGAUAUCUCUUAGGAGGGAGAGCUCUAAUAAUAUAUAAAGCCAAAAAUCUGAAAAUGUCUAACACUCAUCAAAUUGGCUUGUGAAGAAUUAAUCUUCCUUGCCAUCAUACAUGCCAGGUGUGGUGAACAAUCUUCAUUCUGACAUUUGCUUUAAUAAGCUGCUUAGUAUCCUUAACUUGAUAACUUACACAAACAAAAACUGUGAAAAUAGGUAGAGAAAAAGGUUAUGGAAUAAUUCUCUAUUUCAUAUCUUCAUGAGACUGUACGCAGAAUAUUACACACUGAUUUCUAGGAAGCAAUAACUUUAUAUUUACACCAAAUAUACACCUAAAUAUAUAAGGAAAACCAAAUCAAUUUGAUUGGGUCAACCUUUCAACACUCCCCCUCAAGCUGGUCUAAAAAUGUCUUUCAUGGCCAGCUUGCAAACCAAUUUCUCAAAAUGUUUCUUAGGUAGUCCCUUGGUGAAUAUAUCAGCAAUCUGCUCAUUUGUAGGAAUAUAGGGCAUGCAGACCAAACCACUGUCUAGUUUUUCUUUUAUGAAGUGUUUGUCCACUUCAACAUGUUUAGUUCGGUCGUGGAGUACUGGAUUAUGUGCUAUUGCAAUGGUAGAUUUGUUGUCACAAUAUACUUUCAUAGGUAGUGAAUUACUUGCCUUAAGUUCUUCAAGAAUUUUUUUGAUCCAAAAACCUCACAAAUUCCUAGAGCUACUGCUCUAUAUUCUGCCUCUACACUACUUUUUGCUACCACAGUUUGUUUCUUGCUGCGCCAAGUGACCAAAUUUCCUCCAACAAAGGUGCAGUAACCAGAAGUGGAUCUUCUAUCGGUUACACUACCAGCCCAGUCAGCAUCAGUGUAGACUUCUACUUGUAGGUGCCCGUUUUUUCUGAACAAAAGACCUUUACCCGGAGAUCCUUUUAAGUAUCUAAGGAUUCUAUAUACAGUUUCAAAGUGUUCUGGUCUUGGAGCAUGCAUAAACUGGCUGACUAAGCUCACUGCAAAGGCUAUGUCCGGGCGUGUAUGUGAAAGGUAGAUUAAUCUACCUACAAGGCGUUGGUACCGAUCUAUGUUGGUCACAUCUUCAAUUUUAGCUGGCUGUAAUUUCGUAUUAGGAUCUAUGGGUGUCUCGGCUGCUUUACAUCCGAGUAGACUUGUCUCUUCAAGCAAAUCAAGAACAUACUUGCGUUGAGACAUAACAAUCCCAUCUUUUGAUCUAGCAAACUCCAUGCCCAAAAAAUACUUCAGGUUGCCUAAGUCUUUGAUUUCAAAGUCACGUGCAAGCACUUUCUUUAAUCUGCAAAUCUCAACUAAGUCAUCACCAGCCAAAAUUAUAUCAUCUACAUAUACAAUUAACACGGCUAAUUUCCCUUCAAUAGAAUGUUUGUAAAACAUUGUAUCAUCUGCCUGACUUUGGGAGUAGUCGUGUCCCUUUAUAACAUUACCAAAGCGUUCAAACCAUGCUCUAGGAGACUAUUUAAGCCCAUACAAAGACUUAUGUAGUUUACACACUUUAUUGCUGCCGUGAUUUCCCUCAAAACCUGGUGGUAAAUCCAUAAAGACUUCUUCUUCUAGCUUCCCAUUCAGAAAAGCAUUUUUAACAUCUAACUGGUAUAGAUUCCAAUCAGAAUGUACAUCCAAUGAGAUAAGGACCCGGAUGGAAUUUAUCUUUGCAACGGGGACAAAGGUUUCUUGAUAAUCAAUUCCAUAGGUUUGAGUGAACCCUUUUGCUACAAGCCUUGCCUUAUAUCUCUCAACACUCCCAUCAGCAUUACAUUUAAGUGUAAACACCCACUUACAACCCACAGUUUUCUUUUCUUUUGGUAAAUCCACAAUCUCCCACGUACCAUUCUUCUUUAGAGCAUUCAUUUCCUCUAAAACUGCUAACUUCCAAUCUGGGUGGUCUAGGGCUUCUUUUAUGGUUUUAGGAAUUGGUAUCUGAGAGAUUUUUGUGGUAAAGGCUCUUUGUUUAUUGGACAACUUUUCAUAGGAAACAUAUCUAGCAAUGGGGUGCUUAGUACAGGUUUGGGUUCUUUUCCUAUGUGUUAUAGGUAAGUCAAGAUCAGGAAAAAAAGUGCUGGAAUGUUUAGGAGAAGAAAUGUUACCUGAAUUUUCUGAGGAAUCAGUGCUUGGAGGCGACGAUUGAGGCUGUACCAAGUUUAUGAGAGGGUCUUUACUGCUGUGAUGAUACUUUCGAGUAUAAACACGAAGCUCUGGUGGUGGAAUUUUAUCUUGUAGUAUUUCUCCCCCUGUCUCGGGUACAUUAACACUUGGUUCCUGUAGUUCAAGGUUUCCUAGGUUUUCAUUAUUAGAAAUAUCAGUUUUUUGAGUUUGAGUUGAAGUGCCCAGAUCAGGUAAAAACAUAUUAGGCAUAGGUGUAGAAGUAUGCCAAAAAUGAUCUUCACUAUUUUCUUUCUCCCCCUGAAGAGAAUUUGGGCCAAAAAAAGGUUGAUUUUCAAGAAAUAUAACAUCCAUACUGACAUGGAAUUUCUUUGUUUAAGGAUUGAAACAUUUGUAACCUUUUUUAUUAGGAGCAUAGCCCAAGAAAACACAUUUUUCAGAUCUAGGAUCCAAUUUAGAUCUAAGAUGGUUAGGAACAUGAACAAAUACAGUGCACCCAAAGACUUUUAACUGAAUAUUGGAGGUAAUCCUACUAGAAGGAUAUAUAAGUGUGAAGUAUUCUAAAGGUGAUUGAUACUUUAAAACACGGGUAGGCAUCCUAUUAAUCAAAUAACAUGCUGUUAAAACAACAUCACCCCACAAAUAUUUAGGAACAUGCAUAGAGAGCAUGAUAGCCUGACUAACUUCAAGUAAAUGGCGGUUUUUUCGUUCCGCAAUUCCAUUUUGUUGUGGAGUAUCACGACAAGUGGAUGUGUGAAUUAUACCCUUUUCCUUACAAAACACCUCUAGAUAAUUAUUAAAAUAUUCAGUACCAUUAUCUGUAUAGAGUAGGCUUAUUUUUGUUUGAAAUUGAUUUUCAACCAUGUUAUAAAAAUCUUUGAAUAACCCCUCAACUUCAGAUUUUUCUCUCAUUAAAUAAACCCAACAAAGCCGAGUAUGAUCAUCUAUGAAUGUUACAAACCAUUUUUUUUCCAAUUAAAGUGUUGAUUUUUGAGGGUCCCCAAACAUCACUAUGAAUUAAAUAAAAAGGUUUUGAGGCACGAUAAGUAAGUGCUUUAUAUGAAACUCGAUGACUUUUAGAUAAAAAACAACUUUCACACUGAAAAGUAGUACAAUCAACAUUUUUAAAUAAAUCUGGAAACAAAUAUUUCAAAUAAGGAAAGCUAGGGUGUCCUAGUCUAAGGUGCCAAAGCAUUAUUUGAUCCCUAGCAGAGUUUGAACUAAUACUACUGCUCAAACCUUGAGCUUGUUUAUUCAUUGAUAAGUAGUCAUCAAAAUAGUAAAGACCUUCUCGCAAACUAGCACUGCCAAUCAUCGUCCCCAAGUCCCUGUCCUGAAAUUCACAAUAGGAGUAAAAAAAGACAGCACAACAAUUAAAAUCUUUGGUUAAUUUACUGCCAGAUAACAAAUUGCAAGAAAGUUUAGGGACAUGUAGCACAUUUUUAAGCUCAAUGGUUCCAGAGAUUUUUAUUGAUCCUUUUCCAGCUAUGGAAGAUAAGCUUCCAUCAGCAACUCUUACCUUUUUGUUACCAGGGCAAGGAUAAUAGGAAUCAAAUAAACUAGAAAUGCUAGUCAUAUGAUCAGAAGCACCCAAAUCAAUAAUCCAUGGUGCAGUAGUUGAGUGGCUAAAUAGAGCAUUAAUAAUACUACCUGUUUGGGCUAGUGAACCACUAGGAGUACUAGGUGGAGGAUUAGAAGUGAGCAACUUUAUGAGAUGGUCAAUUUGCUCCUUGCUGAGAUUUUUUUCUAGAUUCUCCACUUCAUUGGCAGACGCACGGCUAUGCUUGCUGUUUUUCCAGUUUGCAGGCUUUUCGUGGAGUUUCCAGCAAGCCUCCCGAGUAUAGCGUGGUUUAUUACAGUAAUCACACCAUACUCGAGGUUUUUGUUGCUGUUGAGUGAUGGAGCGGGUAGCAUUAGCAUCUGCUGUAACAAGGGCAGAUUUUUCCACAGAGACAACGGAGUUCGUUUUUCCCAACAUAACACCUCGACGACUUUCUUCUCUCCUUACUUCAGAGAAAACAUCCUCAAGAGUAGGAAGUGGCUUUCUCCCAAUAAUUCUUCCUCUUACCUCAUCAAAUUCAACAUUGAGCCCAGCCAGGAACUUGAAGAUUCGCUCAUUAUUGACAAUUUGUUUGUGGUGUUUAAAAUCUUCCAUUCUCUCCCACUCGUAGUCAUUGAAUAAGUCCAGAUCUUGCCACAAUCUCUUUAGAGUAUUGAAGUAUUUUGUUAUACUAUAAUCUCCUUGACGAAUAUCUCUAAGAGCAAGCUGCAACUCAUAGAUCUGGGACUAAUUUCCAUAGUCAGAGUACAUCUGACUCACAUUAUCCCAGUGUUCUUUUGCAGUAGAGUAGCACAUAUAAUUUGCACUAAUGUCUUCAUCCAUGGAGUUGACUAACCACGCCAUAAUCAUGGAGUUUUCGGCAUCCCAAACACCAUAAGAGGGAUCAGAUAUUUCAGGAGCCUUAACAUCUCCGGUAAGAUAACCAAUCUUCCCUCUUCCCCUAAUAUACAUUCUAACCGACUGAGACCAUCUUUGAAAAUUUCCUUCAUUCAGCUGGAUAGUUGUAAUCUGGACAGAAAGAGAUUCAGAAUGGGAAAUUUUUUGUUCUAGUCUUUUUGAGGUGACUGUGGUUUCAGAAGAUUGGUCAGACAUGGUAGGGAAGAGAUUAGAAAGAAAGGGAGCCUAACUCUGAUACCAUGUGAAAAUAGGUAGAGGAAAAGGUUAUGGAAUAAUUCUCUAUUUCAUAUCUUCAUGAGACUGUACACAGUCUUAAUAUAGGGAUACAAGAGACUAAGAAAGGAAAGAAAAAAUUAAAGCAGAAUAUUACACACUGAUUUCUAGGAAGCAAUAACUCUAUAUUUACACCAAAUAUACACCUAAAUAUAUAAGGAAAACCAAAUCAAUUUGAUUGGGUCAACCUUUCAACAAAAGCAACUUUACUAAAGUUUAUUCCUUAAAGGCAAAAUAGUAAAGAAGAUGAUAUAUGCUGAUACAAUAAAUUGACCUGAGUUAUCCUGAUGUCAAGAAUCACAGCACCUCAUGUGGGCAAAAUCAUCGCAAUACAAGAUGCUGAAUUCAAGCAACAUCUUAUCACCUGUAAUUUAAUUAAGACAAUAACUUUCCUCAACUAUUACCCUUCUCAAUUUCAAUGUAUUAUUGGCAACUAAAUUCAUAGGGGACGUAGCUAAUUAAAUGCCCUUUUAACAAUAUCUUCCCCACCUAACAAUUAUUUGGAAAAUCUAAAUGAGAAUCAUGCAUUGAUGGCAUAAAAAAUUGGCCACAAAGCUGCCUAGAAAAAGGCUUUAAAUUCUUAAUGAGACAACGAAUUCGAACAAAUAUGGUGAAUGAAGAGACAAAGGCAUAACACCUCAAGAAGCAAAGCUCUGUUUCUGUAUGUGCUGAAACCAUUGGAAACCCAUGGAAAUGAAUUUCUACGAAUUAGACAUGUCAGCCAAAACAGGUGCUCUGUACGAGCAAAGUAAAAGAGAGUUACAAAAAAUUUUAAGAUAAUUAAACUUUUAAUCACCAUAUAAUUAAUAGAAAACUUUGUACACAAUGAUUUAUUGGAGAUUAAGAUUGUAUACCUAAGUUUUAAUUUCAAACUAAAUAUGCACAACAUGACAUUAGCAUUAGAAGACCGCACCAAAACGUACCGAAUUGAAUGUACCUCUUCGCGGCCAUUGUACAAGCAUUGAAACUUUACCGCAAAAGCUGUUUCAAACGUGAUGCACCUUAGAGAUGCAAGAUAAGAAAUUGUUAUUACAACUAGCAUUGAAACAUGUGUGGAACUGUUAAUGGACCUAAAUAACCUGAAAAUCAGAAAAGAUUAGGAAUGAGUGACUAAGCCUGCUAAUCGCAACUAAACAUACAAACCUUGAAAAUCCAAAAUUGUACUCGAUGAAUGUGCAAUUGCUCGAGCAGGUAACUGUGCAAUUGCUCGAGCAGGUAACUUUACUACAAAGGCUCUUACAAACCCUCAAAGAUGAUAAUCUACAUACCAUGGUAACCUGAAUAAUAAAAAGAAACACAGUGAAUAUUAAAGGGCAUUCUGACAAUGCAAAUUUGUGCAAAUUAACAACUGCGGUUACUUGUAUAAUAGUGUCGAUACCGAAUUCCUUCCUCCAUGGAAGCAUAUGAUCACCCCACAUGUGCUUUGCUCUGUAGCUUUUGAGUACCUGAAAUUGUUAUUACAACCAACCGUGAAAAUUGGGUGAAAAAAUGGUAAUAUUAGCAUAAUUGAAUUUGCUUAUAGAGGAUAAACCGAUCAAAGGAAAAAACAAGAUAGAAAUGAUGAUCUUAGUACCUUAAUAUCAUGUAAUAAUAAUCACCAUGCCUUCCAGGCAGCUAUCCAUCCUCAAUUGAAACAGAGCAGACCUGGCCAUCACUUUCUUCUUCAAAGUCCAGCAACUGAACGUUGCACACAACACCACAGUGGAAGUAGUUCCAACACCAGCCUAAUCCUUGAUUACCCCAAUGUUCUCCAUAGGGUCUUCAAAGUCAACCUAAAAAUAAAAAUGAAAAUGCAAUGCAUUAUUAUUAAGGAUCUAGUGCUUGAGCUUGCUUUGAUAUCAUGGUAUUAGCAAAUUCUGAUAUAGCCAAAAUGGUGAAUAAGAUGAUGUACUUGAUGAGAAAAACUUGAUUUAACAAAUAAUUAAGGAGCCGGUAACAAUCACAGAAUCUCAUCAUGUGGGGAACGCCUUGGCAACAGAAGAUGGUGCUUUCAUACAAGCAAUAGCAACUUUCCAAUUUCAUAAGGUAGUUUAAUGGCACUUUUAAGAACAUUUGUACCAGCCUAACAAUUAUUCAUGGAAAUUAAAAUUCAGAAUCAUGUUAGACUGAGAGAUGAAAUAUAAUAAGCGAUUUGGCCACCAUAUAUGCAUUUAUCACCUUCAAUUUGCUCAUCUUUGUCUAGUGUAUUGCUUCUGCAUUAACUUAAUUAGCUUGCAAGCCACCUUAAAAUGGUUUUAAAUAAAGUGUAAGAGCUCAAAUUCGAACGAAUUAAUCAAAUAUGCUGACAGGAGAAACAAAAGUAAAAUAACCACAAGAAGUAUAAAUAUACUUUUGUUAUAUUCGGAGCAUCUUCUAGCGUCAAGUUCUUUUCCUUUAGCUCUGUUUCUGUUUGUGCUCAAACGCAAUGGCUAAAGGGUCAAGAUAAUUUUAUGACCAUCAAUCUUUUUGCAGCCACAUGCAGACUUGAAAAACUGGUCGUGGCCCUAAGGAACUUGAAAAUUAGAAAAGAUUCAGAAUGAGUGACUAAAUAUUAUAAUCGAAACUAAUUAAACAUACACGCCUAGAAAAUCUGAAACUGAAUUCCUCAAAUGUAUAUGCCUCUUCGCAGCAAUUGCUUGUGGUGGAAACUUUACUGCAAAGACUUUCUCAAACCCUUGAAGAUCACACUCUACCUGAUAACAAAGAAACAGAGUCAAUAUACGAAGAUGAUUUUACUAACAAGUGAGAGCUUACACAUGUUGGAAGGAUAAUGAUUACUCAUAACCCAAAUCCCCAAUACUCCCUAAUAUCUCACUCAAGUGAGUUCGAGCUCCCAGAAUUCACUACUGUGAAACUCUCACAACAAAAUUCUCUUCAAAGAUUCUCUACUCAAAUUUGAUGAUGAUAUCUCUCGAAGGAAGGCAAAAGAAUCUAACACUGAUAAAAUUGGCUUGUGAAGAAUUAAUCUUCCUCGCCAUCAUUCAUACCAGGUGCGGUAACAAUCUUCAUUCUGACAUUUGCCUUAAUAAGCUGCUUUGUAACCUUAACCUGAUAACUCACACAAACAAAAACAACUUGCCUAAAGUUUAAUAUUUAGAGCAGAACAGUAAAGAAGAUGAUAUAUAUGAUACAAAAAUUUCACCUGUGUUACCCUGAUGUCAAGAAUCAUAGCAUCUCAUGUGGGCAAAAUCUUCGCAACACGAGAUGCUUGCAAAAUUGGAGCAGCAUCUUAUCACCUGUAAUUUAAUUGAGAGAAUAACUUUCCCCAACCAUUUCAAUGCAUUAUUGGCAACUAAAUUCAGAGGGUGCUAAUUAAAUACCCUUUUAAAAAUAUCUUCUUAUUCUUCUUCAAUCUAACAAUUAUUUGGAAAAUCUAAAUGACAAUCAUGCAUUGAUGGCAUCAAUAUUUGGCUACAAAGCAGCCUGGAAAGGGCUUUACUCUCUGAAUGAGAGCAUGAAUUCGAAACAAAUAUGAUGAAUGAAAAAACAAAGGCAUAAUACCACAAAAAGUAAAACUUUUUCCCAGGGCUCUCUGUUUCUGUUUGAGCUAAAACCAAUGGAAACCGAUGGAAAUGAAUUUCUAUGAAUUAGACAUAUCAGCCAAAACAGGUAUUCUGUACAAGCAAAGUAAAAUAGGGUUACAAAAAAUUUUAAGAUUGAUAUGAUAAUUAAAAUUGUAAUUAAAAUUUCAGUCACCAUAUAAUUAAUAGAAAACUUUGGACACAAUGAUUUAUUGCAUAUUAAGAUUGCUAUACAAAAUAUAAUAUUAGCAUUACGAGACCGCACCAAAGCAUACCGAAUUGAAUGUGCCUUUUCACAGCCAUUUUACAAGCUUUGAAGCUUUACCACAAAUGCUUUUUCCAACCCGUGAACAUGAUGCACCCGGGAGAUGCAAGCUACGAAAUUGGUACUACAGCAAGCGUUGGAACAUUUGUUAAAAAUGGAAGUUUAAGAAAAUAUGCCAUUGGAUACCUGUCUUCAGGAAUCAAUUCAUCCGUAAUAAUAAUUUUCAAGAAGUAUCAACUGCUUUAAGCUCAUCGACAUCACAGAGAUCUUCAACUAAAAUAGAGCAGAUCCGGCCAUCACUAUCCCUUCUACUGCUCUUUUCCUUUAGAGAAUGCUUGAAUUACAGAAUGCGUGUAAGGCAUUCUUCUUCAAGGUCCAAUGAUCAAACUGUUGGGGAAAAUUAGUUUUUUAAAUUUUUUAUAAAACCUUUUGAAGAUCGCUCUCAUAUAAUAUAUAAGAAUUUGUAUUCUAGAAAUCGUACCUUGAAAAUCCGAGUUGGCUUUUUCCGCUGAAGUGAUUUAGGCUCCUAGAUCAUGAUCCGCCACCACCACUCCUGUUAGAUCACGAUCCAUCACCACCACGCUUGUUAGAUCACGAACUGUCACCACCACGCUUGUUAGAUCACGAACUGUCACCAAUGAUCUUCCAGGUUAUGACUCAGGUUCGAUCUGCACUUGACGUGUGGGCGCCUUUAUCACUACCAAAGCAACUAGCACGAGAAAAAAAUUUUCUCAACAAUAGAGAGAAAAAAAUUUUCUCAACGAUCUUAUUCUCAGAUCUGUAUAAAGUGGCUUCACUCUUUUCUUUAGAGAAAAUAAGUCUUUUAUAUCACCCUUUAGUGAAAACCCUAGGCUCCAAAUAAUCAAAAAACAAAACCCACGUUAUUUGCUUUUUCAAUAGGGGACCCACCUUGUAAAAUAACAUAAGGCCCCUUACACAAAAGCUAAUUAAAUGGAGCCUCCCACUAAAUGAUAUAUUUAGGCUUUUGACCCAAAUAGCUAGUUAUCUUACUUAUUAGUCCAGUAGUGGUGCAGUCAAUUAAAUGAGCUAACCCGGGGAUCAUUUGGGAACAUACAAUAGUGGCUACAAUAAUUAGGCCUAUAAUUAAACUAGCCCAAUUAUUUAAUUCCAAAUCUACUCCACUAAAAGAUUGGAAUUGACUUCCAUUUUUGUAUGCUCGAAUAAUAAUUCGUCCCAAGCCACAUUGAUUUCUUUAUUGCACAAUCAUUUGUACCACAUCGUUAAUUAAAUUGAUAUCUCAACUGUCCAAUCAAUUUAAUAACAUCUUAUUCCUUGAUACUUACUGGUUUUCUCUAAUGAUCAUUUUCAACAUACUAAAUAUGUUGACACACUCUGGCCAGAGAAUUCUAUGAUCAAGUGCCGAAAACCCAUCAAGAGAUGUGUUGUACAAAUUCUAUAUUGUUAAUCUAUAACUCCAAUACUCAUAAAUGCUCCCACCAAGAUACCGGGUAAUCUAGACUACAAGUAUGUGUCAUGCCCAUUGGUAACUCAAAUGGAAUAACAAUUACAAUCAUGAAAUCAUAAUUAACUCAAGAUUAAGAUUACAGUAAAAUCAAUGCCUAUGAGAUUUAAUAAGUCUGACAGUUAUUACAAAGUUAAUUAAAUCUCAUAUGUGAUCCUGUUCAAUGUAGUCGUACUACAUCAAUAAAUUCAUAUAUGAUUAAGACAAAUCAUUUAAUGAAUUUAUUACAGUCUAUACCUAAAUAAAGUGCCCAACUUUAUUUAUCAACUGCGAACAAAAUUUAUUUAAUCAUAAGAUAACUUGUAUUUAUGUCUUCUGUGAAUCCACAUGGUGAUCACAUAAAUACAUAUAAUAUGAUUAAAUGGACUUUAAUAAAAAUAUUAAUGCAAUUAAGAUAUUUGAAUAAAAUACCUCAUUAAUUUUAUUAAUCAGAAAAAAUAUUUAUUACAAUUAAAUAAACACAUAUGCUUUUAAAGAGCAUAUUUUCCCAACACAAACCUUUCACAAUAAAAACAGAGGUAGUAGUUCCUUCGCCAGCCUAAUCCUUGGUCUCAGGAAUGUCCUCAACAGAGUUCUCGAAAUCAAGCUAAAAAUUAAGAAUGAGUUGGAAAACUGUUUAUGGCCCUAAAGAACUUGAAAAUCAGAAAAGAUUAAGAAUGAGUGACUAAACAUUUUGAUCGCAACUAAACAUACAAACCUUGAAAAUCUAAUUUUGAAGUACUCUUAAAUGAAUGAGCAAUUGCAGGAGCUGGUGACAACUAAGGUUACUGUGAAGUGUCUUACAAAUCCUUAAAGAUGAUACUUUACAUACCACGAUAACCUGAUAACACAUAGGAACACAAGGAACAUUAAAGUGUAUUCUGACAAUGCAAAUUUGUGGAAAUUAUCAGCUGUGGUUACCUAGACAAUAUUGCCAACACCAAACUCCUUCCUCAAUUGAAACAUAUGAUCAGCCCACAAAUGCUUUGCUUUGUAGCUUUUGAGAGCCUGAAAUUGUUUUCACAACCAACAAUGAAAAUUGGGUGAAAAUUUUGAUAAUAUUAGCAUAAUUCCAUAUGUUUAUAUAGGAUAAACCGAUCAAAGAAUGAAACAAGAUAGAAAUGAUGAUCUUAGCACCUUAACAUCAUGCAAUAAUAAUCAUCAUGUCUUUCAGGCAGCUAUCCAUCCUCAAUUGAAACAGAGCGGACCCGCCCAUCACUUCCUUCUUCAAAGUCCAGCAACCAAACGUUGCACAAUAACCACAGUGAUAAUCCUUGGUUACCCCAAUGUUCUCCGUAGAGUCUUCAAAGUCAACCUAAAAAUGAAAUAAAAAUGCAAUGCAGAUGGAAAUUGAAAAUUCUAUAAAUUAAAUAAAAUAAAAAUGCAAUGCUUUAGCAUCAUCAUAAUAGUAAAUUUUUAUAUACCUUUACUUCUCUGUUCUUGUUUAUACACAACAAGAUAUCAAUAGAAGAAGAUGGAAAUGAAAUUCUAUAAAAUAAAGCAAGUGAAUUACCAGCAGAACAUUUUAGCAAUCCUUUGGCUAAACUUUUCAUUUUCAUAGUUUUGCUCUCCUGCCUGCAUCAUUAGAACCAAAUUAGCUUGGACCUGCGAAUUGCUAGUGUAGUUCUGACAUUUCCUCGAAUCCCUGGUGAACAUAAUUACACUCGUAUGAAAUAAAACAAAGUGGGCUAAUGUACUACCAAAAACAAUUAUACAAUUACUUUAAAGAAUUAAUGUCACAUAAAUUAUAUAUAUAAAAAAAAUAUGAUUAUCAUUAUACAAGAUAAAAUUGAUAAUUUAGUUUUCAACAUUACUGCAAAUGUAUCACAGAGAUUUUGUCUCUCAAGAAGUUACACAUAACAAAUUUUCGUACAUUAAAAAAUAAAUUACAUUGGGAUUUUCUAUGAUGUUGUAUGAAAUUUUACAAAAGACUGCAUAUUUUUUAGAAGAAAAUAUAAAAAUUUCAAUAGACUAUACUUUUUUUUUAAUUAUUAUUAUAUAACCUUGAUAAUACAAGUUUAAUAGAUUUGAUAACUAGGAAGUUUAAAUUUUAAAUAACUGAAAUUAAAAUAUUAUCUUAAUUAACUUUUGACUUUAUGAAUUAUUGAUUAACUCUAACAGUACAUAUAUAUACCAUGAUUGAUUUUAUAAUUUUUAUAACAGCAUCAUAGAGUGACCCAUUAAAUUAAUGGUUGAAGUAAACAAAAUUCAAUAUGCAAAUCAAAAUAUUAGAAAAAUAUUAUAUAUUCCUGUCAGACAUUGGCAAUAUAUAGAAUUUUAAUUCAAAAUAUAAUUAUUUUUAUUACCGGCGAGUGAUAUCUUACGCCGACAGAAUGAUGUGGGGAAUGUGAGAUAUUUUAUGCCACUUUUCUCCUUUCCCCUCUCUAUAAUGGUUUUCCAGAAGAGGACAUCUGUCAAUAGUCAAUUCCUGCAGCGUCGACGUUCGAAGGAGGUAAUCCGACAGCACCUUUAAUUUGGGGCAAUACCAAAUUCGUAAGGAAGAAAGAUGUGGUCCUGCGAUCUUCUAGAAUGGGCAGUUCUUCUAGAAGAUCACAAGAAUAAAUACUUAGUUCCUACAAAAUUUAACUUUAAGCGACGGACUUUGUCACCAAAAGAAUUUAUGACUGAUUCCUUAGUACCAUUAAUUUCUAGCCACAGGCAUUCUUUGCUACUUACAAACUGAGCAAAAUCAUGUACUAUGUCAUGCAUCUUGAAACUCAUAAUAUUUCUUAAACUCUUGAAAGAAAGAGCGUGCUGCUAAAAUGUUGAAAUACUCUUCUCCAAUCAUCUCCAUUUCUUCGUCUUCUUCUGCAUUAAGGUAAUCUUGAGCCAUCCACAGAUUAAUCAAUUCCUCUUUAUCCAUAUUGCAGUCUUUUGGAAAGACAGUACAAUAUGAGAAACACCGUUUUACCAUAGAAUUGGAGGGUAAAUCGUUAUAACUCAACAACAAAGGAGUCAAAAGACCUUGCCCAAUCUCUUGUACUUUCCACAUUUCACUCCCUAAAAUUCUUUGUCACUCUUUUACUGUACUUUUAGACCGCAAGAGAUUCCCUAUUACCUUUGCAGCAACAGGCAAGCCUUUGCACUUGUGUGCAAUUUUUCGCCCCAUUGGUUCUAAUUUUUCACGAUCCUCAAAAGAACGACCGAAAAAUGCUAACCGCUCGAGCAACGACCAGCAUUCCUCUUCAGCCAAUUGCUCAAUGAAGAUAAUAUUUGUUGAUCCCAUCAUAUGUGCAACUGACUCAUUACGUGUGGUAACCAAAAUUUUACUUCCGUGGAGACCAUUCUUUAGAUAAAGGAAAAAUGGUUCCCAUUUGUUGUAAUCCCCAUCCCAUACAUCAUCUAAAACCAGAAAAAACUUUUUUCCUUCGAUUGAUCUAUGGAUAUGGCUCAUAAGAGAUUGGAAUUCGCUUAAACUAGAAGCUAACUCGCCUAAACCUUCAAUGAUUGCUUUGGCAACCCUAAUCUCCUCAAAAGUGUCUGAUACACACACCCAUAUAACUUUUUCAAAAUUUCUUUUCACCUCAUCAUUAUUAUAGGCCAGUUGUGCAAGAAUAGUUUUACCUAUACCCCCUAAUCCAACUAGUGAGAUGACAUAAAGGCCUUGUUGUUGUUCACUACUUUCACACAACAACUUGCUUAAGAGCUCAUUUUUCUCAUCAACUCUACCGCAAACCUCCCCCUCAUCAAUCAAGGAGGUGGUUCGCACUCGCUCUGGUUUCUUAACAUUGUUGCUCACAUUCUCAACAAAUUUAAACGUAUCUUUUUGGGAGGCAAUAUCAUCUAGCUUUCCAUUGAUUUCCCUAAUCUUGACGGCAAUGUCAUGACGAAGACUAAGUUGUUUGAUACAGCACAAAAGAAGGAGCGUACCUUCUUCUUAUGAGGAGCAAGAGCAAGAGCAUUGUCAUCAUCAACGCCCUCAAUCUGCAAUUUGAGCCUUGCAGUGGUCCACUCCUCCAGCAUGUCUUCCAUGUCGUAAGAUGCGUCUUUGAGCUGAUCCAGCCAAAAAGUAACAGCUUUGUCUUGCUGCAUUUGCCUUUGCUCUGCAUCCUCCAGCACAGCUCGAAUGGCCUGAAGAUUUCUGGUAAGCUUUUUCACUUCUUCUCGGACACCAGUCAGAAGCCUCACCUGUUGUUUCACUUCAUCAGCCGCAACAGAGAUCAGCUGCUCCAGGAGAGAGGAAACGAUCGCAUCAACCAUUCUAACAAAGAAGACGAGAAUUCUAAAGAGUUAUUAGAUGUGCUUUUGUUGCGAUGAUACUGAAAAUGUUUAUACUGCAUAGAAAAUGUUUAUGCUUAUCCCCACCCCACACGUCAAUGAUUGUAGAAUGUUUAAUUUUCCUGAUUCUACUCCACUGGUUAUGAUGCGUAAUUAUAAAUAUUCUCAAGUUAUGUAUGAAAAUAGCACAAAUUUGGACCUACUAAUGAUUUUUAUGAUUUUUGUGUCUUUACUUUUUCAUAAUCUUCUACUGUAAGAGUUCAGAUUUAAUUACUACUUUAAAAACUGAGCAAAAAAAAAUAUCAAGCAUUAAUUAAAAUUCACAAAGGAAUAAAUAACGAAAGAAAAAAAGAUUGGAAAAGUCAUAGAUGUAAAAUAGCACAUUGUUUUUUUAAUAAUCUAAAUAAAAUUAUUAAUAUUCAUGUUAGUCCCUAAAAAAUUAAUAAAUAUAACUAAAAAAAUCUUAUUAGUCUCCAUGAUCAAAAUUUAUUGAAAUAUUUUUAGCCUGGGUUCAAAAAAAAAUAAAUUUCCCAACUUCACACUAGCUAAAUCUAAAAUACACGUUCAUAUAUAGAUAUAUUCUUUCUCGCAGACGUCCGUACAAAAUAAAGUGCGAAUACGACAUUUUCCAGUCUAUCAAAAUGAUUUUUAUUAUUGUAAAAAUAUUAAUAAUAAACUAAAAUAAUAUAUCUACACGUUAUUUCGUCCAGAAAUAUGUAGAGAGAAUAUCUUAAUUUCUAGGGCCCGGCUACGGUGCAACUGUGGUACCGUGCCAUAAUUGCAUCUUACCGUUGGAUGCACUUACAUGGAUGGGGUUCACUGACAUCCAACGGCUGGAUGCAACUAUGGCACGAUACCACAGUUCCACCACAGGUUUUCCCUAAUUUCUAGUAACAUCAUAGUCAAAAUUUUAUCAACAUUUAUGCGAAGGAGUCCCCACUCUCCACCUGGGGGAAUUUGGCAUUUGAUGAAAAAAGUUAUGCUUAUACCCACCCACACGUUAGUGGUUGUAGCAGCAUCUUUGAUUUCCCCGAUUCUACUCCGCCGAUGAACACAUGUUUUGUAGUAACAUCUUUAAAUUCCCACACGUUAGGAAUUUGGCACAUAAUCACAAACUUGUCGCAUCUUUAACGUAUGAGGUUGAUGAAUAUAUUCUUUUCUCAUGUCAAUUUAAAACUCCGAGUGUGUUUCCAACAAUUGCUUUUCUUUUUCUAUUUUUGGAUUUUUGAAUCAUAAUUUUUCAAUUCAAUAAUGGCCUCUUCAAUUAUAAAAUAUGGUAGAAGGGGAUGGGGUGUAGUGUCUAGGCCCCCGCGACAACGGCAUCUUUGGACGUGGGCUUCAUCAUUUCUCCUUUUUUAUUUAAAAAAAAAUUACUUCUUGCAUGAUCUAAUUGGUCUUGUUUCAAAAGAAACAAAAAAAUAAUAAUAAAAAUAACUAAAAUAAAAUAAAAUAAAUCAUAUUCUUUAUCUUAAUUGCUUUCAUUUGUGAUUGACAUGUACUCAUGCAUUGUGUUUUUGUAUAUUUUAUUGAUAUGUUUCCUUAAGGGAUAAACUAAUUAUGUAGCAAAAUUUUAUUAGAGCUAGGAUUAUUUAUAUGUGUUCUAAUACUUUGAACAUCUUACUAUACACUUGUCUAUCAAAUUUUAACAUUAAUUUUUCCUACUCAUUAAAAUAUCAAAAUAGUCAUUGAUAAACAUCUUUCAUUAUUAUUAUUUUUUUUUAUAUAUUGAUAUAUUACAAUUAAAAUUCUAUUCCAAAAUAGUCAUUAACUAGACAUCUUUUAUUAAUGUUCAUUUUUUUAUACACUCAUAUAUUACAAUUAGAAUUCUAUCAAGACUAUCCUUGAUAAUUCUAACAUAGUACAACCAAAAAAUUCUACCCUUGCAAGAUACUAGAGAGAUAUUUAUUCUACUCUUAUUAAUCGAGAGAUAAUUUUACCUCUACCUAAUUUAAUUGGGAGGAAAAUCGAGAGAGAUAUCUAUUCUAUCCUUAUUAAUUGAGAAAUAAUUUUAUCCUUACCCAAUUUAAUUGGUAAGAAAAUUGAAUUCCAACAAUAACUAGGACUCGAACCCAUGCACUUAAGCUAACGUUAAAUGCUUCGACGCAUGGUUAUAAUGUUCUUUAUUUAAAUCCUAAUAAGAGGUGGGACUUGAACUUGUGCCUACAAACAUUGAGUGCUCAGGGCUGCAAAAUUUCACAACUUAAUUUUAAUUCAUGUGGCAUGUGCCCUAUCACAUAAACGUAGAUAAUAAUAAUUAAUACAUUAACAAAAUGAAAAAUAUUAGUUUACAAAAUACAAAUCCUAAUUUUUUGUGUGUGAGAGGGAACCUAAAAAGGGAGAGACUAAACAAAUAUGGUGACAAAUGACAUGUAUUACCAAAACUAAAAACACGAAGUCUAGGCAACUGAAAACAUCUCUGUCAAUUGCAAUGAACAGAUCACAACCCUUCAUAAUUAAUCAAAAUUAAACUUUAAAAAAAAAAAUCACACACACACAAAACAAUCACAACACACUAUUUGUUCUGAUCAUCCCUGCUUUUUCUUAGCGUAGCUCUUGGAAUGAAAAUUAACAAAAAGUGUCAAGAGAGAAGCAUUAAACACAGCAUUGAAGCACCAACCCAAAAUCCCUGACCAUCCAAAUCCCGUAAAAUGAUAAUACAGCAUCAAAACCGAAACAACAAAACUAAACACAAAUUGAACAAUCUGACAAUCAUGAGUGACCAAUCUCUUCCACUUUGGCCGCAACUCCAUCACACACAAUAGAUAGUGCCCGUACAUGAUCACGUGCACACUUGCAUUGGUGACAAGUGCCAUACGAAACAAAGACUGCUUCGUCUGUAACCAAAGGUAGCACAUUACGACGACGGUUGCAUGGUGGUAGACGUGGAGGAACGUGAGCCGUUGGACGGAGUUUUAUUUGAAUCAAUAAGGUGUUUGGCACGAGAGAAAGUGAAAGAAAAUUAAGAAAGAAAAUUUGACUAUGAAGUUUCUGGAACAAUCACAGAUUCUUAUUGAUUAAAGCUGAAAUCAUACAUUAUGAGCGUACUAGUCACUAUUUAUAGUCACACUCAAACUGAUUACAGAAACAAAGCUCAAAGCUGCAAUAUUAACAAACUAAUUAGCCUUCCAAUCAUAACAAGCCAGCUGGACAAUUCGUUACAACUUAUUCAGUGCAAAUAACAGCCCAAUCCAGCUCAGCAACUUAGUUACAAAACAUCAGUCAACUCAGCACCUUCAGCACGUCACCAGCCAGCUCAGCAGCUUCAGCUUAUACUCUUAACAUCCCCCCUCAAGCUCAGCCUAGUGAAGUCAGGGUGAGCUUGUCUCUCAGAUAAUGAAAAGGGUGAUAAGCUAAAGCUUUAGUAAGGAUAUCAGCUGAGUUAUGAGAACUUGGAACAUAACUAACUUGGAAGCUUUUAUUAGAGUUAAAUUUAAGUUCUUGGAACAUAAAUAACCUUUUUCUCGCAAGAAAUGAACAUCAAGUUCUAUGUGUUUAGUUCGGGAGUGGAAUUUAGGAUUACUUGCUAAGGCAGCUGCACUUUGGUUAUCACACCAAAUCAAGAGAAAUGCCAAUUUCAGCCAACAAGGACUUGACUGUUUCUGUAUAAACAUCAAAUUCAGUAAAAAAAGUUGUUAUCUAAUGACAAAAGAAUUUGUCUAAAAUUCCAAUUGAACGCAUAUUAAGUAUUUAAUACCAAGUAAAAUCUGAGAUCAAAGGAAAUUCUAAUAUGACAUCUAAUAGCUAAGUAGAAAAUAAAUAUAUUUAAUGAGGGUAUCUGUGAGAAGAAAACUGAUUUUCUAUUCAGAUAUUUUAUCAUUUAGAUAAAAUUGAAGAGAUUUUACUUUUUCUAUUCAGAUAAAAAUGUCUUACAAUAAAACUCCACGUAAAUUUUUCAAUUUAGCGAUAGCAUAUGGAUCCGAUCCAUUUCUUGUCUAUAUGGCGGAUAAGUUUUAUUAUCGGGUAGACAAAAGCAAAAGCCAUUAUCUUACUAAUUCAUUUGGUCUAUUGAAACUCCAAGAUCUAAUUCAAAGAGCGCGACUCAAAUAAUGGCAAUUAGUAAUUUAUUACAUCUGCAGUUAGACACUUUGUUUGAGAAAAAAGAAUAAAAUCAGUUCCAUAAUGAUUUUAAUUACAAUAAAUAUCAUACUAUGGUCUAUGGACACGCCUCAUAUUACAAAGAAAAUACGUGAAAUAUGAUUAAGGGAUAAAGCUUUCGACAACCAUUUAUAAAAUUGCUUUUGAAAAAUUGUUCUGAUGAAAUGAAAUUAUAUGAAAUUACUAAGAAUUUAAUCUGCCUCUGAAGGAGGAUUAAUUUUAGAUGAUUUUUCUAUUUAUAGCUAUUAUGUAGUCGUUAGAAAUUUCAAAUUUUGAGAAUUUUGCUUGUAGCUACAGGUUGCAGUCAUUUUGAUUUGGAGACUGAUUGAUAAUUAAAGCUAAUGUUGCAAGUAAAAAACAAAAUGAAAAAUAAUUAAAAAAAUAAAAAUCAAGGAGUUAGGCCCAAACUUUAUUAAACUUUUAAUAAAGUCUAUUUCUCAUUUUGUCAUAAUGAAAAAUAAUUAAUAAAAAAUGAAACAACCAGUUUACUUUGACUUUAUUUCACAGAAUAUAAUGUCUGAAAUUUAUAUAUCAUGUAUUCUAGGGUCAAAUCAGUCUUUUUGCACAUAACAUUUAAUAUUUCAUUAAGAAACCGCAAAGAUUAUUUCAAAGCCUUUAGGGUCAUGGUCUCCUCCGGAAGUGGCAAAUUCAGGUUCGGAUCAACCCGAUCAAGUUUCAAUUUGAUUGGGUUGGAAUAUUUGGAUUGGAUCGUAUUGAAUUAAAAAUUCAGGUUGAGUUUGGAUAUGAUCGGAUUAUAAUUAUAUGCGGGCCAUGUCAAGUUUGGAUUAAAAUUAGAUUUGGGUCAAUUAGGCUGAAUUCGAAUAAUGUUCGGAUUAGGGGUAAAUUUUGAGCUUGUUUACUUUUAUUUAUAUUUUUUCAAAUUACUUUAGUCAUUGAAGAUUGUUUUAAUGUAAUCAUCUCAUUUUAGUUCGUUUUUACCAAUUUUCAGCAAAAAAUGAAAAAAAUUACUGCUAUGAAAUCAAAUGAAUAAAAAUUAAAAUAAACUACUAUUAUCGAAUCGAAUCUCCAUCUCUUUGCCCUCUUCUGCAUUAAGGUAACCUUGAGCCACUGAUAGUGUAAUUAGUUCGUCUUUAUACAUAUUGUGGUCUUUUGAAAAGCCUCACUUGUUCCCUUCAUCAGCAACAAAGGAGUUCAGCAGCUCCAGGAGAGGGGAAGCGAAUCAAGCGAUCAAAGAAAAGGAGAAAUAAUUUGAUGAGUUAUUAAGCGUGCUUUUGUUGCGAAAAUACCGAAAGAAAAGGAGUUGUCACAUUCUUUUUAUACUGCAUGAAAAAUGUUUACUCCUAUCCUCUUGUAUAUAAUAGUUUAAAUCUCCAAAAUUUUUCUUUAUUUGAGUUUUAAAAAAGUUAUGUGAAUUUACUGUAAUUAUUUCUUGGGAGUGGGGGUGGAUUUACAAAAAUUGCAGGGUGAAAAUAUCACUACCCUUUUUGUUUAUUAAUUAUUGUAAAAUGCACAUCUUUCAUAUGAACACAUGUUUUUUUUUUUUAAAUUUACCUCCUACUUAGAAUGACAGUCUUUAAUUUUUUUUUUAGAAACGUGAAACAUCAAUUUAAAUUGUUUACAUUAAGAAGACAAUAUGUAUGUGUGUGUGUGUGUAUUCCUUAUCUUUUGAACAAAUAUAAGGACAAAUUGAUGUUUUUACCCUUUAAGAAGUAAAUUAAAGUUUGUUAUUCUAGUUUGGCAUUAAAAGAAGCUUAGCCCUGUAAUAUAUAUCAUGUAGACCAAGGUGACUUCGUCGUGAAUUCUUGUAAUCAAUUUCUUUUGUUCUUUUAUCUAACUAGAAAAGAAAAUUAAGGGGAGCAUUGUCUAUCGAAUUGAGCUUCUCUCAAGAAAAAUACGUACGGAUGAUUUAUAUAUAACCAUUAAAUAUGUUAAGACAUUUUGUUAUUUUUUUAGUCCUAAAAGUAUGAGAGAAAUUAACAUUUUUUGAAUUUAUUUAUAUACCAUAAAUUAAAGAAUGAAAUUAUUUACAAAAUUAUUUCAACUUUCAUGAUUUAAACAAGCAAUCAUCAUUGAUUUCAAUACAAAGAAGUAUUUCGGGUAGAACCGAUUUCUUUACCAAGAUAUGAUGUACAUGUAUUUGGGACUUCUUACUCUAUUAGCUUAAAUAACUACAUAACAAAUAUGACAUAAUCUAAUUGGUCUUGUUAUUGACAUGUACUAAUGCAUUCUAUUUUUGUAUAUUUUAUUGAUAGGUUUCUCUUGAGGUUGAGGAUAAUAUUCACUGUGUGGCAAAAUUUUAUUAAAACUAAGAUUAUUUAUGUUCUAAUACUUUGAACAUCUUAAUAUACACUCAUCUAUAAUAUUUUAACACUAAUUUUUGGAUAAAUUAUAUUUUAACCCCUUAUGAGAUUUACAUAUUUUAAUUUACUCAAAAAUAAAAAAUAAAAACUUCAAUUUACUCUCUAAAAUCUGUUAAAUUUAACUAUCAACCAAUAUUGACUCACUAAAAUACGAUAAUACCCCUGUUAAUUAUAGAAUAACUUAUGUUACUGAUAUAUUUAUGUUGGAAAGAUAUAUCACUUAUAUCCCUACUAUUUCUAAAAUAUAACUAAUUCAAACUUUAUGUGUGUCAUUAAUGAAAAUCAUCCUCUAAUCUAUUUUUUAAAAAAUAAAACAAAACCUCAAUAAUAUAUUUCAUAAAACAAGCAUAUUUCGGAAAGAGCUUGCCUCUUUGGUUGUUUUAAAUAACCAACGUAAUCAGUAGUAGUGCUCUAAUAAUACAUAAACCCAUAGACAUGCCAAGUAUACAUUGAUCCAAGCAAAUGGUUGUUAAUAAUUUUAAUGAUUAGUCUGGUUUUGGGGUUCAUUGAUGAAUUUGGGAAGAAGCUAAAGACUGCUUCGUCUGUAACCAAAGGAAGCACAUAACGACGACGGUUGCAUGGUGGAAGACGUGGAGGAACGUGAGCCGUUGGUCGGAGUUUGACAAAAUGAUCAAAAGGGUGUCUAAGAAUUCGAGUAUUUUGGAGAGGUAGAAGAUGUAAGCGUAGAAGAAGAGGGGGCCAGACGGAGAAAUGGUAGGGGGGAAACAGAGGGUGCAAUCGAGGUGGGGUAAAUGGAGGAUGAUGGAGAGAGUGCAACCAACGGCCAUGAUGACGGACAGGAGGAGGAGGGUAAGGUUAUGGACGGCUGUGAUGGGCUUGAGGAUGUGGGGUCCAAUGAAAGGUGAUGAUGGUGGUGAUGUUGAUGUUGAUGUGUGGUAGAGGAUGAAUGUGAGGGAGAGGUAAGUGAGGAUGGAGAGAAUGAGGAAGUGAGGGGAGGAAGCUAGUGUUUGGUUCUGAGUCCAUGUGAAGUUGAGGAUUUGGGGGUGGUUUAUAGCCAAUAUUGGAGUGUUGCGGUAAUUGAAUAUGAAGCCAUGGCUGGUUUUUUGGGGGAGAAAGAUUUGGAAGAGAUGAUGUUGAGAGGAACGGGGGAGUUUAUAAAGUUUUGGGAUAAUGCGGAGGGUAUUUUGGACAUAUUGUUAUCUUAGCUUAAAUUUUCGGAAAAAGAUAAUCAAUAAUAAGCUCUUUUUUCAUGUCAAUUUAAAACUCCGAGUGUGACUCCAAAAAUUGUUUUCGUUUUUCUAUUUUGGAUUUUAAAUCGUAAAUUUAGUAAAGGAAGUUAAAUCAAGUGAUCACUUUUUUUUUUUAAUGUAAAGCAAUUAUUUUUUUUUAUGAUUUAAGCAAAUAUUGAGCUUCGUACUUUAACGAUAUUAAUAUUUGAUUCAAAAUUUCAUCUACUGAAACUACAAAAAUUAAUAUUUUCUAAUAAAUCAAAACUAAAAUUAAAAGAUGACUCAUUGUCUGCCAACUGUCAUUAAACGAAGCCAUCACCCACGCCAAAAAAAAAAAGUGAUAUAUGCAUUUUAACGUAAUUUCAUACCAACAAAUCAUUCUUUUCUUUCGAACAAUGAUCUCUUUAAUUAUCCAGGGCUUUGUGAUAACGGCAUCUUUGGAUGUGAGUGUCAUUAAACUUUUGGCUCAAUCAGACUUGUGGAUUACAUGCACUCAACGUUGAUAAUAUAGAAAUGGGAGAAAAUUAUGUCAGAAAAAUCAAGUCAGUCAAAUAAGAAUUGUGUAUUUUUGAAAAAGUUGAAAAAAAUGGAUUGACGGUGCAUAAUUUCCUAACUCACUAGAAUUUCCUAAAGUAGGAGUAAAAAAGACUCCAAAGGAACAUGGCAAUUAUUAUUAUCUAGGAAAUAAUUCAUAGCUAAAACAAAAUUAAAUUUCCUAACUCACUAGAAUUUAACUGGAGAAAAAUUGGAAUAUACAACGUUGUAUCACAUAUAGUACUUAGACAUCAAGAAAAGAAUCCAUGUAUCAGUGAACCAUACUUGCCAGGAAACACCAGGCGAAUACCACCACCUGGGGUUUUUAAAUAAAGAUGCCUUAAAAGUAGGGUAUUUAGUUAAAUAUACCCCAUGUUUGAAAAUUAUCUAGAUAUACCUUUUUCUAUGGUACAUUGUCUAAAAUAUCCCUAAAGAAAAAUAUAAAACACACACAACUCACCUCCAACACUCUUUACUUCUCACUCUUUUUAACUCCACACAACAAAAACUCACUCCACACUCAAAAUCACUCACGAACAGCCAAUGCACUGAGAUUUUAAUUUGCAGCUGGGUGCAUUAUUCAUCACAUGAAUAAGGUAUUUGAAACUUUAUUUUUAUUUUGUGUUAUUUAUUUAUUUUGUUGACAUUAUAUUAUUUUUAGGGUUUUGUUUGGUUUGUGAUAAACAAUAAAGCAACUCACAUUUUCAUUAUAUUUGCAUCAUAUGACUGUUAUUUGAUGGAUUUUAUAACUACAUUCGUUAAAACCUGAAGUUGCUGCCAAAAUUUUGUUCUGCACCCCGACAUACACGACAGCAGUCGUGUAUGUAUGGAUUUACACGACAACAGUCGUGUAUGUAUGGAUUUACACGACAACAGUCGUGUAUGUAUGGAUUUACACGACUGUAGUCGUGAAAAUGUGCAAAAGAUUCAAAUUAUUAUGACACCCUAUCAUUUUAUUGGUGCAAAAAAUAUAUUAUUUUCAUUAGAUAUAUCAUUUUACUAUUACUAGACUAUAGUAGUGUGUUUUAAUAAGUUACACGACUACUAUCGUGUACGUAUGAACUUACAUAUUAUAAUUGUACAUAUAUGUAAAAUGUUCCAACUAUUAUGAGAUCCCAACAUUUUAUCAGUGCAAGAAAAAUAUUUUUUAAAGAAGAAAUAUGUCAUUUGACUAUUUAUAGUCAUGUAUUUCUAUAACUUACACAACUGUCAUCAUGUAUGUAUGACUUUUGUCAUGUAUGUAUGUAUGAAUUUACACGAUAGCAGUUGUGCAAGAUUGAAAGAUAUAGUAGUUGUUAUGACACAUAGCAUUCUGUUAGUAUAAAGAUUACAUUUUUUUACUAAACAUAUUCUAUAACUGUUUACUAGACUAUAGUUGUGUAUUUUAGCAAGUUACACAACUAUUAUCGUGUAAACUAGCUAUUUACACGACAGCUGUCGUGUAAAUAGACAGAUAGUUCCACACUUCAUAAUAUACCUUGUUUGAUUUUUUUUUUGUAUAAUCAUCUGUUGUAUUAUUACAUGAAGUGACUUCAGUAUGUGUGCCUAUUAUUCUUUAGAAUCAUAAGAAAUUAUGAUAGCAUCACAAGGUGAAGAAAAGUUACGCCGUAAGUACUGUAGGUGUGGUUCUCAAUGAUAUAAUCGACUAACUUGCAAUGCACCAAUCUCAUUGUCUAACAAUGAGCCCGUAGUUAGACCGAAUGAAACAAAAACAAGCACACAUACUACUAUGAACCUUACAUACUUGUCAUUUUUGUUGUUUUAAUUUCUUUAAUAUCUAAAAUAGUUAGUUGAUAAAUUUCUACCUUUUUUGUCUUGCAGCUGGAUAAACAUGUUGUGUGGCUUAUGUUGUUUUCAAAAGGAGGCGAACGGGGCCUUAUAAUACAUGGGUCGAGUGUUUGGGUUGAGCAUGCAAAUAAUUAUGAUGAUUGUGCAGCAACUUCGAUUAUAUUACGACUUAUUUAUGAUUUGAACAUGUAUUGGAUCUAUGUUGUUUGAUGCACAAUUACUUUUGUUAUUUGUUAAAUUGAAGUAUAAUAUGUUAAAGUCUAUAUUGAUUUUGUUGUCAUUAUAAUGAAUGUUUUAGGUAAUUUUAUGUUCUAUGUCCACUUACCCAACUACAGUCGUGUAUUUUGGCUCUUACUCGACUAUUGUCGUGUAUAUCUGAUUGUACUCAACUAUAAAUGUGAAUCUAUUAAAUACUCGACUAUUGUCGUUUAUUUAUGAAAAUACCCGACUAAAGUUAUGUACCAAUGCAAAUACCAGCUGGUCAUGUAUGUUUGCAAAUGCUCGACUGCAGUCGAGUAUCUGUGAAAAUACUCGACUGCAGUUGUGUACCAAUCCAAAUACCACCAGGUUAUAUAUGUUUGGAAAUAUUCGACUGCAGUCGAGUAUCUGUGAAAAUACCCGACUGCAGUCGUGUACCAAUGUAAAUACCAGCUGGUUAUGUAUGUUUGUAAAUACUCAACUACAUUUGAGUAUCUGUGAAAAUACCCGACUGCAGUCGUGUACUAAUGCAAAUACCAGCUGGUCAUAUAUGUUUGAAAAUACUCGACUGCAGUCGAGUAUCUGUGACAGCUGGUCAUAUAUGUUUGAAAAUACUCGACUGCAGUCGAGUAUCUGUGAAAAUACCCAACUGCAGUCGUGUACCAAUGCAAAUACCAGCUGGUCAUGUAUGUUUGUAAAUACUCGACUGCAGUCGAGUAUCUGUGACAGCUGGUCAUAUAUGUUUGAAAAUACUCGACUGCAGUCGAGUAUCUGUGAAAAUACCCAACUGCAGUCGUGUACCAAUGCAAAUACCAGCUGGUCAUGUAUGUUUGUAAAUACUCGACUGCAGUCGAGUAUCUGUGAAAAUACCUGACUGUAGUCGUGAACCAAUGCAAAUACCAGCUGGUCAUGUAUGUUUGCAAAUACUCGACUGCGGUCGAGUAUCUGUGAAAAUACCUGACUACAGUCAUGUAUUUGGGUUGAGCAUUUCUUGAGCAUAUAUGACCAUUCUAUUACAUCACAUAUAUUAUAUAAAACUAUCUUCUCUGUCAUUAAUAUACUUAAUAAAAAAAACAUAUGUAUGAUGUCAAAUUAACUUUAAUGAUAUCAAAUAUCAACAACAUCCCAUUGUAAUCAUUACAUCUCAUGAUAAGUAAUCCAAAAAAUGACACAUCAAUGAAGUUUUUAAGAGUGGGAGACUACGUAGUUUUUUUUUUCCAAGACCUACUCCAAAAUAAUUUGACAGCCAAUGCUUUUUGAAAUUGUGCAACAUCAUCUUGUUGGCAAUAUAAAUUGACAUCAAGUCAGUGGGCCAGGACCUCCAAGAACUGCAACAAAAAUGCUCCACAAUCACCACUAAAAAAAUUCAUAUAAAUCAAUCGUUAAAUAUGACCAUUGUUGUUGUUAAGUCAAAAAAAUAUAAUUUCAGUUUGUAGUAAAAAUAAUACUUCAAACUUAUUAUCACUGUCGUAAUAUAUUAUCAAUCUAUUAAAUGAUCACACAACAUAAAAGCAACAGAUAUGAGAACGUUUUACAACUUAAAAAUGUUCUAUAUAUAAGACAACAUGACUUUCUUACAACUAGUAUCUACAGGAUCAGCAUAACUAUAUUAUUUCAAGAACAAACCCAUCAAAUUAAAAUAUAUUGCCAAUAACUAUGAACUCAAAUAAUUUUUAAAUGAGUUAUAAACAAAAAUAAGAAAUAAACCAUCACUGCCACAUGACAUAAAAAUCAAACUUUAUGUAUCAAGUAUGUUAACAAUUCCAAAUAAAGUAUAAAUAUUCAAAGAAAAUGUUGAAUUUUUCCAUAACACUCAAACAAUUAAUUUUCAUUAGUUCAAUCUGAUUAAUAAGCUAUUAAGUAUGUGUAUAAUUGUCAAAAACUAAAAACAAGUCUAGGAGGAGUGUAUUAAAGGGCAAUUCUCCAAUAGUUAACUAGUUGGAAAUAUAUACAACAACAUUUGCUGCACAAUAAUAUCAAAUCCUAAAUGCUAUGUGACUUCUUCAAUCAAUAGCCUCACAAUGAGACAAAUUAAUAAAAUGAUCGAACAUUGUUUCAAAAUUCACAAGUCGUUCAAAACACAUUUAUUAAUAGUGUACUAUCAAUAGUUUUAUGCUGAAACAAAUAACAAAUUGUUAAUAAAUUAGAAUUGCAAAAUAAAGGUUCUAUAGCAAAUAAUAGAGAAAACCCAGAUUGUAGCAUAAUGAAUGCAUACGCCGCUGAAGAAAAUUGAUAUAUAAUUCCCAUGGAUGAAGUUCAACUACAAACAACAAGUAAAAUUAUAUAAAGAUCUAAUGCAUAAACUAGUGUAGCCAUAACCGAGUAUUCAUAAGGAUAAUAUUUGUUUCAUCCAAUUCUCUAUGAAUAUUUAAUUAGGAACUCCCACAACCAUUAUUAAAGAGCCAUGAAAUCACUCUCUUCAAUUUCAAAUCCACAAGUUCAUUAAGAACAGUGGUACUCCAAUAACAUCAAAAUGGUUGGUGACCACUCUAUCAAAUCCACACAAUAGCUGAUAUCUCAUGUUUGCAUAUAGUCCAAUGAAAGCACCAUAGCCAGGCUCUUUAGUACUUACAGAUGGGAUUGUCACAGCUAACCUGUCAGACAUCAAAUAUGGCCUAAAUUUACAGAUGGGGUUGUCGCGUUAGUGCUUAGACAGUAAACAUUUGCUCUAGUAGCCUGAUUACACAAGAAAUCGAGACAAGUGUUCAAAAUUUUAAUCUUUAUAUAUAGCCAAAAUGAUAAUGUAUUUGAUAAUACUGACCUGAGUUAAUAAAUACGGGGCUGGUGACAAUCACAGCAUCUCAUCAUGUGGGCAAAGCCUUCGCAACAGAAGACGCUGCUUGCUUUGAAGCAAUAAUAACUUUCCAAUUCCAUAAGGUAGCUUAAUGCCCUUUUAGGAUAUCAGCACCAGCCUAACAAUUAUUCAUGGAAAUUCGAUUUGCAUUUAUCACCUUUAAUUUGCUCAUAUUUGCCUAGAGUAUUGUUUUUGCGUUAACUUAACAAGCUUGCAAGCCACCUACAAAUGGUUUUAAAUAAUGUGUGAGAGUGUGAAAUCGAACAAAUUAAUCAAAUAUGAUGACAGAAGAAACAAAAGCAAAACAACCACAAGACGUAGAAAUUCACUUUUGUUAUAUUUAGAGCAUCUUCUACCGUCUUCUUUUCCUUUAGCUCUGUUUCUGUGUGUGUUCAAACGCAAUGCCUCAAGGCUCAAGAUAACUUUUUGACCAUCAAUCUUUUGCAGCCAUGUGCAGACUUGAAACACUGUAGUGUCCCUAAGUAACUUGAAAAUUAGAAAGUUUCAGUAUGAGUGACUAAAUAUGAUAAUCGAAACUAAUUUAAUAUACACACCUUGUAAAUCUGAAACUAAAUUACUCAAAUGUAUAUGCCUCAUCGCAGCAAUUGCUUGUGGUGGAAAGUUUACUGCAAAGACUUCCUCAAACCCUUGAAGAUCACACUCUUCCUGGCAACAAAGAAACAGAGUUAAUGUACGAAGAUGAUUUUACUAACAAGUGAGAGCUUGCAAAUAUUGGAAGGAUAACGAUUACUCAUAACCCAAAUCCCCAAUACACUCUAUUAUCUCACUCAAGUGAGUUCAAGCUCCCAAAAUUCACUACAGUGAAACUCUCACAACAAAAUUCUAUUCAAAGAUUCUCUACUCAAAUUUGAUUAAGCUGCUUAGAAUCCUUAACCUGAUAACUUACACAAACAAAAACAACUUGCCUAAAGUUUAAUAUUUAGAGGCAGAACAGUAAAGAAGAAGAUAUAUAUUGAUACUAAAAUUUGACCUGUAUUGCCCUGAUGUCAAGAAUCACGGCAUCUUAUGUGGGCAAAAUCUUCACAAUACGAGAUGCUUGCAAAAUUGAAGCAGCAUCUUAUCACCUGUAAUUUAAUUAAGACAAUAACUUUCCCCAACUAUUUCAAUGCAUUAUUGGCAACUAAAUUCAGAGAGCGCUAAUUAAAUAUCCUUUUAAUAAUAUCUUCUUAUUCUUCUCCAAUCUAACAGUUAUUUGGAAAUCUGAAAAGAGGUUCAACAUUUUACAACCAAUCAAAAAUCACUGAACCAUUGGAAAGUGAUUUACGUAUAAUUUUUUUUUCCAAACUCUGCCCAAAAUGAUGAAUGAGAUAGGAUGACACAAGAAACAAAUGUAAAUUGACCGCAAGUAGAAAUAUACUUCUAUUAUAUUUGCAACAUCUUCUAGUGUCAAUUGCUUUUCCUUGAGCUCUGUUUCUGCAUGUGCUCUGUUAAGGAAGUCCAAUAUGCUGAGCUCACAGAGAGUAGGAGUAAGAAGGAGAAGAAGCUUCAGUCUCAGUCAGUCAAACAUUUCAGCAAUGCCAGCUCAUCAGAGUUAGUUAAGCAAGUUGCCAGAUCAGCACAAGAUGGUUAAGCUUGUUAUCAGUCAUUUCGUAUGUGUGUGUAACUGAAUGUAAUUAGCUUAAGCUGUAAUCUUGUGCGUGUAUAUAAGUUUAGUUGAUUCAAUUGCAAAGGUUAAGAAAAAUCAAUAAGAAAUAAAGUGAUCUUCUCUCUGAAAAUAAUUUUCCUAAAAAACAAACAACUCAUUUUCUCUUUCAUGGUAUCAGAGCCAUCCAUGGCUAGUUCCAGUACAAUAAAUCAAAAUUGUUCAAAUUUCAAUCAAAUGCAUUCCACACAAACUUCAUUUACCUUUGCCACAACAGUAAAACUCGAUCGAUCAAACUUCCUUCUCUGGCGCAAACAAGUGAUUACUUCAAUCAGAGGGAAUCGACUUGAAGGAUUAAUCUCAGAAAAACAAAAUGUUCCAGAGCAAUAUGUUUCUCAGUCCCAAGCUGAUGGAUCUGUGGAAAGGAUUGAAAAUCCAGCUUAUGUCAACUGGAGAGCUCAAGAUCAGACUCUACUUAGCUGGCUUCUAUCAACAAUCAGUGAAGGUAUCUUAAGCUUAGUUCUUAACCAUGAAACUUCUUUUGAUGUAUGGAGAUCUAUUGAAAAGCAAUUUGGAGUACAAUCUAAAGCAAAAAUAAUGCAACUUCGAUAUGAAUUAGAUACUCUGAGAAAAGAGUCAAUGUCCAUUGAAGAAUAUUGUUCGAAAAUGAAAAUGCUAGCUAAUAAACUUGCAUGUGCUGGAGAUAACAUAACUGAAAAGGAUUUGCUGAUAAGGACACUAAAUGGACUUGGAUCUGGCUAUCUAGAUCUGGCUUCAAUAAUCACAGCCAAUAAGAUGAGUUAUGAUGAUGCGUAUGCACUUUUACUGACACAUGAAGCUAGGCUGGAACAAAAUCAGAAUCCUCAGGCUAUGUUUAAUGCAAAUUAUAGUAUGAUGAAUACAAAUUAUUCACAUAUGAGAGGUGCUCCUAGGAGAAAUGCUUAUGGUAAUAGUAGUGCCAUUUAUGGACAAUCUGGAGGCAGAGGUCAGAUUUUUGGUCGAGGCAUGUUUUCUGCUUCUUAUCCUAGAGGAUUUCCAGCUGGUGGUAAUACUGCUAGUGGUUUUGGUAGAGGAAAUGUUGCAGGUUUUGGAAGAAAUCAGUUCAUGCAGUCUCAUAGGCACCACAAAUGAGGCAUAUGUUCACUCCUGCUAAUACUUCAAAUGUUUCUGAAUCAAGUGAGCCAUUACCUAUAUGUCAAAUAUGUCAUAAGCAAGGACAUACUGCUGAUGCAUGUUGGUAUAGGUAUGGUGAUGCUUAUUUUUCCUCACCUAAACAAUUUGGAAGAGGAAAAAUGAUGGGAUCUAAGACUGCAUAUAUGGCUAAUUUUGAGCCAUUUCCUUAUCAACCAUCUUCAUUUGAAGAUCCUUAUGAAAUCUCAGACUCUAGCUGUCAGUUCAUGAACUAUUCUCCUGUUUCCUCUUAUCCAUCAGAGGCUUUUACUCUGCCUGAAGCCUAUGUUGCAAAUGUUGAAGGCUCAACUGAUGAAGGGUGGUAUCUUGACAGUGGAGCUACACACCAUAUUACCAACAACAUGGCAAAUAUGCAUGUGAGAGAAGAAUUCAAAGGCUCAGACCAAUUGACCAUCGGCAAUGGACAAGGUUUGAUCAUUACUCAUAUUGGUGAUGCAUGCUUUAACCAUAAAAGUUUCAAAUCUGCCUACAAACACACACCUGUAGCACUCAAGGAUAUUUUGUUAGUUCCCUCAAUUACUAAGAAUUUGAUAAGCAUAUCCAAAUUGACCACUGAUAAUAAUCUUUCCAUUGAAUUUGUUGGCAAUAAUAAUCUUUCCAUUGAAUUUGUUGGCAAUGUGUGUUAUGUAAAGGAUUUACUGAAGGGACAAGUACUUCUGCAAGGUCUUGCUGAGAAAGGAUUGUAUAGGCUGCUGUUAAAAUCAUCAGAGUCAUCACAGUCUCCCUCUUCCUUCGUGUGUCAAGUUUCUUCAAAUCAGCCUCUGUCUAUGUUAUCAACAUGUCAUGUUUCUUUUCCUAUUUCAAAUAAUGUUCAGAAUAAACACUCAAGCUCUAAAGCUUGUUUUCAAACUGAUGUUUCCUCUUGUAAUUCAUUUGUCAAUAAAGUUGAUCUUCUUCAUAGAAGAUUUGGUCAUCCUCAUCAUAAUGUCUUCAUGCAUUUGCUUAAGAAUGAUCAAACUAUUAAUCUCUCAUCUUCUCUUAUUAACCAAGCUGCACAACAAAUAUGUGAUGCAUGUCAAAUGGGAAAAAGUCACAGGUUGCACUUCCCUGUCUCAGAAACCAAAACUUCUCAGGUGCUUGAACUAAUUCACACUGACUUAUGGGGCCCUUCACCUAUCCUUUCUAAAGCUGGUUAUGUCUAUUAUAUCAGCUUUGUUGAUGACUUCAGUAGAUACACCUGGAUUUAUCCAUUAAAAUUGAAAUCAGAAGCCCUACAAGUCUUCAAAUUGUUCAGAUUGCAAGCUGAAAAACAAUUUCAAAGUCCCAUUAAAAUGCUGCAAUCUGACUGGGGGGAGAGUAUAGAGCAUUUACUGAUUUUCUGAACCAAAAUGGAAUCAUGUUCAGACACUUGUGUCCCUAUACACAUCACCAAAAUGGGGUAGUUGAGAGGAAACAUAGGCAUGUUGUUGAGUUAGGACUCACACUUCUAGCUCAAGCUAAAUUACCUUUAAGUUUUUGGUGGGAAGCUUUUCAAACAGCAGUUUACCAUAUUAACAAGUUGCCUUCUACAACUCUGAAAUUCUUUACUCCAUAUGAAAAAUUGUUCAAACAUAAACCAGACUACAAAAUGCUUAAAUGUUUUGGCUGUGCAUGCUAUCCAUAUUUGAGAGAUUAUAACAAGCAUAAGUUUGGCUACCAUUCUAGCAAAUGUAUUUUCAUUGGGUACAACCCUUCUCAUAAAGGGUACAAGUGUUUGCAUCCAUCUGGUCAGGUUUAUAUAGCAAGACAUGUUGUCUUUGAUGAGUCUUCUUUUCCUUAUUCCUCAGAUUCUGCUUUUGCUUCUAAUAAAUCAAACUCAUGUCAAAACUUGUCUUUCACUCCUCAGCAAGUGUAUCAUCUAUCCACUUUGCCAUUAUUCUUAACUUCAGAUGAUAACAGCACUCAUAAUCCUAACUCUGCAAGCUCUACCAGUAGCAGUUCUCAUCAUUCAGUUUCUCCUAAUCAUAACAACAAUUCUCAUCUAUUGUCCCAAACAAACACAUUACCAAUCACUAAUACAGAGCCUAAUACAGAACUUCAUACUUCUUUACCAGUUCAGCCAAUCACCACCAACAGACCUCCCAUUUUUCAAACAUUACCUGAAACAAAUCAAAACACAUUAGCUCCAGAAAACACACAACAAUCCAAAACUCCUUUAAACACACGUCCUAUGACCACUAGAGGUAAGAUUGGCAUUUUCAAGCCUAAGCUCUACAAUGUAGCUCUUGUUCAUAAAGAGCCAGAAUCUGUAGAAGAAGCUAUGCAGAAUCCUAAAUGGUUUGAAGCUAUGAAUGAAGAAUAUAGUGCUCUGCUCAAGAACAAUACAUGGUAUUUAGUUCCAAGAUCUGAUGGUCAGAAGAUUGUUGGAAACAAGUGGGUAUAUCGAGUUAAGCAUAACUUAGAUGGAAGUCUGGCCAAGUACAAGGCCAGAUUAGUUACUAAGGGUUUUCAACAAAUUGCAGGGGUAAAUUACUUUGAAACUUUCAGUCCAGUGGUAAAAUUAGCUACUGUUAUAGUAGUGAUUAGUUUGGCUGUUAUGAAUCAGUGGCAAAAUCAGGCAGGUAGAUGUUAAUAAUGCCUUUCUUAAUGGGGAGUUAACAAAGAAGUUUUUAUGGAUCAGCCAGCAGGUUUGUUGACAGUCAAAAACCAAACUUUGUGUGUAAACUCCAUAAGUGGCCUCAAGCAAGCUCCACGAGCUUGGUAUGAAAAGUUAAGAAGUUGUUUGUUACAGUGGGACUUUGAAAACUCAAGAGCUGACACUUCUCUGUUCAUCAAGAAAACCAGCUCAUAUAUGAUAUUGGUACUGAUUUAUGUUGAUGACAUCUUAAUCACAGGACCAGAUAGUGCAGAACUAGAAUCUUUCAUUGCCAAAUUUAAUGCAGUUUUUGCACUAAAGGAUUUGGGUACUCUCUCUUAUUUUCUGGGCAUAGAAGUCUUAUAUGGUGCAGAUUGCAUUUAUAUGUCUCAAAGGAAAUACAUAAGAGAUCUAUUGACUAAGGUUCAGUUGCUUGAGUGUAAAGAGAUUGACACACCUUUGAGUACUGGAAUUAAGCUGCAAAAGGAAGCUCAAGGAUAUCUAGGCCAAUAUAUUGCUGAUGCUACACAUUACAGGAGCAUUGUAGGAGGGAUGCAAUAUUUGGUUUUAACAAGGCCAGAAAUUGCCUUUGCUGUAAACAAGUUAAGUCAGUAUGUUUCAAGUCCUACAAUGCAACAUCUUAUAGCCUGUAAGAGAGUGCUUAGAUACUUAAAGUCUACUCAAGAUUAUGGACUUAAGUUUGUUCAAAAUGGAGAAAUGAAGAUUACUGGAUUCACUGAUGCAGACUGAGCUUGUGAUUUAGAUGAUCGAAAAUCUGUUGGAGCCUAUUGCAUCUACUUAGGUAAUAAUUUGAUUUCAUGGUCAUCCAAGAAGCAAUCAGUCAUUGCUAGGUCUAGUGCUGAGAGUGAGUACAGGGCCUUAGCUUCAGCUAGUGCAGAGAUCAGCUGGUUACAAUAUUUAUUUUCUGAAAUUGGUUUGUGUUGUUCAGAGAUACCUACUGUCUGGUGUGACAAUACCAGUGCCACUGAGCUUAGCUCAUAAUCCUGUUUUCCAUUCUAGAACUAAACACAUCGAGCUUGACUUACACUUCAUCGGAAACAAAGUGAUUGCAGGGGAGUUAAAAAUUCAGUACAUUCCCAGUGAAGAACAGAUUGCUGAUAUCAUGACAAAACCUCUUUCGUUUGUUCAUUUUAACUAUCUGAGAUCAAAACUCAAUGUGCAGCCUUACCCCUUGAGUUUGAGGGGGGCUGUUAAGGAAGUCCAAUAUGCUGAGCUCACAGAGAGUAGGAGUAAGAAGGAGAAGAAGCUUCAGUCUCAGUCAGUCAAACAUUUCAGCAAUGCCAGCUCAUCAGAGUUAGUUAAGCAAGUUGCCAGAUCAGCACAAGAUGGUUAAGCUUAUUAUCAGUCAUUUCGUAUGUGUGUGUAACUGAAUGUAAUUAGCUUAAGCUGUAAUCUUGUGCGUGUAUAUAAGUUUAGUUGAUUCAAUUGUAAAGGUUAAGAAAAAUCAAUAAGAAAUAAAGUGAUAUUCUCUCUGAAAAUAAUUUUCCUCAGAAACAAACAACUUCAUUUUCUCUUUCAAAAUGCAACACACAUACCACAAGAUAUAAUUAUCAACAGGAUCUCCCUAAGUUACAUGCAUGUAACUUAGCAUUAGCCUUAUCAACAUGAAUCUUUUGCCGCCACAUGCAGCCCAAAACUGUUUAUGGCCAUAAAGAACGGGAUAAUCAGAAAUCAUUAACAACGAGAGAAAUCAUUUUAAUCGCAGCCAAACAUACACACUAAGAAAAUCUAAAAUUUAAUUUCUCCCAAUGAAUGUGCCUCUUCACAGCAAUUGCACUAGCUAAUCCCAGCAGCCUGCGUCAUGGAGCUUCUCCCAAUGAGUGAGUGAGCCUUCAACAAUUAUCACUUAGCUCAAACUAAAAUGAAAUUAUUGUGGACAUCUGAAUUAAAAAUACAUGUAAAAGCAGUUUUCUCAAAGCAAGGUCAAGAUAAGAGAUUAACUCUGCUCCUUAUUUACAUUAAAAAUAACAAACAAUGAAAAACAAAGCUAGAGAAGAACUUACCUGUGCAUUGAGACCAUGUGGGGAAUGUGAGAUGUCUUCUUAUAUUUGUUUUGAGAAACUCCAUCUUCUUCUGAAAGUUCUGACAGUUCUGACAGUUCCCUAAACCCAGGCCAAUACAAUUGCAACAGAAACUGCAUGCAUUAAGCAGCAUCUGAUCAUCUCCUGUUAUUUCAAGAUAAUAAUAACUUAAUUGCAACACUGCAUGCUUCAACCAUUAACCUUUUCAACUUCAACACUUCUUUUGUCCCCCUCCCGAUGCCCUUUUCACAAUUCUAUGAAUCAGAUAAAUCAGCCUUCUUCGCAAAACUAUGAAAAACUUUUCACCGUGUUCCACACAUUCCGGGAUUAGUAUUGAUAACAAACAUUUGAUGAAGACCCUGCCAAUUAAAAUUUCGGUCCCCAUGUAGCAGAAUUUCUUAUUUUUCCUUUGUACACAAAUGCAGACACUUACGCAAAUUAGGAUUUCUUUUGACCCUGCAAGUUACAAUUUCAGUCCCCAUGUAAUAGAAACAUUUUGUACACAUAUUUAUAGCAAACUAAUAUUUCAUACCUCACAAUAUUUAUCAUAACCAUCAAUCUUUAGAAACCACAUGCAGACUUUUUAACUGUUUAUGGCCCAAAAUAACAGGAAAAUUAGAACAGAUUUUUAAGAAUGAGCCACUACAUAUUUCAAUGGCAACUAAAAUUACACAUCUUGGAAAUCUAAAACUCAAGUACUCAGAAUGAAUGUGCCUCUUCACAGCAAUUAAACAAGCUGGGAACUUUAGUGCAAAUGCUUUUUCAUAAUCUUCAAUUGCAUAAGUCAGUAAGAAUCAAUCUUUCUUAAUCUUUCAAUUCACACAUGAGAGCCUGGUAACACAAGGAAACACUGUAAGUGAAUUGUCAACUCUGACAUAUUUUGGGUAAAAACUAUCAACUGUAGUUAUCCGCAUAACAUAUAGUGUCAACACCAAAUUCCUUCCUGAUUCGUGGAAGCAUUUCAGCCCACAGACGGUUUGGUUUGUCAAUAUAUAUCAAGCUUUGUAGCUUUUAAGAAACUGACAGGUGAAAGACCUGGAAUUUUCGAUAGCAACUCAGGAUUCUAUAUUUAAACUAUGAUGUUUGAUAACUUGCUGAUACAAAAGACAUUGCCCCAAGCACUUUUUUACAGGAGCUAAACUCAAGCAAGUCACUUCCAUUUGUUGCAGUUUUAACGCAGAAAGAAAAGGGAGAAAAAAAUCUGCAAGAUACCGCAUGUUCGCAGAAGCAGAGUUGAAUAAUUACAAAAUUACAUUCUUGAUUGCACAGAAAUGAUUACAAAAUUACUUUCCAAUUUCAUAAGGUAGCUUAAUGCCCUUUUAAGAAUAUCUACACCAGCCUGACAAUUAUUCAUGGAAAUUCAAAUUCAAAAUCAUGUUCCUAUGAGAGAUGAAAUGUAAUGAGCGACUUGGCCACUAUAUAUGCAUUUAUCAUCUUCAAUUUGCUCAUCUUUGUCUAGAGUAUUGCUUCUGCGUUAACUUAAUUAGCGUGCAAGCCACCUGAAAAUGGUUUUAAAUUAUGAGAAAGAGUCUGAAUUCGAAAGAAUCAAUCAAAUAUGAUGACAGAAAACACAAAAGUAAAAUAACCAAAAGAAGUAGAAAUAUACUUUUGUUAGAUUUAGAGCAUAAUUCUUCUGUCAAGUUCUUUUCCAUUAGCCUUGUUUCUGUGUGUGCUCAAACGCAAUUCCUCAACGCUCAAGAUAGUUCCUGCGGACCUGAAAAACUAGUUGUGGCCAUAAGGAACUUGAAAAUUAGAAAAGAUUCAGAAUGAGUGACUAAAUAUUUUAAUCAAAACUAAUUAAACCUACACUCCCUGAAAAUCUGAAACUGAAUUACUCAAAUGAAUAUGCCUCUUCACAGCAAUUGGUUGAAACUUUACUGCAAAGACUUUUUGAAACCCUUGAAGAUGAUACUCUACCUGAUAACACAAGGAAACACAAUCAAUAUAAGAAGAUGAUUUUACAAACAAAUGAAAGCUUGCAGUUAUUGGGAGAGCUCUACUCAAAUUUAAUGAGAUAUCUCUCAGGAGGGAGAGCUCUAAUAAUAUAUAAAGCCAAAAAUCUGAAAAUGUCUAACACUCAUCAAAUUGGCUUGUGAAGAAUUAAUCUUCCUUGCCAUCAUACAUGCCAGGUGUGGUGAACAAUCUUCAUUCUGACAUUUGCCUUAAUAAGCUGCUUAGUAUCCUUAACCUGAUAACAUACACAAACAAGAACAACUUUACUAAAGUUUAUUCUUUAAAGGCAAAACAGUAAAGAAGAUGAUAUAUGCUGAUACAAAAAAUUGACCUGAGUUAUCCUGAUGUCAAGAAUCACAGAACCUCAUGUGGGCAAAAUCAUCGCAAUACAAGAUGCUGAAUUCAAGCAACAUCUUAUCACCUGUAAUUUAAUUAAGACAAUAACUUUCCUCAACUAUUAUCCUUCUCAAUUUCAAUGUAUUAUUGGCAACUAAAUUCAUAGGGGACGUAGCUAAUUAAAUGCCCUUUUAACAAUAUCUUCCCCACCUAACAAUUAUUUGGAAAAUCUAAAUGACAAUCAUGCAUUGAUGGCAUAAAAAAUUGGCCACAAAGCUGCCUACAAAAAGGCUUUAAAUUCUUAAUGAGACAACGUAUUCGAACAAAUAUGGUGAAUGAAGAGACAAAGGCAUAACACCUCAAGAAGUAAAGCUCUGUUUCUGUAUGUGCUCAAACCAAUGGAAACCCAUGGAAAUGAAUUUCUACUAAUUAGACAUGUCAGCCAAAACAGGUACUCUGUACAAGCAAAGUAAAAGAGAGUUACAAAAAAAUUUUAAGAUAAUUAAACUUUCAGUCACCAUAUAAUUAAUAGAAAACUUUGUACACAAUGAUUUAUUGGAGAUUAAGAUUGUAUACCUAAGUUUUAAUUGCAAACUAAAUAUACACAACAUGAUAUUAGCAUUAGAAGACCGCACCAAAACGUACCGAAUUAAAUGUACAUCUUCACGGCCAUUGUACCAGCCUAAUCCUUGAUUACACCAAUGUUCUCCAUAGGGUCUUCAAAGUCAACCUAAAAAUAAAAUGAAAAUGCAAUGCAUUAUUAUUAGGGAUCUAGUGCUUGAGCUUGCUUUGACAUCAUGGUAUUAGCAAAUUCUGAUAUAGCCAAAAUGGUGAAUAAGAUGACGUACUUGAUAAGAAAAACCUGAUUUAACAAAUAAUUAAGGAGCAGGUAACAAUCACAGAAUCUCAUCAUGUGGGGAACGCCUUGGCAACAGAAGAUGGUGCUUUCAUUCAAGCAAUAGCAACUUUCCAAUUUCAUAAGGUAGUUUAAUGGCCCUUUUAAGAACAUCUGCACCAGCCUAAUAAUUAUUCAUGGAAAUUAAUAAUCAGAAUCAUGUUAGAUUGAGAGAUGAAACAUAAUAAGCGAUUUGGCCACCAUAUAUGCAUUUAUCACCUUCAAUUUGCUCAUCUUUGUCUAGAGUAUUGCUUCUGCAUUAACUUAAUUAGCUUGCAAGCCACCUGAACAUGGUUUUAAAUGAAGUGUAAGAGCUCGAAUUCGAACGAAUUAAUCAAAUAUGCUGACAGGAGAAACAAAAGUAAAAUAACCACAAGAAGUAGAAAUAUACUUUUGUUAUAUUCAGAGCAUCUUCUAGUGUCAAGUAAAAUAAACGCAAUGGCUCAAGGGUCAAGAUAAUUUUAUGACCAUCAAUCUUUUUGCAGCCACAUGCAGACUUGAAAAACUGGUCGUGGCACUAGGGAACUUGAAAAUUAGAAAAGAUUCAGAAUGAUUGACUAAAUAUUAUAAUCGAAACUAAUUAAACAUACAUGCCUAGAAAAUCUGAAACUGAAUUUCUCAAAUGUAUAUGCCUCUUCGCAGCAAUUGCUUGUGGUGGAAACUUUACUGCAAAGACUUUCUCAAACCCUUGAAGAUCACACUCUACCUGAUAACAAAGAAAGAGUCAAUAUACGAAGAUGAUUUUACUAACAAGUGAGAGCUUACACAUACUGGAAGGAUAAUGAUUACUCAUAACCCAAAUCCCCAAUACUCCCUAAUAUCUCACUCAAGAGAGUUCGAGCUCCCAGAAUUCACUACUGUGAAACUCUCACAACAAAAUUCUCUUCAAAGAUUCUCUACUCAAAUUUGAUGAUGAUGUCCCUCGAAAGGAGGCAAAAAAUCUAACACUGAUCAAAUUGGCUUGUGAACAAUUAAUCUUCCUGGCCAUCAUGCAUACCAGGUGUGGUGAGCAAUCUUCAUUCUGACAUUUGCCUUAAUAAGCGGCUUAGUAUCCUUAACCUGAUAACUUACACAAACAAAAACAACUUGAUUAAAGUUUAAUAUUUAGAGGCAGAACAGUAAAGAAGAUGAUAUAUAUUGAUACUAAAAUUUGACCUGUGUUAUCCUGACGUCAAGAAUCACAGCAUCUCAUGUGGGCAGAAUCUUCGCAGUACAAGAUGCUUGCAAAAUUGAAGCCGCAUCUUAUCACCUGUAAUUUAAUUAAGACAAUAACUUUCCCCAACCAUUUCAAUGCAUUAUUGCCAACUAAAUUCAGAGGGUGCUAAUUAAAUAGCCUUUGAACAAUAUAUUCUUAUUCUUCUCCAAUCUAACAAUUAUUUGGAAAAUCUAAAUGACAAUCAUGCAUCGAUGGCAUCAAAAUUUGGCUACAAAGCAGCCUGGAAAAGGCUUUACUCUCUGAAUGAGAGCAUGAAUUCGAAACAAAUAUCAUGAAUGAAGAAACAAAGGCAUAAUACCACAAAAAGUAAAACUUUUUCCCAGGGCUCUCUGUUUCUGUUUGAACUAAAACCAAUGGAAACCGAUCGAAAUGAAUUUCUAGGAAUUUGACAUAUUAGCCAAAACAGGUGCUCUGUACAAGCAAAGUAAAACAGGGUUACAAAAAAUUUUAAGAUUGAUAUGAUAAUUAAAAUUUCAGUCACCAUAUAAUUAAUAGAAAACUUUGGACACAAUGAUUUAUUGCAUAUUAAGAUUGCUAUAUAAAAUAUAAUAUUAGCAUUAGGAGACCGCACCAAAGCAUACCGAAUUGAAUGUGCCUUUUCACAGCCAUUUUACAAGCUUUGAAGCUUUACCACAAAUGCUUUUUCCAACCCGUGAACAUGAUGCACCCGAGAGAUGCAAGCUAUGAAAUUGUUACUACAGCAAGCCAUUUUACAAGGAAGUUUAUGAAAAUAUGCCUUUGGAAACCCGUCUUCAGGAAUGAAUUCAUCCGCAAUAACAAUUUUCAAGACGUAUCAACUGCUUCAAGCUCAUCCAAUAGAGCAGAUCCCGCCUGACGAACAAGGAGGGCUAUUCUGAUUUUUUCUUGAAUCCCUGGUGAACAUAAUUAAACUCGUAUGAAAUAAAACAAAGUGGGCUAAUGUACUACUAAAAACAAUUACACAAUUACUUUAAAGAAUUAAUGUCACAUAAAUUAUAUAUAAAAAAAUACGAUUAUCAUUAUACAAGAUAAAAUUGAUGAUUUAGUUUUCAACAUUUCUGCAAAUGUAUCACAGAGAUUUUGUCUCUCAGGAAGUUGCACAUAACAAAUUUUCGUGCAUUAAAAAAUAAAAUAUAUUAGGAUUUUCUAUGAUGUUGUAUGAAAUUUUACAAAAGACUACAUUUUUUUUUUAAAGAAAAUAUAGAAAUUUCAUCAGACUACACUUGUUUUUUUUAUUUAAUCUUUAGAAAACAAGUUUAACUGAUUUGAUAACUAGGAAGUUUAAAUUUUAAAUAAUUAAAAUUAAAAUAUUAUCCUAACUAACUUUUAAUUUUUUGAACUAUUGAUUAAAUCUAACAGUAAAUAUUUAUACCAUGAUUGAUUUUAUAAUUUUUAUAACAAUAUCAUAAAGUGACCUAUUAAAUUAAUGGUUCAAGUAAAUAAUUGAAUUCAAUACGCAAAUCAAAAUAUUAGAAAAUAUUAUAUAUUCCCAUCAGACAUUGGCAAUAUACAGAAUUUUAAUUCAAAAUAUAAAUAUUUUUAUUAAUUUCAUUGCAAGCAACAACAGGGUAAAUCAGAGGAGGAGAAAUUACCGUCGGGUGACAUCUGGAUGUGGGGAAUGUGAGAUAUCUUAUGCCGUGACAUCUGGAUGUGGGGAAUGUGAGAUAUCUUAUGCCUGUCUUCUCCUUUCCCCUCUCUAUAACGGUUUUCCAGAAUGGGACAUCCCCAAAUUUUCAAUUCCUGCAGUGCCGUCGUCUGAAGAAGGUAAUCCGGCAGCGCCUUCAAUUUGGGGCAAGACUCAAUCGACAAGAGAGAAAGACGUGGCAUGACGGAGAUGUUUUCCUUCCUCGUAAUCCUGUAAUUCCACUCUUCCAGUUCUGUCAUGACGCUAAUUUCGAGUGAUUUCAAAUUGGGGAAGGCAAUAACUGAUGAUGACGAUGAAGAUGAAGAUGGAUCAUCCUCAGUGCUUUCUUCUAUUCCCAAAAACUCAUUACCCACUCUUUUUACACUUUUCAAAUUGUAUAGGGUGAGUUUUUCCAGAGGUAAUUUUCCCAAAGGAGGCAAAUGCUCACAGUCAAUGCACGAGAGAAGUCUUAAUUCGCUUAGAUUGGUUAGUGAAGUCAACCAUUUGGGAAAAAUGUUGCCUCCGUAGAAUCUAAUCCUUAACUCCUCUACAUUCAAAGGCGGUUGUAAGGCUUCAAGAAGUUGUUCAUCUUUCUCAUUCUUCCUCCUCCCUUCUUCGCCUUCCCCAUCUACAACUCUACCAAACUGAAGACCCAAACGAAGGAGGUUUUUCUUAUUGUAAAGUUGUAACCUCUCAGCCUCAUCUACAUGCGAUACAUUACUUAGCCCUUGUACUCUACAUUCACGAAGGAGUUGAAGAUUUUUCAGAGAUUCAAGCCUACACGUGCUGCCACCAUCAACACCUCCACCCACAACAAACUUUUCUAAUGUUCGAAGACUGGUUAAUUUGGAAAUCCCUAUUGGCAUGUACUUCAACGAACGAGUUUCACCAUUCAGUAAACUCCUCAUGUUCAUUAACUUCCCAAUCCCCUCUGGCAAUUCUCUAAGAUUUCGGCACAGCCUAAUAUCUAGCUUUUGUAAAUUAUAUAAUUCACACAAAGUCUCAGGUAGUCUCUCUAUGACUAAUUCAGACAAAUUAAGAUAUUUUAAAUGUAUCAAUUUUCCAACAUUUUCUGGAAUUUCUCUAAUCCAAUUUGCCUCAGGAUGCGAACCUAAAAGGUAAUAUUGCCUUAUAACUAAUGCCCUUAAACAUGCCAAUUUACUAAAUAACUCCGAAAGGAUGCUAUUAUUAAGAGAUGGGUUGAAAAGAUUUUCAUCAUAAAUUAAUAGGGUAUGCAAUCUAUUAAGUCCAUGAAUGGACAUAGGAAAUGAAGUGCCUCCUUGAAAAUUUAACCCUAAGUGACGGACUUUGUCACCAAAAGAGUUUAUGACUGAUUCCUUGGUACCAUUAAUUUCUAGCCACAAACAUUCUUUGCUACUUACAAAUUGAGCAAAAUCAUGUACGAUGUCAUGCAUCUUGCAACUCAUAAUAUCAUCGUCAUUUUUCUGAAAUUCUUGAAAGAAAGAGCGUGUAGUUAAGAUGUUGAAAUACUCUUCUCCAAUCAUCUCCAUUUCUUCGUCUUCAUCUGCAUUAAGGUAACCUUGAGCCAUCCAUAGAUUAAUCAAUUCCCUUUUGUUCAUAUUGUAGUCUUUUGGAAAGACAGCACAAUAUGAGAAGCACCGUUUUACCAUAGAAUUGGAGGGCAAAUCAUUAUAACUCAACAACAAAGGAGCCAAAAUACCUUGUCCAAUCUCUUCUACUUUCCACAUUUCACUCUCUAAAAUUCUUUGCCACUCUUUUACUGUACUUUUAGAGCGCAAGAGAUUCCCUAUUACCUUUGCAGCAAGAGGCAGGCCUUUGCACUUACAUGCAAUUUUUCGCCCGAUUGGUUCUAAUUUUUCACAAUCCUCAAAGGACCUACGUAGAAAUGCUAUCUGCUUAAACAGUAACCAACAUUCCCCUUCACCCAACUCCUUGACAGGGAUAAUAUCUAUUGAUCCCAACUGCAGUGCAACUGACCUAUCACGUGUGGUAAUUAGAAUUUUACUUUCAUGGUGGCCAUUCUUUAGACAAGAAAAGAAUGGGUCCCAUUUUUUGUAAUCUCCAUCCCACACAUCAUCUAAAACAAGAAAAAUUUUCUUCCCUGUAAUAUAUUCCUGAAUCUGUUUCAUAAGAGAUUCGAAUUCGCUUAAACCAGAAGCUGACACGCCUAGACCUUCAAUGAUUGCUUUGGCGACCCUAAUCUCCUCAAAAGUGUAUGAUACACACACCCAUAUAACUUUGCCAAAAUUUCUUUUCACCUCAUCAUUAUUAUACGCCAAUUGUGCAAGAGUGGUUUUACCUAUACCCCCCAACCCAACUAGUGAAAUGACAUGAAGGCCUUUUUGUUGUUCACUACUUUCACACAACAACUUGCUUAAGAGCUCAUUUUUCUCCUCAACUCUACCGCAAACCUCUCCCUCAUCAAUCAAGGAGAUGGUUCGCACUCGCUCUGGAUUCCUAACAUUGUUACUCACAUUCUCAACAAAAUUAAACCUAUCUUUUCGAGUGGCAAUUUCAUCUAGCCUUUUACUGAUUUCUCUAAUCUUGACAGCAAUAUGAUGACGAAGACUGAGUUGUUUGAAACCACCAAAGCAGUUUGAGGCAGCAGGAAAGAAGGAACAUACCUUCGUCAAAAAAGUAACAAAAGCACUGUCGUUAUCAUCAUCAUCAUCAUCAUCGCCUCCCUCAUCAAGCUGCAAUUUCCGUGUUUCAGUGAUCCACUCGUCCAACACAUCUUCCAUGUCGUAGGAUGCGUCUCUGAGCUGAUCCAGCCAAAAAGUAACAGCUUUGUCCUGCUUCAUUUGCCUCUGCUCUGCAUCUUCCACCACAGCUUGAAUGGCUUGAAGAUUGGUGGUAAGCUUUCCCACUUCUUGUUCGACACCCGUCACAAGCCUCCACUUUUCUUUCACCUGAUCUUGAGCAAUGGAUUUCAGCUGGUCCAAGAGAGAGGAAACGAUCGCAUGAGCCAUUCUGAUAUUAGAUCAAAUGGUAAAUGCAGCAAUUGCUUUUCUUGCUAAAAUGCUCCGAGGAAUGGAUCCACUUUUCAAUAUAGCUUUAACGUAUGGAUCCAAUUUCUCAUCUAUAUGGCCUUUUAUUAUCAGGUAGGGCGAAGCCAUUUGGUCAUUUGAAAAAGUUGUGAUUCCGUUUUAGUCCAUUAUGUCACGACAAAAAGAGAAUUGUUAAAUAUAACAUUCUCAAAUUAUUUUGUGGUAGUCGGGGCCCAUGCCCGUGGAAACGAGAAAAAAUAAAACAAAAGUUGGAAAAAUCAUGCAGCCGACCCUUUUUUCUAUCUGAUUGCGCAAUAUUAGGUAUAAAACAGAGAAUUAUUGCAAUUUUUUUGGAGUGUGGCCCCAAUUUGAAAUAGAAAUAUUGUCUAAUUGCUCUUCAGAUGUGAAAAGUGCAGGCGUCGAACAGCUACUUGUCUUCAAUAAUUCAUAAGAUGAAAUGGAUGAUUACUGUCUUGGCCGGCCUGCCAAUGAGAUAGAUGAAAGUCAUCUUGCAAAAAAUUAAAAUAUUGAAUUCCCCUAAUUGGAAUUGGGGCCAUGUAUGGUGUAUAAAAUAGCAUUAAACAACAAACACAGACAACAAUUAAUGCUAUUUUAUACACCAUACACGGCCCCCAUUCCAAAUUAAAAUAUUGACAUUAGUUGCGUUUUCAUCUUGUCUUCAAUAAUUAACAAGAUGAAAGGAAUCCAAACGCACGAUGAACGACCUGUUUUACUCUUUGGCCUUAUCUGUGAAUGACCUGUUUAGACUUCAAAUUUUUCCCGACGGUGGUUCACCGAUAUUAUUCCCUGAAAAUAAAAUCAGACUGUGCUUACAGUUACCCCCUUGCAAACAGAAAAUUGAGGGGGAAUUUUUUUUUUUUCUGGAUCCCAAAGAAAUUAGAAAGAGAAAACUGAAAUUUAGUUGUAUUUAGUCACUAAUUUUUCAUGACUAAAUUGCAGAUCCUCAGUCUCAUUAGUUCUUCACUAUCGUCAAGCAAGCUCUAAUUAUUAGGGGCGGAAAAAGGUAUAUGGUCAUCAGUCCCAACUCUCUCUCUACAAGUGACAUUAACAUUUCGUUUUGACAUUUUCUUUCUACACAUACAAAUCGCAACUCUCUUUUCCUCUUAGAUUCUAAUAAAACAGGUAAUAAAUUGCUGAGAGUAUCCAUCUCAAGCUUAAUUAAACUUUGAGGACCAAUUCUGUCAUAGAACAAGCAUUAAAAAAAAAAAAUCUAAUUGGGUUAAAAUAAUUAUAAAUAAAUUACUUUAAACAAUAAAAAAGAAUUAAAUUUUAACUCAAGUAUAAUUUGAAAUUUUUUAUUCUUUAUUGUGUAGUUAUUGAUCUAAUUGCAGAUUAAAUUCAUUUAAAAUUUCAGAAUUUAUCUGAUUGCGCAAUAUUAGAUAUAGGCAAAUGCGACUUCAUCGAUCAUCGGGUCAUUUUAAACAGCAGUGGUUCUGUGAUUAAUAUUUUUCUUUUAUUUAAUUAAGAAAAGGAAGAAAAGAUAGCACAUGUUAUGAUUAUUAUGAAUUUUCCAUCCCUUAUAUAAAUUCUCAAAUUUAUUUAAAUUGUGAGUCAUAGAAGGAUAUUACCUAAAUUAUUUUAUCAGGCCAUGUUCAUAUACUAGGAUUAAGUACGAAAUUGGACUAAUUUUGUGAUUAAAUAUUUAUCUCAUGUUUGUUAAACUUAAUUGAAUUGGACUCAGGGACUAAAUUUAAGUUUAAUCCUAAAAUUAUGGGAUUAAUAAUUCUAAUUUACACAUGGUUUUAGUUGGGAUAAAAUUAAAGAAAAAAAGUUAUCUAUUUAUGAGACUUUAAUUCCUAUCAUUACUGUUUAUUUAUACUUAAUAUUAAUUAAUUUUUUAAUUUAUAAUUUACUUAAAAAUUAUUUUUAUUUAUUAUCUAUCAUCUGAUUAAAUUGGAACUUUACUUGUACCAACUCUUGAGAUUAAUUUUUCAUUAUUUGCAUAUUUGAUAAUUUGUGAAUAAAAUUAACCAUUUAAUAAUUUAUAGCAUUAUUGAUUGUAUUAAAUUUAAUAAUCACUAAUAUAAUAUUAAAAAUAUCAUGAAAAUUAACAACACCAUCAAUUAAUUGAUUUUAUAUAUUUUUUAAAUAUUUGAUAAGAAUUUGAUAAAAAUUAAUUAAGUAUUUAAAUUUUUAUUCAUUUUUUAUUUGUUUAUUUUAUUAUGAAUACCCAAUAACUUACAAUAUAAUUAAUUUUCUUAUUCAGACUACUCAGAAUCAACUCCUAUAAAAUUUCUCACAUUAUAAGCAACAAAAUAUUUAUAAACUACUACAAAAGGCUUAGAUCAAUACACCGAUGAGCCUUCUGAAGUUAUAUAUAAUAUAUUAAUUGUUGAUCUAGAAUAGUCUUAGUAGAUAGAUUUUUUUAAUUAUAAAUAAUCAAUAAAUUUUUUAUCGUUUAAUAGGUAUUGAUGUAAUUUCGCCGGAUCAUAUGAAUCCAUUAUGAAUUUCAGCGGAAAUUUGAAUGUAUUCUGGACCGUGCAAGUGAAAUUUCAGAUAAAAUCAUCUCCUGACAAUUUAUUUAUUAUUUUCGGGUGCUGCUCCUGUAACUUUAUUAUGUCAUGACAAACUUCAAAAUCUAAUUUAGAGUGCAACUCAAAUAAUUGUAAUUAGUAAUUUAUUACAUCUGCAGUCGGAUUUUUGUUGAUAAAAAAAAAAAAGAGAAUAAAAUCAAUCCCAUAAUGAUUUUAAUAAAUAUCAUACUACAAAGAAAAUAUGCGAAAGAUAUCUAAGGAAUAAAGCUUUUCCACAAUGAUUUAUAAAAUUGCUUUUGGAGAACGGUUAUGAAAUUAUAUCAAAUUACUAAAAUUUAGUUAACCUCUCAAGAAGUCUAUUUCUCAAGUUUAAAAUUCGAAUGUCAAAAAAGAUAAAAUGUUAAAAAAAUAUUUUAAAUAUUAUCCACCCUUUCACUAUUUUAAUAUACAAAAAGAAGAAUUACUUAUUUUUAACAUAGCAACCGGGGGCAUAAUAUAUCUGAUGGAUUUUUCUAUAGAACAAAGCUUAUUAUAUCUCCUAUUAAAAAUGUCAUUUUUUUGUUAGGAAAAAGACAUUUAUAUCCCCAAAGUUAGGAGAAAUGGAUACCAACGCUCCUAAGUUUUCAAGAAAAGAUACUAAAACUUCUUUCUUACUACAAUACCCUUUACCUUUAUUAUCCCAAAAAUUAACUUUAAUUUUUUUAUAGUAAAGAGAAAUAUAAUAUUAAAAUAAAUGUAAUAAUUUAUACAUUUUAAAAUAAUUUCAAUAUUUAAAAAUAUUUUAAUAUUUUACAAUCUAUUAAUAUAUUUUAUUAUGUUAUAGUAAAUUUUAUGAUAAAUGUAAACAUAAUAUUAAAAUAAAUGUAUUAAAAUUUAAAUUAUUAUGUAAAAUAAUAAUUUUAACAUUAUUAGUAUGUGAGAGUUUUUUAAUUGUAAAAUGUAUUUAAUGCAAAUAUUUAUUUAAAAUCUCUACAAUAAAUACAAAUAUAUUAUUAAAUAAAUAUAUUAAUUUACAUAUUUAAAUUUAUUUAAAUAUUUUAAUCUUAUUAAUCUACAACAUAGAUUACAUUAUUUAUAUAAUAUUUGUAUUUAUUCAUUUGCAAGUUAAAUUUUUCGGGAUACUAAAGGUAAAGGGUAUUAUGGUCAAAAAGGAGUCUUGAUGUCCUUUUUAGAAAACUUGUAGUAUUGGUGACUAUUUCUCCAAACCUUAGAGAUAUAAAUACCCUUUUCCCUUUUUCAUUUUAAGCAAGUGGCAAACUAAAGAUUAAACUGUCAUAAAUUCACAAAAUAUUCACCACAAUAGUUGUAGGAAAUUUCUUCUUCCCUAAGUGGAAAAUACAAAAAAAAAAACAUAAUUGGCAAUUUCACUAGCAAAACUAAUAUUUUAUUCCAUAUCAGGGGCGGAGCUCAGGGUAAAUCUUCAUGAGGCCCAAGUUCAAAUUUCAAGUGUUAGUUGGGGAUUAAUUUUAUUCAGUUUUUUCUAUUUAUAGCUAGUAUGUAGGGUAUUCCAAAAUUUGAGAAUUUUGUGACUGAUAAUUGAAACUAUUGUUGCAAGAGAAAACAAAAUGAACAAAAUAAAAAUCAAAGAGGUAGGCCCAAACUUACAAACUUUUAAAAAAGGCUAUGAAAAAUAAUUAACAAAUAAAAAUCAAACAAUCAGGUUUAAUUGAUUUUAUUUCACAAAAUAUACAAUUAAAGUUUCAUUAUAUGUAUCAAGUUUAUGUAUCAAGUAUUCAAGGGCAAAUUAGUCAUUUUAUACCUAAUUUUGAAUAUUUCAUUUAAAAACCUCAAAAAAAAUUUCAAAGCUUAUAGGGUGAUGGUCCCCUCUAGGAGUGCACAAAUUUGGGUUUGGAUCAACUUGAUUGGGUUUUAGGUUGAUUGGCUUGGAAUAUUCGAAUUGGAUUAGAUCAAAUCAAAACUUUGGAGUUGAGUCUAGAUCGGAUCAGGUUAUAAUUAUAUGAGGCCGAGGUUGGGUUUGAGUUAAAUUUGAAUUUGGGUCAAUUAUGAUGGAUUCAGAUAAUGUUCGGAACAAGGGUAAUUUUGGGCCUUUUUUUGUUUUGAUUCUUUUUCAAAAUUAUCUCAUUUUAGUUCAUUUUUACAAAUUUUAAACUAAAAAAAUGAAAACUACUACUAUGAAAUCAAAUGUACAAAAAUUAAAAUAAACCAAAAAUAAUAUUGUUAAAUUAUGCUAUCCAGGGGUUAUUGGUUAUUAUAAAAAAGUAGGACGUAAAUGAUAUAUAUUGAUUACAGUAUGGGGGAAAAUUGUCAUUCUCCCUCUAUAUAUAUAUAUAUAAAGAGUGGAUAUGGGGCCUUUUAAUGCUUUAGCUUAAGAGCAAAAGUAAAAGAUUAUAAAGAAAAGGAUGUAUAUGUCAGCAAGAGACUUCGUAUUACCUUUGCAUUAAGAGGCAAGCCUUUAAACUUGUAUGAAAUUUUUUUUUUUUGAUUGGUUCUAAAUUUUCAAGAUCCUCAAAGGACCGCCAAAAGCAUACUUGCUUAAACAGUGACCAACAUUCUCUUUUAGCCAAUUCUUUUACUGGGGCUGAGAGAUCAAAGGCAACAUUAUUGGGGCCGAGCGAUUACUUAAUUUGACAUAAAUUAAGAGUAGACGCCGGCUAAUGAAAAUUACAUGCCAACUAAAGAUAUUGUCUUGAACAAAUUGGCAUAAUAAUUUAUGCCAACGCUUGAUAUGAAAGCUUUGUUGGAACAAAUUGGCAUGAAUUAUAUUUUAUCUCUCUUUCUUCAAGGUAUUAGGUAAUUGCCCUAUCCCAAAAACAAAGAAAAAAGAAAACAAGUAUUAGGUAAAUGCAUGUGAAUUAGACAUUUGGCCUCCGGGAUCAUAUAUUUAUAUUAAAGACAACCAUAUAACCACAAAGACAAUGAAAAGUCUAAAAAUUAUUGUUCAAUUUCUAAUUCCUCGCAAGUGCGAAAGGAAACAUUUUCCAAGAAUAAAACUAAGAUGCAUUUCUAGGAAUAGUUUUCCAACUGAUCUAUAUUUUAUAAUAUUUUAAGAUUUCUUCAUUUUUUUUCAAAAGAAAAAUUUAAUUUAAGAUUAAGCUCAUUAAAAAAUUAACAUCAUUAUAGAUUCAUUCAAAAUAUUAUAUGUGCAUAAAUACAGAAAUUCAUGUGACAAUUGCGAGGGGUACUCGGGUUUUAAUGAUCUUUUUUAUCUCAAUUAAUUAUUGGAAAAUUUUAUUCAUUUUUUUUUAAAUCCUGAGCAAGGUCAACUCCUAUAUGCUUUUGUGCGUAUGUACGUGUGCUUGUGUGUAUGUGUAAUAAUUACAAUAUUGUCUGGUUAAUCCACAAUUUCAUCAGCAUCAUUAAUCCAUAGUGAGUUGAGAAAUAAGCCAUGAAUAAGUGCUUGAGAAGUUCAAAGAUAAAAUAUUUAUUCUGACACAAAACGUCGAAUGAUAUAAAAUGUUGAGAACUAAUAAUAGUUUAGUGUUUGGUUUAAGUUUCAUGAAUUUUGUGCCAAAUAUGACGUUGUAAGGUACAAGAAUGUCAGGCGUACUUCGCCGAAGAAUGGAUUAGGAGGGACGACGGAUAGGAACUUGAUUUACAAACUCAAAGCUACCAAAGUCUCUUCGGCGGGGAAGUUUUACCACAUUUUGUGCGGUGAGUCGAUAGACCCAAUAGGAUAAUGAUUGAUAAAAUGAAAUAAAAUUAAUGUUUAUACCUAGAUUGAGAUAUAAAUUUAUUAUCCAACUUAUGUAUUAUAUAGAGAGAGAAAUGACGGGUUGGCCGACAUCGAUUGUGGAAGAGGCUGAUAAUGACUUCAUAAAUGUGAGGGAAUAUCUCUCUCUUUGAGCUAGCUUUUGAAGUCGAGAGAAGCCCAAGACCAUCUAACAUUAGUAUCAAAGCUCAGGUUCACCAACAACUCAACCAACAAUCUAAUAGGGAGAAUGGAUGUUUAUGCUUCCAACCCAAGGCCCGAUGAGUGAGGGGAGAUUGUUGGAUUUAUCCCACAUUGGUUGUGGGAGGAGUUCGUGGUGAUUUCAUAAGUGUGAGAAAAAAAAUCUCACUUAUUGAGCUAACUUUUGACUUUUGAGGUUGAGAUAAGCCCAAGACCACCUCACACGAAAAUUGUAUAGUGUUGGAAUAAAAAUUCUACUACCAAUAGUGGGCCGAUUAUUGACCAUUAAGCUUAAAUAUUAAAAUAUUCAUCCUAAAUAUCGAGAUUCGUCAUGAAAAAAAAAAAAAAAACUUCUCAGUUUUGGUAACAACUCAAAUAGUCUAGGAGUGGAAAUUUUUUUGAAUGAAAUACUUAAGCACAAAUAUUCUCUAAUCACUUGAUGUUUUAGACUUUAUAAAAAAUACACGACCACAUUUUUUUUAUAACAAUUCCACCUGAUGUUUACAAAAUAUAUCAUUUCUACACUAUUGUCAUCACGCCGUUAGAAUUUUACUGAUGUCAGAAUGAUAAACUUGUCAUUGGACUCUUAACGGACAAAAACGACGUCGUAUUUAAAGAAGAAUUAUAUAAUCCCAUCUGCUUGAAACUUUCUACAAUGACAAGACAUAACUAGUAACGGACAACCUGCUGUGCCAGUCAUUUUUCUCCUUCGAUUGGGAUCGUCGAUUUCUUUACUAAAAUCAACGAGUGAAUGAUUAUCAGCAUCAGGAGCCAAAGAAGGCAAACCGCCACAUUUUUUUUCGCUGUGGUCCUAUAAUUUAGGGGUCGGCAUGGGUUGGUUUGGGUUAGAUUUUAAGUCAACCCAAACCAAACUAUAAAAAUUUAGAUCCAACCCAAACCAACGCAAAUAUUUUUAACUCAACGCAAACCAAACCAUUUAGCUUUGGUUUGGGUUUGGUUUGAAUUUUAUUAUCAAAAUAAUUUUUAUUUUAAUAAAAUUUAAUUAUAUCAAAAUUAUAAUAAUUAUUAAUUGUUAUUAAUUAUUAAAUUGAUAUUAAAAUAUAAAAAAUAUAGUGGAUAAAAAUUAUAAAUUUUACAAUAACUUAAUCCUUAAAUUAAAGAAUACUAGAAAAUCAAAAUAAAUUUUAAUCACAAAAAUUAUUAUUUCUCAAUAAAUAAGAACGUACACUUUAAUAAUAAACUUUCACAAACAUGACAUUAACAAUCAAAUAAUAAAUUUUGCCACUUGUUGUUUAUUUAAGGGUAAAAGCUCAUUUAGUCCUUAUAUUUUAAGAUUAGUAUCCAUUUAGUCCUUGUAUUUUAAAAAUACCUCAAAACAUCCAUGUCGUUAAAGUAUUGAUACCCCUACCGUUACUUUUUAUUUCUUUUGGCUUACUUUUACAAUAUUACCCUUUUAUAAUAAUUUUUUUAGACAUUAAUAAAAAGAAAAUAAUUAAAUUACCAAUUUAACCCUAAAAAAUAAAAAAAAUUAUAUUAAUUUUUAAUUGUCAAAAAUUGUAUGCAAACUACCAAGUGUGCAAAUGGUGCUUGCAAAAAAAUUAAUAUAAUUUUUUUAUUUUCUAGGGUUAAAUUGAUAUUUAAUUAUUUUCUUUUUAUUAAUAUCCAAACAAAAAAAUUAUUAUAAAAGGGUAAUAUUGUAAAAGUAAGCCAAAAGAAAUAAAAAGUAACGGUAGGGGUAUCAAUACUUUAACAGCAGGAAUAUUUCGAGGUAUUUUUUAAAAUAUAGGGACCAAAUAGACACUAAUCUUAAAAUACAUGGGCUAAAUGAGCUUUUACCCUUUAUUUAAUUAUGCAAUAUUUAUUUUUAUUUAUCGUUUUGGUAAUUUUGCGUUAUGUUGUCUACUUAUAUGCUUAAUUUUAGGGAGAUUGCCACUUUCCUCCCUACAGUAAUCAACAUAUAUCAUUUUUCCCCCUUCUGUUUUUAUAAUGGCCAAAAACCCCCCUAAUAGUAUAAGUUUACAAUAUUACCCUUAUUUUCAACUACUUUUUUAUUUAUAUUUAUUAUAAAUUAAAUAAAUCACAUGAAUAAAAACUAAAUAAAAAAUAAAACAUUAAAAUAAGAAAUAUAUGUUUUGAUAUGAACAAAAAAAUUAAUAAUAAAAUUUUUUUAUACUUAUUUAUUUUGUGAAAAUUUUCUUAUAAUAAAUAUAUAAGAAAAUUAUUAGUAAAAUGAUAAAAAAAAUUAUUAUAAGAAAACUUGAAUGACAAAUAAAAAUUUAUUUUAAGAUAAAUAAUAAAAUAUUUUACCUAUUUGUGUUCAUUUAUUUUGUUUUCAUUUGAAAAUUUUGAGUGUUAGGGUUUUGUUCAUAACCCAUGGGUAAACCAUACCCAACCCAUAAUGAAAUUGUUUUUUAUAUAAAACCUACAUCUAACCCAUUUUCAUGAUUUACCCAACCCAAACCAUAAUUUGGUUUGGGUUUGGGUAAACCCAUGGGUUGUGGGUUUAUGCCCACCCCUACUAUAAUUUAUUGAAAAAAUCAACGAUUGCCCCAAAAUAACAAAGCUAAAUUAACACAACAUACAACACAGUAUCAAACUACCACCAAAUUUUAUCACUUAACCAAUAAACUAAAAAAUUCAAGGUUUAAAAAAAAUUUGAAAGUUUAAAAUUCUUAAACGACUUGAUAAUAAGCCCCAAUCCGCCAUCGCCACGAUCCACGGGUACAGGUACCAGAUUAAAGUGCGUUUUCCCUUGAGCUCUCUUUUAAUUAUUUUAGUUUUAAUUCUGAUUUUUUAUUUUAUUUAUUAUUUAAUAUCUAUAUUGCAGUCAUCUAUUUUUUUUCGUUAUUAAAUUAGGGCAAAUUAGUUAUUUUAUGUUAAGGGUAGAAUAAUCAUUUACAUUUAGGGUAAAAUAAUCAUUUUCUCAGUAUUUUGUUAAAUUCUCUUACGCUGGUAUGACGGAAGUAGAGCAAUGAUGCACUUUAAACAUUAGGAACUGUGGGAACGAGAACAUUUUUUAAUGAAAUACUUAAUAAUUAGCAACUCAAAAUAUAUCAUUUGUAAUGAACUAUUUAAUUUGCAAUUUCUUUAGUUUUGGAUGGCAACUCGGGAUUCUUCAUUUAAACUAUGACGAUUUAUAACUUGCGGGUACACAAGACAUUGCUCCCACCACUUUUCACAGAAGUAAAAAUCAAGCCAAUCGCUUCCAUUUGUGGCAAUUUUAUCGGAGAAAGAAAAAGGAAAAAAAAAAUAAAAAGAAUUUUGUAACUACUUAACUUUGCCGAAGCAGAGUUAAGUAGUUACAAAAUUGCAUUCUUGAAUGUACAGAAAUGAUAUGCAGCAAAACCAAGCAUAAAGAAAUAAGAAGAUAAUGUUAUAUGGUACGGCUAUUAGCCUAUGUCAUAGUAAAAGACAUGAAGAAAAUUUUACUAAGAAAUGGGUGUGUACAAAUAUUAAAGGAAAACAUUCACCGACGACCCAAAUCGCAGAUAUGUGCUUAAUUUUCUUACUCACUCUAAGAACAUUCAAUCUCCGAAAAUUCAUUCAAAUGAAACUUUCAGAAAGACUUAAUAUUAAGGCUUUAGCAUCACUUCAUAUGCUCAACAAUUCAAAUUUGAGUAUGAUAUUUCUCAAAAUGGAGGGCUCUACUUGGCUUGUGAACAAUCUUCCUCACCAUCAUCAUCCUUGCCAUACCAGCAGCACUGAACAAUCUUUGUUCUGACAUUUGCCCUAUUUAUCUGAUUACACAAGAAUCCGAAACAACUGUUAGAAAUUUUAAUCUUUAUAUAUAUCCAAAAUGGUGAAUAAGAUGAUGUGGUUGAUGAUAAAAACCUGAGUUAAAUAAUUAAGGGUCCGGUAACAAUCACAGCAUCUCAUCAUGUGGGGAAAGCCUUCGCAACAGAAGACGGUGCUUGCAUUCAAGCAAUAAUAACUUUCCAAUUUCAUAAGGUAGCUUAACGCCCUUUCAAGAAUAAGUGCACCAGCCUAACAAUUAUUCAUGGAAAUUCAAAUUCAGAAUCAUGUUAGUAUGAGAGAUGAAGUAUAAUAAGCGACUUGGCCACUAUAUAUGCACUUAUCACCUUCAAUUUGCUCAUCUUCGUCUAGAGUAUUGUUUCUGCUUUAACUUAAUCAGCUUGCAAGCCACAUAAAAAUGGUUUUAAAUAAUAAGUGAGAGUGUGAAUUCGAACAAUUAAUCAAAUAUGAUGACCGAAGAGACAAAAGUAAAAUAGCCACAAGAAGUAGAAAUAUACUUUUGUUAUAUUUAGAGCAUCUUCUACUGGCAAGUUCUUUUCCUUUAGCUCUGUUUCUGUGUGCGCUCAAACGCAAUGCCUCAAGGCUCAAGAUAAUUUUAUGACCAUCAAUCAUUUGCAGCCACAUGCAGACUUGAAAAACUAGUCGUGGCCCUAAGGAACUUGAAAAUUAGAAAAGAUUCAGAAUGAGUGACUAAAAUAACUUAAUCGAGACUACUUAAACAUGCACGCCUUGAAAAUCUGAAACUGAAUUACUCAAAUGAAUGUGGUUGAAACUUUACUGCAAAGACUUCUUGAAACCCAUGAAGAUGAUACUCUACCUGAUAACACAAGGAAACACAAUCAAUACAAGAAGAUGAUUUUACAAACAAAUGAGAGCCUAUAAUUAUUGGGAGAGCUCUACUCAAAUUUGAUGAGAUAUCUCUCAAAAGGGAGAGCUCCAAUACUAUAUAAAGCCAAAAAUCUAACACUCAUCAAACUGGCUUGUGAACAAUUAAUCUUCCUCGCCAUCAUACAUGCCAGGUGUAGUGAACAAUCUUCAUUCUAACAUUUGCCUUAAUAAGCUGCUUAGCAUCCUUAACCUGAUAAAUUGCACAAACAAAAACAACUUUACUAAAGUUUAUUCUUUAAAGGCAUAGCAGUAAAGAAGAUGAUAUCUGUUUAUGCUAAAAAUUGACCUGAGUUAUCCGAAUGUCAAGAAUCACAGCGUCUCAUGUGGGCAAAAUCAUCGCAAUACAACAUGCUGAUUUCAAGCAACAUCUUAUCACCUGUAAUUUAAUUAAGACAAUAACUUUCCUCAACCAUUACCCUACUCAAUUUCAAUGUAUUAUUGGCAACUAAAUUCAUAGGGUAAGUAGCUAAUCAAAUGCUCUUUUAACAAUAUUUCUCCAAAUAACAAAUAUUCGGAAAAUCUAAAUGACAAUCAUGCAUUUAUGGCAUCAAAAUUUGGCUGCAAAGCUGCCUGGAAAAGGCUUUAAAUUCUUAAUGAGGGCAUGAAUUCGAACAAAUAUGGUGAAUAAAGAAACAAAGGCAUAAUACCGCAAGAAGUAAACCUUUUCCUCAGACUUCUGUUUCUGUUUGUGCUGAAACCAAUGGAAACCGAUGGAAAUGAAUUUCUAUGAAUUAGACACAUCAGCCAAAACAGGUACUCUGUACAAAGAAAGUAAAAGAGAGUCAUAGAAAAAUUUUAAGAUAAUUAAACUUUCAGUCACCAUAUCAUUAAUAGAAACUUUGUGCACUACGAUCUAUUGCAGAUUAAGAUUUGUAUACCUAAGUUUUAAUUGCAAACUAAAUAUACACAACAUUAUACCAGCAUUAGGAGGCCGUACCAAAAUGUACCGAAUUUAGUGUGCCUCUUCACAGCCAUUGUACAAGCAUCGAAGACUUUACCGCGAAAGCUGUUUCAAACGUGAUGCACGUUAGAGAUGCAAGAUAUGAAAUUGUCAUUACAAGAAGCAUUGAAACAUGUGUGAAAACUGUUUAUGGACCUAAAAUAACUUGAAAAUCAGAAAGAUUAGGAAUAAGUGACUAAGCAUUUUAAUUAAAACUGAGCAUACAAACCUUGAAAAUCCAAAAUUGUACUCCGAUGAAUGAGCAAUUGCACGAGCAGCUAAAUUUACUGCAAAGGCUCUUACAACCCUUGAAGAUGAUACUCUACAUACCUACACAAAGAAACACAGUGAAUAUGAAGGGUAUUCUGACAAUGCAAAUUUGUGAAAAUUAUCAACUCUGGUUACCUGCAUAAUAGUGCUAACAUCGAAUUGCUUCGUCAAUUGAAAUAUAUGAUCAGCCCAAAGAUGCUUUGCUUUGAGGCUUUUGAGAACCUGAAAUGGUUAUUACAACCAACAGUGAAAAUUGGGUGAAGAACUGAUAUUACUAGCAUAAUUCCAUAUGCUUACAGAGGAUAAACCGAUCAAAGAAAGAAACAAGAUAGAAAUGAUGAUCUCAGCACCUUAAUAUCAUGCAAUAAUAAUCAUCAUGUCUUCCAGGCAGCUAUCCAUCCUCAACUGAAACAGAGCAGACCCAGCCACCACUUAGUUUUCAACAUUGCUACAAAGUACCCCAGAAAUUCAGUCCUCAAGAAGUUUCACGUAACAAAUUAUCGUACACUGAAGUAAAUAGUUAUAUUCAAUACAAAAAUCAAAAUAUUAGAAAAUAUUGCACAUUCCUAUGAGACAUUGGCAAAAUAUAGAAAUUUAAUUCAAAAUUUAAUUAUUAUCAUUAUUAUUAUUAAUUUCAUUACAAGUAACAAUGAAGCAAAACAGAGGAGGAGGAGAAAUUACCGGCGGGUUAUAGUAAGUGCAACCGUUCGAGAAUUUAAAACUCGAUGUGGGGAAUGUGAGAUAACUUAUGCCAGUCUUCUAGAAUAGGACAUCCCCCAAUACUAAAUUCCUGCAGUGUCGUCGUUUGAAGGUGGUCAUCUGGCAACACCUUUAAUUUGUGGCAAUUCAUAAUUUGCAAGGAAGAAAGACGUGGCAUGAUGGAGAUGUUUUCCUUCCUCGUAACCAUGUAAUCCCAACCUCCCAAUUCUUCCAUGUCCUAAAUUUUGAGUGAUUUCAAUUUGGGGAAGGCAAUAACUGAUGAUGAUGAUGAAGAUGAAGCUGGGUCAUCAUCACUACUUUCCUCUAUUCCCAAAACCUCAUUACCCACUCUUUUUACACUAUUCAAAUUUUGCAGGGCGAGUUUUUCCAGAGGCAAUUUUCCCAGAGGAGGCAAAUGCUCACAGUUAAGACACCCGUGAAGAAAUAAGUUCCUUAGAUUGGUUAGCGAAGUCACCCAUUUGGGAAAAAUGUUGCCUCCAUAUAAUAAAAUCCAUAAUUCCUCUACAUUCAAAGGCGGCUGUAAGGCUUCAAGAAGUUGUUCAUCUUUCUCAUUCUUCCUCCUCCUUUCUUCAUCUUCCCCAUUUACAACUUCACCUCCUUCUUCUUCUUCAUAUCCCCCAUCCUCACCUUCAUCUUCAUCCUCUUCUUUAUCUUCCCAAUCUACAACUUCAAACAAAAGAUACAAACAAAGGAGGUUUUCCAUAUUUUUGAGUUCUAAUCUCUCAGCCUCAUCUAUAUGUGACAAAUUACUCAGCCCUUCUAUUCCACAUUCUCGAAGGAGUUGAAGAUUUUCCACCAUCAACACCUCCACCCACAGCAAACUUGUCUAAUGUUCGAAGAUCGGUUAAUUUGGAAAUCCCUAUUGGCAUGUACUUCAACGAACAAGUAAGACCAUUUAGCAAACUCCUCAUGUUCUUUAUCUUCCCAAUCCCUGCAGGCAAUUCUCUUAGAUUUCGACACCCCCUAAUAUCUAGCUUUUGUAAAUUAUGUAAUUCACACAAAGUCUCAGGCAGUCUCUCUAUGUGUAAUUCAGACAAAUUAAGAUAUUUUAAAUGCAUCAAUUUUCUGACAUCUUCUGGAAUUUCCUAAUCAAAUUUGGGUCAGGACGAAAAAGCAAGAACGAUUGCCUUAUAACUAAUGCUCUUAAACACGCCAAUUUACUAAAUAACUCAGGAAGGAUGCUACUAUCAAGAGACGAAUUGUAAGGACUUUCAUCAUCAAUUAGGAGGGUACGCAAUCUAUUAAGUCCAUGAAUGGACAUAAGAAAUGAAGCGCCUCCUUUAAACUUUAACCCUAAGGGACGGACUUUCCCACCAAAAGAGUUUAUGACUGAUUCUUUGGUACCAUUAAUUUCCAGCCACAAACAUUCUUUGCUACUUACAAAUUGAGCAAAAUCAUGUACUAUGUCAUGCAUCUUGCAACUCAUAAUAUCAUCAUCAUCAUUUUUCUCAAACUCUUGAAAGAAAGAGCGUGCUGCUAAAAUGUUGAAACACUCUUCCCCGGUCAUCUCCAUCUCUUUAUAUUCUUCUACAUUAAGGUAACCUUGAGCCAUCCAUAGUGAAAUUAGCUCCUCUUUAUACAUAUUGUAGUCUUUUGGAAAGACAGCUCAAAAUGAAAAAUAUCGUUUUACCAUAGAAUUGGACGACAAAUCAUUAUAACUCAACAAUAAAGGAGUCAAAAGACCUUUCCCAAUCUCUUCUGCCUUCCACAUUUCACUAUCUAAAAUUCUUUGCCAGUCGUUUAUUGCACUUUUAGAACGCAAGAGAUUCCCUAUUACCUUUGCAGCAAGAGGCAGGCCUUUGCACUUGCGUGCAAUUUUUCACUCGAUUGGUUCUAAUCUUUCACAAUCCUCGAAAGAGUGACUGAAAAAUGCUAAUCGUUUGAACAACGACUAGCAAUCCUCUUCAGUCAAUUGCUCAAUGAAGAUAAUAUUUGUUGAUCUCAUCAUACUUGCAACUAACUCAUUAUGUGUAGUAACCAAAAUUUUACUUCCGUGGAGACCAUGAUUUAAAUAAAGGAAGAAUGGUGCCCAUUUCUGAAUUUAUUUUUAUGCUGUAAAAGGAUCAAAUUACUCACAAAGUGAUUUUAGCUUUCAUGAUAUAAACAAAUAAUCAUCAUUUAAUUUCAAUAGAAAGAAGUAUUCUAGGUAGAAUAUUGACUUCUUUAGCAGGGACUUCUUACUCUAUUAGGUUAAUAAUGCAUCAAUUGUCACGUCAUUAAUUUUAGAUUUUAAACUUUUUUUUUAAUGGAAAGUACCUUCAUUUCAACUCAAACAAGAAAAUAAGUACAACAAGUGGGGAGGGUAUGAACCCAUCCAAACAAUAGUUUCGAGCAUCUCUAGAGCUAGCUUAGCUAAAGAGUGGGCUAUCGCAUUACAAGAUCAAUGAGCAUAUUGGACACAAACUGAGCUAAAGCUCUUCGAAAUUCUCUGCACAUCUGAAAUGGUCCAGAAGAUCUCGGAUCUGCAGCCCCGCUUGUUGUUAACUAACUUAACAACCUCUUGAGCAUCUGAUUCCUCAAUCAAAGACUCUAUACAAGCAUUCCUUGCAACUUGAAGCCCCCAUUUGAUUGCUUCUGCCUCUGCAAAACACACAUCACCAUAGACCUUGGAAACUUUGACUACAACUGCAAUCACAUUCCCAGCUUCAUCACGAAUUACAGCCCCUAGACCUGCAAUUUGCUUCUCCGAAUUGGUGGCAGCAUCUACAUUAACCUUAAAAAAUCCUUUUUGGGGAGGAUUCCAGGCCUUUAGCAUCAGAGAUCUUUGGUUGCCUAUAUGAGUAGCAGCUGGAAGCUGGGUUCUUCGGUAGGCUUCCAGCACAGCUUCAACCUUAGAGACUAUCACUUGGGGUCUUUCUUUUACUCUUUUGAAAAUCCAUUUGUUUCGAGCAUUCCAUAUCAUCCAUAAGAUCGAAACCAGUAGCUUAAUAUCAUCAUUACUCCUUCUCAGCUUCAGCCCAAUCAACAAGCUUAGAAUGUCUUGAUCAACACAAUCCUUCAAAUCAUUCUCAAAUCUGGUAAUUUUCUAGAUUUUCUUCACCAUCUUACAGCCCACUAAAGUAUGCAAAACUGUUUCCAGCUUGUUGUUACAAAUCUGACACACAACCUCCUAAAUCACCUUCCUUUUCCAUAGAUUUUCGGUUGAAGGAAGAAGAUUUUUUACAGCCCUCCAAGCAAAAAUCCUGAUCUUCUCCGGUAAGGUGAGAAACCAUAUUGUAUUCCAUUGGUUUUGCUCAGUUGCUGAACUUGUCGGCCUAGCUGGAAAAUUCAUAUUUAAAGUAAUCUGAUAGCCACUCUUAACUGAGUACUGGCCUUUUCUAUCAUAGUGCCACAUUACUUCAUCCUUCAUUGGUCUCCUUGGCAAGGGAAUUUUAAUUAUUACUUCCACAUCUAUUUUGGCAAAGUGCCUGUGAAUCAGCCCUUCAUUCCACCCAUGCUUUGCAUUUAUUAACUCAGCAACUAAAGCAUCAUCUGGCAAGCUUGGUUUAUAAAUCGGUUUGAAGGUCAGGGGUCUGAGCAGCCAAUUCUCUUUAUGAAGCAGGAUGCUUUGGCCAUUUCCAAUCCUCCAUCUUGAACCCUUGGAUAUGACUUACCGUCCCCAUAAAAUGCUUCUCCAAAUAAAAGAGGGGUUUGAGCCAAGUCUUGCCUUCAUAAAAUCUUUGUGCUGGAAAUAUCUCGCCUGCAGAGUUCUUGCCACGAGGGAGUCUGGAAAUUGCAGGAUCUUCCAACCUUGUUUGGCUACUAGUGCUUGGUUGAAACUUGAGAACUCUCUGAACCCUAUUCCUCCUCUGCACUUAGCCAGACUUAGGUUGUUCCAUCUCGACCAGUGGAUGGCCUUCUUAUCGUUCCCUGAUCCCCACCAGAAUUUUGCUAUUAUUCGCUGAAUGUCAUCACAUAUGCCCAUGGGAAUCUUGAAAACGCUCAUUGCAUAUGCGGGAAUAGCUUGAGCAGCCGCCUUAAUCAAAACCUCUUUGCCUCCUAUUGAGAAAAUUUUGUUCUACCAACUAGAAACUUUAUUAUGGAUCUUUAGCUUGAUAUCAGUAAAAAAACUACUUCUCUUUCUCCCGAUCAUAGAUGGCAAGCCUAAGUAUUUUUCGUGUCUUGAAACAAUGUUGAGCUGGAAGAUGUCUUUGAUUGUUGCCGCUUGCCCAGCCUGAAUAUUGCCGCUGAGAAACAUUGAAGAUUUGUCGAGAUUGAACAACUGGCCUGAGGCUGCAGAGUAGCAGUCGAAGAUUCUCUUCAGAUUUUGGCAAUCAGUAAUUGAGGCUCUAGUGAAUACUAGGCUAUCAUCCGCAAAUAAGAGGUGAGAGAUUUUAAGCUCCUUCCCAAAUGACAGCCCAUGAAUAAGCCUCUGGUGCUCUGCUUGUUGGAGAAGAAAGGAGAAGGCUUCAGCCCCAAUAAUGAAUAAAUAUGGAGAUAAGGGGCACCCUUGUCUGAGGCCGAAUCACCCUGCUUACAGCACCAUUUAUAAUCACUGAGGAUGUGACUGAGCUUAUACACCUCAUGAUUAGGCUGAUCCAAUUCUGCAAGAACCCGAGGGACUUCAUUGUUUGUUCAAAAAACUCUCAUUCCAGCCUAUCAUAUGUUUUGCUCACAUCAAACUUCAAUGCCACCAUGCCUUUUUUUCUUCCUUUACAAUGUCUUAUCUUAUGGAGGCACUCAUAUCCUGCAAUAAUAUUAUCGGUGAUUAGCCGAUUAGGAAUAAAAGCACUUUGCAUUGGCAAGAUAAUUUUGGGUAGUACAUGUUAAGCCUAUUAGCUAUUGCUUUAGCAACAAUCCUAUAAAUAACAUUGCAUAGACUAAUAGGCCUAAAAUCGGUAACUUUUCUAGGCUUUUUUUUUUUUAGAAUUAAAGCGAUAUAGGUGUGAUUGAGUUGGGCUACAUCACCUUGCUUAUUAAGGAUGUGGAGGCAUGUUGAGAGGACUCCUUGCUUGACCGUUUGCCAGUGCUUUUAGUAGAACACUGCUGGCAAGCCAUCCGAACCCGGUGCCUUUGUUGGGCAAAUUUGUGUCAAUGCUUCCACAACUUCUUUGGGUGUGAAUGGCAUCUCCAAGAAAUCAUUCAUCUCACUAGAAACUCUUUGAGAUAUUCCUAACAGCACAGCUGCUAUUUGAGCUUGAUUAGGCUUGGAUGUAAUGAACAAAUUUGUGAAGUAUUUGUUGAACUCAUGCUCCACUUCUUCGGCAUUUUCAAUCCAACUUCCAGCUACAUUUUCGAUCCCCCAGAUUUGGUUCUUCUUUUUCCUUGAGGAUGCCUUGUGAUGGAAAAAUUUUGUGUUCUUGUCCCUUCCCUUGAGCCAAUCCGCCCUUAGCGUUGUUUCCAGAAAAUUUCCUCGUCGGCUAACAUGUUUUGGAUUUGUCUUUCCACCUCUUUAAUCUUAUUCCCAUUGACAUACUGAACCCGAUUAAGCUUGAGGCUUCGGAGUUGUUUCGUUAGUUUCUCAAGCUUUUUUGGUCUCCCUCGGAAUUCUUUUUUGCUCCACCGAAUUAGCCUGGCCAUAGAUAUCUUUGCCACUUUUUGAAACAACGAAACAGGAUUCUCAAUAUUCCAGCUUCCCUGCAAGCUCCACUCUUCCUCAACGAUUUCCGUACAAGCAUCGUAAGGGCUGUUAACAUAAAUUAUUCUUUAUUGAUUUUGAUGAUAACAAACAUGAUUAAGAUUGAUUAAUCGUUUUAAAAGCUCAACAUAAUUUUCAUCUAUUUUGACAAGUUUCAUAAAGUAUUUUUAUAAAGAUUUGGAGACAAAACAGUCAUCUUGCAAAAUAGUUCACUGCAGCAGUUUUUGUGGAUAACGGCGAUCCGACAUGUGUAGUAAACGGCUCACCGAUUUCAAGCAGAAAUGGAGAUUAGCCUCUGGACCAAAACGGCGAACCGACAUAUGUGAUAAACGGCUCGCCGAUAUCAACCAGUAGCCUCUGGACCAAAACGGCGAACCGACAUAUGUGAUAAACGGCUCGCCGAUAUCAAUCAGUAGCCUCUGGACCUAAACGGCGAUCCGAUAUCUAGAUAACGGCGAUCCGACAAUUUGAAAAAUCAGCCCAACGGUCAUAUUGACCAGUCAAACGGCAAUCCGACAUCUAGCUAACUCAAUAACGGCUAGUUUUCAGCAGCAGCUAUAAAUAAGCUCAUUCAAAUUCAAACAAAGAUUGAUCACAACACAGCCAUUGAGCAAAUAUUCGAGAAUACAAUCUUCAUAGAGCUUAAAACACAUUCUCUCUUCAUCUAUUCACAAAUUGGGCAUUGAUUUGUAAUCUUUUACUUUGAGUGAUUGUAAGUGUUGGGAUACACUUGGGUUAAGAGAUUGGGGAUAAUCUCUUGUUGUAAAGGUUUAUUGACACCUUGGAAGUCAAGUGUAAGCAUUUGAAGCCUUGGAGGCUUGCUUAGUGGAAUCCUCAAGCCCGGAAAGCUUGGAGGCGUGGACGUAGGCGAGGUUAGCCGAACCACGUAAAAAUCUCGGUGUUUGAAUCCCUCUUCCCUUAUCUUUUUAUAUUGUGAUCAUCUUAAUUGUCAUUGCUUUGAAUUUGAUUUAUAAUUGUAUUAAGUUUUUCUUCAAUAAAUUGAAUAAUUUUUUUUGAAACCCGAUUCACCCCCCCUCUUCGGUUGCAUACUUGUAUUUCAAGGGCUCCACAUAUCUUCGUAGUGGAUCCGAGUGGCUCGUCUUUGGUUAAAAUUCAUCUCACGGCCCCUUAUUUGAACUUCCAUCACCAUCGGGCAAUGAUCAGAGGUCGAAGUGUCAAUAUUAGUAGCUACAACAUCCAAAAAAAUGUCUCUCCAUGAGCUAUUACAAACAAAUCUAUCUAGCCGUUCCUCCACAAAAGUGGGGCUGAACCUUCCAUUACUCCACAUAAAAGGGUACCCCUUGUAACUAAUUCUCUUGUUAUCAGAGCCUCAAUUGGUAUCAGAGCCUCAUUCUCUUGUUAAGACUUAAUCGUCUAGAGUAAAAGAUCCAUGGCAACCCUAAAUGACUCAACCUUUAGAGAAGGGCAAUCCACAACUAGACCACCAUUUUUCGAUGGUAAUGACUAUGCUUAUUGAAAAACUAGAAUGAGAAUCUAUUUGCAAGCAUUAGAUUAUGAAAUUUGGGAAGUUGUUUGUGAUGGUCCAUUUAUGCCUAUGUUCAAAGAUGAAGUAGGAGAUGAUAUUCCUAAACCAUCGAGUCAAUGGAGUGAGUUAGAAAAGAGAAAGAUGUCUCUAAACUCCAAGGCUAUGAAUGCUUUGUUUUGUGCCCUUGAUAAGAAAGAAUUCCAUAGAGUAUCUAGUUGUGAAAGUGCACAAGAAAUAUGGAAUAAACUUGAAGUUGUCUAUGAAGGGACAAGUCAAGUUAAAGAGUCUAAAAUCAGUAGAUACACUCGUCAAUAUGAGCUGUUCCAAAUGGAACAAAAUGAGAAUGUGUAUUCUAUGUAUACUAGAUUCAUAGACAUAGUGAACACUCUAGGUGCCUUGGGGAAGACCUUCUCAAAUAGUGAGAAAGUUAAGAAAAUCAUUAGGUCACUUCCAAAAGAAUGGAGACCUAAAAGAACUGCCAUUGAAGAGGCUAAAGAUUUAAAUAUUUUACCUCUUGAUGAUUUAAUUGGUUCUCUCAUUUCAUAUGAAGAGGAUUUAGCUACAGAAAAAGGACAUGAGGAGAAGAAGAAAAGCAUUGCUCUCAAAGCUUUAAAAUAUGAGAGUGAUGGGGAGAGUGAACCGGAUGAUGAAGAGCUAGCCAUGCUAGCAAGGAGGUUCAGAAAAUUCUUCAAGAAAACCGGAGAGCGAAGAAAUUUCAGAAACUUCAAGAACCAUAGGGAGAAGAAGGAGGCAAUAGGGAGAAGAAGGAGGCAAUCACAUGCUAUGAAUGCAAGAAGCCUGGACAUAUAAGAUCGGAGUGCCCACUUAUCAACAAACUCAAGAAGAAAGCAAUGGUUGCAACUUGGGAUGAUAGUGAGGAAGAAUCAAGUGAUGAAGAAGGAUCGCAAGAAGUAUCAAACCUAGCACUCAUGGCAAUAGGAGGGAAUGAUGAUCUCAAUGAGGUAAGUGAUCCCACCUAUGAUGAAUUGUAUGAUGCUUUUAAAGAUUUGCAUGAUGAGUUGAUGAAGAUUGGUAAAAAGAAUGUAUGUCUUAAAAAGGAAAUGGCAAAGCUUAAAAAUGAAAAUGAAUCUCUAAAUGCAAGAAUUGUAUGCCUAGAAGUAGGGAACAAAACAUUGCAUGAUGAAAUUGCAUUAUCAAAUGAGAAACCUAGCAUCUUGCAUGAGCAUUUAGAAUCACACAUAGAUGAGUUGAAAAAUGAGAAUGAAAUGCUUAAGAAAAAGAGUAAUGAAAUGAAAUUGUUUUGAAAUUUACAAAUGGGCAAAAGAUGUUGGAAAAUAUGCUUAACUCACAAAAAUGUGUUUUUGAUAAAGGAGGACUUGGAUAUAAGCCUAACUUGAAGCAAAAGUAUUAUAAGAAUUAUUUUGUUAAAGCUACCUCCACAAAUGAUCAUAAGAUUGUAUGUCACUAUUGUAAUCAAAAUGGUCACAUGAAAUAUAGAUGUCCCGUGAAAAGGAAUGCAUAUUAUGGUGUCAAAUGCAUUUGGGUUCCAAAAGGAACCGUUGCUAACUCUCAAGGACCCAAAAAGCUUUGGGUACCUAAAACUUGAGAUUUUUUUUCUUGUAGGGAUUGAAGAAGAAGAAAAAUAAAUGGUACUUGGACAACGGUUGUUCAAGGCACAUGACCAGAAACUAUGCAUGGUUCUCAAGCUUCACCAAAGUUGAAAAUGGUGGAGACGUAUCUUUUGGAGACAACUCAAAAGGAAAAAUUCUUGGAAUUGGAAAUGUUGGUAAAGUCUCUUCAACUCUAAUUGAGAAUGUAUGUUUGGUUAAGAACUUGAAACACAACUUAAUUAGCAUUAGUCAAUUAUGUGACAAAGGUUAUAAAGUUAUCUUUGAUAAAUUUAGUUGUGUUAUUGAGAACUCAUGUGAUGGCAAAACCUUAUUUGUUGGAAAUAGAUGUGGUAAUGUUUAUAUCAUUGACAUAGAAUGUGCAUCUACUCUUGAUAAAUGUUUUUCGGCAUUGCAUGAUGAUUGUUGGUUAUGGCAUAGAAGGUUAGGACAUGCAAGUAUGGAUUUGAUUUCAAAAAUUUCGAAAGAUGAUUUGGUUAAAGGUCUUCCGAAAAUUGGUUUUCAAAAGGAUAAGAUUUGUGAAGCUUGUCAAUUUGGAAAACAAAUUAAAACUUCUUUCAAGAAUAAAAACCAUAUUUCUACUUCAAAACCACUUGAACUUCUUCACAUAGAUCUUUUUGGGCCAUCUAGAUAUGCAAGUCUAAAUGGCAAAUAUUAUGCAUUUGUGAUAGUGGAUGAUUAUUCUAGAUAUACAUAGGUAUUAUUCUUAGCCAAUAAGGAUGAUGCUCUUGAUGCUUUUAAAGUGCUUUGUAAGAAAUUACAAAAUGAAAAAGGGCAUGGUAUUGUAUGCAUUAGGAGUAAUCAUGGAGGAGAAUUUGAAAAUCAUGCAUUUGAGAGUUUUUGCAAUAAUCUAGGCAUUGAGCAUCAAUUUUCAUCACCUAGAACUCCACAACAAAAUGGAGUUGUUGAGAGAAAGAAUAGGUCUAUUCAAGAAAUGGCUAGGACCAUGUUAAAUGAAAAUGCAUUACCAAAAUAUUUUUGGGCCGAAGCCGUCAACACCGCUUGUUAUGUUUUAAAUCGGGUGUUGAUUAGACCUAAUCUUAAUAAAACUCCAUAUGAGCUUUGGAAAGAUAGAAAACCCAACAUUGGCUAUUUUAAAGUUUUUGGAUGCAAAUGUUUUGUUUUGAACACAAAAGAUAAUCUUGGUAAAUUUGAUCCAAAAUCUGAUGUUGGUAUUUUUCUUGGUUAUUCAAUUUCAAGCAAAGCUUAUAGAGUCUAUAACAAAAGAACUUUAGUUGUGGAGGAGUCCAUGCAUGUUACGUUUGAUGAAUCUAACCCCUCUUCUGCGGAGAAAGGAGUUGCUAAUGAUGAUGCAGAUGGAGAGUUACAAGAAGAAUCAUCAAAAGAGAAUCAAGAGAAUGCACCACAAGAAAAUCAAGAGGAUAGGCAAGAAGAACAAACCAAUACGGAGCUGGAGCAACAAGAAGGUAUUUCUCAAACACUCCCCAAGGAGUGGAGGUAUGUCUCUUCUCAUCCUAAAGAUGUAAUUUUAGGAGAUCCUUCACGAGGUGUUACAACUAGAUCAUCUCUUAAGAAUACUUGUGAGCAUAAUGCAUUUAUCUCUCAAAUUGAACCCAAAUCCUUUGCGGAUGCGGAAAAUGAUGAAUCUUGGAUUAUGGUAAUGUAAGAGGAGUUAAAUCAAUUUGAAAGAAACAAUGUGUGGGAAUUAGUUCCUAAACCGGAACAUCAAUCUGUCAUAGGCACUAAAUGGGUAUUUAGAAAUAAGAUGGAUGAAUCCGGGGUGGUUGUAAGAAAUAAAGCUAGAUUAGUGGCUCAAGGUUACAACCAAGAAGAAGGAAUUGAUUUUGAUGAAACUUUUGCACCCGUUGCUAGACUAGAAUCAAUUAGAAUGUUGUUGGCAUUUGCAUGUCAUAAAGAUUUCAUCUUAUUUCAAAUGGAUGUGAAAAGUGCUUUCCUAAAUGGGUAUAUUAUGGAAGAAGUGUAUGUAAAACAACCCCCUGGUUUUGAAAAUGAAAAGUUUCCAAAUCAUGUUUAUAAGUUGCUUAAAGCCUUGUAUGGAUUAAAACAAGCACCUAGAGCAUGGUAUGAUAGACUUAAAAAUUUCUUGCUAGAAAAUGAUUUUUCUAUGGGUAAAGCAGAUACUACUCUAUUUGUUAAGCAUAAGAACCAAGACAUACUUAUUGUUCAAAUUUAUGUUGAUGAUAUUAUUUUUGGUUCUACUAAUGAGUUGUUGUGUAAAGAAUUUUCAUCGUGUAUGAGCAAAGAAUUUGAGAUGAGUAUGAUGGGAGAGUUGAAGUACUUCCUUGGACUUCAAAUCAAACAAAACGAGGAAGGAAUUUUCAUAAAUCAAGCCAAGUACGUAAAAGAUCUACUCAAACGAUUCGGCAUUGAUGACUCAAAGACCAAAAAUACACCAAUGAGCACAACAACCAAGCUGGACAAAGAUUAAAAAGGCAAAGAAGUGGAUAUCAAAAUGUAUCGAGGUAUGAUCGGAUCCCUACUUUAUUUGACUGUAAGUAGACCCGAUAUCAUGUUUAGUGUAUGUUUGUGUGCAAGAUUUCAGUCUUGUCCCAAGGAAUCUCAUUUGCUUGCUGUUAAAAGAAUUUUCCGUUAUUUGAGUGGAACCAUAGAUUUUUGCCUUUGGUAUCUUAGGGGAACUCAUAUAGAUUUAACAUGUUAUUCGGAUGCGGACUUUACCGGUUAUAAAGUGGAUAGGAAGAGCACUAGUGGUACUUGCUAUAUUCUAGGACACUCUCUUGUUUCAUGGUUUAGCAAAAAACAAAAUUCUGUCGCACUUUCAACUACCGAGGCUGAAUAUAUAGCUGCCGGAAGUUGUUGUGCACAAGCACUUUGGAUGAAACAAACACUUAGAGAUUAUGGCAUUAAUCUUGAACAAAUUCCUAUUAAGUGUGAUAAUACUAGUGCUAUUAAUCUUUCAAAGAAUCCCAUUCAACACUCUCGAACCAAGCAUAUAGAAAUAAGACAUCAUUUCUUGAGAGAUCAUGUUCUAAAGAGAGACAUUGCAUUAGAGUUUAUUUCUACGGAAAAAUAACUUGCCGAUAUUUUUACAAAACCACUUUGCGAAGAACAAUUUUCCAAAAUUCGGCAUGAACUUGGGAUAAUGAUUUUUUCACAUUAACAUCUUUAUUCAUGCUAUUGAGUCUAUUAACAUUGAUUGAUCUAUGACUUGAUGCUUUAAUAUCUAUGGAAUGCUCAAUCGUAAUAUACAUGAGAUGUGUAUGGAUAUUUGAAAAUGUAUGAAUUAAUUGUUGCAAUACAUAUAUAUAUUCAAGAAUUAUGCAUUGAACUGGCACUCAAAUCAUUUUGGAUCAAUAAAAUGAUCUUGAAAUGUAUUGAUAAGUAGCCAAAUAUCAAAAUACAUGUGCGAAAUCAUAAGUUGUAGAAAACGGAUUGCCGUUAUUUCAAUAAACGGCUAACCGUUUUGGGCAGAAACAAUGGAAAAUUUUCUAUACGCUAUCGGUUCGCCGAUAACUAUCUAUCGGCUCGCCGUCCUGAUACAAAAAAAUUUGAGGAGACUCCCUGGACCCUAUCGGCUCGCCGUUAUGUAUAUAAACGGCUCGCCGUUUUAAUGAAAUUUUUGGAGGACUCUCUGGACUCUGUCGGCUCGCCGUUUUCUCUAUAACGGCUCGCCGUUAUCACGCGUAAAUUGAACAGUCCUUCGUCUUCCUCCUCAUUUCGGCUUCUCUUUCUCUCUCUCUCUCACUUCAACUCGCGGCUGCACCAGUUCUCUCCUCUCAAAUCCAUCACUUUUCUUGUCAUUUUUCACCAAAUUGAAGCAUUACAAACCACUUCUAUCAUCUCUAGCACCUUUUAACCGAUUCAAAUCCUUCUUUUUCUUCAAAUUUUGAAAAAUCUCAUCUUGAAACCCUAGAACCAGCCGAAUCUCAUUCGUUCACUUUGACCCAAAUUUCUUCAUCUUUCCAACUACUUUUCCAUCCACAAUCACUAUCUCCUCUCUCACACUUCGUUUCCACCGAUUUUUUUUUUCUCUAUGGCGGAACGACCCCAAAGGCGUGCUCGAACCAAGCACACUGCUCAGCGACGCUCUAGUCCCCCCAGGUCUCCUCCUCAAGACUUUGAGAGUCUUCAUUUUCCCGAUGCUACCUCUGCUCAGCGAUUUCGUGAGAAAUUCAUGGGUAAACCCGUAACUCCCUCUUUUUCUCUUAACAUCUCGGAGUUUUCGGAUAUUACUGUUUGUGGUAACUCCAUUACUCAAAUGCUUAAUCAUUGGCAGCAAGCAUUAAGUAUUGAAGAACCUAUUUAUGAAAAUCUAGUUCGAGUCUUUUAUUCUAGGGAAAUUUACACUCGUCCGCCUGUUUGUUUUGCCUUUUUCAAAAAUACACAAACACUUUUUUUUUUUUCAGUGCGCCACCUGAAGUUUGCUUUUUGUUGCAUUUUUCCACUUCCGUCUAAUUUUCGUUAGUGGAUUUAACGGAAUGUUAACGAAAUGACCUUUUUACCCCUCAAAAUUACAAUUUAACCCAAAAUAAAUGGAAAUUGGAGAUAAAUUGGAUGUAUUUAAAUUUUUUCAAAGGUGGAUGCUAGAAAUUAGAGGAAAAUAGUGUUUGUUGCUUGCUAAAUUUAGAAAAUUUGUAUUUAUUUUUUUGAAAGAGAAAAAAUAAAUACAAAUUUUCUAAAUCUAGCAAGUAACAAAUACUAUUUUCCUCCAAAAAAAUAAAUACAAAUUUUCUAAAUUUAGCAAGCAACAAACAUUAUUUUCCUCCAAUUUCUAGCAUCCACCUUUGAAAAAAAAUUAAAUCCAUCCAAUUUAUCUCCAAUUUCUAUUUAUUUUGGGUUAAAUUGUAAUUUUGAGGGGUAAAAAGGUCAUUCUGUUAAAUUUGCUAACGGAAAUUAGACGGAAGUGGAAGAAUGCAACAAAAAGUGAACUUCAGGUGGCGCGCUGAAAAAAAAAAAGUGUUUGUGUAUUUUUGAAAAAGACAAAACAAACAGGUGGACGGUUGUAAAUUUCCCUUUAUUCUAACAUAGAAUUCUCCUCUACUCGUCGUGACGAGCUUCAUACAUUUGUAGGAGGAAUUCGUAUUGAACUAGAUGAACCCGAAUUAUGUAGUAUUCUCGGAAUUGCUUAUGGAGGGUUAGAUCUGUACACCGCUAGGAAAGAACUUUCUUUUAGUAAUUUUCGUCAUGUGGAUGGUGUACGGAACAUUUGUCGUCGUCGGGAUCUUUCCGAUGACAUCUGCUCUCUGUCCUUCAGGUCUCAACUCCUCCCUUUUCAGAUUCGAAUUCUUCACAUUAUUCUCCAACACAUGGUCACUCCUAGACAGGGUCACACUGAUGAGGUCACUAGGCUUGAUAUUGGUCUAUUAGAUUCUCUUAUCCGUCGACGCCAUGUGAGCCUAUCCUACACUAUUAUGUGCCAUAUGUUGUCCACCCCUAAAGUCUCCAAUCGAUCUCUUCCUUAUGGCAGCAUCAUUACUAAAAUCUUGAACCACUUUCAUGUUCCUAUCGUCGAGCCUGUUUUUCUCGAGACUCGUAAGCUCGGACGAGAAAUUAUUUCUGCCAUCGGAUUCUUUAAGAAGCGUGGGAAAUGGGAUAAGACCACAUCCUCUAAAAACGAAGACACACUGCUUGCACCAGAGGAUGAUCGCAUGUUGAAUGACGUCUACUCUGAGGAUGAGCUACCUGAUUUCCGUCUUGGGGCUAGACCGCGUGUUCCACGCCGGGCAGCUGCACCAGCAGCACCUGCAACACCUGUAGCACCAGCAGCACCUGCAGCACCAGCAGCAGCUGCAUCUCAGGAUGACGAGCCUACCGAGACUGUCGUCCCUCCUGCGGCAUCAGCUGUUCCUGAGGAUCGCUUCCAGCAGCUUCUCGACCGAGUGGAUGCCCUGUCCCAGUAGCAGCAGCAGCUUCGAUCUAAUUUUGCAACCUUUCGGGAGCAAAUUUCUGAUCAGCAGAUAGAGUUAAUUGCAGGACAGCGUCGCAUUCUCGGCUAUUUUGGAUAUGACCCCGGCAGCUCGUCUUCCCAGCCCCCAUCUUAGAUUUCUCUGCCCCUCUGACAUUCGCACAGACAUCUUUCAUUUCAUUUUCCAUAUGUGUAUGAUAUUAUUUGUGUUCUGUGUGUUAUGUGUUUUGUGAUUAUGCUUUUGAUAUUUCUUGUUGGACAUAUGCACUUAAUUUCUGUUUGGGUUGUUUUUGGUGUUAUAUUGAUUAUAUUGCUCAUUCUAGAAGUGUGAAUUUGUUGGUAUGGAGGUUGGUUGAUAUGGUGGUAUAUUUAUAUGGAAGUAUUUUUCUUUUUAACUCUGUGUGUUGUUGAGGAACUGCUCAUAUUUCAGAGGAGACUCUGCCCAAAUUUCUCCAAACAUAAGUCAUUCGUCGCGUAUCUUUCUUUUUGAUGAUGAAGGGGGAGAGAAAUUGGCAAAAUGCAAAAUUGGUUUUGGCAAAAUAGUAUUGGCAUGCAUGUGUUUACUGGCAUAAUUUUUUUUUUUUUCAAUCUGUCGUGUUUAAAAUUUUGAGAUUAACAGUUGAAUUUUUUUUAACAAGGGAGUUAACAAGUCUUUCAAAAUUUCACUUAGGGGGAGCACAUAUUUAGGGGGAGCAAAAAUUGCACAAGUAUUUUCUUGAAAAGUUUGUCAUCAUCAAAAAGGGGGAGAUUGUUAACAUAAAUUAUUCUUUAUUGAUUUUGAUGAUAACAAACAUGAUUAAGAUUGAUUAAUCGUUUUAAAAGCUCAACAUAAUUUUCAUCUAUUUUGACAAGUUUCAUAAAGUAUUUUUUUAAAGAUUUGGAGACAAAACAGUCAUCAUGCAAAAUAGUUCACUGCAGCAGUUUUUGUGGAAAACGGCGAUCCGACAUGUGUAGUAAACGGCUCACCGAUUUCAAGCAGAAAUGGAGAUUAGCCUCUGGACCAAAACGGCGAACCGACAUAUGUGAUAAACGGCUCGCCGAUAUCAACCAGUAGCCUCUGGACCAAAACGGCGAACCGACAUAUGUGAUAAACGGCUCGCCGAUAUCAACCAGUAGCCUCUGGACCAAAACGGCGAACCGACAUAUGUGAUAAACGGCUCGCCGAUAUCAACCAGUAGCCUCUGGACCAAAACGGCGAACCGACAUAUGUGAUAAACGGCUCGCCGAUAUCAAUCAGUAGCCUCUGGACCUAAACGGCGAUCCGAUAUCUAGAUAACGGCGAUCCGACAAUUUGACAAAUCAGCCCAACGAUCAUAUUGACCAGUCAAACGGCGAUCCGACAUCUAGCUAACGGCGAUCCGACAGUAUGCAGAAAGUCAAUAACGGCUAGUUUUCAGCAGCAGCUAUAAAUAAGCUCAUUCAAAUUCAAACAAAGAUUGAUCACAACACAGCCAUUGAGCAAAUAUUCGAGAAUACAAUCUUCAUAGAGCUUAAAACACAUUCUCUCUUCAUCUAUUCACAAAUUGGGCAUUGAUUUGUAAUCUUUUACUUUGAGUGAUUGUAAGUGUUGGGAUACACUUGGGUUAAGAGAUUGGGGAUAAUCUCUUGUUGUAAAGGUUUAUUGACACCUUGGAAGUCAAGUGUAAGCAUUUGAAGCCUUGGAGGCUUGCUUAGUGGAAUCCUCAAGCCCGGAAAGCUUGGAGGCGUGGACGUAGGCGAGGUUAGCCGAACCACGUAAAAAUCUCGGUGUUUGAAUCCCUCUUCCCUUAUCUUUUUAUAUUGUGAUCAUCUUAAUUGUCAUUGCUUUGAAUUUGAUUUAUAAUUGUAUUAAGUUUUUCUUCAAUAAAUUGAAUAAUUUUUUUUGAAACCCGAUUCACCCCCCCUCUUCGGUUGCAUACUUGUAUUUCAAGGGCUCCACAUAUCUUCGUAGUGGAUCCGAGUGGCUCGUCUUUGGUUAAAAUUCAUCUCACGGCCCCUUAUUUGAACUUCCAUCACCAUCGGGCAAUGAUCAGAGGUCCAAGUGUCAAUAUUAGUAGCUACAACAUCUGAAAAAAUGUCUCUCCAUGAGCUAUUACAAACAAAUCUAUCUAGCCGUUCCUCCACAAAAGUGGGGCUGAACCUUCCAUUACUCCACAUAAAAGGGUACCCCUUGUAACUAAUAUCUAAACGAUCACAGUCUCGGAGAGCUUCUCUAAAAUCAGUAAUUAAGCUUAACUGCCUCUCAUUUCCCCUACUCUUCUCCAACGGAUGAAGGAUCUCAUUAAAGUCUCCGAAGCAUGACCAAGGGGUGGAAGAUAAACCCGAUAACCGCCUCAAUAAUGUCCAUGUAUGCUUUCUCUGUCUCAUGUCUGGGUGACCAUAAACCCCCGUACAUCGAAUAAGCUUCCCAUUUUCCAUCACUAUCUUAGCAUCAAUGUGAUGCUAAUUGAAAGAUUUAAUUUGCACUUUUAUUUCAGACUUCCAAAGUAAGGCUAGACCACCUCCUUUUCCGAUACUACUCACAGCAAAGCAAUUUUCAUAAUUUAGUUUUCUACUGACCUCAUUCAUAUGCAUAGUCUUCAGCUUCGUUUCACAUAAAAAAAAACUAGGCGAAGACCGUGCACUUGGAGAAUUUUCUUGAGAGCUAGAUACAUUCGGGGAUUCCCCAGACCCCGAAUGUUCCAACUGAGUAUUUUCAUGGCUUCCGGCGGGGGCUGGUAGCCAACCCCGCCGAUAUCUCCUCUAAGCUUAAAGCUGUAAGCUCCAUUUCCUCUGUUGCUAACAGCUCCCAGUGCAACUUGGUUUGUUCUGCUAUCAAAGAAAGUUUCUUCAUUUCCGAAUGGCUUGGGUCAUCCACUUUAGUUUUCUUUAGCUUCGAGUUUGGCCCUGCUGCCUCGCUAUUUGGCCUUUUAUGAGUUCUUAGGCCCAAGCUUGCUCCCCCUUCAUUUUUUGUGGCACGUGCCUGCCUCUUCCAUUUGUUUUUGUUUAACUGAGUUUGGGAUUUAUCGGCCUCGGCAUAUAUUUUCGUUUCCUCAGCUUCCUCUUGGGCUGCAUUUGAGCCCAAAUUCUCCUUGUGUUUCUCGGCCCUGACUACUUCCAUUUUUUCCCCCUCAAUUGAGUUUACAUUUCCCGCCUCAAUUCUCAAAUCUCUAGGGACUGUUACAUUGCCAGUACUGCCUCCCUGCAUUUCGCCGUUAGCCUGCUUCGUAGCCAUCAUUUCUGUCACGCUCUUCAUUAAAUGUUGUUCACCCACCCACUCCACCUCUCUAGUCCUAUCAAUCUCCUUAGUUUGACCCAUUUCCUCCUCCCUGGAUCCUAACCUAUUUUUGUCAGCUGGUUUCACUUGCUCCUGCUGGAGCUGUUGGGACUUAUCAUGGAAUUUUGAACUUGUCGAUUUUUCAGUUCUUUCACCUCUGUUCUACCAUCUUUCUUUGCCUCGGUAUUUCCUUGAGCGUCCCCUGAUUAUGAGUGCUUUCAUCCACAUCCCAAAUGAGAGAUCUUCUUUUGGUUGGCCUUGGUAUUGAGCACACUCCUUGAAUUGAUGACCGAUAAUGCCACAGCAGAAGCAAAAAUUUGGCAAGCAUUCAUACACCACUAGCAUUGGAAUAUCUGUCUUGCCCUCUUGUUUUAGGAAUAAGAUUUUCUUCAAUGGCUGUGUUAUGUUGAUGAAAAUCCUGAUUCUUGCAAAUUCCCCAAAGCAAUCCCCAUUCUCAUCUGUUUCAAUUUCUUCCACUUUUCCUAUCAUUCCCCCGAGCUCUUGCAGAAAGUCCCUCUCCAUACACGCAAUUGGAAUAUUGCGUAUCUGCACCCAGAAGGGGACGUGAGUAAAAUUUUGCUUUGAAACCUCUCCAAUAUCUGUUGGCUCGGUGAGGACAAUCAACGCCCUAUCAAAAUGCCACGAGCCUCUAGCUAGAACUCUUCUUUUAUCAGCUUCUUCCGCGAAUUUGAACAUAAAUAUAUUAUUUCCCAGACUCUCGAUCUUAACCUCUUUAAAAGUUCGCCAUACCUGCUGUAAAGCAACUUUAAGCCCUUCUCUGUUAACACCUCUUGAUAGGAGUACCUUACCCAUCAGGCAUCCUGCUAACACUUGCCCUCUUUGUUCUUUCAUGUUUACUCCCAAUGACAUUUUGCUUUUGUCUUCCUCUCUAAUCGUGAUUGCUUUGCACUUACGGAUUAAUUCUUCAGUGUCCAUGGAGUUAUUACAAGGGAGAGAUUUGAUAAUAAUAAUCACCUAACAAGAAGACCCUGCGAAAUAAACCCCUCACCUACUCUGCUCUAGCCUUUACUGCACUUCAACUGGAAAAACUUACGUAACGUAACUAAUCUAACUUCAAACUAGAAAACAACACUCACUCUCGGAGUGACCAUGUGGGUCAUACAGGCCCCUCAAAGUACUUCCAUUCAUGAGGCUGUAUCGGAGAGAGAGAGCUCUCGUGAAGGAAGAUUCUAAGUGAUCUGACAUUCUAAACUUUAUAUUCAAACUUUGUAAGAUCAUCAUUUCUCCUUUUUUAUUUAACAAAAAAAUUAACUUCUUGCAUGAUCUAAUUGGUCUCGUUUCCUCUCAACAACGUUUUCUUUAAAACACACUUUUAAAGCCAAUCUCUACAUCUCUCGGAAAACUUUUCCUCCCCAAACUCCUCAUCUCUUCCUCACCAAAUCUUUGGAGGCAAAAAUCUUUCUUGCCUUCUCCAGUGGAUUCUUGGUUUUUUUUUUUUGGUUGCACCCACCUCUUCCUUAUGAUUUGAGGAUGGGUGUCUUGUUCUGGCCUUCUUCACCCUAAGCUGGUUGUUCUAGUUCAAUUUUCUCCUCCUUUGGUUUUGAGGAUGGCUGCUAUGCGUCCAUUCAGAUCUUGAUCUGUGAUGGUAAUAAUGUACCUGUUAUGGUGAUAAUGUUGGUUUAAUUUCUAAUUUCCAGUACAUAACCCUUCAACUUUUAGAUCUCGAGUCUAUGUUUCUCAUGUUUGUAAAGUUAGAGGGUGUGAAUCAAUUUUAACGAUAAAUCUAUUUUGCUACUAGCUGGAAAGCAUAAAUAUGGUGGUGGAGAUUAUUUCGAAAGAGCCAUGGAAUCCCAAAUGGAGCUUGAAUUAUAUGUGCAGUACGAAUGGAAGUGUUUCUUCCUAUUCUUUAAUAAAAUUUUAGGGGUUAAUUCAAUUGAUUACUGUAAUAGAUCUCUGUAACUAAACAGAUCUCUGUAUUUUGAUCUUUAUAAUGUGAACUAGUGAUGUACUGCAAGUAGUUGUAUUGUUGUUAUUUUUUUAAUGAAAUAUUAAUACUUUCCUAUCAGAAAAAUCUUAAAAUUUUAGCUUUAAUUCAGACAAAAUAAAGGAAAAAGAAAAAACCAGCAAUGUACUUUAAAAGGGAGCAAAAAGGGAAUAACAAGAAGAGCUUGUUAAAGAAAGAAGCUGAGAGAGUCAGUGGGUUGGUGAAUGAUGAUAUUGUUGUUGUUGUUGUUGUUACUAUUAUUUAUGUCGUAAAAGCAUAUGCAGAGAGAGGCAGAGCAACCCAAUAAAAUCGCAUGGUUAAUAUUAGUUGGUUUUAUGUUGGAGUUGAUCCAACCUAGCCAAAGCCUUAUUUAAAUCCGAACAAAUGGUGGGACUUGGACUUAAGACUUGUUUCUACAAACAUUGAGUGUUUAGCUGCUGCAAAAUUUCAUAACUUAAUUUUAGUUGAUGUGGCAUGUGUCCUAUCACAUAAAUGUAGAUAAUAAUUAUUAAUACAUUAACAAAAUGAAAAUUAUUAGUUUACAAAUUACAAAUCUGAAUUUUUUGUUUGUGAGAGGGAAUUCAAAAGGGAGAGACUAAACAAAUGUGGUGACAAACGACAUGUAUUACCAAAACUGAAAAUACGAAAUCUAGGCAACUGAAAACAUCUCUAUCAAUUGCAAUGAACCGAUCAAAACCAUUUAUAAUUAACCAAAAUCAAACUAAAAAAAAAAUCAAAACUACUAUUUGUUUUGAUCAUCCCUGCUUCUUCUUCUUAGCAUAGCUCUUGGAAUAAAAAUUAACAAAACGUGCCAAAAGGGAAGCAUUAAACACAGCAUUAAACCCAAAAUCCCUGCGCAACCAAAUCCCGUAAAAUGAUAAUACAGACUGCUUCGUCUGUAGCAGUCUGUGUUAUCAUUGGUUAUUGAUAAUACAUUGGUUAUUGAUAUUUUGAGGUUUUAAUCUUAAAUAAUAAUAACAAAAGAAUAAAAUUUUAUCAAGAUUUAACGAAAUAAGUUGUAGCUUAAUAAUUGGUAAAUUAGGAAUGUCAACCAAAUAUCGUCAAAAUAAAUAAUAAAUUGUCGAGUUGAGAAAAUUUAUUUGAAUAAUUUUUAUUUUUUUUUUGUCUAUCAUUGUAAAUUUAAAUAGGGACAAACUUGUGGGGUGCCAAUAUUACCACUCUUAAUACUAUACAUAACAUUCUAAAAAAGAAAUUAGAGCGGUGAUAACCCUUUUUUUUCAAUUAACUACAUCCUUUUUUUCUGAAAUAUCCUUUUUUUUGCAUUGGUCACAAACAAAGACUGCUUCGUCUGCAGCCAAAGGUAGCACAUUACGACGACGGUUGCAUGGUGGUAGACGUGGAGGAACCUGAGGCGCUGGAUGGAGUUUGACAAAACGAUCAAAAGGGUGUCUAGGAAUUCCAGUAUUUCGAAAAAGGUAGAAGAUGUAAGCGUAGAAGAAGAGGGGGCCGGAGGGAGAAAUGGUGGGGGGGAAACAGAGGGUGUAACGGAGGUGGGGUCAGGGACGGAGCCAGCAUGGGACGAGGUUGGGCACAGGCCCCAGCUGGCUUUUAAUUUUUUUUUAUAAUUAUAGUAAAAAAUUGUAUUUUAUUGUUAUUUAUGAAAAAUGCCCCAGCUGAAUUGUAAAAUUUGAAAUUGACUCCAAUAAUUUUAAAAUAUUUCAUAUUGUCCCUAGUUUAAAUUUCUAAUUAUAAAUAAUUUAAUUAGUUAUUAAAAUUUCAUGAAACUUGAUUAAAGAUACGAGAACAAAUAUUAAAAUAAAAAACAAUCAUAAGAAAAUGUUAGUAUAAUGAUUAAUGGACCAAUCUUUAAUCUUGUUAGUAUAAUGAUUAAUGGACCAAUCUUUAAUCUUUUUUAUUUUUUAUUCAAGUAAAAUCAAUUAUUUAAUCUUUCAACACUGAACCAUAAGUUGUCAAUCUACCUAAUUCUAAUUUUUAAUUUUCUAAUUAAUCUUUUGUCUAGUUUUAAAAUUUAUAAUUUUAUCAUGCAUUUCAUAUUUGUUCUGUGUUGCAAUAUAUGAAUAUUUUUGUUAUUAUUAAAAGAUUUUAAGAGCAAAACAAGUAAUAACCUAGUCUUGUAUAUUGAAAAAUAUUUUUUUGCUUAUAUUGAUAAUGCAUUAUUUUCAACUCAUAAAAUUUUAUUGAGGAGUUUUCACGGAGAACCAUUGUAAUAAGUAAAUUUAUUAUCAAUGAAUAUUAUAGUUGUAAUGUUAUGUAUUGCUAUCUAAAUUUUUAGAAAUGUAUUAUACUUUAAAUAUAGUUUCAAUUAGAUUCAUACAGAUGCACUUUAUAAGGAGCACAAUUGUACAUGUAGCAAGCUCCCAUUUGGAGUUUAUGGGGUCCAUAAUACAGUUUCCUAAAUAAAGACUUAUCGCAUGAGCAAUCCCACAUUCGAGUCAUGUUUAAUUUUAAAUGUGCCCUGGCUCGAUCAAAAUCCUAGCUACGUCCGUGGGUGGGGUGAGUGGAGGAUGAUGGAGAGGGUGCAACCAACAGCCAUGAUGAGGGAGAGGAGGAGGAGGGUGAGGUUAUGGACGGCUGUGAUGGGCUUGAGGACGUGGGGUCCAAUGAGAGGUGAUGAUGAUGGUGAUGUUGACGUUAAUGUGUGGUAGAGGAUGGAUGUGAGGGAGAGGUAAGUGAGGAUGGAGAGAAUGAGGAAGUUUAGGGAGGAAGCUGGGGUUUGGUUUUCAGUCCAUGUGAAGUUGAGGAUUUGUGGGUGGUUUACAAGCCAAUGUUGGAGAGUUGAGGUGAUUGAAUUUGAAGCCAUGGCUGGUGUGUUUUUUUUUUUUUUUUUUGGUGGGGGGGGGGGGGGGGGGGGGAGAUUUGGAAGAGAUGAUGUUGAGAGGAGCGGGGGAGUUUAGAAAGUUAGGGAUAAUAUGAGGGUAUUUUGGGCAUAUACUGAUGUCUUAGCUUAAAUUUUGAAAAAGAAAAUAAUAAUAAACUCUUUUUUCACAUGAAUUUAAUACUCCGAGUGUGUUUCCAAGAAUUGUUCUUCUUUUUCUAUUUUUGGAUUUUGAAUCAUAAUUUUUCAAUUUAUUAAUGGCUCUUCAAUUACAAAAUAUGGAAAGAGGGGAUGGGGUGUAGUGCCUAGGCAUCUGUGACAACGGCACUUCUGGACGUGGGUUUCAUUAUUAUUAUUAUUAUUAUUAUUAUUUGGCUAUUUCUGCUCAAUCAAACUUGUGGAUUGCAUGCACUCAACGUGGAAUGGACGCAAUGGAUUUGCUGGGAUCACCCAAGCCGAAGAAGCAUGAACCUGGGACCAAUUUGUUGACAAAAAUUUAGGCAUAAAAUAUACAAAUCAAAGUCGAGUAAGAUUUAAGUAUAAUUGGGGAAUGUCUUCUACGGUGAAGUACAUCGAGUAAGGACUUCUACAAUCGCGCUAGAAAGUACAACUAAAAUCCGGUAAGUGUUUCGUAGAGCAUAAUUUUUAGGGUCCAACGUUAAGAGUAUUUUGUAAACAUUUAUAAUUAUUACUUAAAUUGAUCUAAUCUCAUACUCCAUUAUAGAAAAAAAAACUAAAAUAUCUCUAAUAAUUUUAUCAAAAUUAUUAUUUAACAAUCAUAUUUACUCUAUAAUAUCAACGUUUAUAUUAUAAUUAGAGCUAAUACUAAACAAGGACUCGAAUACGAUCAAGUAAUUAAAAGUUUUAGCUUUUUGGUAUUGCAAGAUGAUUCAAACUUAAACUAGCGAUCAAAAGUCUAUCAAAGAAAUCACAAAGACGCUUUUUUUGACAAAUCCGCAUUAGAAUUUGCAAAAUUUAACAAAGAGAGUGAAUAAGAUUCCAAAGUAAAUCAACUUUAUUAAGAAUUUUACUGGAGAAAAAUUGGAAUAUACGAAGUUGUAUCACAUAUGAUAUUUAGACAUCAAGAAAAGAAUCCAUCUAUCAGUGAACUAUACUUGCCAGGAAACACAGUGAAUACCACCACCUCCCUACUAGUUCUUCCCCUUCAACAGAGUCGACAUUCCCUUGUUUGAUGCCAAGGAGCCCAAGCCCGGAGACAAUGGCAUUCUUUGAUAUCAACCGCUUUGGGGACUUUUGAGUUGAGCUAUUGACAUCCUGAGACAGCCUGUGCCUUCUUCAAAAGGUCAUCUGACUGAAGUAGCGGAUCCGCUUCCACUCCUAGCCAAGCAAGCUUUGAUCUUUCUCCUAAUUGGACAUUAAAAACCCUGCAUGGAAUCCAUUUGAGAAGUUGAACAAUAGACAAAGUCCAACAUAUGUAGGUAGUAAAGAAGAAUUUGGACGGCAAUUACUGAUUGUUUACGCACAGGGCUGAACAAAUGGGUAUAUUAAGGCACUUAAAAGUUAGAACAAUAUUCACCACUUGUAUUUCCUUAGAGAACUAUCUCAGAGUUCAGUUAAUUUAAAACCUUCGAGAUAUAAUUAUCAUCAUCAAUCUUUUGCAGCCACAUGCGGUACUUGGAAAACUGUUUAUGGCCCCUAAAGAACUGGAAAAUCAGAGAACAUUAAGAACAAGAGACUACUAAUUUUGAUCGCGACCAAGCGUACACACUAUGAAAAUCUAAAAUUGAAUUACUCCGAAUGAAUGUGCCUCUUAACAGGAAUUGCACAAGCUAAUCCUUGCAGCCUGCGUCAUGGAGCUUCUCGCAAUGAGUAAGUGAGCCUUGAACAGUUAGCUCAAACUAAAAUGAAAUUGCUGUGGACAUGUGAAUUAAAAAUAGAUGUAAAAGCAGUUUUCUCAAAGCAAGGACAAGAUAAGAGAUUAACUCUGCUUCUUAGUUACAUUAAAAAUAACAAACAAUGAAAAAACAGAGCUAGAGAAGAACUUACCUGUGCGUUGAGACCACGUGGGGAAUGUGAGAUAUCUUCUUAGAUUUGGUUUGAGAAACUCCAUCUUCUUCUGAAAGUUCUGACAGUUCCCUAAACCCAGGCCAAUACAAUUGCAACAGAAACUGCAUGCUUUAACCAGCAUCUGAUCAUCUCCUGUUAUUUCAAGACAAUAAAAACUUAAUUGCAACACUGCAUGCUUCAACCAUUAACCUUCUCAAUUUCAACACUUCUUUUGUCCCCCGCCCAAUGCCCUUAUUAGAGUGAGUGAGAAAUUAAGUACAUAUCAGUGAUUUGGGUUGUUAGUGAAUGUUUUUCUUUAAUAUUGUUAGUGAAUGUUAGUGAAAGGUGAUGAUGGUGGUGAUGUUGAUGUUGAUGUGUGGUAGAGGAUGAAUGUGAGGGAGAGGUAAGUGAGGAUGGAGAGAAUGAGGAAGUGAGGGGAGGAAGCUAGUGUUUGGUUCUGAGUCCAUGUGAAGUUGAGGAUUUGGGGGUGGUUUACAAGCCACUAUUGGAGUGUUGCGGUAAUUGAAUAUGAAGCCAUGGCUGGUUUUUUGGGGGAGAAAGAUUUGGAAGAGAUGAUGUUCAGAGGAACGGGGGAGUUAAAGUUUUGGGAUAAUGCGGAGGGUAUUUUGGACAUAUUGUUAUCUUAGCUUAAAUUUUAAGAAAAAGAUAAUCAAUAAUAGGCUUUUUUUUCAUGUCAAUUUAAAACUCCGAGUGUGAUUCCAAAAAUUGUUUUCGUUUUUCUAUUUUGGAUUUUAAAUCGUAAAUUUAGUAAAGGAAGUUAAAUCAAGUGAUCACUUAUUAUUAUUAUUAUUUUAAUGUAAAGCAAUUUUUUUUUUUUUUGUGAUUUAAGCAAAUAUUGAGUUGCGUACUUUGACAAUAUUAAUAUUUGAUUCGAAAUUUCAUCUAUUGAAACUACAAAAAUUAAUAUUUUCUAAUAAAUCAAAACUAAAAUUAAAAGAUGACUCAUUAUCUGCCGACUGUCAUUAAACGAAGCCAUCACUCACGCAAAAAAAAAAAAUGAUAUAUUUAUUUUAACGUAAUUUCAUACCAACAAAUCAUUCUUUUCUUUCGAACAAUGACCUCUUUAAUUAUCCAGGGCUUUGUGAUAACAGCAUCUUUGGACGUGAGUGUCAUUAGACUUUUGGGUCAAUCAGACUUGUGGAUUACAUGCACUCAACGUCGAUAAUAUAGAAAUGGGAGAAAAUUAUGUCAGUAAAAUCAAGUCAGUCAAAUAAAAAUUGUGUAUUUUUGAAAAAGUUGAAAAAACCAGGUUGACAGUGCAUAAUUUUCUAACUCAGUAGAAUUUCCUAAAGUUGGAGUAAAUAAGACUCCAAAGGAACAUGGCAAUUAUUAUUAUCUAAGAAAUAAUUCAUAGCUAAAACAAAAUUAAAUUUCCUAACUCACUAGAAUUUAACUGGAGAAGAAUUGGAAUAUACAACGUUGUAUCACAUAUAGUAUUUAGACAUCAAGAAAAGAAUCCCUGUAUCAGUGAACCAUACUUGCCAGAAAACACCAGGCGAAUACCACCACCUCCUACUAGUUCUUAGGUGUCUCAGAGUUUGAGGACGACUUCCAUGCUAUGUCUCUUCGACAGGCAGCAAAAUUGGGCAAUUGACUGCAUCAACUCCAAGAAAUUUAUGCAGUCACCUUCCUCCGGACUAUCUUGUUUGACGCCAAGGAGCCCAAGCCCAGAAACAAUGGCACUCUUUGGCAUCAACCACCUGGGGACUUUUGAGCUGAACCAUGACAUCCUGAGAUGGGCUGUUGUGUAAGCCUUCUUCAAAAGGUCAUCCGUUGAUCUUUCUCCUAAUUAGACCAUCAAAACCCUGCAUGGAAUCCAUUGGAGAAGUUGGACAAUAGACAAACUCCAACACACACAGACAGUAAAGAAGAAUUUAGACCGCAAUCACUGUGGCUGAACAAAUGGGCCUAUUAAAAGUGGGAACCAUAUUCACCACCCGCAUUUCCUUAGAGAACUAUAUCAGAAUUCUGUAAAUUUGAAACUAUUCUUACAUAUUUAACUGUAAAACAAGAGAAAUUGUACUUCCGUAGCAAAGUCUCACUAUUGGUAAGUAUCUGGACUUGGAAAGGAUGCUAGUUGAUUAAGUAAAGGAAAAUUGAAAUCAGACUUUGAGGUGAUAGAUCUAUAUCCACUUUUAUAGGAACCGCAUUAACAUCAUAUGAGACAAUUAAACAAAUAACCCAGUCAAAGUUCAACAAACAAAACAUUAAAACAAGAGUAAUUUGGUCUAUCAAUGUAUAUUUAGAGAUGUCGAUCAAUAGACAAAUACGUAAACGAGAGACGGAGAGACCUCAAAGCCGUGCUUAAGAACAGUGCUACUCCAAUAACAUCAAAAUGGUUGGUGACCGCUCUAUCAAAUCCACACAAUAGCUGAUAUCUCAUGUUUUCAUAUAGUCCAAUGAAAGCACCAUAACCAGGCGCUUUAGUACUUACAGAUGGGAUUGUCACAGGUUGUUAACAUAUAUGUUUCCAUAAUAUUGAUUUUGAUGAUAACAAACAAGAUUAAGAAUGAUUAAUCUUUUAAGCUCAAAUUAUUGAAAAAUAUAUUUUAAAUAAAUCAUUAUUUUUACAUUAUAAAUGUUUUAUAUUUAAUGGAAAAAUGAUUUUAUGAAAUUGAUUAUUUUUAUUCUUUUUAAAUAAAUCAUUAUUUUCACAUUAUAAAUGUUUCAUAUUAAUGGAAAAAUGAUUUUAUAAAAUUGGUUGUUUUUCAAAGUUUAUGGUUUAAUUAAAAGAAUUUUAAAAACUUUGAAAUAAAGAAGUAUUGCUUGAAAUUUUGGUAAAAGACUUAUUUGAAAAGUGUCAUUGUAUUGUGGGCUAUAUCAUAAUUUCAUAAAGUUUUGGAAAUAGUAAGUAUUAUUUAGAAAUUCUGAAAUUAGAUUUAUUUGCAAAGUUUUAUAACGUUUUGGGCCAUAGUACAGUUAUAUAAAAUUUGAGGGUCAAACUGUUAUUUUACAAAAUAGUUCACUGUAGCAGUCACUGUAGAAAACGGCGAUCCGACAUUUGGUUAACGGCUCGCCGACUUCGAACAUAAUUGAAGAUUAGUCUCUGGACACUAACGGUGAUCCGACAUCAGUUAACGGCGAUCCGACAAUUUGAAAAAUCAGCCCAACGGUCAUAUUGACCAGUCAAACAGCGAUCCGACAUCUAGCUAACGGCGAUCCGACAGUGUGCAGAAAGUCAAUAACGGCUAGUUUUCAGCUCCAACUAGAAAUAAGCUCAAUCCAAUUCAAACAAGAAGAAUUCCAACGAUCAUCAUUGAGCAAAAUAUUGAGAAUACAACUUUCAUUGAGCUUUAAAUCUUUGUAUUCAUCUCAUUCAUUCACACAUUGAGCUUUCACUUGUGAUCAAACACAUUGUGUGAGAGAGAUUCAUUUGUAAUCCUUUUUGUAAAAUCAAGUUAAAAGAUUGUAAGUGUUGGGAUACACUUGGGAUAAGAGAUUGGGGAUAAUCUCUUGUUGUAAAGGUCCAUUGACACCUUGGAAGUCAAUUGUAAGCGUUUGAAGCCUUGGGAGGCUAGCUUAGUGAAAUCCUCAAGCCCGGUGUGCUUGGAGGCGUGGACGUAGGCGGGGAUUGCCGAACCACGUAAAAAUCCUUGAGUUUGCUUUCUCUUCCCUUACUCAUUUAUUAUUGUGCUUUUAUUGAAUUUAUUGUUUUCGAAUUUGUUAAGGCAUUAGAUUGGAUUUGUGUGUGGUUUGCCUAGGAUAAUUUUUAAAAUCCCAAUUCACCCCCCCUCUUGGGUUGCCUAGUUAGUAUUUCACAGGUAACCUGUCAGACAUCAAAUAUGGCCCAAAUUUACAAAUGGGAUUGUCGCGUUAGUGCUUAGACAGUAAACAUUUGCUCUAGUAGCCUGAUUAAACAAGAAAUCGAGACAAGUGUUCAAAAUUUUAAUCUUUAUAUAUAGCCAAAAUGAUAAUGUAGUUGAUAAUACUGACCUGAGUUAAUAAAUACGGGGCUGGUAACAAUCACAGCAUCUCAUCAUGUGGGGAAAGCCUUCACAACAGAAGACGCUGCUUGCUUUGAAGCAAUAAUAACUUUCCAAUUCCAUAAGGUAGCUUAAUGACCUUUUAGGAUAUCAGCACCAGCCUAACAAUUAUUCAUGGAAAUUCGAUUUGCAUUUAUCACCUUUAAUUUGCUCAUCUUUGCCUAGAGUAUUGUUUUUGCGUAAACUUAACAAGCUUGUAAGCCACCUACAAAUGGUUUUAAAUAUGUGCGAGAGUGUGAAUUCGAACGAAUUAAUCAAAUAUGAUGACAGAAGAAACAAAAGCAAAACAACCACAAGACGUAGAAAUAUAUUUUUGUUAUAUUUAGAGCAUCUUCUACGGUCUUCUUUUCCUUUAGCUCUGUUUCUGUGUGUGUUCAAACGCAAUGCCUCAAGGCUCAAGAUGUUAGGAAAUUAGUGGGUGAAGCAGGACCGCAGCUAAAGUAAAAUUGGAAGAAAAAUAAAGAACAAGCACAAUAGAGGACACUAGAAAUUACUUGGUUCGGCGUUUAGCCUACGUCCACGGGUGAAAACAAAAGGAAAAUAUUAUACUAGUGAAAAAGAGUUACAAGUACUGUAGUAUUUUAGCUCACUACCUAAAACCCCAAUACACCCAAACUCUCAAAUUACUAGACUCUUAAAAUCACUCUCUAAAUAAAGAAAAGAACUGAAGAACUCGAUGAUUUACAAAUGAAGGGAGCCAGCAUUUUUAUAGCCAAAAUUGGUUACUGUUUAUUUAAUAUUUUAUUAUUAUUAUUAUUAUAUUAAUUUUUCUUUUCUUUUCCUUCUUCGGCCUGACAUCUCUUUUUCUUCCCUCUUUCUUCUUUUUCCUUUUUUUCUUUGGUUUCUUUCUUUGGGCGGCACCUCUUUUUUUUUUUUCUUCUUCAAACUGCUUCUUUUUCCAUUUUCCUUUUCAAGCAUUUUGGCUGGCCCAUUUUCAACAUUUCUAGAAGAGUGGUGCCCCAUAUUCAACAUUUCUCUCACUUAGAGAUUUGAUUGAGAAUCAAUCAAUCUCCACACCAUCCUUUCUGUUUCGCCAUAGUCAUGUUACCUACGUUUCUGCUAGGCCACAAGACGAUCUACUCCAGACAAACUUGUCAGUAUUGAUUGGCUUGAUCAUAACAUCUGCUAGGUUCUCUUUCGUAUGGAUUUUCUAUAAAUCUACACUUCUGUCUUCCACUACUUCUCGAACGAAGUGAUACUUAACUCCUAUGUGCUUUGUCCUGGAAUGAAAGGCUGGAUUCCUUGCAAUGUGCAAGGCACUCUGACUGUCACAAAACACAUGAAUUUUCUGUUGUUUCUGCCUGACCUCCUCCAAUAAUCUUUGUAUCCAAAUAGCUUCCUUGCAAGCUUGUAUAGCUGCCAUGUACUCUGCUUCUAUUGUAGAUAAAGCCACAACGGUCUGCAGUUUUGAAACCCAGCUUACAGCUGCUCCUGCAAGUGCAAACACAUAAUCAGUAGUGGAUUUCCUUUUAUCAAGGUCUCUUACAAAAUCUGAAUCCACAUAGCCCCUGACAGUAAACUCUGAUCUUCCAUAACAUAAUGUAACAUCUGAGGUUCCUCUGAUGUAUCUCAAAAUCCUCUUCGCAGUUAUCCAAUGCUUUCCACCAGGAUUCGUCAUGUAUCGACUAAUUGCUCCCACUGCUUGUGCAAUGUCUGGUCUUGUACAUAUCAUAGCGAACAUCAAACUUCCCACUGCUGAUGCAUACGGUACUCAAGACAUCUCCUUCCUCUCUGCUUCAUUGCUAGGACACAUACUUGAGGAUAAUUUGAAAUUAACAGGAAGUGGGGUAGAAAUUGACUUACAAUCUUGCAUGUUGAAGCGCCGCAAGAUUUUCUUCAAGUAAUUCUUCUGUGAAAUUCAAAUCUUCAUGUUAUUUCUGUCUCGGUGAAUUUGCAUCCCUAGAAUCUUGUUUGUUGGUCCCAAGUCCUUCAUUUCAAACUCCUUAGCCAAUUAUGCCUUCAAUUCUUAGAUUCGAUCUUUAUUGGGGCCUGCUACCAACAUGUCAUCCACAUACAAUAGCAAAAUAAUGAAAUCAUUAUCUUCAAACCUUUUGUAAUAUGCACAAUGGUCUGAACUGAGUUUGUUGUAUCCAAGGCUCAUGAUGAAGGAAUCAAAUCUCUUAUACCAACACCUCGGCGCCUGUUUGAGACCGUAUAGAGAUUUGUUCAACCUGCAAACCAAGUUCUCGUUUCCUGUUUCUGCAAAACCUUCUGGUUGUAGCAUAUAUAUUUCUUCUUCAAGUUCUCUAUGAAGAAAUGCAGUUUUCACAUCUAACUGCUCUAGAUGUAAGUCAAAUGUAGCACACAUCGCCAAGACUACUCUGACUGUCGUGAGUCGAACCACCGGCGAAAAUAUCUCGUUAAAGUCAAUACCUUCUUUCUGAGCAUAUCCUUUCACCACCAAUCUCACACGAUACCACUCCGCUUGGUCAUUGCCAUCACGUUUGAUCUUGUAGACCCAUUUGUUUCCAAUGGCUUUUCUUCCAUGUGGUAGUGGUACAAGUUCUCAUGUUUUAUUCUUGUGUAGAGCUUCAAUUUCUUCCUGCAUUACUAUCAUCCACAAAGUAACAUCUGAGCUUUCUAAAGUUUCAUGAAAAGUUGAAGGCUCUCCAUCCUCUGUUAGAAGACAGUACGCAACAUUAAUCUCUGUGACAUACUCUGAGUGCCACGCCGGUAGUCGUCUCUCACGAGUUAACCUACGAACUUCUAGAGCCUCGGACUCGACCGGUUCUUGUUAUUCGUGCUCUGGUGCUGUUUCAGAAGAAUCUGAAUCUUCUGGAUUAUUUUCCACAUAUACUGGCACAAUCUCUGACUUUUCUUUUGCAGUGCCAUCAUCCUUAUCUCUCCUUUGCAAUUGAUCUUCUAUAAAGAUAACAUCUCUGCUGAUGAUGAUCUUGUGGGUAGUGGGGUCCUACAGAUGAUACCCCUUUACUCCAUCAGCAUACCUCAAGAAGAUACAUCUUCUAGAUUUUGCAUCCAACUUUGUUCUUUCUUGGGCAUUGUACAUCACGUACACAUGACAUCCAAAUGCAUGUAGGUAGGAAUAAUCAGCUGACUUUCCAGUCCACAUCUCCAUCGCUGUCUUCAGCCCAAUUGUUGUAGAUGGCGACAGAUUUACUAUAUAACAAGCAGUUUUGGUUGCUUCUGCCCAGAAUGAAUUGGGUAGACCAGCAGUCCUCAACAUAGCUCUUAUUCUAUCUGUAAGAGUUCUGUUCAUCCGCCCUGCCACUCCAUUUUGUUGAGGAGUGUAUGCCACUGUGAACUACCUCUGAAUACCUUCUUGCUUACAGAAAGUAAGAAACUCGCCGUCUGUAUACUCUCCACCAUUAUCUGUCUUGAAGCACUUGAUCUUUUUACCAAAUUCAAGUUCCACCCGCGCUUUAUAUUCUUUAAAUACUAGAAAUACAUCUGACUUUUUCUUAAUUGGAUACACCCAACAUCUUCUGGAAUAAUCAUCAAUGAAAGUCACCAUCCCCUGGAUAUAUCCGGUGAUUCCCAAACAUCAGAAUGAAUCAAGUCUAAAAUGCAUUUACUUCUAACAACGGAUCUACUGAAUUUUAAUCUAUGUUGCUAACUGUUGUGCAAAUUUUAAUGUACUCGCAAGCGCACGAAUCUAUUGUAGUAUAGACUAAUGGUGACGAGUGUCGAUCCCACGAGGAGGUGGAUUUCAAUUGUAUAUAGAAUUAAUUUUGUAAAUGGGUGGUUGGAUUUGUGGUGGAAAUGAUUUGGAAUAUGCUAAAACUUAAAUUAAAAUGGCGAGAAUAAAUUCUGAAAUUGAAAUUGAAAUGACGAGAAUAAAUUGAAGCGAAGAUCUAUUGAAAUGACGUACUUGGGUAUCUGGAUCCGUAUCAACAUGCAUCAUGGGCUAAAUAAUCCGUAUUAAUGCCAAUUAAAUCAUGAGGGGGGAAUCCACACCUCAUGAACCACGCUCUAAUCAAUAUGGUGCUAAGGGCUUAUCGUGCCAAAUAAUAAUAACCUUUGUACUAGAGGGCCGGUGAAACCAAGGCGGUACUAGACAAGAUUAGUAUUAUUUGUCGACGAGAAGUCAAAACAUCCACAAAAAUUAGAGGGGAAGAGAAAGUAAAUUUACCAAAUAAAGCCCAUGACACAUGUUGAGACUUCACCUUCAACCCAAGCUUGAAAGAAAAUUAGCCACUCAUAAUUGAACUAGGGGCAAAAUGAAAAUUUAUUAAAAUACGAAGAAAAUACAAGAUGGAGAGAGAAUUACAGAAAAUGGAUCCCAAAAAUGGAUUCAGAGAUAUCAAAUUAGGGGGGGAAGGCCCCCUUUUUAUAGAUACAUGGAGUAAAUCAUGGCCAUCGGAUUAAAAACAGUUUGGACGCUCAGGAUUGCGCCACGUCAUCAGUCAACAGUCCACGGUUUGACCACGCGGAUGAACAGUAACACGGUUUUGACCCGGAUGAACAGUAACGCGGUUUGGUUGAAAAUAAUCCUGUGUAAUGCAUGCACCGUACGCGAGAUUUUUCGUCCACUGAUAUGCUGCCACGUCACCAUCAACAGUACAUAAGAAUUUUAGUCCAACAGGAUCGUGACACCUCAUCAGUCAAUGCCACAUCAUCGGUCAAUGCCACGUCAUCGAUCCGUCUAUGUGAACAGUGUCGUGAAAAGUAACAUAUACAGUACCGUAUACGUGAAUAGUACCGUACAUGUGAAUAGUGCCAUUUUUCCUUUUAUGCUCCUCCUAAGGUUUUCGACCGUCCUGAGUUCAAAAGUGAUGUCCGUUUUACCGUCUGAUCUCUCCUUUAUUGUGAAAUGACUAUAAUGCCCCUAAAAUACAUAAAAUACUUAAUUAAAAUAAAACACAUGUAAUUAAAUCACAAGAAGGUUAAAUACAUAAAAGUAAGGGUUGUUAGUAAGACUUGAAAUGUAAAAUGACAGAUUUCUCCUUUAUAAAUAUGCAUUUUCUAACACUCAACACACCCCCCAACCAGCUUAUUGCUAGUCCCUAGCAAAUAAAGCGAAAAUAAAAUUCAAAUCCAAAAUGAUUUUUUUUUUUUUAAUAAAAACACUCAUAUUUAUUCAAUCAGAUUAAUGAUAGCACUCAAAUAAAAGUAUAAGCAUUAUCUCCAGUCUAAAGCAACAUCACACCCACAUCAACCAUUCACAUGAAUCAGCCUAGUAGACUUUGUUAUAGCUACUUUCAAGAAUGACAUGUCAAACCCCAAAAUCUCACUGGAAGUAGUGACACUCUCACAAAGAAAUUAAAACCCAAUAAAAAUAGUCACUCCAAUGAAUGGUAAUUGAGAGAGAAAAUAAUAAAGAAGUGAUAUCACAUGCUCUCACCAAGAUGAAAUAAAUAUGCCCUCAGCUUAGAAAUAAUACGAUCUCAAGUCAAAUAAAAUGUUAGUCAACCCACUUUAUUUAUCUUUUUUUUUUUCUUUUUUUUUUUAUUAUGCAUCAUUACAUCUUUUUAGCCCAUUUAACUAGCUUCUACUUCAAACUAUAGUUCCCUAAAAUCAAGAAGGACUUUUAUUAGGACGUAACGUAGGCUAGGAAUAUGGCUAACAAAGAAAGGAAAUAAGGAAAAUAAAGUGUAUGUUUGAGAAAAAUGCAGAAUUAUUUUUUUUUUUUGGAAGUUGCAAGGUGGAUUUCACCUAUUAUUGUUAUUUUUAUUCUUUUGAAACAACAACUUUUGUUUUUGUUUUUUUUUUCUUUUUGCUUUUAUUUGGCAUAACUUCACUGAACAACAUAAUUAUUUACAUUUUCUCAAACAUAAAUAGGUGAUGGAACUUAAAAGACAUUGGGUAAUACUCCAAAUCGGAGUGGGUCAAGAUGAUAAGUUGACAAAGAAAAGGUUUUUGUUCUUUUUUUUUUUUUUUUUUUUUAAAGGCUCAAAAGGGGUAACUAUGGAUAUUUAAUAAAAGGGAUGGCUAGAAAGGCUCAAACGGAUCAAAGAUGGCCUUUCCAUCGUCUUUUAGGGCUCUAAAUAAUCAUCCAUAUCUACUAGUUAGAUGGGCCUCCCAAUGUAGCAACACAUAAUUUUUUUUUUAUUUUACAAUUUUUUUUUUUAAGGGUUAACUCAAAAGAAAUCUAGAGAUCGUAUAUACAAUAAUAAACUGCUAAGCUGUAUAAAGAAUGGGCAAAAGGGUUACUCUCCAAGAAAAAUGAUAGGCUCAAAAGCUCACUUGGUACUUAUUAUGACAUGUUCAUUCCUUCAAGCAACUCAUAUUUGUCUCCGACAUCAACAUGUAAAGUAGCAAACAUAGUGUAACAUCACUUCAGACUAAAGAUAAUACAAAUACUAAAAUUUGAAAUUCAUCAUGUCAUCCAAUGUUAACACAAAUCACAAUUUUUUUUUUUAAAUUUGAAACAACAUUCUACCCCCCAACCUAUUCUAAACAUGAAAGGAAAAUAUGCAUGCAAAAAUGUGAAAAUGAUGUAGAAAAAUUAAUUAGAAAAAAAAAUUUUUUUUUUUUUUAACUAAGAAGAUGCGUUUCUAGAGGCACGACACUCCAUAUUCAGCCAUCUUCGACUCAAAAAUUGGAAAAUAUAUAUUUAUAAAGGAGAAAGAGGAAGAAAACAAUUUUUUUUUAAACGAUGAAGAUGCGUUUCUAGAGUAACUACACUCCAUAUUCAGCCAUCUUCAACACAAAACGUUAGCAACAGUUAGUUUCUACAACAAAAAAUCAGUAAAAACUUAACCAAGAUUCCACAAUUGUCGACUAUUCCCUCCCCCCAACCAGAACGAAACAUUGUCCUCAAUGUUUGAAAGGAACGAAGUAGAGUUUAGAAGACAUCACCUGGGUGGUGCAACACAGAAGAAAAUAUUUACAGGCGGAGAGUUAAAUCUAAUUUGUACUUCUUACUGCGGCUACUGUUACCAUCAUUAUUUGGUCGCUCCAACACAAAGGUCCAGGGGUCUGGCUCCGGUUUAUAAGCUUGUAACAUAUCAAGUAGCUCAUUAGCAGUGUGAGCACAAAUAAAGAGUUUUUUCACAUUAGAAGGAAUGAAAUAGUUUUUUAUUGCAUGGUUAAGAAAUGCGAUAAAGCCAUCAUAAAAGUUAUUGACAUUUAACAAACCGAUGGGUUUCUGGUGAAUGUACAGAUGGGCCCAAGAUGAUAGUGUGAUAAGUGCCUCUAGUGUUGCAAGAUCUCCUGGAAGGAAAAUAAAAGCAUCAGCGUGAUUAAGCAUUUCGGUUAUUCUUUCUUGCAUACCUGAGACGACUAACUCUUCUCCAGUUGAUGAGUUAGACGAACUGCCCAAUGGUUUUAGGACUCUUGGGAUGAUGCCUAAUGUUGAGUGUUAGAAAAUGCAUAUUUAUAAAGGAGAAAACCGUCAUUUUACAUUUCAAGUCUUACUAACAACCCUUACUUUUAUGUAUUUAACCUUCUUGUGAUGUAAUUACGUGUGUGUUAUUUUAAUUAAGUAUUUUAUGUAUUUUAGGGGCAUUAUAGUCAUUUCACAAUAAAGGAGAGAUCAGACGGCAAAACGGACAUCACUUUUGAACUCAGGACGGUCGAAAACCUUAGGAGGAGCAUAAAAGGAAAAAUGGCACUAUUCACAUGUACGGUACUAUUCACGUAUACGGUACUGUAUAUGUUACUGUUCACGGCACUGUUCACAUAGACGGAUCGAUGACGUGGCAUUGACCGAUGAUGUGGCAUUGACUGAUGAGGUGUCACGAUCCUGUUGGACUAAAAUUCUUAUGUACUGUUGAUGGUGACGUGGCAGCAUAUCAGUGGACGAAAAAUCUCGCGUACGGUGCAUGCAUCACACAGGAUUAUUUUCAAUCAAACCGUGUUACUGUUCAUCCGCGUGGUCAAACCGUGGACUGUUGACUGAUGACGUGGCGCAAUCCUGAGCGUCCAAACUGUUUUUAAUCCGAUGGCCAUGAUUUACUCCAUGUAUCUAUAAAAAGGGGGCCUCCCCCCCCUAAUUUGAUAUCUCUGAAUCCAUUUUUGGGAUCCAUUUUCUGUAAUUCCCUCUCCAUCUUGUAUUUUCUUUGUAUUUUAAUAAAUUCCCAUUUUGCCCCUAGUUCAAUUAUGAGUAGCUAAUUUCCUUUCAAGCUUGGGUUGAAGGUGAAGUCUCAACAUGUGUCAUGGGCUUUAUUUGGUAAAUUUAUUUUCUUUUCCCCUCUAGUUUUUGUGGAUGAUUUGACUUAUCGUCGACAAAUAAUACUGAUCUUGUCUAGAUACCGCCUUGGUUACACCGGCUCUCUAGUAUAAGGUUAUUAUUAUUUGGCACGAUAAGCCCUUAACACCAUAUUGAUUAGAGCGUGGUUCAUGAGGUGUGGAUUCCCCCCUCAUGAUUUAAUUGGCAUUAAUACGGAUUAUUUAGCCCAUGAUGCAUGUUGAUACGGAUCCAGAUACCCAAGUACGUCAUUUCAAUAGAAUUCUCUUCAAUUUAUUCUCGCCAUUUCAAUUCCAAUUUCAGAAUUUAUUCUCACCAUUUUAAUUUAAGUUUUAGCAUAUUCCAAAUCAUUUCCACCACAGAUCCAAUCAACCAUUUGCAAAAUUAAUUCUAUACACAAUUAAAAUCCACCUCCUCGUGGGAUCGACACUCGUCACCAUUGAUCUAUACUACAAUAGAUUCGUGCACUUGCGAGUACAUUAAAAUUUGCACAACAAGUUUUUGGCGCCGUUGCCGGGGAGGUAAGUAAUUUUAAUUCAUAGAAUUAAUUUUUGUGAAUAAUUCCAUUUAAUUGUUUUCUUGUAUUUUUUAUUAUUUAAAAAAAAAAGAAAAAAAAAGUAAAUCUAUAUUUAAAGGUUAGUAUUUCUUUUCUUUUUCUCUUCUUUAAAAUUCUGUAAUUUAAUUUUCAAUUUAUUUUUUCUUUGUAAGUUUUGUUUAUUUUAUUAAUUUAAUUUUUAGUUAAUUUAUUUCACGUAUUUAUUUUUGUGUAUUUUUAUAGAAAGGUUGUAACAGCGUAAUAAGGUUAGUAUCGUAAUUUCUCCCUCUUCUUUAUUUUUAUUUGUUUUGUUCUCAUCUUUAUUUUUUAUUUGUUUUGUUCCCAUCUUUAUUUUUUUUGUUUUGUUUGCAUCUUUAUUUUUAUUUUAUUUAUUUUGCAUGCAUGGUCGUAGGUCAUUAUUACCUAAUCUUGAACCUAUAGACCUUGAACUAGAAAAAACACUUCGCACACAAAAACACAUUAAAAAUAAAUUUGGAAUGGAUUUACAAGCACCACAGGAGAGGCCAUUUAAGGACUAUUUUAGUCCCUUAGCUAAUUUGAGCACAUCAUGCAUAAGAUACCCAAAUGUAGCUGCUAGGAGUUUUGAAUUAAAACCUAGUGUGCUAAAUUGUCUCCCCACAUUCUAUGGCCUAGAAAAUGAGGACCCAUAUAAUCAUCUGAAUGAUUUUCAUGCCAUUUGUCAAACUUUUAAAUAUGAAAAUUUUUCAGACGAUGAUGUUAAACUUAGAUUAUUCCCAUUUUCUUUAAAGGAUAGAGCUCGUUCAUGGUUAAAUACUUUGCCUGCUAAUAGCAUUGCAUCAUGGGAACAAAUGGUUACAAAAUUUCUAAAUAAAUAUUUCCCAGUGCAUAAAACCAAUUCUAUUCGCAGGGAAAUUUCAGAGUUUAAACAAAGAGAGGACGAGCAGUUUUUCGAAACUUGGGAGCGAUUCAAUGGGCUACUCUUGAAGUGUCCACAUCAUGGGUACGAGAAAUGGCACCAAUGCCAAUACUUUUUGGAAGGGUUAUUGCCAAAUGUGCAAGAAUGGCUAAUGGCAACAAGUGGAGGAGAGCUAAUGUCAAAAAGCGCAACAGAGAUUUGGGAAUUCUUCCAGCGACAAGCGGAUAAUUCCCAACAACGGAGUCGAUCACUCAGGAAUACUAGAAGAAUUAAAGGAGUGAAUGAGGUUCAAAUUGGCGAGUCAACUUCGGGAAUCAAAGAAGUCAAGGAGAUGGUUGAAGGUCUUGCUCGACAAAUAGCAUCGUUGUCGACUGCUAAAUCAACAGAGCCACAUGACCAUGACUCAUACUCAGAUCAAGCCAAUGCCAUAGGUGUAAUGAGAAAGCCAUCUAAUUACAACCCAUACUCCAACACAUAUAACCCUGGAUGGAGAGACCACCCCAAUUUUUCAUGGUCUCAAGGAUUUCAACAGAAUGGACCAGCAGCUCCAGCUCCACCAAUGCAACAAAUUUCUCAAAAUCCUCAAGCCUCUCAGCCACCAUUCAGACCAUACAAUCAGAACCAGAACUACUCUCAACCCAGACCAUGGGAGGAUGCAUUCCAGAAUUUCAAGAAUGUUACUCACUCCACGAUUGAGCAACAGAACCGCACCAUUGAUGGAUUACGAAAUGAGUUGAGAGCAGGCUUCAACUCACAAGCCCAAUCAGUUUCAAGCCUUGAGAAGAUGGUGGGACAACUUGCUUCUUCAGUUCAGACCUUGGCAAUGACUGUUGAGAAAGGCAAGUUUCCAAGUCAACCAGUGCCUAAUCCUAAAGGAGUACAUGAAGCAAGUACCAGUUCACCACAGCAGCAUGGAGAGGUCAAAGCAGUCAUGACCUUGCGAAAAGGAAAGGAAGUCGACAACAAAGUGGAGAUGCCGGUGACAAAAGAAAAUCAAAUUGUACCUGUGAAUGUUGAGGACUCACCACCGGAGGAAAAAGAAGAAACCAACCCACGAGAAUAUGUUCCUAAAGCUCCAUUUCCUCAGAGGUUAGCGAAAGGAAAGAAGGGAAAAUCCACAGGUGAGAUUCUCGAAAUCUUCAAACAUGUAAGUGUUAACAUCCCUUUACUUGAUGCUAUUAAACAAGUUCCAUCUUAUGCCAAGUUUCUUAAAGACCUUUGUACUAAAAAGAGAAAUAUGCAUGUUCAAAAGAAGGCCUUUUUAACAGAAAACGUUAGUUCUAUACUCCAAUAUAAAAUUCCUCUAAAAUGCAAAGACCCAGGCUCCCCCACUAUCUCAUGUAGUAUAGGGAACCACACAAUUGAGAAUGCUUUGUUGGAUUUAGGAGCUAGUGUAAAUCUGUUGCCUUAUUCAGUAUUCGUGAAACUUGGACUGGGAGAAUUACACCCAACUCCAGUGGUGUUACAGCUUGCAGAUCGGUCCACAAAAAUACCUCGUGGUAUUGUGGAGGACGUGCUUAUCCAGGUAGACAAGUUUUAUUUUCCUGUUGAUUUCAUUGUAAUUGACACUCAACCAAUACAGGAUUCAAGGAAGCACAUCCCCAUUAUCCUAGGCCGACCUUUCUUGGCAACUGCGGAUGCUCACAUUCAAUGCAGGACUGGAAAUAUGCAGUUGUCCUUCGGCAACAUGACUAUGGAGCUAAAUAUUUUCAACAUUGCCAAACAACCUCACAGUGCAGAUGAUGGAAUUGUUGAUGUGGAUUUAAUAGAAACAAUAGUCGAUAAUACUUUUAUUUCAAAUCUUAGUGAUGACCCUUUACAGACAUGCUUAACUCACUUUGGUUUGGAUUUUGAUAUUGACAGAUCAGUUGAUGAGGUCAACGCUCUACUUGACUCAGCACCAUCCAUGGACACUAAUAAAUGGAAGUCAAGAGUUGAACAACUAGCACCAUCAGAGAAGAAACUCAUCCCAUCAUCAGAAUCACCACCGAAACUCGAGCUCAAACCAUUGCCCAACACAUUGGAAUAUGCAUUUUUGGGAGAAGAAAGUACUCUACCGGUAAUCAUCUCAUCAUCCUUAAAUGACGAACAAAAAGGUAAGUUGUUGGAUGUUUUAAAAGAGCACAAAGGAGCAUUAGGAUGGACCAUAGCAGACAUUAAAGGUAUAAACCCAGUAGACUGCAUGCAUUACAUUCACCUUGAUGAAAAUGCUAAAACUACUAGGGAGAUGCAACGUCGGUUAAAUCCUAAUAUGAAAGAAGUUGUUAGAACAGAAGUCCUUAAGCUAUUAGACGCAGGUAUCAUUUACCCAAUUUCUGAUAGUUCAUGAGUCAGUCCUGUACAAGUUGUCCCCAAAAAGUCAGGAGUCACAGUAGUUACCAAUGCUGAUAAUGAAUUGAUACCAACUAGAGUAACUACAGGAUGGCGUGUAUGCAUUGAUUAUAGAAAGUUGAAUUCUGUCACACGUAAAGACCAUUUUCCUUUACCAUUUAUUGAUCAAAUGCUCGAUAGAUUAGCAGGCCAUGAAUUUUAUUGCUUUCUAGAUGGCUACUCAGGAUAUAAUCAGAUUCCCAUAGCACCAAAAGAUCAAGAGAAAACUACUUUCACUUGCCCUUUUGGCACUUUUGCAUAUAGGAGAAUGCCAUUUGGAUUAUGUAAUGCACCUGCUACAUUCCAACGAUGCAUGUUGAGCAUUUUUUCUGAUAUGGUUGAACGAUUCCUUGAAGUCUUUAUGGAUGAUUUUUCUGUCUUUGGUGACUCGUUUGAUCAAUGUUUACAUCAUCUAAUGCUAGUUCUGCAGAGAUGUAUCGAGAAGAACUUAAUCUUAAAUUGGGAGAAGUGCCAUUUUAUGGUAAAACAAGGUAUUGUUCUCGGUCACAUCAUUUCGAGCAAAGGUAUUGAGGUUGACAAAGCCAAGGUGGAUCUCAUUUCUAAUCUUCCUCCACCUAAAACAGUCAGAGAAGUAAGAUCUUUCCUUGGACAUGCUGGUUUUUUAUAGACGUUUCAUUAAAGAUUUUAGCAAAGUUUCUAGACCCUUAUGCAAUUUACUUGCUAAGGAUGUACCUUUUAUCUUUAAUGAUUCAUGUCUUAUGGCUUUUGAAAAAUUAAAGCAAUUGUUGACAUCAUCACCCAUCAUUCAGGCCCCAAACUGGAGCUUACCAUUUGAGCUUAUGUGUGAUGCAUCUGAUUAUGCAGUAGGAGCAGUUUUAGGACAAAGAGUUGAUCGAAUUCCUCAUGUUAUUUACUAUGCUAGUAUGACAUUGAAUGAUGCACAGUUGAACUAUUCAACUACUGAAAAAGAAAUGCUAGCAGUAGUGUUUGCAUUGGAAAAAUUUCGAUCUUAUCUCAUUGGUUGUAAAAUAAUUGUGUUCACAGAUCAUGCUGCUCUUAAAUAUCUUCUCACAAAGAAAGAUGCAAAAGCUAGACUAAUUCGUUGGGUGUUACUUUUGCAGGAAUUUGACUUGGAAUUCAAAGAUAAGAAAGGGACAGAAAAUGUUGUGGCGGACCAUCUCUCUCGUCUCCACUUUGACACAAUUACAGAACCAUUACCAUUGAAUGAGUCAUUUCCAGAUGAACAAUUAAUGAAUGUGGAAGUAUUACCUUGGUAUGCUGAUAUAGUUAAUUAUCUUGUUACAGGUAAACUUCCAGAGCAUUGGACCAAGCAAGACAAGGCUAAAUUCUUUGCGGAAAUAAAGAAUUUCUUUUGGGAUGACCCGUAUUUGUUCAAGUAUUGUGCAGAUCAAAUUGUUAGGCGAUGUGUCCCAGAAAGUGAAAUUCAGAAUAUCCUGUCAUUCUGCCAUGCACAAGCUUGUGGAGGCCACUUCAGUGCUAAGAAAACAGCGACUAAAGUUUUACAAUGUGGUUUCUAUUGGCCAACUAUAUUUCGAGAUGCUUACACUUUCUGUUCUUCAUGUGAUAGGUGUCAACGAAUGGGGAGUAUUACACGAAGGAACAUGAUGCCACUAAAUCCAAUUUUAGUGGUUGAGAUUUUUGACGUAUGGGGUAUCGACUUCAUGGGACCCUUUCCCCCUUCUUUUGGCCAUCAAUACAUAUUGGUUGGUGUUGACUACGUCUCGAAAUGGGUAGAAGCAAUUCCAUGUAGGACCAAUGAUCACAAAGUGGUGAUAGGAUUUUUGAAAAGCAACAUUGUUUCACGCUUUGGAUUCCCUCGAGCGAUAAUCAGUGAUGGUGGUGCCCACUUUUGUAACAAAACAUUCAAAGUUCUUUUGACAAAGUAUUCAAUCACACACAAAGUGGCGACCCCGUAUCAUCCGCAAACCAGUGGCCAAGUUGAGAUCUCCAAUCGAGAAAUCAAGCACAUAUUAGAAAAAAACGGUGAGGCCAGACAGAAAAGAUUGGUCAUUAAGACUUGAUGAUGCAUUAUGGGCAUAUAGAACGGCUUUCAAGACCCGAUUGGGAUGUCACCUACAGGCUAGUGUAUGGAAAAGCUUGCCACCUACCUGUGGAACCGAGCAUCGUGCAUAUUGGGCCAUCAAGAAAUUCAAUUUUGACAUGCAGCAAGCCAGCUCAGAAAGAAGAUUACAACUGGCAGAACUUGAAGAAAAUUCGCAAUGAUGCAUACGAAAAUGCCAAGAUUUACAAGCAACGAAUGAAAGUCUUUCAUGACAAGCACAUUAUGAGAAAAUCGUUCACUCCAGGUCAGAAAGUGCUUUUUAUUCAAAUUCUCGUUUGCACCUAUUCCAGGUAAGUUACGCUCCUCGAUGGUCUGUCCCUUUAUUGUUCAUACUAUUUUUCCACAUGGGGCAAUUGAAAUUAAAGACCCAAAGAACGGUGUCACGUUUAAAGUUAAUGGUCAAAGAUUAAAGCCAUAUCUAGAGUACCAACCACAUGGAGAAGACACCGAAAUAAAUUUGAGUGACCCACCAGAUUUGAAUUGAUUUUUUUCUUUUUGUUGAUUUGAUUUUUCUUUCUUUCUUUUUAUUAUUCUUUUGCUAAUUGAAAUUAUUUUUGCAUAAGUGUGUUUGUUUUACCAUUAAGUUUUCUUUUUUCUUAUCAUUGUUAAUCAUGAGUACCAUACUUAGACCGUUCCUCCUGAACAUUCUUAAACCACUUCAACGUGUCAAAACUCAUCUCAAAAAGCAGAUUCAAUUUUGUAAAACACAACGCAUUUGGGCUCUACAACCACCAGAGUUAGUAGCCUAUGUUGAGGGUUUAGAACGCCAACUCAGAGACAUUGAAGAAGUGUUUACGACAUCCAGUUGGAGCUUGAGGUAAAUUCAAUAAGAGGACGAUUUUAAUUUUCUUUGUGUGUUUUUAAUUUGUUUUUUCUGUUGUGUGCUUUAGUUUGUUACCCCGGUGAAAUGGCGGAUAACGGUACUCCGUGACAAUCAAGUCGGUUACUUCAGUUUCCCACAAUAACUGACAUUCUGAGGUGAAAGUAUGGACAGAAACGAGAUUCUAGCGAAGCUUCACAAGCGAUUCCCUUCACUUCCUCAGAAUGCCCUCCUUACAAUCUAUAAAGCCCGGUCUGAACGCAUGCGAUUGCUCAUGAAGAAUAACAUACCUGCUGACAUCCGUUGGUUAAUCGAGGCUAAAGUACGAUCGGCAGGUGAGUUACCUCCAAAAUUUAUUGCAUUCAUGCUUGGUUGUGGUAAAGGAAAUUAUGCAAAAGAAAACGACGAGCUCGAAGAAUUUCUGUUGCUUGUCAUAAGUGUGCCAGAAUGAGUUGCGAUAGAAACCCAUGUUCUUUAGGAAUGGUGUCUGAUAACAGGGAAGAUAAGAUUCAAUUCAUUAGGGAUGGCUUGAAUAAGGAGUCAUUGGAUGAUAUCCUUUUGUCUCUUGAAACGCAUCCCAGUGGAUAUGUGCAAGGAGCGAUUCUCCAGUUAUGGCCAUUAUUCCAGAAAGAGCAUACACGAUAUAGUCUCGGGAAUCUGACUAUAAACGACCCUGUUUGCCAGUUUAUAAGAAAACUGGAUGGGAAGCCCAUCCUCGACCCAUAGAGGCGUUUCAAGCCGUUUCUGGACGUAAAACCAGAGGAAGAUGUGAGCCACAGUCGCAACUACGUGUAAAUAUCCUUUUACUUUACUGUUAUUUAUUUCAUUUCACUAUUGUUUAUCGUUUGCAUUAUUGCCUUUAAUAAUUUUAUUACUGUUUGCUUUUUCCUUUUUACUGUUCCUUUUUGACUCGCGAGCCACGUGCUUUACGCGUUAUUUGACACUGACAUUCAAAAGAAGGCCUUUUUAACAGAAAACGUUAGUUCUAUACUCCAAUAUAAAAUUCCUCUAAAAUGCAAAGACCCAGGCUCCCCCACUAUCUCAUGUAGUAUAGGGAACCACACAAUUGAGAAUGCUUUGUUGGAUUUAGGAGCUAGUGUAAAUCUGUUGCUUUAUUCAGUAUUCGUGAAACUUGGACUGGGAGAAUUACACCCAACUCCAGUGGUGUUACAGCUUGCAGAUCGGUCCACAAAAAUACCUCGUGGUAUUGUGGAGGACGUGCUUAUCCAGGUAGACAAGUUUUAUUUUCCUGUUGAUUUCAUUGUAAUUGACACUCAACCAAUACAGGAUUCAAGGAAGCACAUCCCCAUUAUCCUAGGCCGACCUUUCUUGGCAACUGCGGAUGCUCACAUUCAAUGCAGGACUGGAAAUAUGCAGUUGUCCUUCGGCAACAUGACUAUGGAGCUAAAUAUUUUCAACAUUGCCAAACAACCUCACAGUGCAGAUGAUGGAAUUGUUUGAUGUGGAUUUAAUAGAAACAAUAGUCGAUAAUACUUUUAUUUCAAAUCUUUAGUGAUGACCUUUACAGACAUGCUUAACUCACUUUGGUUUGGAUUUUUGAUAUUGACAGAUCAGUUGAUGAGGUCAACGCUCUACUUGACUCAGCACCAUCCAUGGACACUAAUAAAUGGAAGUCAAGAGUUGAACAACUAGCACCAUCAGAGAAGAAACUCAUCCCAUCAUCAGAAUCACCACCGAAACUCGAGCUCAAACCAUUGCCCAACACAUUGGAAUAUGCAUUUUUGGGAGAAGAAAGUACUCUACCGGUAAUCAUCUCAUCAUCCUUAAAUGACGAACAAAAAGGUAAGUUGUUGGAUGUUUUAAAAGAGCACAAAGGAGCAUUAGGAUGGACCAUAGCAGACAUUAAAGGUAUAAACCCAGUAGACUGCAUGCAUUACAUUCACCUUGAUGAAAAUGCUAAAACUACUAGGGAGAUGCAACGUCGGGUUAAAUCCUAAUAUGAAAGAAGUUGUUAGAACAGAAGUCCUUAAGCUAUUAGACGCAGGUAUCAUUUACCCAAUUUUGAUAGUUCAUGGAGUCAGUCCUGUACAAGUUGUCCCCAAAAGGUCAGGAGUCACAGUAGUUACCAAUGCUGAUAAUGAAUUGAUACCAACUAGAGUAACUACAGGAUGGCGUGUAUGCAUUGAUUAUAGAAAGUUGAAUUCUGUCACACGUAAAGACCAUUUUCCUUUACCAUUUAUUGAUCAAUGCUCGAUAGAUUAGCAGGCCAUGAAUUUUAUUGCUUUCUAGAUGGCUACUCAGGAUAUAAUCAGAUUCCCAUAGCACCAAAAGAUCAAGAGAAAAUACUUUCACUUGCCCUUUUGGCACUUUUGCAUAUAGGAGAAUGCCAUUUGGAUUAUGUAAUGCACCUGCUACAUUCCAACGAUGCAUGUUGAGCAUUUUUUCUGAUAUGGUUGAACGAUUCCUUGAAGUCUUUAUGGAUGAUUUUUCUGUCUUUGGUGACUCGUUUGAUCAAUGUUUACAUCAUCUAAUGCUAGUUCUGCAGAGAUGUAUCGAGAAGAACUUAAUCUUAAAUUGGGAGAAGUGCCAUUUUAUGGUAAAACAAGGUAUUGUUCUCGGUCACAUCAUUUCGAGCAAAGGUAUUGAGGUUGACAAAGCCAAGGUGGAUCUCAUUUCUAAUCUUCCUCCACCUAAAACAGUCAGAGAAGUAAGAUCUUUCCUUGGACAUGCUGGUUUUUAUAGACGUUUCAUUAAAGAUUUUAGCAAAGUUUCUAGACCCUUAUGCAAUUUACUUGCUAAGGAUGUACCUUUUAUCUUUAAUGAUUCAUGUCUUAUGGCUUUUGAAAAAUUAAAGCAAUUGUUGACAUCAUCACCCAUCAUUCAGGCCCAAACUGGAGCUUACCAUUUGAGCUUAUGUGUGAUGCAUCUGAUUAUGCAGUAGGAGCAGUUUAGGACAAAGAGUUGAUCGAAUUCCUCAUGUUAUUUACUAUGCUAGUAUGACAUUGAAUGAUGCACAGUUGAACUAUUCAACUACUGAAAAAGAAAUGCUAGCAGUAGUGUUUGCAUUGGAAAAAUUUCGAUCUUAUCUCAUUGGUUGUAAAAUAAUUGUGUUCACAGAUCAUGCUGCUCUUAAAUAUCUUCUCACAAAGAAAGAUGCAAAAGCUAGACUAAUUCGUUGGGUGUUACUUUUGCAGGAAUUUGACUUGGAAUUCAAAGAUAAGAAAGGGACAGAAAAUGUUGUGGCGGACCAUCUCUCUCGUCUCCACUUUGACACAAUUACAGAACCAUUACCAUUGAAUGAGUCAUUUCCAGAUGAACAAUUAAUGAAUGUGGAAGUAUUACCUUGGUAUGCUGAUAUAGUUAAUUAUCUUGUUACAGGUAAACUUCCAGAGCAUUGGACCAAGCAAGACAAGGCUAAAUUCUUUGCGGAAAUAAAGAAUUUCUUUUGGGAUGACCCGUAUUUGUUCAAGUAUUGUGCAGAUCAAAUUGUUAGGCGAUGUGUCCCAGAAAGUGAAAUUCAGAAUAUCCUGUCAUUCUGCCAUGCACAAGCUUGUGGAGGCCACUUCAGUGCUAAGAAAACAGCGACUAAAGUUUUACAAUGUGGUUUCUAUUGGCCAACUAUAUUUCGAGAUGCUUACACUUUCUGUUCUUCAUGUGAUAGGUGUCAACGAAUGGGGAGUAUUACACGAAGGAACAUGAUGCCACUAAAUCCAAUUUUAGUGGUUGAGAUUUUUGACGUAUGGGGUAUCGACUUCAUGGGACCCUUUCCCCCUUCUUUUGGCCAUCAAUACAUAUUGGUUGGUGUUGACUACGUCUCGAAAUGGGUAGAAGCAAUUCCAUGUAGGACCAAUGAUCACAAAGUGGUGAUAGGAUUUUUGAAAAGCAACAUUGUUUCACGCUUUGGAUUCCCUCGAGCGAUAAUCAGUGAUGGUGGUGCCCACUUUUGUAACAAAACAUUCAAAGUUCUUUUGACAAAGUAUUCAAUCACACACAAAGUGGCGACCCCGUAUCAUCCGCAAACCAGUGGCCAAGUUGAGAUCUCCAAUCGAGAAAUCAAGCACAUAUUAGAAAAAACGGUGAGGCCAGACAGAAAAGAUUGGUCAUUAAGACUUGAUGAUGCAUUAUGGGCAUAUAGAACGGCUUUCAAGACCCCGAUUGGGAUGUCACCCUACAGGCUAGUGUAUGGAAAAGCUUGCCACCUACCUGUGGAACUCGAGCAUCGUGCAUAUUGGGCCAUCAAGAAAUUCAAUUUUGACAUGCAGCAAGCCAGCUCAGAAAGAAGAUUACAACUGGCAGAACUUGAAGAAAUUCGCAAUGAUGCAUACGAAAAUGCCAAGAUUUACAAGCAACGAAUGAAAGUCUUUCAUGACAAGCACAUUAUGAGAAAAUCGUUCACUCCAGGUCAGAAAGUGCUUUUAUUCAAUUCUCGUUUGCACCUAUUCCCAGGUAAGUUACGCUCUCGAUGGUCUGGUCCCUUUAUUGUUCAUACUAUUUUUCCACAUGGGGCAAUUGAAAUUAAAGACCCAAAGAACGGUGUCACGUUUAAAGUUAAUGGUCAAAGAUUAAAGCCAUAUCUAGAGUACCAACCACAUGGAGAAGACACCGAAAUAAAUUUGAGUGACCCACCAGAUUUGAAUUGAUUUUUUUCUUUUUGUUGAUUUGAUUUUUCUUUCUUUCUUUUUAUUAUUCUUUUGCUAAUUGAAAUUAUUUUUGCAUAAGUGUGUUUGUUUUACCAUUAAGUUUUCUUUUUUCUUAUCAUUGUUAAUCAUGAGUACCAUACUUAGACCGUUCCUCCUGAACAUUCUUAAACCACUUCAACGUGUCAAAACUCAUCUCAAAAAGCAGAUUCAAUUUUGUAAAACACAACGCAUUUGGGCUCUACAACCACCAGAGUUAGUAGCCUAUGUUGAGGGUUUAGAACGCCAACUCAGAGACAUUGAGAGAAGUGUUUACGACAUCCAGUUGGAGCUUGAGGUAAAUUCAAUAAGAGGACGAUUUUAAUUUUCUUUGUGUGUUUUAAUUUGUUUUUCUGUUUGUGUGCUUUAGUUUGUUACCCCGGUGAAAUGGCGGAUAACGGUACUCCGUGACAAUCAAGUCGGUUACUUCAGUUUCCCACAAUAACUGACAUUCUGAGGUGAAAGUAUGGACAGAAACGAGAUUCUAGCGAAGCUUCACAAGCGAUUCCCUUCACUUCCUCAGAAUGCCCUCCUUACAAUCUAUAAAGCCCGGUCUGAACGCAUGCGAUUGCUCAUGAAGAAUAACAUACCUGCUGACAUCCGUUGGUUAAUCGAGGCUAAAGUACGAUCGGCAGGUGAGUUACCUCCAAAAUUUAUUGCAUUCAUGCUUGGUUGUGGUAAAGGAAAUUAUGCAAGAAAACGACGAGCUCGAAGAAUUUCUGUUGCUUGUCAUAAGUGUGCCAGAAUGAGUUGCGAUAGAAACCCAUGUUCUUUAGGAAUGGUGUCUGAUAACAGGGAAGAUAAGAUUCAAUUCAUUAGGGAUGGCUUGAAUAAGGAGUCAUUGGAUGAUAUCCUUUUGUCUCUUGAAACGCAUCCCAGUGGAUAUGUGCAAGGAGCGAUUCUCCAGUUAUGGCCAUUAUUCCAGAAAGAGCAUACACGAUAUAGUCUCGGGAAUCUGACUAUAAACGACCCUGUUUGCCAGUUUAUAAGAAAACUGGAUGGGAAGCCCAUCCUCGACCCAUAGAGGGCGUUCAAGCCGUUUCUGGACGUAAAACCAGAGGAAGAUGUGAGCCACAGUCGCAACUACGUGUAAAUAUCCUUUUACUUUACUGUUAUUUUAUUUCAUUUCACUAUUGUUUUAUCGUUUGCAUUAUUGCCUUUAAUAAUUUUAUUACUGUUUGCUUUUUCCUUUUUACUGUUUCCUUUUUGACUCGCGAGCCACGUGCUUUACGCGUUAUUUGACACUGACAUGUUACCUCAUUCACAGCUGUGAUCCACUGUCACCAAGAUUCUUAAAUGUGAUUUACUUUUUGUCAAGCACUCACAAAUUGUUUUUGAGAAAUAUUCCAAUGGCAGCUACUCCCAAUAGACAAUUCAAGAACAUUUGUGUGCUUUCUGGAUUUACCUAUGGCAAACAUAAAGAGUUCGUGGAGGCAGCCAUAGAUCUUGGUCGAAGCAUAGCAGCGAGAAAAUUACACUUGGUGUAUGGAGGAGGUAACCGAGGGUUAUCAAAAAUGGUUUCAGAAGCAGCUUUUAUCAGAGGAAGUCAAGUGUUAGGCAUCAUCCCAAGAGUCUUAAAACCAUUGGGCAGUUCGUCUGACUCAUCAACUGGAGAAGAGUUAGUCGUCUCAGGUAUGCAAGAAAGAAUAACUGAAAUGCUUAAUCAUGCUGAUGCUUUUAUUUUCCUUCCAGGAGAUCUUGCAACACUAGAGGCACUUAUGACACUAGCAUCUUGGGCCCAUCUACACAUUCACCAGAAACCCAUCGGUUUGUUAAAUGUCAAUAACUUUUAUGAUGGCUUUAUCGCAUUUCUUAACCAUGCAAUAAAAAACUAUUUCAUUCCUUCUAAUGUGAAAAAACUCUUUAUUUGUGCUCACACUGCUAAUGAGCUACUUGAUAUGUUACAAGCUUAUAAACCGGAGCCAGACCCCUGGACCUUUGUGUUGGAGCGACCAAAUAAUGAUGGUAACAGUAGCCGCAGUAAGAAGUACAAAUUAGAUUUAACUCUCCGCCUGUAAAUAUUUUCUUCUGUGUUGCACCACCCAGGUGAUGUCUUCUAAACUCUACUUAUUUCCUUUCAAACAUUGAGGACAAUGUUUCGUUCUGGUUGGGGGGAGGGAAUAGUCGACAAUUGUGGAAUCUUGGUUAAGUUUUUACUAAUUUUUUGUUGUAGAAACUAACUGUUGCUAACUUUUUGUGUUGAAGAUGGCUGAAUAUGGAGUGUAGUUACUCUAGAAACGCAUCUUCAUUGUUCGAAAAAAAAUAAAAAUUCUUUUUCUUUAUUAAGUUUUGAUGUUCAUUUUUCUUCUUCUUUUUAUUUUCUCCUCUAUAAAUAUACAUUUUCCAACUUUUGAGUCGAAGAUGGCUGAAUAUGGAGUGUAGUGCCUCUAGAAACGCAUCUUUAAAAAAAAAAAAAAAAAAAAAAACCAUUUUCUUUUCCUAUCAUUUUAAGUGUAACUUUUCUAAUUAGUUUUUCUACAUCAUUUUCGCAUUUCUGCAUGCAUAUUUUCCUUUCAUGCUUAGAAUAGGUUGGGGGUAGAAUGUUGUUAAAAAAAAAAAAAAAAAAAAAAAAAAUUUGUGUUAUUUGUUUUAACAUUGGAUGACAUGAUUAAUUUCAAAUUUUAGUAUUUGUAUUAUCUUUGGUCUUAAGUGAUGUUACGCUAUGUUUGCUACUUUACAUGUUGAUGUCGGAGACAAAUAUGAGUUGCUUGAAGGAAUGAACAUGUCAUAAAUAAGUGCCAAGUGAGUUGUUGAGCCUAUCAUUUUCUUGGAGAGUAACCCUUUUGCCCAUUCUCUAUACAGCUUAGCAGUUUAUUAUUUUAUACACGAUCUCUAGAUUUCUUUUGAGUUAACCCUUUAAAAAAAAAAUGGUAAAAUUAAAAAAAAAAGAAAAAAGAAAAAAAAUGUGUGUUACUACAUUGGGAGGCCCAUCUAACUAGUAGAUAUGGAUAAUUAUUUAGAGCCCUAAAAGACGAUGGAAAGGCCAUCUUUGAUCCGUUUGAGCCUUUCUAGCCAUCCCUGUUAUUAAAUAUCCAUAGUUACCCCUUUUGAGCCUUUAAAAAAAAAAAAAAAAAAAAAAAACCUUUUCUUUGUCAACUUAUCAUCUUGACCCACUCUGAUUUGGAGUAUUACCCAAUGUCUUUUAAGUUCCAUCACCUAUUUAUGUUUGAGAAAAUGUAAAUAAUUUUGUUGUUCAGUGAAGUUAUGCCAAAUAAAAGCAAAAAGAACAAAAAAAAACAAAAACAAAAUUUGUUGUUUCAAAAGAAUAAGAAUAACAAUAAUAGGUGAAAUCCACCUUGCAACUUCCAAAAAAAAAAAAAAAAAAAAAAAUUUGCAUUUUUCUCAAACAUACACUUUGUUUUCCUUAUUUCCUUUCUUUGUUAGCCAUAUCCCUAGCCUACGUUACGUCCUAAUAAAAGUCCUUCUUGAUUUUAGGGAACUAUAGUUUGAAGUAGAAGCUAGUUAUAUGGGCUAAAAAGAUGUAGUGAUGCAUAAUAAAAAAAAAAAAGAUAAAUAAAGUGGGUUGACUAACAUUUUAUUUGACUUGAGAUCGUAUUAUUUCUAAGCUGAGGGCAUAUUUAUUUCAUCUUGGUGAGAGCAUGUGAUAUCAUUUCUUUAUUAUUUUCUCUCUCAAUUACCAUUCAUUGGAGUGACUAUGUUUAUUGGGUUUUAAUUUCUUUGUGAGAGUGUCACUACUUCCAGUGAGAUUUUGGGGUUUGACAUGUCAUUCUUGAAAGUAGCUAUAACAAAGUCUACUGGGCUAAUUCAUGUGGAUGGUUGAUGUGGGUGUGAUGUUGCUUUAGACUGGAGAUAAUGCUUAUACUUUUAUUUGAUUGCUAUCAUUAAUCUGACGGAAUAAAUACGAGUGUUUCUAUUAAAAAAAAUAUAUAUAUAUUUUAAAUUUGAAUUUUGUUUUCGCUUUAUUUGCUAGGGACUAGCAAUAAGCUGGUUGGGGGGUGUGUUGAGUGUUAGAAAAUGCAUAUUUAUAAAGGAGAAAACCGUCAUUUUACAUUUCAAGUCUUACUAACAACCCUUACUUUUAUGUAUUUAACCUUCUUGUGAUGUAAUUACGUGUGUGUUAUUUUAAUUAAGUAUUUUAUGUAUUUUAGGGGCAUUAUAGUCAUUUCACAAUAAAGGAGAGAUCAGACGGCAAAACGGACAUCACUUUUGAACUCAGGACGGUCGAAAACCUUAGGAGGAGCAUAAAAGGAAAAAUGGCACUAUUCACAUGUACGGUACUAUUCACGUAUACGGUACUGUAUAUGUUACUGUUCACGGCACUGUUCACAUAGACGGAUCGAUGACGUGGCAUUGACCGAUGAUGUGGCAUUGACUGAUGAGGUGUCACGAUCCUGUUGGACUAAAAUUCUUAUGUACUGUUGAUGGUGACGUGGCAGCAUAUCAGUGGACGAAAAAUCUCGCGUACGGUGCAUGCAUCACACAGGAUUAUUUUCAAUCAAACCGUGUUACUGUUCAUCCGCGUGGUCAAACCGUGGACUGUUGACUGAUGACGUGGCGCAAUCCUGAGCGUCCAAACUGUUUUUAAUCCGAUGGCCAUGAUUUACUCCAUGUAUCUAUAAAAAGGGGGCCUCCCCCCCCUAAUUUGAUAUCUCUGAAUCCAUUUUUGGGAUCCAUUUUCUGUAAUUCCCUCUCCAUCUUGUAUUUUCUUUGUAUUUUAAUAAAUUCCCAUUUUGCCCCUAGUUCAAUUAUGAGUAGCUAAUUUCCUUUCAAGCUUGGGUUGAAGGUGAAGUCUCAACAUGUGUCAUGGGCUUUAUUUGGUAAAUUUAUUUUCUUUUCCCCUCUAGUUUUUGUGGAUGAUUUGACUUAUCGUCGACAAAUAAUACUGAUCUUGUCUAGAUACCGCCUUGGUUACACCGGCUCUCUAGUAUAAGGUUAUUAUUAUUUGGCACGAUAAGCCCUUAACACCAUAUUGAUUAGAGCGUGGUUCAUGAGGUGUGGAUUCCCCCCUCAUGAUUUAAUUGGCAUUAAUACGGAUUAUUUAGCCCAUGAUGCAUGUUGAUACGGAUCCAGAUACCCAAGUACGUCAUUUCAAUAGAAUUCUCUUCAAUUUAUUCUCGCCAUUUCAAUUCCAAUUUCAGAAUUUAUUCUCACCAUUUUAAUUUAAGUUUUAGCAUAUUCCAAAUCAUUUCCACCACAGAUCCAAUCAACCAUUUGCAAAAUUAAUUCUAUACACAAUUAAAAUCCACCUCCUCGUGGGAUCGACACUCGUCACCAUUGAUCUAUACUACAAUAGAUUCGUGCACUUGCGAGUACAUUAAAAUUUGCACAACACCUAACACUUGACUUCCUCUGAUAAAAGCUGCUUCUGAGACCAUUUUUGAUAACCCUCGGUUACCUCCUCCAUACACCAAGUGUAAUUUUCUCGCUGCUAUGCUUCGACCAAGAUCUAUGGCUGCCUCCACGAACUCUUUAUGUUUGCCAUAGGUAAAUCCAGAAAGCACACAAAUGUUCUUGAAUUGUCUAUUGGGAGUAGCUGCCAUUGUGAUACUUCUCAAAAACAAUUUGUGAGUGCUUGACAAAAGAUAAAUCACAUUUAAGAAUUUUGGUGACAGUGGAUCACAGCUGUGAAUGAGGUAACAUGUCAGUGUCAAAUAACGCGUAAAGCACGUGGCUCGCGAGUCAAAAAGGAAACAGUAAAAAGGAAAAAGCAAACAGUAAUAAAAUUAUUAAAGACAAUAAUGCAAACAAUAAAACAACAGUGAAAUGAAAUAAAAUAACUGUAAAAUAAAAGGAUAUUUACACGUAGUUGCGACUGUGGCUCACAUCUUCCUCUGGUUUUACGUCCAGAAACGGCUUGAACGCCCUCUAUGGGUCGAGGAUAGGCUUCCCAUCCAGUUUUCUUAUAAACUGACAAACAGGGUCGUUUAUAGUCAGAUUCCCGAGACUAUAUCGUGCAUGCUCUUUCUGGAAUAAUGGCCAUAACUGGAGAAUCGCUCCUUGCACAUAUCCACUGGGAUGCGUUUCAAGAGACAAAAGGAUAUCAUCCAAUGACUCCUUAUUCAAGCCAUCCCUAAUGAAUUGAAUCUUAUCUUCUCUGUUAUCAGACAUCAUUCCUAAAGAACAUGGGUUUCUAUCGCAACUCAUUCUGGCACACUUGUGACAAGCAACAGAAAUUCUUCGAGCUCGUCAUUUUCUUGCAUAAUUUCCUUUACCACAACCAGGCAUGUAUGCAAUAAAUUUAGGAGGUAACUCACCUGCUAAUCGUACUUUAGCCUCGAUUAACCAACGGAUGUCUGCAGGUAUGUUAUUCCUCAUGAGCAAUCGCAUGCGUUCAGACCGGGCUUUAUAGAUUGUAAGGAGGGCAUUCUGAGGAAGUGAAGGAAAUCGCUUGUGAAGCUUUGCUAAAAUCUCAUUUCUAUCCAUACCUUCUCCUCAGAAUAUCAGUUAUUAUGGGAAACUGAAGUUAACCGACUUGAUUGUCACGGAGUACCGUUAUCCGCCACUUUACCGGGGUAACAAACUAAAACACACCAAAAAGAAAAACAAAUUAAAACACACAAGGAAAAUUAAAAUCGUCCUCUUAUUGAAUUUACCUCAAGCUCCAACUGGAUGUCGUAAACACUUCUCUCAAUAUCUCGGAGUUGGCUUUCUAGAUUCUCAACAUAGGCUACUAACUCUGGUGGUUGUAAAGCCCAAAUGCGAUGUGUUUUACAAAAUUGAAUCUGCCUUUUGAGAUGAGUUUUGACACAUUGAAGUGGUUUAAGAAUGUUCAGGAGGAACGGUCUAAGUAUGAUACUCAUGAUUAAAAAUGAUAAGAGAAAACUUAAUAGUUAAACAAACAAACACACUUAUGCAAAAAUAAUUUCAUUUAGCAAAAGAAUAAUAGAAAGAAAGAAAGAAAAAUCAAAUCAGCGAAAAGAAAAAAAAAUCAAUUCAAUUCUGGUGGGUCACUCAAAUUUAUUUCGGUGUUUUCUCCAUGUGCUUGGUACUCUAAAUAUGGCUUUAAUCUUUGACCAUUGACUUUAAACGUGACACCGUUCUUUGGGUCCUUAAUUUCAAUUGCCCCAUGUGGAAAAACAGUAUGAACAAUAAAUGGACCAGACCAACGAGAGCGUAACUUACCUGGGAAUAGGUGCAAACGAGAAUUGAAUAAAAGCACUUUCUGACCUGGAGUGAACGAUUUUCUCAUAAUGUGCUUGUCAUGAAAGACUUUCAUUCAUUGCUUGUAGAUCUUGGCAUUUUCGUAUGCAUUAUUGCGAAUUUCUUCAAGUUCUACCAGUUGUAAUCUUCUUUCUGAGCUGGCAUGCUGCAUAUCAAAGUUGAACUUCUUGAUAGCCCAAUAUGCACGAUGCUCGAAUUCCACAGGUAGGUGGCAAGCUUUUCCAUACACUAGCCUGUAGGGUGACAUCCCAAUCGGGGUCUUGAAAGCCGUUCUAUAUGCCCAUAAUGCAUCAUCAAGUCUUAAUGACCAAUCUUUUCUGUCCGGCCUCACCGUCUUUUCUAAUAUGUGCUUUAUUUCUCGAUUGGAGAUUUCAACUUGGCCACUGGUUUGCGGAUGAUUAGGGGUGGCCACUUUGUGAGUGAUUGAAUACUUUGUCAAAAGUGCUUUAAAUGCUUUGUUACAAAAGUGGGCACCACCAUCACUGAUUAUUGCUCGAGGGAAUCCAAAGCUUGAGACAAUGUUGCUUUUCAAAAAUCCUAUCACCACUUUGUGAUCAUUGGUCCUACAUGGAAUUGCUUCUACCCAUUUCGAUACAUAGUCAACAGCAACCAAUAUGUAUUGAUGGCCAAAAGAAGGGGGAAAGGGUCCCAUGAAGUCGAUACCCCAUACGUCAAAAGUCUCAACCACUAAAAUUGGAUUUAGUGGCAUCAUGUUCCUUCGUGUAAUGCUCCCCAUUCGUUGACACCUAUCACAUGAAGAACAGAAAGUGUAAGCGUCUCGAAAUAUAGUUGACCAAUAAAAACCACAUUGUAAAACUUUAGUCGCUGUUUUCUUAGCACUGAAAUGGCCUCCACAAGCUUGUUCAUGACAAAAUGAAAGGAUAUUCUGAAUUUCACUUUCUGGGACACAUCGUCUAACAAUUUGGUCUGCACAAUACUUGAACAAAUACGGGUCAUCCCAAAAGAAAUUCUUUAUUUCUGCAAAGAAUUUAGCCUUGUCUUGCUUGGUCCAAUGCUCUGGAAAUUUACCUGUAACAAGAUAAUUAACUAUAUCAGCAUACCAAGGUAAUACUUCCACAUUCAUCAAUUGUUCAUCUGGGAAUGACUCAUUUAAUGGUAAUGGCUCUGUAAUUGUGUCAAAAUAGAGACGAGAGAGAUGGUCCGCCACGACAUUUUCUAUGCCUUUCUUAUCUUUGAAUUCCAAGUCAAAUUCCUGCAAAAGUAAUACCCAACGAAUUAGUCUAGCUUUUGCAUCUUUCUUUGUGAGAAGAUAUUUAAGAGCAGCAUGAUCUGUGAAUAUAAUUAUUUUACAACCAAUGAGAUAAGAUCGAAAUUUUUCCAAUGCAAACACUACUGCUAGCAUUUCUUUUUCAGUAGUUGAAUAGUUCAACUGUGCAUCAUUCAAUGUCAUACUAGCAUAGUAAAUAACAUGAGGAAUUCGAUCAACUCUUUGUCCUAAAACUGCUCCUACUGCAUAAUCAGAUGCAUCACACAUGAGCUCAAAUGGUAAGCUCCAGUUUGGGGGCUGAAUGAUGGGUGAUGAUGUCAACAAAUGCUUUAAUUUUUCAAAUGCAACAAGACAUGAAUCAUUAAAGACAAAAGGUACAUCCUUAGCAAGUAGAUUGCAUAAGGGUCUAGAAACUUUACUAAAAUCUUUAAUGAAACGUCUAUAAAAACCAGCAUGCCCAAGGAAAGAUCUUACUUCUCUGACUGUUUUGGGUGGAGGAAGAUUAGAAAUGAGAUCCACCUUGGCUUUGUCAACCUCAAUACCUUUGCUUGAAAUGAUGUGACCGAGAACAAUACCUUGUUUUACCAUAAAAUGACACUUCUCCCAAUUUAAGACUAAGCUCUUCUCGAUACAUCUCUGCAGAACUAAUGUUAGAUGAUGUAAACAUUGAUCAAACGAGUCACCAAAGACAGAAAAAUCAUCCAUAAAGACUUCAAGGAAUCGUUCAACCAUAUCAGAAAAAAUGCUCAACAUGCAUCGUUGGAAUGUAGCAGGUGCAUUACAUAAUCCAAAUGGCAUUCUCCUAUAUGCAAAAGUGCCAAAAGGGCAAGUGAAAGUAGUUUUCUCCUGAUCUUUUGGUGCUAUGGGAAUCUGAUUAUAUCCUGACUAGCCAUCUAGAAAGCAAUAAAAUUCAUGGCCUGCUAUCUAUCAAGCAUUUGAUCAAUAAAUGGUAAAGGAAAAUGGUCUUUACGUGUGACAGAAUUCAACUUUCUAUAAUCAAUGCAUACACGCCAUCCUGUAGUCACUCUAGUUGGUAUCAAUUCAUUAUCGGCAUUCGUAACUACUGUGACUCCUGACUUUUUGGGGACAACUUGUACAGGACUGACCCAUGAACUAUCAGAAAUUGGGUAAAUGAUACAUGCGUCUAAUAGCUUAAGGACUUCUGUUCUAACAACUUCUUUCAUAUUAGGAUUUAACCGACGUUGCAUUUCCCUAGUAGAUUUAGCAUUUUCAUCAAGGUGAAUGUAAUGCAUGCAAUCUACAGGGUCUAUACCUUUUAUGUCUGCUAUGGUCCAUCCUAAUGCCCCUUUGUGCUCUUUUAAAACAUCCAACAACUUACCUUUUUGUUCAUCAUUGAGGGAUGAUGAAAUGAUUACCGGCAAAGUACUUUCUUCCCCCAAAAAUGCAUAUUCCAAAGUGUUGGGUAAUGGUUUGAGCUCGAGUUUCGGUGGUGAUUCUGAUGAUGGGAUGAGUUUCUUCUCUGAUGGUGCUAGUUGUUCAACUCUUGACUUCCAUUUAUUAGUGUCCAUAGAUGGUGCUGAGUCAAGUAGGGCAUUGACCUCUUCGACCGAUCUGUCAAUAUCAAAAUCAAAACCAAAGUGAGUUAAGCAUGUCUGUAAAGGAUCAUCACUAAGGUUUGAAACAAAAGUGUCAUCAACUAAUGCUUCUAUUAAAUCCACAUCAACAAUUCCAUCAUCUGCAUUGUGAGGUUGUUUGGCAAUGUUGAAGAUGUUCAGCUCCAUAGUCAUGUUGCCGAAGGACAACUGCAUAUUUCCAGUCCUACAUUGAAUGUGAGCAUCCGCAGUUGCCAAGAAAGGUCGGCCUAAAAUAAUGGGGAUGUGCUUCCUUGAAUCCUGUAUAGGUUGAGUGUCAAUUACAAUGAAAUCAACAGGAAAAUAAAACUUGUCUACCUGGAUAAGCACGUCCUCCACAAUACCACGAGGUAUUUUCGUGGACCGAUCUGCAAGUUGUAACACCACUGGAGUUGGGUGUAAUUCUCCAAGUCCAAGUUUCACAAACACAGAGUAAGGCAACAAAUUUACACUAGCUCCUAAAUCCAACAAAGCAUUCUCAAUUGUGUGGUUCCCUAUACUACAUGAGAUAGUGGGGGAGCCUGGGUCUUUGCAUUUUAAAGGAAUUUUAUGUUGGAGUAUAGAACUAACGUUUUCUGUUAAAAAUGCCUUCUUUUGAACAUGCAUAUUUCUCUUUUUAGUACACAGGUCUUUAAGAAACUUAGCAUAAGAUGGAACUUGUUUAAUAGCAUCAAGCAAAGGGAUGUUAACACUUACCUGUUUGAAGAUUUCAAGAAUCUCACCUGUCGAUUUUCCCUUCUUUCCUUUAGCUAACCUCUGAGGAAAUGGAGCUUUCGGAACAUAUUCUCGUGGGUUGGUUUCUUUUUUCUCCUCUGGUGAUGAGUCCUCAACAUUCACAGGUACAAUUUGAUUUUCUUUGGUCACCGGCAUCUCCACUUUGUUGUCGACUUCUUUACCUUUUCGCAAGGUCAUGACUGCUUUGACCUCUCCAUGCUGCUGUGGUGAACUGGUACUUGCUUCAUGUACUCCUUUAGGAUUAGGCACUGGUUGACUUGGAAACUUGCCUUUCUCAACAGUCAUUGCCAAGGUCUAAACUGAAGAAGCGAGUUGUCCCACCAUCUUCUCCAGGCUUGAAACUGAUUGAGCUUGUGAGUUGAAGCCUGCUCUCAACUCAUUUCGUAGUCCAUCAAUGGUGCGGUUCUGUUGCUCAAUCGUAGAGUGAGUAACAUUCUUGAAAUUUUGGAAUGCAUCCUCCCAUGGUUUAGGUUGAGAGUAAUUCUGGUUUUGAUUGUAUUGUCUAAAUGGGGGCUGAGAGGCUUGAGGAAUUUGAGGAAUUUGUUGCAUUGGUGGAGCUGGAGCUGCUGGUCCAUUCUGUUGGAAUCCUUGAGACCAUGAAAAAUUGGGGUGGUCUCUCCAUCCAGGGUUAUAUGUGUUGGAGUACGGGUUGUAAUUUGAUGGUUUUCUCAUUACACCUAUAACAUUGGCUUGAUCUGAGUAUGAGUCAGGGUCAUGUGGUUCUGUUGAUUUAGCAGUCGAUAACGAUGCUAUUUGUCGAGCAAGACCCUCAACCAUCUCCUUGACUUCUUUGAUUCCCGAAGUUGACUCGCCAAUUUGAACCUCAUUUACUCCCUUAAUUCUUCUAGUAUUCCUGAGUGAUCGACUCCGUUGUUGGGAAUUAUCCGCUUGUCGCUGGAAGAAUUCCCAAAUCUCUGAUGCACUUUUUGACAUUAGCUCUCCUCCACUUGUUGCCAUUAGCCAUUCUUGCACAUUCGGCAAUAAUCCCUCCAAAAAGUAUUGGUAUUGGUGCCAUUUCUCGUACCCAUGAUGUGGACACUUCAAGAGUAGCCCAUUGAAUCGCUCCCAUGUUUCGAAAAACUGCUCGUCCUCUCUUUGGGUAAACUCUGAAAUUUCCCUGCGAAUAGAAUUAGUUUUAUGCACUGGGAAAUAUUUAUUUAGAAAUUUUGUAACCAUUUGUUCCCAUGAUGCAAUGCUAUUAGCAGGCAAAGUAUUUAACCAUGAACGAGCUCUAUCCUUUAAAGAAAAUGGGAAUAAUCUAAGUUUAACAUCAUCGUCUGAAAAAUUUUCAUAUUUAAAAGUUUGACAAAUGGCAUUAAAAUCAUUCAGAUGAUUAUAUGGGUCCUCAUUUUCUAGGCCAUAGAAUGUGGGGAGACAAUUUAGCACACUAGGUUUUAAUUCAAAACUUCUAGCAGCUACAUUUGGGUAUCUUAUGCAUGAUGUACUCAAAUUAGCUAAGGGACUAAAAUAGUCCUUAAAUGGCCUCUCCUGUGGUGCUUGUAAAUCCAUUCCAAAUUUAUUUUUAAUGUGCUUUUGUGUGCGAAGUGUUUUUUCUAAUUCAAGGUCUAUAGGUUCAAGAUUAGGUAAUAAUGACCUACGACCAUGCAUGCAAAACAAAUAAAAUAAAAAUAAAGAUGGGAACAAAACAAAUAAAAAUAAAGAAGAUGGAGAAAUUACGAUACUAACCUUAUUGCGCUAUUACAACCUUUCUAUAAAAAUACACAAAAAUAAAUACGUGAAAUAAAUUAACUAAAAAUUAAAUUAAUAAAAUAAACAAAAAUUACAAAGAAAAAAUAAAUAAAUUGAAAAUUAAAUUACAGAAUUUUAAAGAAGAGAAAAAGAAAAGAAAUACUAACCUUUAAAUGUAGAUUCACUUUUUUUUUUUAAUAAAAAAUACAAGAAAACAAAUAAAAGAAAUUAUUCACAAAAAUUAAUUCUAUGAAUUAAAAUUACUUACCUUCCCGGCAACGGCGCCAAAAACUUGUUGUGCAAAUUUUAAUGUACUCGCAAGCGCACGAAUCUAUUGUAGUAUAGACUAAUGGUGACGAGUGUCGAUCCCACGAGGAGAUGGAUUUUAAUUGUAUAUAGAAUUAAUUUUGUAAAUGGGUGGUUGGAUUUGUGGUGGAAAUGAUUUGGAAUAUGCUAAAACUUAAAUUAAAAUGGCGAGAAUAAAUUCUGAAAUUGAAAUUGAAAUGACGAGAAUAAAUUGAAGCGAAGAUCUAUUGAAAUGACGUACUUGGGUAUCUGGAUCCGUAUCAACAUGCAUCAUGGGCUAAAUAAUCCGUAUUAAUGCCAAUUAAAUCAUGAGGGGGGAAUCCACACCUCAUGAACCACGCUCUAAUCAAUAUGGUGCUAAGGGCUUAUCGUGCCAAAUAAUAAUAACCUUUGUACUAGAGGGCCGGUGAAACCAAGGCGGUACUAGACAAGAUUAGUAUUAUUUGUCGACGAGAAGUCAAAACAUCCACAAAAAUUAGAGGGGAAGAGAAAGUAAAUUUACCAAAUAAAGCCCAUGACACAUGUUGAGACUUCACCUUCAACCCAAGCUUGAAAGAAAAUUAGCCACUCAUAAUUGAACUAGGGGCAAAAUGGAAAUUUAUUAAAAUACGAAGAAAAUACAAGAUGGAGAGAGAAUUACAGAAAAUGGAUCCCAAAACUGGAUUCAGAGAUAUCAAAUUAGGGGGGGAAGGCCCCCUUUUUAUAGAUACAUGGAGUAAAUCAUGGCCAUCGGAUUAAAAACAGUUUGGACGCUCAGGAUUGCGCCACGUCAUCAGUCAACAGUCCACGGUUUGACCACGCGGAUGAACAGUAACACGGUUUGGUUGAAAAUAAUCCUGUGUGAUGCAUGCACCGUACGCGAGAUUUUUCGUCCACUGAUAUGCUGCCACGUCACCAUCAACAGUACAUAAGAAUUUUAGUCCAACAGGAUCGUGACACCUCAUCAGUCAAUGCCACAUCAUCGGUUAAUGCCACGUCAUCGAUCCGUCUAUGUGAACAGUGUCGUGAAAAGUAACAUAUACAGUACCGUAUACGUGAAUAGUACCGUACAUGUGAAUAGUGCUAUUUUUCCUUUUAUGCUCCUCCUAAGGUUUUCGACCGUCCUGAGUUCAAAAGUGAUGUCCGUUUUGCCGUAUGAUCUCUCCUUUUUUGUGAAAUGACUAUAAUGCCCCUAAAAUACAUAAAAUACUUAAUUAAAAUAAAACACAUGUAAUUAAAUCACAAGAAGGUUAAAUACAUAAAAGUAAGGGUUGUUAGUAAGACUUGAAAUGUAAAAUGACAGAUUUCUCCUUUAUAAAUAUGCAUUUUCUAACACUCAACACUAACUUGUAACACAAUACUCGCAAAAUGGUAAACUUACCAAUUUGAGCCCUGGAAGCAAUUUUCGCUCAGAGAGAAUCCUCAAACCUUGUUAUGACAUGUGGCGAAGUUUGAGAUGCCAUAUUAUCAUUGACUCUUCUCCAUUUGAUGCGACACACGCAUCAGCCUCCUGUAGUGUUUCUCCUUUAAACAUGAAUAGAUUAGCACCGAUCUUUUCUGCCUUCAUCAAUACAAGCACGCCUUUAACGAUCUUCAUAAUUCCAUUCUCCACAUGAGUUUUGUACCCAUGACUAUCCAUUUGUCCCAAAGACAAUAGAUUUUUCUUCAGGUCGUUGACAUGUCGUACCCCCCCCCCCCCAAUUGUGCGAAUUAUACCAUCAAACAUUUUUAUUUUGAUAGUACCAAUAUCAGCGAUCUCCAAGGCAUGAUCAUCUCCUAUAUAUACAAAUCCUCCUGAGAUAGGUUCAUAUGUGUGGAACCAUUCUCUCCGAGAGGUCAUGUGCCAGGUAGCUCCUGAGUUUAUAAGCCAGACAUCAGAUGUCGUUUUCUGCCUUUUGAAAUAGUUGUUGCCUCGCUGUAGAGAAUUUCACCAUCAUCUGAGGUACUUGCUACACACCCUUGAGCAUUUGAUGACUCAGGUUCUUUGCCAUCUCUUCUCUUCUGGUUACUCCAACACUCUUUCUUGAUGUGCCAUUUCUUGCCACAGUUAUAGCAUUUAACAUUCUUCUUACUUCUGGAUUUUGAUCUACCAUGAUUGUGAAUCCCACUAGGGCCACAUUCCGUUGAUCUCCCUCUUGUCACCGAUAGCGCCUUCGCUUGCUGCGAACUUGCUUGUUUGUUUUCCUUAUUUUUCUGCCUGCUCUCCUCAUUUAAUACGGAGGCUGCAACAUCGUCGAAAACUAGAUUGUCUGCUGGAUUGUUGUUCGUCAGGUUGAUGAUGAGUUGAUCAUACGAAUCUGGUAGACUUUGAAGUAGAAGCUCUGCACGUUCAUUUUCCUCUAUAUUAUGACCCAUCGUUGUGAGUUGUGAAAAUAGAGUUUUCAAGGUGUUAAUGUGGUCGGUCACCAUUGUAGAUUCCGCCAUUCAAAGAGCAUAGAGUUUCCUCUUCAAGAAGAUUUUGUUGUGUAGUAACUUGACCUCGUACAAUUUUGUAAGAGUAUCCCAUAUUUCCUUCGCUGUAUUUUUCUCUGCCACACUGGAUAAUACUCCAUCUGCAAGUGCCAAGUGUAGAUCAGAAAUGGCGUUACCAUCUACCUCAUUCCACUUGUCAUCAGUUAUCUCCAUGGGCCUUUCUACAAUUACUGCCAAGCAAUUAUUUUUCCUCAAUACAGCUUUCAUCUUCAUUUUUCACAACGAAAAAUUAUUUCCGUUAAACUUCUCAAUUUCAUACUUUGCCACCAUUUUGUUGAUAAAUACCGCACACAAGCUAGUGUACCACCUUGAAUAGUUGUGAGUAUGUGUGAGAAUGCACAGCAGGAAAGUUCCCAGGAAAGACUGGAGGGGUCACAAUGGUGCCACUUAAAACCCAGACUCCUUAAGCUCUUAUCGCCUUUGUGACAGAACUUUCUUAGACAUGUACAAAACCACACAAUUGUUUUACUCACACCACUAUUCCCUGCUUUGCACCGCAAAAUUAUUGGAUCGCUCCCACCGUUUCACGUGAAUAGUACCAUAUACGUGAACAGUACCAUAUACAUGAAUAGUACCCCUUAUGUGACAGUACCCGACUCUAAAAAUACAACCAAUAGCUUUGAUACCACUGUUAGGAAAUUGGUGGGUGAAGCAGGACUGCAGCUAAAGUAAAAUUGGAAGAAAAAUAAAGAACAAGCACAAUAGAGACACCAGAAAUUACGUGGUUUGCCUUUUAGUCUAUGUUCACGGGCGAAAACAGAAGGAAAAUAUUAUACUAGUGAAAAGGAAUUACAAGUACUGUAGUAUUUUAGCUCACUACCUAAAACCCCAAUACACCCAAACUCUCAAAUCACUAGACUCUUAAAAUCACUCUCUAAAUAAAUAAAAGAACUGAAGAACUCAAUGAUUUACAAAUGAAGGGAGACAACAUUUUUAUAGCCAAAAUUGGCUACUGUUCAUUUAAUAUUUAAUUAUUAUUAUUAUUUUAUUAAUUUUUCUUUUCUUUUCCUUCUUCGGCCUAGCAUCUCUUUUUCUUCUCUCUUUUUUCUUUUUCCUUAUUUUCUUUGGUUUCUUUCUUUGGGCGGUACCUCUCAUUUUUUUUUCUUCUUCAAACUGCUUCGUUUUCCAUUUUCCUUUUCAAGCAUUUCGGUUGGCCCAUUUUCAACAUUUCCAGAAGAGUGGUACCCCAUAUUCAACACAAGAUAAUUUUAUGACCAUCAAUCUUUUGCAGCCAUAUGCAGACUUGAAACACUGUAGUGUCCCUAAGGAACUUGAAAAUUAGAAAGUUUCAGAAUGAGUGACUAAAUAUGAUAAUCGAAACUAAUUUAAUAUACACGCCUUGUAAAUCUGAAACUAAAUUACUCAAAUGUAUAUGCCUCUUCACAGCAAUUGCUCGUGGUGGAAAGUUUACUGCAAAGACUUCCUCAAACCCUUGAAGAUCACACUCUUCCUGGCAACAAAGAAACAGAGUCAAUAUACGAAGAUGAUUUUAUUAACAAGUGAGAGCUUGCAAAUAUUGGAAGGAUAACGAUUAGUCAUAACCCAAAUCCCCAAUGCCUUCUAAUAUCUCACUCACUUGAGUUCAAGCUCCCAAAAUUCACUACAGUGAAACCCUCACAACAAAAUUCUCUUCAAAGAUUCUCUACUCAAAUUUGAUUAAGUUGAUUAGAAUCCUUAACCUGAUAACUUAAACAAAAACAACUUGCCUAAAGUUUAAUAUUUAGAGGCUGAACAGUAAAGAAGAAGAUAUAUAUUGAUACUAAAAUUUGACCUGUAUUAUUCUGACGUAAAAAAUCACGACAUCUCAUAUGGGCAAAAUCUUCACAAUACGAGAUGCUUGCAAAAUUGAAGCAGCAUCUUAUCACCUGUAAUUUAAUUAAGACAAUAACUUUCCCCAACUAUUUCAAUGCAUUAUUGGCAACUAAAUUCAGAGGGCGCUAAUUAAAUAUCCUUUUAAUAAUAUCUUCUUAUUCUUCUCCAAUCUAACAGUUAUUUGGAAAUCUGAAAAGAGGUUCAACAUUUUACAACCAAUAAAAAAUCACUGAACCAUUGGAAAGUGAUUUACGUAUAAUUUUUUUUUUCCAAAUUUUGUCCAAAGUGAUGAAUGAGAUAGGAUGACACAAGAAACAAAUUUAAAUUGACCGCAAGUAGAAAUAUACUUCUGUUAUAUUUGCAACAUCUUCUAGGGUCAAUUGCUUUUCCUUGAGCUCUGUUUCUGCAUGUGCUCAAAUGCAACACACAUACCACAAGAUAUAAUUAUCAACAUGAAUCUUUUGCCGCCAUAUGCAGCACUUAGAAAACUGUUUAUGGCCAUAAAGAACGGGAAAAUCAGAAAUCAUUAACAACGAGAGAAAUCAUUUUAAUCACAGGCAAACAUACACACUAAGAAAAUCUAGAAUUGAAUUUCUCCUAAUGAAUGUGCCUCUUCACAGCAAUUGCACAAGCUAAUCCCAGCAGCCUGCAUCAUCGAGCUUCUCCCAAUGAGUGAGUGAGCCUUGAACAGUUAUCACUUAGCUCAAACUAAAAUGAAAUUAUUGUGGACAUCUGAAUUAAAUAUACAUGUAAAAGGAGUUUUCUCAAAGCAAGGUCAAGAUAAGAGAUUAACUCUGCUCCUUAUUUACAGUAAAAAUAACAAACAAUGAAAAACAGAGCUAGAGAAGAACUUACCUGUGCAUUGAGACCAUGUGGAGAAUGUGAGAUAUCUUCUUAUAUUUGGUUUGAGAAACUCCAUCUUCUUCUGAAAGUUCUGGCAGUUCCCUAAACCCAGGCCAAUACAAUUGCAACAGAAACUGCAUGCUUUAACCAGCAUCUUAUCAUCUCUUCUUAUUUCAAGACAAGAAUAACUUAAUUGCAAGUUUACAACAUUGCGUGAUUCCACCAUUAACCUUUUCAAUUUCAACACUUCUUUUGUCCCCCGCCCGAUGCCCUUUUAAAAAUUCUAUGAAUCAGAUAAAUCAUUCUUCAACCCCAAAUUCCUUCCGAAUCCGUGGAAGCAUUUCAGCCCACAGACGGUUUGCUUUGUCAAUAUACAGCAACUCAGGAUUCUAUAUUUAAACUAUGAUGUUUGAUGACUUGCUGAUGCAAAAAACAUUGCCCCAAGCACUUUUUUACAGGAAUUAAAAUCAAGCCAGUCACUUCCAUUUGUUGCAGUUUUAAUGCAGAAAGAAAAAGGGGCAAAAAAAUCCGCAAGAUGCCACUUGUAAUACCGCAUGUUCGCAAAAGCAGAGUUAAAUAAUUACAAAAUUACAUUCUUGAUUGCACAGAAAUAAUAUAUAGCAAAACAAGCAUAAGGAAAUAACAAUAUAAUUUUACAUUUUUCAGCUUUUGGACUACGUCACAGUCAGAGACGUGAAGAGAAUUUUACUAAGAAAUAAGAGUGUACUAAUAUUAAAGAAAACAUUCACUAAUCGCUAAUAUAUGCUUAAUUUCUCACCCACUAAGAAUGUUCAAUUCACUCAAAUGAAACUUUCACAAGAAAGUCUCAUUAUUAAGGCUUUAGCUUUACUUCACAUGCUCAACAAUUCAAAUUUGAGGAUGAUAUUUCUCAAAAUGGAGGGCUCUAUUUGGCUUGCCAACAAUCUUCCUCACUACUAUCAUCCUUGCUAUACCGGUUGCACUGGACAAUCUUCAUUCUGACAUUUGCCCUGUUAACCUGAGUACACAAGAAUCCAAAACAACUGUUAGAAAUUUUAAUCUUUAUACAUAGCCAAAAUGGUGAAUAAAAUGAUGUACUUGAUAACAAAAACCUGAUUUAAUAAAUAAUUAAGCGGCCGAUAACAAGCACAGAAUCUCAUCGUGUGGGGAAAGCCUUGACAACAGAAGAUGGUGCUUUCAUUCAAGCAAUGAUAACUUUCCAAUUUCAUAAGGUAGCUUAAUGCCCUUUUAAGAAUAUCUGCACCAGCCUGACAAUUAUUGAUGAAAAUUCAAAUUCAGAAUCAUGUUCGUAUGAGAGAUGAAAUGUAAUGAGCAACUUGGCCACCAUGUAUGCAUUUAUCACUUCAAUUUGCUCAUCUUUGUCUAGAUUAUUGCUUAUGCGUUAACUGAAUUAGCGUGCAAGCCACCUGAAAAUGGUUUUAAAUAAUGAGAGUCUGGAUUCGAAUGAAUUAAUCAAAUAUGAUGACAGAAAAUACAAAUGUAAAAUAACCACAAGAAGUAGAAAUAUACUUUUGUUAGAUUUAGAGCAUAAUUCUUCUGUCAAGUUCUUUUCCAUUAGCCUUGUUUCUGUGUGUGCUCAAACGCAAUUCCUCAACACUUAAGAUAGUUUCUGCAGACCUGAAAAACUGGUUGUGGCCCUAAGGAACUUGAAAAUUAGAAAAGAUUCAGAAUGAGUGAAAAUCUAAUUAAACAUACACGCCCUGAAAAUCUGAAACUGAAUUACUCAAAUGAAUAUGCCUCUUCACAGCAAUUGGUUGAAACUUUACUGCAAAGACUUUUUGAAACCCUUGAAGAUAAUACACUACCUGAUAACACAAGGAAACACAAUCAAUAUAAGAAGAUGAUUUUACAAACAAAUGAAAGCUUGCAAUUAUUGAGAGAGCUCUACUCAAAUUUAAUGAGAUAUCUCUCAGAAUGGAGAGCUCUAAUAAUAUAUAAAGCCAAAAAUCUAACACUCAUCAAAUUGGCUUGUGAACAAUUAAUCUUCCUUGCCAUCAUAAAUGCCAGGUAUGGUGAACAAUCUUCAUUCUGACAUUUGCCUUAAUAAGCUGCUUAGUAUCCUUAACCUGAUAACUUACACAAACAAAAACAACUUCACUAAAGUUUAUUCUUUAAAGGCAAAACUGUAAACAAGAUGAUAUAUGCUGAUACAAAAAAAUGACCUAAGUUAUCCUGAUGUCAAGAAUCACAGAACCUCAUGUGGGCAAAAUCAUCGCAAUACAAGAUGCUGAAUUCAAGCAACAUCUUAUCACCUAUAAUUUAAUUAAGACAAUAACUUUCCUCAACUAUUAGCCUUCUCAAUUUCAAUGUAUUAUUGGCAACUAAAUUUAUAGGGGACGUAGCUAAUUAAAUGCCCUUUUAACAAUAUCUUCCCCACCUAACAAUUAUUUGGAAAAUCUAAAUGACAAUCAUGCAUUGAUGGCAUAAAAAAUUGGCCACAAAGCUGCCUAGAAAAAGGCUUUAAAUUCUUAAUGAGACAACGUAUUCGAACAAAUAUGCUGAAUGAAGAGACAAAGGCAUAACACCUCAGGAAGUAAAGCUCUGUUUCUGUAUGUGCUCAAACCAAUGGAAACCCAUGGAAAUGAAUUUCUACAAAUUAGAUAUGUCAGCCAAAACAGGUACUCUAUACAAGCAAAGUAAAAGAGAGUUAACAAAAAAUUUUAAGAUAAUUAAACUUUUAGUCACCAUAUAAUUAAUAGAAAACUUUGUACACAAUGAUUUAUAUGAGAUUAAGAUUGUAUACCUAAGUUUUAAUUGCAAACUAAAUACACACAAAAUGAUAUUAGCAUUAGAAGACUGCACCAAAACGUACCGAAUUGAAUGUACCUCUCAACGGCCAUUUUACAUGCAUUGAAAGUUUACCGCAAAAGCUGUUUCAAACGUGAUGCAUCUUAGAGAUGCAAGAUGAGAAAUUGUUAGUACAACUAGCAUUGAAACAUGUGUGAAAACUGUUAAUGGACCUAAAUAACUUGAAAAUCAGAAAAGAUUAGGAAUGAGUGACUAAGCCUGCUAAUCGCAACUGAGCAAAUUAUUGAAGAAAUAUAUAUCUCAUUUUCUCUUCUUUUAUAAUAGGAUUACAUAAUACAUUUAUAGAUUCUAAACUACAUAACGUGCAAGAGUAGGAAAGUAAACAACUGCAGACCAAGAAACUAGGAAACAAACUCUAUCAAAAAACUGAAAUUCUAUCCCUAUCUUUUUUCUUUUCUAUCCCUAUCUUUUUUCCUUAAAAAUAGGAUAGAAAACAUGUGACUUUUCCACACUCCCCCUCAAGCUGGUUCGAAAAUAUCAAUCAUUCCUAGCUUGCUAGUUAGUGACUCAAAGCUUGAUUUAUGGAGUCCUUUAGUAAGAAUAUCGGCUAGCUGCUUUAUUGUUGGAAUAAAGGUCAUGCAUAUCAAACCACUUUCUAUUUUCUCCUUGAUAAAAUGACGAUCCACUUCAACAUGUUUAGUUUUGUCAUGAUGAACAGGGUUAUGAGCAAUGUUUAUUGCUGCCUUGUUGUCACAAUACAACUUCAUAGGAACAUCAAUAAUAAUCUUUAAUUCUUCAAGUAGCUUCUUUAACCAAAAAAGUUCAAAAAUACCAUGUGCUACUGCUCUAAAUUCAACUUCGGCACUACUUCUUGCAACCACUGAUUGCUUCUUACUCCUCUAAGUUACCAAGUUUCCUCCCACAAAUGUGCAAUACCCUGAAGUUGACCUUCUAUCAAUAACAGAUCCAGCCCAAUCUGCAUCAGUAGAUACUUCAACUUGCAGAUCGUUAUUUUUCUUGAAUAGCAGACCUUUUCCUGGAGUUUUUUUCAGGUACUUAAGAACCUUGUAAAUAGCUUCCAAGUGCUCUUUACAUGGAGAGUGCAUAAAUUGACUAAUAACACUUACUGCAAAGGCUAUGUCUGGCCUAGUAUGAGACAAGUAUAUCAACUUACCAACCAACCUUUGGUAACUUUCUCUAUCCACUGAUUUUCCUUCAAUUGCAUAUCCCAAUUUGUGAUAAGGAUCAAUAGGAGUGUCUCCAGGUUUGCAUCCCAACAUGCCAGUUUCCUUGAGCAAGUCUAAAGUAUAUUUCCUUUGAGAAACAAAAAUGCCUUUACUGGAUCUUGCAAUUUCCAUGCCCAAAAAGUAUCUUAAGGGUCCAAGAUCCUUUAUCUCAAAUUCUCUAGCAAGAACCUUCUUGAGAUUUUCCAUUUCUAUUACAUUGCUUCCAGUCAAGAUGACACCGUCUAUAUAUACAAUGACGAUCACAACACUACCAUCAGUGAAGUGUUUAAAAAACAUUGUAUGAUCUGCUUGACUCUGUAAAUAUCCAAAGCUACAAACAGAUUUGGUAAAUCUAUCAAACCAAGCUCGAGGAGAUUGUUUUAAGCCGUAAAGUGAUCUCUUCAGCUUGCAAACUUUUUCAAUACCAUAUUCAUUCUCAAAACCUGGUGGUAGAUCCAUAUAUACCUCCUCUUCAAGCUCUCCAUUAAGGAAUGCAUUCUUAACAUCUAACUAUUGUAAUUGCCAUCCUAGGCUUGCUGCAAGAGACAACAAAACCCGAAUGGAAUUCAUCUUUGCCACGGGAGCAAAUGUUUCUUGGUAGUCAAUGCCGUAUGUUUGUGUAAAACUUUUCGUGACGAGCCUAGCUUUGUACCGCUCAAGUGACCCAUCUGCUCUGUAUUUAACUGUAAAAAUCCAUUUGCAACCCACUGGUUUUUUUCCUUCUGGUAACUUGACUAGUUCCUAAGUUUUUUUUUUUCUAGAGCUCUCAUCUCUGCAUACACAGCAUCUCUCCAUUCUGGAAUAGAAAGAGCAUCUUGUACAGAUUUUGGAAUUACUAUAACAGACAGGUUAGCUGUAAAAGCUCUAAAAAAUGGAGAUAAUCUAUGAUAUGACACAUACUUAGAAAUUGGAUGAAGAGUACAAGACCUAGUUCCUUUCUGUUGUGCAAUUGGAACAUCUAGAUCAUUUGUAGUUUCUAAAACAGAUUCUAAAAUGUUACCGGCAAGUUCCAAGUUGCCUGUGUUUGGAUCCGAGUCUUGGCAGUGAGGAGAGGAAUGAUGAUUUGACCUUUUCGAAUUUCGUCGUGUGUAGACUUAAAGCUCUGGUUCUAGAACUCUCUCUAAUGAUUUUUCAUUAUUCACAAUUGAUGGCAUUGUAGAAGGAACACGAGUUACACAAGACAUAAUAGGCAUUGGAAGAGAAAAUUCCCAAAAAUGAUCUUCCUGAGUAUGAUCCUCCCCCUGAAGAGAAGUGUUGAGUGUUAGAAAAUGUAUAUUUAUAAGGAGAAAAUCAUCAUUUUACACUUCAAGUUUUACUAACACCCUUACUUUUAUGUAUUUAACUUUCUUUUGAUUUAAUUCCGUGUGUUUUAUUUUAAUUAAGUAUUUUAUAUAUUUUAGGGGCAUCAUAUAUAUUUCACAAUGAACGAGAGAUCAGACUGCAAAACAGACAUCAAUUUUGAAUUCAGGACGGUCAAAAACCUUAGGAGGAGCAUAAAAGGAAAAAUGGCACUAUUCACAUGUACGGUACUAUCUACGUUACUGUUAACGAUAUUGUUCAUAAAGACGGAUCGAUGACGUGACAUUAACCGAUGAUGUGGCAUUGACUGAUGAGGUGCCACGAUCCUGUUGGACUAAAAUUCUUAUGCACUGUUGAUCGAUGAUGUGGCAGCAUAUUAGUGGACCAGAAAUCUCGCGUACGGUACAUGCAUUACACGGGAUUAUUUUCAACCAAACCGCGUUACUGUUCAAGCCGGGUCAAACCGUGUUACUGUUCACCCGCGUGGUCAAACCGCGUACUGUUGACUGAUGACGUGGCGCAAUCUUGAGCGUCCAAACUGUUUUUAAUCUAAUGGCCAUUAUUUACUCCAUGUAUCUAUAAAAAGGAGGCCUCCCCCCCUAAUUUGAUAUCUCUGAAUCCAUUUUUGGGAUUCAUUUUCUGUAAUUCCUCCAUCUUGUAUUUUCUAUGUAUUUUAAUAAAUUCCUAUUUUGCCCCUAGUUCAAUUAUGAGUAGCUAAUUUUCUUUCAAGCUGGGGUUGAAGGUGAAGUCUUAACAUGUGUCAUGGCUUAAUUUCGUAAAUUUAUUUUCUUCUCCCCUCUAAUUUUUGUAGAUGAUUUGACUUUUCGUCGACAAAUAAUAAUAAUCUUGUCUAGAUACCGUCUUGGUUUCACCGGCUCUCUAGUAUAAGGUUAUUAUUAUUUGGCACGAUAAGCCCUUAAUACUAUAUUGAUUAGAGUGUGGUUCAUAAGGUGUAGAUUCCCCCCUCAUGAUUUAAUUGGUAUUAAUAAAGAAUAUUUAGCCCAUGGUGCAUGUUGAUACGGAUCUAGAUACCCAAGUACGUCAUUUCAAUAGAUUUCUCUUCAAUUUAUUCUCGCCAUUUCAAUUCCAAUUUUAGUAUAAUCUAAGUCAUUUUCACCCUAAAUCCAACCACCCAUUUAGAAAAUUAAUUCUACACACAAUUAAAAUCCACCUCCUCGUGGGAUCGACACUCGUCACCAUUAAUCUACACUACAAUAGAUUCGUGCACUUGCGAGUUCAAUAAAAUUUGCACAACAAGUUUUUGGUGCCGUUGCCGGGGAGGUAAGUUAUUUUAAUUUGUAGAAUUAAUUUUUGAGAAUAAUUUCUUUUAUUUGUUUUCUUGUAUUUUUUUCUUAUAAAAAAAAGAAAAAUAAAAAUGAAUCGACAUUUAGAGGUUAGUAUUUCUUUUCUUUUUCUCUUCUUUAAAAUUAUGUAAUUUAAUUUUCAAGUUAUUAUUUUUUUCUUCUUUGUAAUUUUUGUUUAUCUUACUAAUUCUUUUUAAUAAAUUUAUUUUACGUAUUUUUUUGUGUGUUUUUAUAGUAAGGUUGUAAUAGCGCAAUAAGGUUAGUAUCGUAAUUUCUCCUUCUUUUUUUAUUUUUAUUUGUUUUGUUCUCAUCUUUAUUUUUAUUUUAUUUGUUUUGCAUGCAUGGUCCAAGGUCAUUAUUACCUAAUCUUGAACCUAUAGACCUUGAACUUGAAAAAACACUUCGCACACACAAACAAGUCAAAAAUAAAAUGGAUUUGCAACCACAGGAGAGGCCAUUUUAGGACUAUUUUAGUCUCUUAGCUAAUUUGAGCACAUCAUACAUAAGAUACUCAAAUGUAGCUGCUAGGAGUUUUGAACUAAAAUUUAGUGUGCUAAAUUGUCUCCCAACAUUCUAUGGCUUAGAAAAUGAGGACCCAUGUAAUCAUUUGAAUGAUUUUCAUGCUAUUUGUCAAAAAUUUAAAUAUGAGAAUUUUUCAGAUGAUGAUGUAAAACUUAGACUAUUCCCAUUUUCUUUAAAGGAUAGAGCUCGUUUGGCUUAAUACAUUGUCUUCCAAUAGUAUUUCAUCAUGGGAACAAAUGGUACCAAAAUUUUUGAAUAAAUAUUUCUCAGUGCAUAAAACCAAUGCUAUUCGUAAGGAAAUUUCAGAGUUUACCCAGAGAGAAGACGAGCAGUUUUUCGAAACAUAGGAGAGAUUCAAUGGGCUACUCUUGAAGUGUCCACAUCAUGGGUACGAGAAAUGGCACCAAUGCCAAUACUUUUUGGAGGGAUUAUUGCCGAAUGUGCAAGAAUGACUAAUGGCAACAAGUGGAGGAGAGCUAAUGUCAAAAAGUGCAUCAGAGAUUUAGGAAUUCUUCCAGCGACAAGCGGAUAAUUCCCAACAACGGAGUCGAUCACUCAAGAAUACUAGAAGAAUUAAGGGAGUGAAUGAGGUUCACAUUGGCAAGUCAAGUUCAGAAAUCAAAGAAGUCAAGGAGAUGAUUGAAAGUCUCGCUCGACAAUAGCAUCGUUAUUGACUGUUAAAUCAACAAAGCCACAUGACCAUGACUCAUACUCAGAUCAAGCCAAUGCCAUAGGUGUAAUAAGAAAACCAUCAAAUUACAACCCAUACUCCAACACAUAUAAUCCUGGAUGGAGAGACCACCCCAAUUUUUCAUGGUCUCAAGGAUUCCAACAGAAUGGACCAGUAGCUCCAGCUCCACCAAUGCAACAAAUUCCUCAAGUUUCUCAAGCCUCUCAGCCACCAUUUAGACCAUACAAUCAAAACCAAAACUACUCUCAACCCAUACUAUGGGAGGAUACAUUCCAGAAUUUCAAGAAUGUUACUCACUCCACGAUUGAGUAACAGAACCGCACCAUUGAUGGACUACGAAAUGAGUUGAGAGCAGGCUUCAACCCACAAGCUCAAUCAGUUUCAAGCCUCGAGAAGAUGGUGGGACAACUUGCUUCUUCAGUUCAGACCUUGGCAAUGACUGUUGAGAAAGGCAAGUUUCCAAGUCAACCAGUGCCUAAUCCUAAAGGAGUACAUGAAGCAAGUACCAGUUCACCACAACAGCAUGGAGAGUAAAAGCAGUCAUGACCUUGCGAAAAGGAAAAGAAGUCAACAACAAAGUUGAGAUGCCGGUGACAAAAGAAAAUCAAAUUGUACCUGUGAGUGUUGAGGACUCAUCACCGAAUGAGAGAGAAGAAACCAAACCACGAGAAUACAUUCCGAAAGCUCCAUUUCCUCAGAGGUUAGGGAAGGAAAGAAGGGAAAAUCCACAGGUGAGAUUCUUGAAAUCUUCAAACAGAUAAGUGUUAACAUCCCUUUACUUGAUGUUAUAAAGCAAGUUCCAUCUUAUGCCAAAUUUCUUAAAGACCUUUGUACUAAAAAGAGAAACAUUCAUGUUCAAAAGAAUGCAUUUUUAACAGAAAACGUUAGUUCUAUACUCCAACAUAAAAUUCCUCUAAAAUGCAAAGACCCAGGCUCCCCCACUAUCUCAUGUAGCAUAUGGAACCACACAAUUGAGAAUUCUUUGUUGGAUUUAGGAGCUAGUGUAAAUCUGUUGCCUUAGUAUUUUUGAAACUUGGACUUGGAGAAUUACACCCAACUCCAGUGGUGUUACAGCUUGUAGAUCGGUCCACGAAAAUACCUCAUGGUAUUGUGGAGGACGUGCUUAUCCAAGUAGACAAGUUUUAUUUUUCUGUUGAUUUCAAUGCAAUUGACACUCAACCAAUCCAGGAUUCAAGGAAGCACAUCCCCAUUAUCCUCGGCCGACCUUUCUUGGCAACUGCGGAUGCUCACAUUCAAUGCAGAACUGGAAAUAUGCAGUUGUCCUUCGGCAACAGGACUAUGAAACUGAACUUCUUCAACAUUGCCAAACAACCUCACAAUGCAAAUGAUGAAAUUGUUGAUAUGAAUUUAAUUGAAGCAUUAGUUGAUAACACUUUUCUUUCAAACCUUAGUGAUGAUCCUUUACAAACAUGCUUAACUCACUUUGGUUUAGAUUUUUAUAUUGACAGAUCGGUCGAUGAGGUUAACGCCCUACUUGACUCAGCACCAUCCAUGGACACUAAUAAAUGGAAGUCAAGAGUUGAGCAACUAGCAUCAUCAGAGAAGAAACUCAUCCCAUCAUCAGAAUCACCACCGAAACUCGAGCUCAAACCAUUGCCCAACACUUUGGAAUAUGCAUUUUUGGGAGAAGAAAGCACUCUACCGGUAAUCAUCUCAUCAUCUCUCAACGAUGAACAAAAAGGUAAGUUGUUAGAUGUUUUAAAAGAGCACAAAGGAGCAUUAGGAUGGACUAUAGCAGACAUCAAAGGUUUUCAAGACCCCGAUUGGGAUGUCACCCUACAGGCUAGUGUAUGGAAAAGCUUGCCACCUACCUGUGGAACUCGAGCAUCGUGCAUAUUGGGCUAUCAAGAAAUUCAACUUUGACAUGCAGCAAGCCAGCUCAGAAAGAAGAUUACAGCUGGGAGAACUUGAAGAAAUUCACAAUGAUGCAUACGAAAAUGUCAAGCAACGAAUGAAAGUCUUCCAUGACAAGCAAAUUAUGAGAAAAUCAUUCACUCCAGGUCAGAAUAUUUGUGUGCUUUCUGGAUUUAACUAUGGCAAACAUAAAGAAUUCGUUGAGGCAGCCAUAGAUCUUGGCCGAAGCAUAGUAGAGAGAAAAUUACACUUGGUGUAUGGAGGAGAUAACCGAGGGUUAUCAAAAUUGGUCUCAGAAACUGCUUUUAUCAGAGGUAGCCAAGUGUUAGGCAUCAUCCCAAAAGCCCUAAAACUUUUGGGCAGUUUGAUUGACUCAUCGAUUGGAGAAGAGUUAGUCGUCUCAGAUAUGCAAGAACAAAUAACUAAAAUGCUUAAUCAUGCUUAUGCUUUUAUUUUCCUUCCAGAAGAUCCUGCAACACUAGAGGCACUUAUCACACUAGCAUUUUGGGCCCAUCUGCACAUUCACUAGAUACCCAUCGGUUUGUUAAAUGUCAAUAACUUUUAUGAUGGCUUCAUCGCAUUUCUUAGCCAUGCAAUAAAAAAUUAUUUCAUUCCUUCCAAUGUGAAAAAAUUUUUUAUUUGUGCUCACACUGCUAAUGAGCUACUUGAUCUGUUACAAGCUUAUAGACCGGAGCCAGACCCCUGGACCUUUGUGUUGGAGCGUCCAAAUAAUGAUGGUAACAGUAGCCGCAGUAAUUAGUAUUAAAAAUUGUUUAAUUAUCAAGCGAUAAUAUGUUAUUUUAUGCUUAUGUUAUAAUUUAUAUUUGUGUUUAUGUAAUAUAUUAUGAAUUAUUAAUUAUGUGUUCAAUAUAUUUAAUUUUGUGUAUUUUUAUGUGUUUAUUAGGAAAAUAUUAAUUUCACGUACUUCGAGGCUCCAAACAAAUAAACGGAGGUCAAAUUUAGAUUUCAGAGGUUCGAAAACCUUAAGAUCAGUCAAGAUCGGCUUAAAAUUGGGCUUGUGUAAAAAAAAGUUGACUUUUCCUGUUGACCGAGCACUGAUUGGAUGAUGAAAUGAGCUUACAAUAGAUAUGAGUGCAUGGGAUAGCUGGCAAUCUUGACUAAAUCUCAACCGUUCAUGAUUCAAUGGUCAUGAUUGUGCCCCGUGGCAAUGGUUGGUGAAGCAAGUUGGAGGAUCCGAAUCUUUGUAUUCGGGUCGACCCGAUCCACCCAUUAACCCGCCAAAUCUCAACCGUUCUUUGGGCAAAUCGGACGAGUCAAAUGAUACCACGUGUGAUGUUGACUUUUGAAGUUUGAGCAGCCAUUGGAUCUUGAUCUAAGGGUUGUGAGGAGCACAUGCAUGAAGCCUAUGAUGGACCGCAAAGCACUGGAUUAUGAAUUUAUUUUUCUAUAAAUAGAGCCUUAUUUUUAUGUUUUAAUCAUCUCUCUACAACUCUCUUCUUCUCAAAUUAUCUCCAUCUCCUUGUAAUCUUGAUUUCCAGGUGUGUUUUUAAUAUUUUAUAUAAUUAUUUUUAUAAAUAAAAUUAGUUUUAUUUCCAAUUUUAGUUGUUUUUAUUUCUUUUAAUUAUAAGUAAUUCAAUUUUAUUACUUCUUUUUAUUUUAAUUAUGCUUAACUAAAUAAUAUUAAUUAGGGGAAGGUGAAACUCUUAGGAAAUAAAUAUGAUUUAAGCAAAUUCUAUUCUUAAUUUUAUAAAUUAAAUUAUUUUCUAUUUAAUUUUAUACAUAUUUUAUAUUUUGAAAUUUUGAUUUAUUGUAGACAAACAAAUGAAUUUGGCACAAUAAAUUCUUAAUAUCUUAAUAUAAGGUAUGGUAAAAUGGUAUUUUGACUUAUUGUAGACAAAUUAAAUUUUGGCACAAUAAAUACUUAAUCCAUCAUAAAAUUAAAGGGAAAAUAACAAUAAUUUAUAUAAUUAAUCUUUUGGGCAAUAAUGUAAAAAAAAAGGGCAAAAAGAAUUUAUUAAGUUUUAUUUACUUCUAAGAGUUGAUCCAUAACCCUAACUAGUUCAAUUUCAUAGUUUCAUUUAAAUUAAGUUUUUUGUAUUUAAGUUUUAAUUUCAAUUUUUAGUUAAAAUAAAGUAAACUAAUUAAAUCUUUUCUCUGUGGAUCGACCUCGAACUCACCGAGUUAUAAUACAACAAGACACUUUUAUACUUGAGAGUUAAAAAUUACUUUUAAGUUGUGUCAAGUUUUUGGCGCCGUUGCCGGGAAAAGUUUUUAUUUUGCUUUAUUUUUUUGGUUUUUGAUUUUUCUCUUUAUGUAAAUUUUCGUUUGUCCCCUUUUUUUUUCUUAAAUUCUCUUUUGUCCUCAUAUCUUUCAUAAUUCUCGUUUCACCCCAACAAGCCCAUUUCUAGCCCAAUUUCUAGUAAUUACAUUCUGACCCCAACAUCUUUCAGUCGUUUCAUUUUCAUCCCAAAUUGCUAAUUCUAAACUUCUAAAAAUUACAAUUUGACCAUAAAAUUAAAAAUAAUUUGCAAUAGAAUCCCUAGACGAUUCCUCAAAAUAAUUAAGACUUGGACAUACUUUGGACAUAUUUGGACUUAUUUUGGACUUAAUUUGGACCAAACUAACUUUAACUACUAACUCUAAUUACUAACUCUUAACUUACUAACUGCUAACUCCUAACUUUUUUUUAAUUUCAUUUAUUUAAUUUUCUGCAUUUAUUUUAUUUCGUAUUUAUUUGUUUAUUUUUGCUUUAUUGGUGGGUUUAACCACCAAACUAACUACUAACUACUAACUCUUAACUUUUAUUUUCAGUUAUUUAAUUUUAAGAAUUUAUUUAAUUUUGCUUUUUUUUUAAUUGGUGGGUUCAACCACCAUUUUUUUUCUUUUUCUUUUUCUUUCUCUUGCAUUUAUUUUAUACGUAAUUUAUUGUUAAUUGGUGGGUUCAACCACCAAAAUUGUUAUUUAAUUUUCUUUUGUACACUUAUAUUAUUUGCUUAUUUUUUAUUUAUUUUUUUAUUUUAUUAUCAAUUUGUGUAAAUAUUAUCUUUAUAACAUAACCAUUGCAUGAGGCGUUGGUCUCGAUCUUCAAGUGAGAAUCAAGGAUGGAUGAGAAUCAAGGCGAAAACGUUUUGGGCAAACUUAAUCCUCAAAUUGAUCAGGGAGACAACCAAUCUCAACAUGGGCAUGAUCAGAAUCAACCAAGGACUCUGAGAGACUACAUGAAUCCAACCAGAACCGGAGCACCGUCGUGUAUAGUAUUUCCUCCAGAAGCAUCUCGAUUUAAUUUUAAACCAGGUAUUAUCCAACUUUUACCAACAUUUCAUGGUUUAGAAUCUGAGAAUCCGUACUUGCAUCUAAGAGAUUUUGAGGAAGUUUGUAAUACAUACACGGACCAAAAUUGUAGCAUGAACAUAAUUAAAUUAAAACUUUUUCCUUUUUCAUUAAAAGAUAAAGCUAAAACUUGGCUACAAAACCUUAGAUCUGGAUCAGUAAGAACUUGGAAUAACAUGUAAGAACAGUUUUUGAAAAAAUUCUUUCCACCUCAUAGAACAAAUUCUUUUAAAAGGCAAAUCACUUCUUUCACUCAAAAAAAUGGAGAAACAUUAUACCAAUGUUGGGAUAGGUUUAAAGAGUUGCUUAACAUAUGCCCACAUCAUGGUUUUGAAACUUGGCGAUUGGUCACUUACUUCUACGAGGGCUUAAUACCCCAAAGUAGACAGGUUGUUGAAAUGAUGUGUAAUGGUGAAUUUAGGGAUAAAAAUCCUGAAGAUGCACUAGAUUACCUUGACCAAUUAGUUGAAAAUGCACAACAUUGGGAUACUGUUGGAACUUUUGAAUUGACAAAUAAGCAACAAUUAUCUCCAUCUAGUGGAGGAAUCCAUAACCUUAGGGAAGAUCAUGAUUUACAAGCAAAAUUUGCAUCCCUAGUUAGGAAAGUUGAAGCUUUGGAGUAUAAAAAGAGUGAUCAAGUAAAAUAUGUUCAAGAAAUUAUAUGUAACAUAUGUAAUUCGAAUGAUCAUUUCACUCAAGAGUGUCCCACUUUGCCUGCACUUAAAGAAUGUCUAAAUGAUCAAGCUAAUGUCAUUAACACUUUCAAUAAACCAAACCCAUAUUCACAGACUUAUAAUCCUGGUUGGAGAAAUCAUCUGAAUUUCAGUUGGAGGAAUAAUAAUAAUGCACAAUCUUCACAAGCACCACCUCUACAAAAUUUUCAAAAUCCUCAGCCUUAUGCACCAUAUGUUCCACCACCCUGGAAAAAUCUGGAAGACACAAUACAUUUAUUCAUCAGAAAGCAAGAUGUUAUUAACAAUCAAAAUGCACAAACUUUUUCUGAUUUGAAAGAUACUCUUGCUAAAAUUGCUUCUGCACUCACCAUUCAAGAAAAAGGAAAAUUUCCAGCCCAACCACAACCAAAUCCUAAAAUUCAACAAAAUCCACUCACAGACCAAGUCAAGUCAGUUAUAACUCUUCGUAGUGGUAAGGUUGUUGAUAGACCUAUGCCUGAACCUUAUGAAAAUGAUGAAAAUUCAAAGGGUAAGGAAGGACUAAAUGAACUUACACCUAGUGAAGAAAUAACUAGUGUUCCAUCUGAACCACCAUUUCCGCAUGCAUUGAAUAAACCAAAGAAAUCAAACCACUCUUUUGAAAUUUAUGAAAUCUUUAAGCAAGUGAAAGCUAACAUUCCUCUAUUAGAUGCAAUCAAGCAGGUUCCUUCAUAUGCCAAAUUUUUAAAGGACUUGUGCACUAUUAAGAGGAAAUUGAAGGUAAGAAAGAGUGCUUUCAUGGCCGAACAGGUAAUUACAAUUUUGUUUACUAAUAAUAAGUUGAAAUAUAAAAGAUCCUGAUUGUCCUACUAUUUCUUGUAUUAUUGGUAACCACAUAAUUGAGCAUGCUUUACUAGAUCUUGGUGCUAGUGUUAAUUUACUUCCAUAUUCAGUUUAUCUUCAACUUAAUCUUGGUGAGUUAAAAUCAACUUCAACUACAUUUUUACUUGCCGAUAGAUCAGUUAAAGUACCAAAAGGAAUAGUGAAAGAUGUUUUAGUAUAAGCUGAUAAAUUUAUUUAUCCUGUGGAUUUUAUUAUCUUGGAAACUGAACCUGUUGUGAAUAAUUACAAACCAAUUCUUGUAAUUUUAGGUCGACCAUUUUUAGCAACUGCUAAUGCUUUGAUUAAUUGUAGGAAUGGUUUAAUGAAUUUAUCCUUUGGGAAUAUGACUUUGGAAUUGAAUGUUUUCAACAUGUGCAGGCAACCUAAUGAAGAAAAUAAGAAUGAAGAUGAUACUGAUGAACAAAAGGAAUUGUUUGAAUCUUGUAUCGAGGAAAAUAUUCAAAAAGGGGAUUUUUCUAAACUCUCAAAUGUUUGUUUAGUUAAUUCAAUUGAGUCAAAUAAGCAACUUGAACUUAAUAUUUCUAAUAUAAAUUCGUUGCUUGAUUCUGUGCAGACUUCACAAAAUUAUGAUGACGAGCCAAAAUUUGAGGAGCUUGGAAGUAUUGAAAAGACAGAACAACAAGAAGUGCCUAAAAUGGAAUUGAAACAUUUGCCUGAAGGAUUGAAAUAUGCUUUUCUUGGAGAAGAACAAACUUAUACUGUUGUGAUUUCUUCUAUUUUAACAAGCGACCAAGAAGGUAAGUUACUAAAUGUUCUUAAAAAGUAUAAAAAUGCAAUUGGAUGGACUUUAAAUGAUAUUAAAGGCAUUAAUCCCCUAAUCUGCACUCAUAGAAUUAAUUUGGAAGAAAAUGCUAAAACAUGUCAACAACCUCAAAGAAGAUUAAACCCACACAUGAAAGAGGUAGUCAAAACAGAAGUCUUUAAAUUGCUUGAUGUGGGAAUUAUCUACCCUAUUCUUGAUAGUAAGUGGGUAAGUCCUACACAAGUAGUGCCAAAAAAAUCUAGAAUCACUGUUGUUAAAAAUGAAAAAGGUGAAUUAAUUCCAAUACGAAUUACAUCUAGUUGGCGCAUGUGCAUUGACUAUAGAAAAUUAAAUGAAGCCACUAGAAAAGAUCAUUUUCCAUUACCAUUCCUUGACCAAAUCUUAGAAAGAGUAGCAGGACAUCCCUACUACUGUUUUUUAGAUGGAUAUUCGGGCUAUUAUCAAAUUCCUAUAGCACUCGAGGACCAAGAAAAGACCACAUUUACAUGUCCAUUUGGAACAUUUGCAUUUAAAAGAAUGCCAUUCGGGCUUUGUAAUGCUCCUGCAACAUUUCAAAGAUGUAUGUUAAGCAUUUUUUGUGAUAUGGUUGAACAUUGUUUAGAGGUCUUUAUGGAUGAUUUGAUUGUGUUUGGGAAUUCUUUUAAUGAUUGCCUCGAUAAUUUGGAUAAAGUUUUAAAAAGAUGUGUUGAAAAAGAACUCGUGUUGAAUUGGGAAAAAUGUCACUACAUGGUUACUUCUGGAAUUGUUUUGGGUCAUGUUGUUUCUAUUAAAGGAAUUGAAGUUGACAAAGCAAAAAUCGAAGUCAUAUCUAAAUUGCCACAACCAAAAACAGUUAGAUAUGUGCGAUCUUUUUAGGACAUGCAGGAUUUUAUAGGAGGUUUAUAAAAAACUUUAGUGCCAUAUCUAAACCACUUUAUAACCUCUUAUUAAAAGAUGCAUCGUUUGAAUGGAAUGAUGAUUGCCAAAAAUCUUUUGAAAAAAUAAUUUGUCUUUUAACAUUUGCACCUAUUAUGCAAUCUCCUAAUUGGUCUUUGCCAUUUGAAUUAAUGUGUGAUGCAAGUGAUUUUGCUGUUGGUGCUGUUUUAGGACAAAGAAGGGAUGGUAAGCUUUUUGUGAUUUAUUAUGCGAGUAAGACUUUGGAUAGUGCUCAAAUGAAUUAUUCUACAACUGAAAAAGAAUUACUUGCUGUGGUAUUUAUAUUAAACAAAUUCCGUUCAUAUUUGCUUGGCUCUAAAUCUGUUGUGUUUACUGACCACGCUGCUGUGAGAUAUUUGAUGAGUAAACAGGAUGCCAAACCGAGACUAAUUCGUUGGAUUUUGUUACUACAAGAAUUUGACCUUACCAUCAAAGAUAAAAAGGGUGCUAAAAAUGUUGUUGCUGAUCAUCUAUCAAGACUCGCAUAUGAAUUCUGCAAUGAUAUAACACCUAUAAAUGAUUCUUUCCUUGAUGAAUUUUUAUUUUCUGUUACUUCAAUGCCAUGGUAUGCUAAUAUUGUUAAUUUUCUUGUUAUAGGUAAAAUACCUUUGCAAUGGAAUGCUCAAGAGAAGAAGAAAUUUUUUGUUGAAGUAAAGAAAUUUUAUUGGGAUGACCCUUAUUUGUUCAAGUAUUGCCCAGAUCAAAUUUUUCGGCGAUGUAUUCCUGAUAAUGAGAUAAGUAGUGUCAUUAAUUUUUGUCAUUCUAAAGCAUGUGGUGGUCACUUUUCUUCAAGAAAAACUACUGCUAAAAUUUUACAGUGUGGAUUAUUAUUGGCCUACUAUGUUUAAAGACACAUAUGAAUUCUGCAAAAGUUGUGAAAAAUGUCAAAAAUUGGGAUCAAUUACAAAAAGAAACAUGAUGCCCUUAAAUCCCAUACUUGAAAUUGAAAUAUUUAACUGUUGGGGAAUUGAUUUCAUGGGUCCAUUUCCAUCAUCUUUUAGAUUUGUGUAUAUAUUAAUUGCAGUUGAUUAUGUCUCAAAAUGGAUUGAAGCAAUUUCUUGUCGAAAUAAUGAUAUUAAAACUGUGAUUAAAUUUUUAAGAGAAAACAUUUUAAGUCGAUUUGGAAUCCCUCAAGCCAUUAUCAGUGAUGGAGGUAAGCAUUUCUGUAAUAAGUCAUUUGAGUCUUUAAUGAAGAAAUAUGAAAUUACACAUAAAAUUGCUACCCCUUAUCAUCCUCAAACAAAUGGUCAAGUUGAAUUAGCAAAUAGGGAGAUAAAACAAAUUUUGGAAAAAACAGUUAACCCAAACCGAAAAGAUUGGUCUCUUAGACUUAAUGAUGCACUUUAGGCUUACCGUAUUGCAUUUAAAACGUCAUUAGUAAUGUCACCCUAUCAGUUAGUUUAUGGUAAACCUUGUCAUUUACCUGUUGAACUUGAACAUAAAUCACUUUGGGCUAUUAAAGCUUUUAAUUCAAAUUUGGAUGAUGCUGGUAAUGUGCGAAAAUUGCAAUUGAAUGAACUUGAGGAAUUAAGGAAUGAUGCAUAUGAAAAUUCAAGAAUUAUUAAGGCAAGAAUAAAAGCAUUUCAUGAUAAAAGAAUUUUUCGAAAAACAUUUGAGAUUGGUCAAAAAGUGUUGCUUUAUAAUUCUCGUCUUCAUUUAUUUCCAGGGAAGUUAAAGUCAAAAUGGAAUGGUUCAUUUGUUGUAAAAAAUGUAUAUUCACAUGGGGCCAUAGAAAUUGAGAAUCCAAAGAAUGGUGUCACAUUUAAAGUUAAUGGUCAAAGAUUAAAAUCAUAUCUGGAACAUCACCCACAUCACGAGGACACCGAAAUUAAUUUGGGUAACCCACCAGUUCUUGAUUAAGUCUUUAAUGAUUUAUUUUAUUUUAAUUUUUUUGUUUUACAUUCUUUUACUGUUUCAUUGUUUGAUUUUUUUUCUUUUUCUCUCGAUUGAUGCACUGUACAUAGUUUUUGUUUAACAUUAUUUUUCUUGUGUAAGCGUGUUUGUUUGACAGUUGUACAUUCUCUCAUCAAUUUUCAUUUUACAUCAUGAGCACCUCAAUGAGAAAAUUCUUGUUUGCACAUCUUAAAAGAUUUCUGCAUAUAAAAUUUCACUUAAGAGGCCUGAUACAAAGCUGUAAAUCACAUCCACUUUGGGAUCUGCAACCACCAGAAUUCGUGUCCUAUGUUGAGGAUCUAGAGGGACAACUUAGAACAUUAGAGAGUGGCAUAUAUGAAUUUUAAAUGGAGCUUGGGUUAACUCAAUGAGAGGACGAAUGUAAGUUCAUUUUCCUUUUAUAUUGUGUGCUUCUUUUUGCUCGCUUUCACGCUUGAUUUGAUUUUACAAAUUUGAUUUUGGUGUGUUUUGAUUUAUUUUCCCGUAUAAAUGGCGGAUAACGGUACUCUGUGACUUCUUAAGUCGGUAUCUUCAGUUUCCCACAAUAACUGAAACCCCAAAAUCAAACAUAGAAGAAAUACAACAUAAACUCCAUAAGCAUUUUCCCUCUCUCCCUCAGAAUGCCCUCAGGAAAAUUUACAAAGCUCGUUGUGAACGACUGCGUUUGUUAAUGAUCAAUGGCAUUCCUUCUGACAUUCGUUGGUUAAUUGAAGCAAAGGUCCAAUUAGCAGGUGAGUUUUCUGGUCCAUUUGUUUCUUACAUGGCUGGUUUUGGUAAAAGUACGUUUGCUAAGAAAAGGAGAGCUAAACGACUUGGCUCAAAAUGUCAUAACUGUGUAAGACUUGGUUGCAAACGACCAGAUUGUAAAUCUUUAGGAAUGGUUUCUGAUACUCGUGAAGAUAAAAUUAAAUUCGUUAAAAAUGGCAUGUGUAAAGAAUCGUUGGAUGAUAUCUUACGAUCUCUUGAGACGCAUCGAAGCAGAUUUGUGUAACGUGAGAUUUAUAAUUUGUGGAUACUAUUCUAAAAAUAAAGUGCACAGUUUAGUCUUGGGAAUCUGACUCAAAAAGACCAUGUUUGCCAGUUUAUAAGAAAACUGGAUGGGAAGCCGAUCCUUGACCCAUAGAGGGCGUUCAAGCCGUUACUGGACGUAAAACCAGAGAAAGAUGUGAGCCACAAUCACAACUACCAGUAAAUAUCCUUUCACUUCACUGUUAUUUUACUUUACUGUUAUUUUAUCAUUUGCAUUAUUGCAUUUAGUGAUGUGAUUUUGUAUUUAAUAAAUAUUUGGUUUCUUUUACUGUUUACUUUUUCUAAUUAUUAUUUUCUUUUCACCGUUUGUUUUUGAAUUAUUGAGCCACGAGCUUUACUCGUCAUUUGACAAAUAUGCCAACCCAUUUACAGCUAUUUCUUAUUAUUUAUAUCACCAAGAUCUUUAAAUAUGAGCUCAUUUUUCAAACACUCAUAACUUGUUUUUGAAAAAUUUGUCCAAUGGCAGCAUCUUCGAGUAAACAAUUCAAAAAUAUUUGUGUGCUUUCUGGGUUUCAUUAUGGAAAGUACAAAGAGUUUGUUCAGGCAACUGUAGAUCUUGGUCGUGUCAUAGCAGAGAGGAAACUGCAUAUUGUAUAUGGAGGAGGUGAACGAGGGUUAUCAAGACUUGUCUCAGAAGCUGUUUUUACCAGAGGAAGCCAAGUACUCGGCAUUAUCCCAAAACCCAUGAAACCGCUAGUGUGCAUGUCUGGUCUACCAAUUGGAGAAGAAUUAGUGGUAUCAAGUAUGCAAGAGAGAAUAUCUGAAAUGAUGAAUCAUGCUGAUACUUUUAUUUUCUUGCCAGGAGAUCUUGCAACUUUUGAGGCACUGAUUACAUUUGCAUCUUGGGCCCACUUGAACAUUCAUCAAAAACCCAUCGGUUUGUUAAAUGUUACUAAUUUUUAUGAUGGCUUGCUAACUUUUAUUAACCAUGCAAUAAAGAAUCAUUUUGUUCCACAUUCUUUGAAAAAACUCUUUAUCUCUGCUUCUACUGCUAAUGAGUUACUUGAUCUUUUACAAGCUUAUACACCAGAGCCAGAUCCAAAGACUUUUGCACUGAAUUGGUCGACUGAUGAUGGUAGCAGUAACAGUAGCAGUAAUAAGAAGUGCGAUUUAGAUUUAACUCUCCGUCUGUAAAUAUUUUCUGUUGUAGUGUUCAUGUGUUGUCUUCUAAACUCUUUCUCUUUCCUUUUAAAACAUUAAGGACAAUGUCUUUUUCAGGUUGGGGGGAGAGAAUAGUUGAUAAUUGUGGAAUGUCUUAGUCCUGGUGAUGUGUUUACAAAAAUAAAAAUAAAAAUUUUUUUUUCUGUAAAGACUAACUUAGGACAAAUUUGAGUCGAAGAUGGCAGGAUAUAGAGAAUGUAGUACCUCUAGAAACGCAUCUUCUUAAUCUUAAGGGUGUUAUUAAAAAAAAAAUUGAAUUUCUCUUCAUCUUUGUUAUCUGCUUGUAAGCUUCUGCAUCAAGUUCAGGUGAGAUCUCCUCUUCUUCUUCUUUUAUUAUUCUCUUUUAUUUUUAUUUUUUUUGCAUAUUUGUAAAAUUAUAAAAUGUUAAGAUAAUGUUUAGAUUAGGUUGUGGGGUGGGGAUAAUUGACGAAUGUUUUAAAUAUGUGGGGUGUGUUGUUUUUCACUUUUCUCUUUUCUUUUCUUUGUUGAAAAAAAAACAAAAAAAAAACAUUUUUAUUUUGUCUAGGAUGGCCGUGUAAAGAGUCACGACUUUUGAGACGCAUCCUAAUAGUCUUGUUGUAUUAUAUUUUGAUUUUGAGAUUCAUAGUAAAUUAUUUUUGUUCCCUUUUCUUUGAAUUACUCGAAUUUGUGAACUCUCCAAUUGGUUAUUAAGUUAUUUAAUUGUUUACUCAUUUAACAGGUAUUAUUGAAUCAUUCUUGAUGCAGCGGAAGUUUAAUGUUCAAAAUAUUCCGUUGAUUCUAGAGAAUACCAGAAUAAAAGAACAGCUAAAUUCACGUUGAUUCAAAAGAAUACCGCGAACUUAGGGAUUUAAGACUCAUUGAUUCCGCAGAAUACCGAGAAUUAACUGUUCAAAUACUCACAAAGAGAUUUGAAAAUUGAAAUAUUAUUGAACUCAAAAUUCUGCCUCUAUAGGCUACAAGAGGGAGCUAUUUAUAGUAGUAGUAAUUAUCCUAAUUUAUGAAGUAAAAACAAAAUCCUAAAUUGAAAGAGAAACAAAAUUCUAAAUUAGAAAGGAAUUUAAAAGUCUUAAACUUUAGUUAAUAAGGAAACUAAUCCUCGUAUAAUAUAGAUUCCUACUCUUCAUCAAUUCUUUACACACACACACUAUGACACAUACUAGUGGGUUGUAAGUUAAAAUUUUACAGCAUUUAGUUCUUUUGAUUUAUUAGGAAUAGUAUCUAAGGUAGUAGAAAGUGUAUAUUUCCAAAAAAAAAAAAAGUAGAAAAAAAUUGUUUUUAAUUUUUCCAUGUCUAGAACCCGAGUAAUUAAGUCCAUAGGGGUGCUUCAACACCUAGUGUCCUAAAGUCAACUGGUCUAGGAGUCACUGACCUAAAGCUCACUACAUGGGUAAUAGAUAUAUUGUUUGUUUAUUAGAAACCCGAGUAAUUAAGUCCGUAGGGGUGCUUCAACACGUAGUGCCAUAAGGCCAACUGGUCUGGGAGUCACUGACCUAAAGCUCGCUACACGGGUUAGAAAUGUAAUAUUUUAAAAAUAUGUGUGAAUAAUAUAUUGCUUAAAGAUAUAAUUUCUAAUGAAUUUUGGAACGAAAAUGUUGUUUUUCUUUUAAUGAAGCCUCAUAAGUAUUGUGUUAAUUACUUGAGCACAAAAGAAGGUUUAAUGAUAUUUUAGAUAAUGAGUGAACAUCAAUGUGGUAAAGAAAUCUGGGAGAGUUCAUUUAUUUAGUAAUUUGAAGGAUGGAUGAACAACUAUUAACUUGCAUGUGAAUUUUAUAAAUCUUAAUUUAAUAUAACGCUUUAAUUGCUAGAGGGCUAGCAAUAAGCUGGUUGGGGGGGUGUGAUUAGUAUUAAAAAUUGUUUAAUUAUCAAGCAAUAAUAUGUUAUUUUAUGCUUAUGUUAUAAUUUAUAUUUGUGUUUAUGUAAUAUAUUAUGAAUUAUUAAUUAUGUUUUCAAUAUAUUUAAUUGUGUAUUUUUAUAUGUUAUUAGGAAAAAUAUUAAUUUCACGUACUUCGAGACUCCAAACAGAUAAACGGAGGUCAAAUUUAGAUUUUAGAGGUCCGAAAACUUUAAGAUCAGUCAAGAUCGGCUUAAAAUUGGGCUUGUGUAAAAAAAAUUAACUUUUCCUGUUGACCGAGCACUGAUUGGAUGAUGAAAUGAGCUUACAAUAGAUAUGAGUGCAUGGGAUAGCCGGCAAUCUUGACUAAAUCUCAACUGUUCAUGAUUCAAUGGCCAUGAUUGUGCCAUGUGGCAAUGGUUGGUGAAGCAAGUUGGAGGAUCCGAAUCUUUAUAUUCGGGUCGACCCGAUCCACCCAUUAACCCGCCAAAUCUGAACCGUUCUUUGGGCAAAUCGGACGAGUCAAACGAUGCCAUGUGUGAUGUUGACUUUUGAAGUUUGACCAGCCAUUGGAUCUUGAUCUAAGGGUUGUGAGGAGCACAUGCAUGAAACCUACGAUGGACCGCAAAGCACUGGAUUAUGAAUUUAUUUUUCUAUAAAUAGAGCCUCAUUUUUAUGUUUUAAUCAUCUCUCUACAACUCUCUUCUUCUCAAAUUUUCUCCAUCUCCUUGUAAUCUUGAUUUCCAUGUGUGUUUUUAAUAUUUUGUAUAAUUAUUUUUAUAAAUAAAAUUAGUUUUAUUUCCAAUUUUAGUUGUUUUUAUUUCUUUUAAUUAUAAGUAAUUCAAUUUUACUACUUCUUUUUAUUUUAAUUAUGCUUAACUAAAUAAUAUUAGUUAGGGGAAGGUGAAACUCUUAGGAAAUAAAUAUGAUUUAAGCAAAUUCUAUUCUUAAUUUUAUAAAUUAAAUUAUUUUCUAUUUAAUUUUAUACAUAUUUUAUAUUUUGAAAUUUUGAUUUAUUGUAGACAAACAAAUGAAUUUGGCACAAUAAAUUCUUAAUAUCUUAAUAUAAGGUAUGGUAAAAUGGUAUUUUGACUUAUUGUAGACAAAUUAAAUUUUCGCACAAUAAAUACUUAAUCCAUCAUAAAAUUAAAGGGAAAAUAAUAAUAAUUUAUAUAAUUAAUCUUUUGGGCAAUAAUGUAAAAAAAAGAAGGGCAAAAAGAAUUUAUUAAGUUUUAUUUACUUCUAAGAGUGGAUCCAUAACCCUAACUAGUUCAAUUUCAUAGUUUCAUUUAAAUUAAGUUUUUUAUAUUUAAGUUUUAAUUUCAAUUUUUAGUUAAAAUAAAGUAAACUAAUUAAAUCUUUUCUCUGUGGAUCGACCUCGGACUCACCGAGUUAUAAUACAACAAGACACUCUUAUACUUGGGAGUUAAAAAUUACUUUUAAGUUGUGUCACGCAGUAAGAAGUACAAAUUAGAUUUAACUCUCCGCCUGUAAAUAUUUUCUUCUGUGUUACACCACCCAGGUGAUGUCCUCUAAACUCUACUUCUUUCCUUUCAAACAUUGACGACAAUGUUUCGUUCUGGUUGGGGGGAGGGAAUAGUCGACAAUUAGGGAAUCUUGGUUAAGUUUUUACUAAUUUUUUGUUGUAGAAACUAAUUGUUGCUAACUUUUUGUGUUGAAGAUGGCUGAAUAUGGAGUGUAGUGACUCUAGAAACGCAUCUUCAUCAUUUGAAAAAAACAAAACAAAAAAAAUUCAAAAAAAAUAAAAAAAAUUCAGACAUUUUCUUUUUCUUUAGUAAGUUUUGAUAUUCAUUUUUCUUGUUCUUUAAUUUCUCCUUUAUAAAUAUACAUUUUUAAAUAUUUGAGUUGAAGAUAGAUGAAUAUGAAGUGUAGUGCCUCUAAAAACGCAUCUUCUUAGUAAAAAAAAAAAAAAAACCAUUUUCUUUUUCUAUCAUUUUAAGUGUAACUUUUCUGAUUAGUUUUUCUACUUCAUUUUCACAUUUCUGCAUGCAUAUUUUCCUUUUAUGUUUAGAAUAGGUUGGGGGGUAGAAUAUUCUUUAAAAAAAAUUGUGUGAUUUGUUUUAACAUUGAAUGACAUGAUUAAUUUCAAAUUUUAGUAUUUAUUUUAUCUUUGGUCUUAAGUGAUGUUACACUAUGUUUGCUACUCUACAUGUUGAUGUCGGAGACAAAUAUGAGUUGCUUGAAAGAAUGAACAUGUCAUAAUAAGUACCAAGUGAGUUUUUAAGCCUAUUAUUUUUCUUGGAGAGUAACCCUUUUGCCCAUUCUUUAUACAGCUUAACAGUUUAUUAUUGUAUACACGAUCUCUAGAUUUCUUUUGAGUUAACCCUUAAAAAAAAUUGUAAAAUUAAAAAAAAAAAGAAAAAAAUGUGUGUUGCUACAUUUGAAUGCCCAUCUAACUAGUAGAUAUGGAAGGUUAUUUAGAGCCCUAAAAGACGAUGGAAAGGCCAUCUUUGAUCCGUUUGAGCCUUUCUAGCCAUCCAUUUUAUCAAAUAUCCAUAGUCAACCCUUUUGAGCCUUAAAAAAAAAAAAAAAUUUCUUUGUCAAACUUAUCAUCUUGACCCACUCCGAUUUGGAGUAUUACCCAAUAUCUUACAAGUUCCAUCACCUAUUUAUAUUUGAGAAAAAUGUAAAUAAAUAAUUUGUACAGUGAAGUUAUGCUAAAAAAAAAAAUUGUUAGUUCAAAAAAAAGAAGAAAAAAAUAACAAUAAUAGGUGAAAUCCACCUUGCAACUUCUGAAAAAAAAAAUUCCUCUGCAUUUUUCUCAAACAUACACUUUAUUUUCCUUAUUUCUCUUCUUUGUUAACCAUGUCCCUAGCCUACGUUACGUCAUAAUAAAAGUUCUUCUUGAUUUUACGGAAUUAUAGUCUGAAGUAGAAGCUAGUUAUAUGGGCUAAAAAGAUGUAGUGGUGUAUAAAAAAAUAAUAAUAAUAAAUAAAUUGGGCUGACUAGCAUUUUUAUUUGACUUGAGAUCGUAUUAUUUCUAAGCUGAGGGCAUAUUUCUUUCAUCUUGGUGAGAGCACGUGAUAUCAUUUCUUUAUUAUUUUCUCUCAAUUACCAUUCAUUGCAGUUACUAUUUUUAUUGGGUAUAAUUUCUUUGUGAGAGUGUCACUAUAUCCAGUGAGAUUUUGGGAUUUAACAUGUCAUUCUUGAAAGUAGCUGUGACAAAGUCUACUGGUCUGAUUCAUGUGGAUGGUUGAUGUGGGUGUGAUGUUUCUUUAGAUUGGAGAUAAUGCUUAUACUUUUAUUUGAUUACUAUCAUUAGUCUAAUUGAAUAAACAUGAGUGUUAAAAAAAAAUAUUAUUUUGGAUUUAAAUUUUGUUUUCGCUUUAUUUGCUAAGGACUAGCAAUAAGUUGGUUGGGAGGUGUGUUGAGUGUUAGAAAAUGUAUAUUUGUAAAGGAGAAAAUCGUCAUUUUACACUUUAAAUUUUACUAACACCCUUACUUUUAUGUAUUUAACUUUCUUUUGAUUUAAUUCCGUGUGUUUUAUUUUAAUUAAGUAUUUUAUGUAUUUUAGGGGCAUCAUAGUCAUUUCACAAUGAACGAGAGAUCAGACUGCAAAACGAACAUCAAUUUUGAACUCAGGACGGUCGAAAACCUUAGGAGGAGCAUAAAAGGAAAAAUAGUACUGUUCACAUGUACGGUACUAUUCACAUAUACGAUACUGUCUACGUUACUGUUCAUGACACUGUUCAUAUAGACGGAUCGAUGAUGUGGCAUUGACCGAUGAUGUGGCAUUGACUGAUGAGGUGUCACGAUCCUGUUGGACUAAAAUUCUUAUGUACUGUUGAUCGAUGACGUGGCAGCAUAUUAGUGGACCAGAAAUCUCGCGUACGGUACAUGCAUUACACAGGAUUAUUUUCAACCAAACCGCGUUACUGCUUAAGCCGGGUCAAACCGUGUUACUGUUCACCCACGUGGUCAAACCGCGUACUGUUGACUGGUAACGUGGCGCAAUCCUGAGCGUCCAAACUGUUUUUAAUCCGAUGGCCAUGAUUUACUCCAUGUAUCUAUAAAAAGGGGGCCUCCCCCCUAAUUUGAUAUCUCUGAAUCCAUUUUUGGAAUUCAUUUUCUGCAAUUCCUUCUCCAUCUUGUAUUUUCUACGUAUUUUAAUAAAUUUUCAUUUUGCCCCUAUUUCAAUUAUGAGUAGCUAAUUUUCUUUCAAGUUUAGGUUGAAGGUGAAGUCUCAACAUGUGUCAUUGGCUAAUUUGGUAAAUUUAUUUUCUUCUCUCCUCUAAUUUUUGUUGAAAAUUUGACUUUUCGUCGACAAAUAAUAAUAAUCUUGCCUAGAUACCGCCUUGGUUUUACUGGCUCCCUAGUACAAGGUUAUUAUUAUUUGGCACGAUAAGCCCUUAACACCAUAUUGAUUAGAGUGUGGUUUAUGAGGUGUGGAUUCCCCCCUCAUGAUUUAAUUGAUAUUAAUAAAGAAUAUUUAGCCCAUGACGCAUGUUGAUACGGAUCCAGAUACCCAAGUACGCCAUUUCAAUAGAUUUCUCUUCAAUUUAUUCUUGCCAUUUCAAUUCCAAUUUUAGUAUAAUCCAAGUCAUUUUCACCAUAAAUCCAACCACCCAUUUAGAAAAUUAAUUCUACACACAAUUAAAAUCCACCUCCUCGUGGGAUCGACACUCGUCACUAUUAAUCUACACUACAAUAUAUUUGUGCACUGAGUUCAAUAAAAUUUGCACAACAAGAAGUUUUGGGAAAGAAAGACCUAUUUUCAAAAAAUGUAACAUCCAUUGUGACGAAGAAUUUUUUAAACAAUGGAUCAUAACAUUUGUAGCCUUUUUGAGUAGGAGAAUAGCCAAGAAAUACACAUUUUAAAGCCCUAGGAUCAAGUUUGCUCCUGUUCUGUUUAUGAACGUGAACAAAAGCAAUGCACCCAAAAAUCUUUGGUGGUAAAGAUGUGAAAACCUUAGCGAAGGGAUAGAAUUUUGUGAAAACAUUUAAUGGAGACUGAAAAUUAAAGAUUCGGGUAGGCAUACGAUUUAUCAAGUAUGAUGCUGUGAGAAUGGCUUUACCCCAAAACUGUUUUGGCACUUUAUUUGUGAACAUAAGAGAGCGUGCAACUUCUAAUAGGUGUCGAUUUUUCCGUUCAGCAACACCAUUUUGCUGAGGAGUAUCUACACAAGAGAAUUGGUGCACAAUACCAUUUUCCAUGAAAUAAUGACCAAGGGCAGUAGCAAAAUACUCUCUCCCAUUAUCAAUUCUAAAGACUUGAAUUUUUGCUUGAAAUUGUGUUUGAAUCAUGGUAUGAAAGGUUUUAAAAACUGUUGCAGUUUCUGAUUUUUCUUUAAGCAAGUACACCCAACAAACACGAGUGAGGUCAUCAAUAAAAGUUAUGAACCAUUUAGCCCCCGAAAUGUUUGUAACACGAGAGGGUCCCCAAAUAUCAUUGUGUAUAAGAGAAAAAGGUGCAGAUUUUUUAUACGGCUGUGAAGGAAAAGAUGCACGAUGAUUUUUGGACAAUACACAAAUUUCACACUGAAACAAAGAAAGAUUUUUAUUCUUGAACAGUAAAGGAAACAAAUGUUGUAAAUAAGAAAAACUAGGAUGACCUAAUCGGAGAUGCCACAACAUUAUUUCAUCUUCAAUAGAGAAAGUUAGUUCAUUAUUUGCUGACUGAGCUUCUCCACACAAACUAACAUCCUCCUCGAAGUAGUACAAACCAUCUACCUCUCUAGCACUGCCAAUCUUCUUCCCCGAACACAGGUCCUGAAAUUCACAAUAGGAACGAGAAAAUUUAGCAAUGCAAUGAAGAUCCUUGGUAAUUUUGCUAACAGAUAAAAGGUUACAAGACAAAUUAGGAACAUGAAGAACAGAUGUUAACACCAAAUUUGUGGAGAUAGGAAUAGAUCCUUUUCCUGCUACGGAAGAUAGUGAACUGUUGAAUGUUAGAAAAUGUAUAUUUAUAAAGGAGAAAAUCGUCAUUUUACAUUUCAAGUCUUACUAACAACCCUUACUUUUAUGUAUUUAAGCUUCUUGUAAUUUAAUUAUGUGUGUUUGAUUUUAAUUAAGUAUUUUAUGUAUUUUAGGGGCAUCAUAGUCAUUUCACAAUAAACGAGGGAUCAAACGGUAAAACAGACAUGACUUUUGAACUCAAGACGGUCGAAAACCUUAGGAGGAGCAUAAAAGAAAAAAUGGUACUGUUCACAUGUGCGGUACUGUCUACCUUACUGUUCACAUAGACGGAUCGAUGACGUGGCAUUGACUGAUGAGGUGUCAUGAUCAUGUUGGACUAAAAUUCUUAUGUACUAUUGAUGGUGACGUGGCAGCAUAUUAGUGGACCAAAAAACGCACGUACGGUACAUGCAACAUAUGGGAUUAUUUUCAACCAAACCGCGUGGUCCAACUGUGUUACUGUUCAAACCGCGUGGUCAAACCGCAUACUGUUCACGCGUACUAUUGACGCGUACUGUUGACUGAUGACGUGGCACAAUCUUGAGUGUCCAAACUGUUUUUAAUCCGAUGGCCAUGAUUUACUCAAUGUAUCUAUCAAAAGGGGACCUCUCCCCCCUAAUUUGAUGCCUCUGAAUCCAUUUUUUGACUCUGUUUUCUAUAAUUCCUUCUCUAUCUUGUAUUUUCUAUGUAUUUUAAUAAAUUUCCAUUUUACCCCUAGUUCAAUUAUGAGUGACUAAUUUUCUUUCAAGCUUGGGUUGAAGGUGAAGUCUCAACAUGUGUCAUGGGCUUUAUUUGGUAAAUUUAUUUUCUCUUCCCCUCUAGUUUUUGUGGAUGAUUUGACUUCUCGUCGACAAAUAAUAAUAGUCUUGUCUAGAUACUGCCCUGGUUUCACCGGCACCCUAGUACAAGGUUAUUAUUAUUUGGCACGAUAAGCCCUUAGCACCAUAUUGAUUAGAGUGUGGUUCAUGAGGUGUGGAUUCCCGCACUCAUGAUUUAAUUGGCAUUAGUAAGGAUUAUUUAGCCCAUAACGCAUGUUGAUACAAAUGCAAAUACCCAAGUACGUCAUUUCAAUAGAUUUCUCUUCAAUUUAUUCUCGUCAUUGCAAUUCCAAUUUUAGAAUUUAUUAUCGCCAUUUCAAUUCCAAUUUUAGGAUAAUUUAAAUCACUUCCACUACAAUUACAACCACCCAUUUACAAAAUUAAUUCUACACAUAAUUAAAAUCCACCUCCUCGUGGGAUCGACACUCGUCACCAUUAGUCUAUUCUACAAUAGAUUCGUGCACUUGCGAUUCAAUAAAAUUUGCACAACAUGAACCAUCAGCAAUUUUAAUUUUUUGACUACCAGAACAUGGAAUAUAUGAAGAAAAUAAUUUAGAAUGGCUGGUCAUAUGAUCGGUUGCUCCUGAAUCGAUGAUCCAUGGAUCUUGUUUCUCAUAAACAACUCCUAAAGCAGUGAAAUUAUUACCUUUCUGGGCUAAAGAACUAAAGGACGAAGGAUUUGGGAGAGAUUGUGACUGAUUUAGAAACCUGUACAGUUGCUCUAACUGCUCUUUAGUGAAGAGUUGAGAUUUGGUUUCUCCAGUAUUGGUUGUCGGCCGAUUCUCCCCAACAACUUGGAAACCACGACUAUGUUUACCAGAGAAUUUAUUGUUUUUCAGAUUUGGAGGUUUUCCAUGAAACUUCCAACAUGCAUCUCUAGUAUGUCUUGGCUUAUGGCAAUAAUCACACCAAACUCUGUCCUUCUCAUCACUCUUCUUCAAGUUUUUUGUUCCACCAACCAGUGGAGCUUCUGGUGUAACAGAGAUCAAGGUUGAGUUCUCUGCUGAAGAACCUCCCAUCAUCACAUUCUUUCUACUUUCCUCUCUUCUUACAUAAGAAAACACUUCCCUGGUAGAAGGAAGAGGUUCCUUUCCAAGUACUCGCCCACGGACUUCAUCAAGGUCUAAACUCAAACCUGCUAAGAAUUCAAAUACACGCUCUUUUUAUAACAUCUUCUUGUAUUUAGCACUAUCAGCAGCACAUUCCCACUCGCCAUCAUAGUAUUGAUCUAACUCUUGCCAUAAGCCCUUCAAAAUAUUGUAGUAUUUAGUCACUCCUUGACUACCUUGUUUGGUUUCUCACAUUCUGGUUUUUAGAUCAUAAAUCUUAGCAGAAUUUCCCAAAUCAGAAUAGGUCUCGGUGACAGCAUCCCACAAAUCUUUUGCUGUUGGCAGAAACAAGUAAGUUUGACCUAUUUCUUGUUCCAUUGAAUUCACUAACCAUGACAUGAUCAUUGAGUUAUCAGCAUCCCAAGUUUGAAACUUUGGGUCGUCUUCAGUUGGUUCUUUAAUUGAACCAGUAAGGUAACCAAUCUUCCCUUUACCUCUGAUAAACAUCUUCACAGAUUGGGACCACUGAAGAAAAUUUUGACCAUUCAAUUUAUGGGUUGUGAUAUGAAGUGAUGGACUAUCAUUAGAAACAUAACUUGAUGGUCGUAGAUGCCAUUGCAACUGCUCUGAAGAUAACUCAGAAGUUUCUUGGUCGCUAUACUUUGACUUUGGUAUUCAAAUAGAAUUGAAAACUAAACCCAAGAAUCAAAGAGCGGCUAUGAUACCAUGAGAAAAUUAUUGAAGAAAUAUGUAUCUCAUUUUCUCUUCUUUUACAAUAGGAUUACAUGAUAAACAUAUAAAUUCUAAACUACAUAACGUGCAAGAGUAGGAAAGUAAACAACUAACUGUAGACUAAGAAACUAAGAAGCAAACUCUAUCAAAAAAUUGAAAUUCUAUCCCUAUCUUUUUUUCCUUAAAAAUAGGAUAGAAAACAUGUGACUUUUCCACAGCAACUAAACAUACAAACCUUGAAAUCCAAAAUUGUACUCGAUGAAUGUGCAAUUGCUCGAGCAGGUAAAUUUACUGCAAAGGCUCUUACAAACCCUCAAAGAUGAUACUCUGCAUACCAUGGUAACCUGAAUAACAAAAAGAAACACAGUGAAUAUUAAAGGGCAAUCUGACAAUGCAAAUUUGUGCAAAUUAACAACUGUGGUUACCUGCAUAAUAGUCUUAAUUCCGAAUUCCUUCCUCCAUGGAAGCAUAUGAUCAGCCCACAUGUGCUUUGCUCUGUAGCUUUUGAGUACCUGAAAUUGUUAUUACAACCAACGGUGAAAAUUGGGUGAAAAAAUGGUAAUAUUAGCAUAAUUGAAUUUGCUUAUAGAGGAUAAACCGAUCAAAGAAAAAAACAAGAUAGAAAUGAUUAUCUUAGUACCUUAAUAUCAUGCAAUAAAAAUCAUCAUGCCAUCCAGGCAGCUAUCCAUCCUCAAUUGAAACAGAGCAGACCUGGCCAUCACUUUCUUCUUCAAAGUCCAGCAACUGAACGUUGCACACAACACCACAGUGGAAGUAGUUACAUCACCAGCCUAAUCCUUGAUUACCCCAAUGUUCUCCAUAGGGUCUUCAAAGUCAACCUAAAAAUAAAAUGAAAAUGCAAUGCAUUAUUAUUAGGGAUCUAGUGCUUGAGCUUGCUUUGACAUCAUGGUAUUAGCAAAUUCUGAUAUUGCCAAAAUGGUAAACAAGAUGAUGUACUUGAUAAGAAAAACCUGAUUUAACAAAUAAUUAAGAAGCAGGUACCAAUCACAUAAUCUCAUCAUGUGGGGAAUGCCUUGGCAACAGAAGAUGGUGCUUUCAUUCAAGCAAUAGCAACUUUCCAAUUUCACAAGGUAGUUUAAUGGCCCUUUUAAGAACAUCUGUACCAGCCUAACAAUUAUUCAUGGAAAUUAAAAUUCAGAAUCAUAUUAGAUUAAGAGAUGAAAUAUAAUAAGCGAUUUGGCCACCAUAUAUGCAUUUAUCACCUUCAAUUCGCUCAUCUUUGUCUAGAGUAUUGCUUCUGCAUUAACUUAAUUAGCUUCCAAGCCACCUACAAAUGGUUUUAAAUAAUGUGUGAAAGUGUGAAUUCGAACGAAUUAAUCAAAUAUGCUGACAGGAGAAACAAAAGUAAAUAACCACAAGAAGUAGAAAUAUACUUUUGUUAUAUUCAGAGCAUCUUCUUGCGUCAAGUUCUUUUCCUUUAGCUCUGUUUCUGUUUGUGCUCAAACGCAAUGGCUCAAGGGUCCAGAUAAUUUUAUGACCGUCAAUCUUUUUGCAGCCACAGCAAACUUGAAAAAAUGAUCGUGGCCCUAAGGAACUUGAAAAUUAGAAAAGAUUCAGACUGAGUGACUAAAUAUUAUAAUCGAAACUAACUAAAUAUUAUAAUCGAAACUAAUUAAACGCCUAGAAAAUUUGAAACUGAGCAAUUGCUUCUGGUGGAAACUUUACUGCAAGGACUUUCUCAAACCCUUGAAGAUCACACUCUACCUGAUAACAAAGAAACAGUCAAUAUACGAAGCUGAUUUUACUAACAAGUGAGUGCUUACACAUAUUGGAAGGAUAAUGAUUACUCAUAACCCAAAUCCCCAAUACUCCCUAAUAUCUCACUCAAGUGAGUUCGAGCUCCCAGAAUUCACUACUGUGAAACUCUUACAACAAAAUUCCCUUCAAAGAUUCUCUACUCAAAUUUGAUGAUGAUGUCCCUCGAAAGGAGGCAAAAAAUCUAACACUGAUCAAAUUGGCUUGUGAACAAUUAAUCUUCCUGGCCAUCAUGCAUACCAGGUGUGGUGAGCAAUCUUCAUUCUGACAUUUGCCUUAAUAAGCGGCUUAGUAUCCUUAACCUGAUAACUUACACAAACAAAAACAACUUGAUUAAAGUUUAAUAUUUAGAGGCAGAACAGUAAAGAAGAUGAUAUAUAUUGAUACUAAAAUUUGACCUGCGUUAUCCUGUCGUCAAGAAUCACGGCAUCUCAUGUGGGCAGAAUCUUCGCAGUACAAAUGCUUGCAAAAUUGAAGCAACAACUUAUCACCUGUGAUUUAAUUCCAUGCAUAAUACGACCAAAAGUAAAACUUUUUGCCAGGGCUCUGUGUUUCUGUUUGUGCUAAAACCAAUGGAAACCGAUGGAAUGAAUUUCUAGGAAUUCGACAUAUCAGCCAAAACAGGUACUCUGUACAAGCAAAGUAAAAUAGGGUUACAAAAAAUUUUAAGAUUGAUAUGAUAAUUAAAAUUUCAGUCACCAUAUAAUUAAUAGAAAACUUUGGACACAAUGAUUUAUUGCAUAUUAAGAUUGCUAUACAAAAUAUAUUAUUAGCAUUAGGAGACCGCACCAAAGCAUACCGAAUUGAAUGUGCCUUUUUACAGCCAUUUUACAAGCUUUGAAGCUUUACCACAAAUGCUUUUUCCAACCCGUGAACAUGAUGCACCCGAAAGAUGCAAGCUAUGAAAUUGUUACUACAGCAAGCGUUGGAACAUUUGUUAACGAAGGAAGUUUAUGAAAAUACGCCUUUGGAUACCCGUCUUCAGGAAUCAAUUCAUCCGUAAUAACAAUUUUCAAGAAGUAUCAACUGCUUUAAGUUCAUCGACAUCACAGAGAUCUUCAACUAAAAUAGUGUAGAUCCGGCCAUCACUAUCCCUUCUACUGCUCUUUUCCUUUAGAGAAUGCUUGAAUUACAUAAUGCGUGUAAGGCAUUCUUAUUCAAGGUCCAAUGAUCAAACCUUGCACAAUAACAACUGAGGUAGUGGUUCCUUCGCCAGCCUAACCCUUGGUCUCAGGAAUGUCCUCAACAGGGUGCUCGAAAUCAACCUAAAAAUCAAGAAUGAGUUGGAAAACUGUUUAUGGCCCUAAAGAACUUGAAAAUCAGAAAAGAUUAAGAAUGAGUGACUAAACAUUUUAAUCGCAACUAAACAUACAAACCUUGAAAAUCUAACUUUGAAGUACUCUUGAAUGAAUGAGCAAUUGCACGAGCUGGUGACAACUAAGGUUACUGUGAAGUCUCUUACAAAUCCUUAAAGAUGAUACUUUACAUACCACGAUAACCUGAUAACACAUAGGAACACAAUGAACAUUAAAGUGUAUUCUGACAAUGCAAAUUUGUGGAAAUUAUCAGCUGUGGUUACCUGGACAAUAUUGCCAACACCAAGCUCUUUCCUCAAUUGAAACAUAUGAUCAGCCCACAAAUGCUUUGCUUUGUAGCUUUUGAGAGCCUGAAAUUGUUAUCACAACCAACAGUGAAAAUUGGGUGAAAAAAUUGAUAUUAGCAUAAUUCCGUAUGUUUAUAUAGGAUAAACCGAUCAAAGAAUAAAAAAAGAUAAAAACAGAGCAGACCCAGCCAUCACUUUCUUCUUCAAAGUCGCACAAUAACCACAAUGGUAGUCGUUCCACUGCUAGCCUAAUCCUUGGUCACCCCAAUGUUCACCAUGAAGUAUUCAAAGUCAACCUAAAAAUAAAUAAAAAUGCAAUGCAUGUGGAAAUGAAAAUUCUAUAAAUUAAAUAAAAUAAAAAUGCAAUGCUUGAGCUUGAGCUUGCUUUAGCAUCAUCGUAAUAGUAAAUUUUGAUAUAUCUUUACUUCUCUGUUCUUGUUUAUUCACAACAAGAUAUCAAUAGAAGAAGAUGGAAAUGAAAUUCUAUAAAAUAAAGCAAGUGAAUUACCAGCAGAACAUUUUAGCAAUCCUUUGGCUAAACUUUUCAUUUUCUUAGCAUACUCUCCUGCCUGCAUCAUUAAAACCAAAUUAGAUUGGACCUGUGAAUUGCUAGUGUGGUUCUGACAUUUCCUCGAGUCCCUGGUGAACAUAACUAAACUCGUAUGAAACAAUUACACAAUUACUUUAAAGAAUUAAUGUCACAUAAAUUAUAUAUAAAAAAAUACGAUUAUCAUUAUACAAGAUAAAAUUGAUAAUUUAGUUUUCAACAUUACUGCAAAUGUAUCACAGAGAUUUUUUCUCUCAGGAAGUUACACAUAACAACUUUUCGUACAUUAAAAAAUAAAUUACAUUGGGAUUUUCUAUUAUGUUGUAUCAAAUUUUAUAAAAGAGCACAAAUUUUUUAAAAGAAAAUAUAGAAAUUUCAACAUACUACGCUUGGUUUUUUUUUAAUUAUUUAAUCUUUAGAAAACAAGUUUAACAGAUUUGAUAACUAGGAAGUUUUACAUAUUUAUACCAUGAUUGAUUCUAUAUAGAAUUUUAAUUCAAAAUAUAAUUAUUUUUAUUAAUUUCAUUGUAAGCAACAACGAAGUAAAUCAGAGGAGGAGAAAUUACCAGCGAGUGAUAUCUUACGGCGACCACUUGAUGUGGGGAAUGUGGGAUAUCUUAUACCAGUCUUCUCCUUCCCCCUCUCUAUAACGGUUUUCCAGAAUGAGACAUCUCCAAAUUGUCAAUUCCUGCAGCGUCGUCGUCCGAAGAAGGUAAUCCGGCAGCACCUUUAAUUUGGGGCAAUCCCAAAUUCGCAAGGAAGAAAGACGUAGUAUGUCUGUUGUCCUGCGAUCUUCUAGAACGGGCAGUUCUUCUAGAAGAUAACAAGAAUAAAUACUCAGUUCCUGCAGUGUCGUCGAUUGAAGAAGGUAAUCCGGCAGCACUUUUAAUCUGGGGCAAUAAGAAAUCUCCAAGGAAGAAAGACGUGGCAUGAUGGAGAUGUUUUCCGUCCUCGUAAUCCUGUAAUUCCACUCUUCCACUUCAUCAAAUUCGCCAAUUUCGAGAGAUUUCAAUUUGGGGAAGGCAAUAACUGAUGAUGACGAUGAAGAUGAAGAUGGGUCGUCCUCACUGCUUUCUUUUAUUCCCAAAAACUCAUUACCUACUCUUUUUACACUUUCAAAGCCGCGUAGUUCGAGUUUUUCCAGAGGCAAUUUUCCCAAAGGAGGCAAAUGCUCACAGUUUACGCAGUAGAAAAGGCUUAAAUCCCUUAGAUUGGUUAGUGAAGUCAACCAUUUGGGAAAAAUGUUGCCUCCGUAGAAUAUAAUCCUUAACUCCUCUACAUUCAAAGGCGGUUGUAAGGCUUCAAGAAGUUGUUUAUCUUUCUCGUUCUUCCUCCUCCCUUCUUCGCCCUCCCCAUCUACGACUCCACCAAACUCAAGAUGCAAACGAAGGAGGUUUUUCUUAUUGUAAAGUUGUAACCUCUCAGCCUCAUCUACAUGCGAUACAUUACUCAGCCCUUCUACUCUACAUUCACGAAGGAGUUGAAGAUUUUUCAGAGAUUCAAGCCUACACGUAUUGCUACCAUCAACACCUCCACCCACCACAAACUUUUCUAAUGUUCGAAGGCUAGUCAAUUUGGAAAUCCCUAUUGGCAGGUACUUCAACGAACGAGUUUUAUCAUUCAGUAAACUCCUCAUGUUCAUUAACUUCCCAAUCCCUGCAGGCAAUUCUCUAAGAUAUUCGCACUGCCUAAUAUCUAGCUUUUGUAAAUUAUAUAAUUGACACAAAGUCUCAGGUAGUCUCUCUAACCUUAAUCCAGACAAAUUAAGAUAUUUUAAAUGUAUCAAUUUUCUAACUUUUUCUGGAAUUUCUAUAAUCAAAUUUGCCUCAGGAUGAAAACCUAAAAUGUGAUAUUGCCUCAUAACUAAUGCCCUCAAACACGCCAAUUUACUAAAUAACUCCGAAAGGAUGCUACUACUAAGAGGCCGACUGUAAGGACUUUCAUCAUAAAUUAAUAAGGUACGCAAUCUAUUAAGUCCAUGAAUGGACAUAGGAAAUGAAGUGCCUCUUUGAAAAUUUAACCCUAAGUGACGGACUUUGUCACCAAAAGAGUUUAUGACUGAUUCUUUGGUACCAUUAAUUUCUACCCACAAACAUUCUUUUCUACUUACAAAUUGGGCAAAAUCAUGUACUAUGUCAUGCAUCUUACACCCCAGAAUAUCAUCAUUGUCAUCAUCUUUUUCAAACUCUUGAAAGAAAGAGCGUGUUGCUAAGAUGUUGAAAUAUUCUUCUCCGAUCAUCUCCAUUUCUUCGUCUUCAUCUGCAUUAAGGUAACCUUGAGCCAUCCAUAGAUUAAUCAAUUCCCUUUUAUUCAUAUUGUAGUCUUUUGGAAAGACAGCACAAUAUGAGAAACACCGUUUUACCAUAGAAUUGGAGGGCAAAUCGUUAUAACUCAACAACAAAGGAGCCAAAAUACCUUGCCCAAUCUCUUCUACUUUCCACAUUUCACUCUCUAAAAUUCUUUGCCACUCUUUUAUUGUACUUUUAGAGCGCAAGAGAUUCCCUAUUACCUUUGCAGCAAGAGGUAGGCCUUUGCACUUACAUGCAAUUUUUCGCCCGAUUGGUUCUAAUUUUUCACAAUCCUCAAAGGACCUACGUAGAAAUGCUAUCUGCUUAAACAGUAACCAACAUUCCCCUUCACCCAACUCCUUGACAGGGAUAAUAUCUAUUGAUCCCAACUGCAGUGCAACUGACCUAUCACGUGUGGUAAUUAGAAUUUUACUUUCAUGGUGGCCAUUCUUUAGACAAGAAAAGAAUGGGUCCCAUUUUUUGUAAUCUCCAUCCCACACAUCAUCUAAAACAAGAAAAAAUUUCUUCCCCGUAAUAUAUUCCUGAAUCUGUUUCAUAAGAGAUUCGAAUUCGCUUAAACCAGAAGCUGACGCGCCUAGACUUUCAAUGAUUGCUUUGGCGACCCUAAUCUCCUCAAAAGUGUCUGAUACACACACCCAUAUAACUUUUUCAAAAUUUCUUUUCACCUCAUCAUUAUUAUAGGCCAGUUGUGCAAGAGUGGUUUUACCUAUACCCCCUAACCCAACUAGUGAGAUGACAUGAAGGCCUUUUUGUUGUUCACUACUUUCACACAACAACUUGCUUAAGAGCUCAUUUUUCUCAUCAACUCUACCGCAAACCUCUCCCUCAUCAAUCAAGGAGGUGGUUCGCACUCGCUCUGGUUUCUUAACAUUGCUGCUCACAUUCUCAACAAAUUUAAACGUAUCUUUUUGGGAGGCAAUAUCAUCUAGCUUUCCAUUGAUUUCCCUGAUCUUGACGGCAAUGUCAUGACGAAGACUAAGUUGUUUGAAACUACCAAAGCAGUUUGAUACAGCACAAAAGAAGGAGCGUACCUUCUUAUGAGGAGCAAGAGCAAAAGCAUUGUCAUCAUCAACGCCCUCAAUCUGCAAUUUGAGCCUUGCAGUGGUCCACUCCUCCAACACGUCUUCCAUGUCGUAAGAUGCGUCUUUGAGUUGAUCCAGCCAAAAAGUAACAGCAUUGUCGCGCUGCAUUUGCCUUUUCUCUGCAUCUUCCAGCACAGCUCGAAUGGCUCGAAGAUUGCUGGUAAGCUUUUUCACUUCUUCUCCGACACCAGUCACAAGCCUCACCUGUUGUUUCACUUCAUCAGCCGCAACGGAGAUCAGCUGCUCCAGGAGAGAGGAAACGAUCGCAUCAACCAUUCUGACAAAGAAAACGAGAAUUCUGAUGAGUUAUUAGAUGUGCUUUUGUUGCGAAGAUAUGAAAGAAAGGAGUUAUUGCAUUCUUUUAUACUGCAUAGAAAAGGUUUAUGCUUAUCCCCAACCCACACGUCAAUGAUUGUAGAAUGUUUAAUUUCCCUGAUUCUACUCCACUAGUUGUAAUAUUCUCAAGUUAUGUAUGAAAAUAGCACAAAUUUGGACCUACUGAUGAUUUUUAUGUAUUUUUUCAUAAUCUUCUAAAAUACUGUAUCUGCAUGUUAUUUCGUGCAGAAAUAUGGCAUUGGGUGAAAAAAGUUAUGCUUAUCCCCACCCACACGUUAGUAAUUGCAGUAGCAUCUUUAAUUUCCCUGAUUCUACUCCACGGACGAACACAUUUUUUGUACUAAUAUCUUUAAAUUCCCACACGUUAGGAAUUUGGCACAUAAUCUCAAACUCGUCCCAUCUUUAACGUAUGAGGUUGAUGAAUGAAUUCUUUUCUCAUGUGAAUUUAAAACUCCGAGAUUAUGUGCCAAAUUCCUAACGUGUGGGAAUUUUACCUCCUAAGUAAUCCGGCCCACUGCCAAGUGCCAACUUUUUCUCUGUCGAGUUAAUGAUGUUGUUUUGUUUUCCUUGUUUUAAUUAAUGUUGCGGUGAGAAAAAGAUCGAUGUAAAUGGCUAGCCAGGUUUUGCAGAAACCAUGAAUGGUCUUGCAUGCAUGGGUGGCUUUAAGUAUAGGCCAAAAAGAUGGUCGUCUAAGGCCCCAAAUUUUAAAAAAGCUACAAUUUUUUAAUAUUAAUAAUAAUUCUCUUAUUAAUAAAAUCUUUUAAAAAAAUUAUAUGUGUGGUAGAAAAGCCUAUUAGACAUAUCUCUAAUUAAUAAUUAUCCUAUAAUUAAUAUUUUUUUUAUAUAAAAACCUAUAAUUGGUUAUCUUAUUGUUAAAGAGAUAUAAUUAAUAAUAUUGUUUAACCAUUAAUUUAUUCAUUAUUAGUUUUUCUAAUAAAAAUAAGUAAAUUUUUUUAUCUUUUCAACUUCUUAAAAAAAAACUUAAUUAUUCAACAUUAGAAUAUUUGGCUUUGAGUAUUUCUUUUAAUUUCUACUAAAAAUCUUAUAAUCUAAAAAAUUAUAGAUGAAAAAUUUCUUAUUAUCUUCUCUACGAUGAAGAUUAUUACAUGCAUUAGUUCAUUCAAAAAAGAAAAAUAAAAAAUUAGUUACUUGAAAUACAAAGUCCAUAUCCAUUAUCUAAAAUCAGUUCAUAAUCUCAACUUUUUAUGUGCUACCAUUCUAAAUAUUCUAUUUGAAAAUAGUAUUGUUCUCAUUUAUUCGUUUGCUUCUUUUUGUAAAAUUUCUAAUGAUAAAUUUUAGAUUUUGUUUUCAAAAAUUUUUAGAAUCUUCUUGAUUAUUUGUUGAAAUUCAAGAAUAAAAACUGAAAUGGAUUUUCAGUUCUUUAUUGUUUUAUUGAAUAUUGAAAUUACUAAAUAAAAAGAGGUCUCAUAAAAAAAAAAAAAAAAAAAAGUUCGUCUAAGGCCCCUAAUACUAUAAGCCGGCCCUGCUUGCAUGUGACAUAAAGCUUUAUAGCUUAUUCCUCCAUCAACAUUUCAAUGGUUCCAUCUCACGUGCACUUGGCUAUGAAUAAGGUCCAUGCAUGGAUCGAUCGAUUUAGGAGUUUUGGACCAUCUCAUGCUGCAGAGUUAUGUGUCAUGUAUGUGUGUUGACACUUGCCAGUUCAUUUUUGUUAUAAAGAUUAUUGAUACUCAUAAAUGCACUACUUACAAAUCAUAAAUUUUGAGUUUGACACUUUAGUUUCAUUUUGUAAUCCCUACGCUCUUUAAAUAUUUGUAACAAUAUAUUUCAAACUUUAACUCAGACGUAAUGAAUGAAGGGGGAUCCUCUUCUUAUAUAAAUUUUUAUUUUUUAACGUUCAAGUUACAUUUGAUUACGUGUACUUAUUAUCUAGUUUUGACUAUCUAAUUACAUUUGAUUACGUGUACUUAUUAUAUAAAUUUUUUUAAAAAUGAUGGGUUUGGUGAGAUUUUUUACAUCUUGGAUCAGUAGGUCAAGAACAGGCAGGGCAGGGCCUUCUCUGAAGUCAAUCUUGUGAGCAACACCAGCUUUUUGGAUAAUUGGCAGCCCCAAUUCAUAAUUUUCUCUAUUGAUGUCCAUGGCCAAAAUCUGCAACCGAAGCUUAUUCUACUCUUAUUAAUCGAGAGAUAAUUUUACCUCUAAUUAAUUUAAUUGGGAGGAAAAUCGAGAGAGAUAUCCACUCUGUCCUUAUUAAUUGAGAGAUAAUUUUACCCUUACCCAAUUUAAUUGGAAAGGAAAUCGAAUUCCAACAAUAACUAGGACUUGAAUCCAUGCACUUAAGCUAACUUUAAGUUUUUGGACGCAUGGUUAUAAUGUUCUUUAUUUAAAUCCUAACAAAUGGUGGGACUUGAACUUGUGCCUACAAACAUUGAGUGCUUAGGGGCUGCAAAAUUUCAUAACUUAAUUUUAGUUGAUGUGGCAUAUGCCCUAUCACAUAAAUGUAGGUAAUAAUAAUUAAUACAUUAACAAAAUGAAAAAUAUUAGUUUACAAAACACAAAUCCAAAAUUUUUGUGUGACAGGGGAUUUAAAAGGGAGAGACUAAAUAAAUGUGGUGAAAAACGACAUGUAUUACUAAAAUUGAAAAUACGAAGUCUAGGCAAUUGAAAACAUCGGGUUUUUUAUUUAAAUAUCCCCAAUUUGUCCUUAAAUACCAAAUUUAUACUCUAUUAUAUACAUAUACCUUACGAAGAUAGGGAAGGUAAAAAAUAACCUUAAAAAAAUCAAGAAUCCACACAUUUCUUCCUCUCAGUGCAGGAAGAUGUCGAGUACGAAGUCGGGUAAGUCGAGAAUUUAGUUGAGCAAGAAUUGGAGAUAAGUAAGUCGAGUAUAUAAUCCAGUAGGAAAUUGAGUAAGCAUAUUAAAUGAGUCGAGUAUUAAGUGGUCGAGUAUUAAAUAAAAGUCAAGUGAAUUUUUUGAACAAGUCGAGUAAAAUUUAUGUAAUUUUUAAAAAGGUCAAGUAUUAAGUCGGGCAAGUACAUUGGGUCGAGUAUUAAUAUUUUUAAGGAAGUGAAGUCUAGUAAGUUGAGCAUUCAGUCGAGUGAGAAAUGAAGGCAAUUGAAUAAGUCGAGUAUCUAGUCGAGUACGAAGUCGGGUAUGAAGUAUGGUAAGUUGAGCAUUCAGUCGAGUGAGAAGUUAAGGCAAUUGAAUAAGUUGAGUAUCUAGUCGAGUACAAAGUCGGGUAUGAAGUUUGAUAAGUUGAGCAUUCAGUCGAGUGAGAAGUGAAGGCAAUUGAAUAAGUCGAGUAUCUAGUCGAGUACGAAGUCGGGUAUAAAGUAUGGUAAGUUGAGUAUUCAGUCGAGUGAGAAGUUAAGGCAAUUGAAUAAGUUGAGUAUCUAGUCGAGUACGAAGUCGGGUAUGAAGUUUGGUAAGUUGAGCAUUCAGUCGAAUAAGAAAUGAAGGUAAUUGAAUAAGUCGAGUAUCUAGUCGAGUACGAAGUCAAGUCUGAAGUCUGGUAAGUUAAGCAUUCAGUUGAGUAAGAAGUGAAAGCAAUUGAAUAAGUCUAGUAUCUAGUCGAGUAAGCAGAUUGAAUGAGUCGAGUAUUAAUUUUUUGUUGGCAUUUUGUUGAGGUUAUUUUUGUACUUUCUUCGGUUUUUUAAGUAUGUAUAUGUAAAGUUACAGAUUUUAAUAGAUUGAGAUAUAUUUUGGAUGGUACGAGAGAAACGGGGUAUAUCCCACGCAAUUCCUUCGAAAACAUAUCUGUCAAUUGCAAUGAAAAGAUCACAACCCUUCGUAAUUAAACAAAAUCAAACUUGAAAAAAAAAAAUCACACACACAAAACAAUCACAAAAACUAUUUGUUCUGAUCAUCCCUGCUUUUUUUUAGCGUAGCUCUUGGAAUGAAAAUUAACAAAAAGUGUCAAAAGAGAAGCAUUAAACACAGCAUUGAAGCACCAACCCAAAAUCCCAGAGCAACCAAAUCCCGUAAAAUGAUAAUACAGCAUCAAAACCGAAACAACAAAACUAAACACAAACUGAACAAUCUGACAAUCAGUGACCAAUCUCUUCCACUUUGGCCGCAACACCAUCACACACAAUAGAUAGUACCCGUACAUGAUCACAUGCACACUUGCAUUGGUCACAAGUGCAAUAGGAAACAAAGACUGCUUCGUCUGUAACCAAAGGUAGCACAUUACGACGACGGUUGCAUGGUGGUAGACGUGGAGGAACGUGAGCCGUUGGAUGGAGUUUGACAAAAUGAUCAAAAGGGUGUCUAGGAAUUCGAGUAUUUUGGAGAGGUAGAAGAUGUAAGCGUAGAAGAAGAGGGGACCGGAGGGAGAAAUGGUGGGGGGAAACAGAGGGUGUGACGGAGGUCGGGUGAAUGGAGGACGAUGGAGAGAGUGCAACCAACGGCCAUGACGAGGGAGAGGAGGAGGAGGGUAAGGUUAUGGACGGCUGUGAUGGGCUUGAGGAUGUGGGGUCCAAUGAGAGGUGAUGAUGAUGGUGAUGUUGGCGUUAAUUUGUGGUAGAGGAUGAAUGUGAGGGAGAGGAAAGUGAGGAUGGAGAGAAUGAGGAAGUGUGGGGAGGAAGCUGGGGUUUGGUUUUGAGUCCACGUGAAGUAGAGGAUUUGGGGAUGGUUUACAAGCCAAUAUUGGAGUGUUGAGGUGAUUGAAUUUGAAGCCAUGGCUGGUUUUUAGGGGGAGGAAAGAUUAGAAAGAGAUGAUGUUGAGAGGAGUGGGGGAGUUUAGAAAGUUUGGGAUAAUGUGAGGGGUAUUUUGGGCAUAUAAUGUUG